rnacentral:lncRNA from 1 species
UGAUCGAGCACUUGCUGCCAUCGUUGUUGCUAUCGUACGUCCCCUACGCCAUCGUUGCUGGAUCUACGCUUAGUACGUUGAGGUCACACACACGCACACACACAUAUAUAUGAAUAAAUGCUCUCAUAUUAUCUCACUGCGUGAGAGAGAGAGGAGUACGUCCGUCCAAGCAGCUAUGCAUGGCCGGCCACACUGUUGUAUCGAUGUUUGGUUGUUCCUCCACUCCCCGAGUUUGCUGUACUUUGUACCAUGUGUACUUUUGAUAUAUGGAUUGUAUACACAGCUGAUCAGCUCUACUUGCGUGUGCAUGUUAUCCAGCACUUUUGAUAUAUGCAAGACUGGCAAAGCAUUCCAUUCCAGUUUGUUGCUCCAAGCAAGACGUAGGAAUGAACCCAACAAUUUACUAGGAAUGGAACUAUGACAUUUCACUCAUUUUGGUUCCUCAACAAAACACAACCUAAAACUGUUUGAGAACACACAGAAUUCUAGUGAAUGCAACCACCAACAAAAACUCCUACUGGCUUAAUUAUAAGUAAUCGGAAUAUACUUAGAACUGCUUAAAUCACCAUCAUCCAAUACACUGCAAUAUACUUCUAGACAGAUUAAGGUGAAUUUCAAACAGUGUACAUGAAAGAUCAUCCAGGGAGAUGUCAAUUAAUUAGACACUGGUUGUUAGCUUGUAGGGCAAAAAAUUGGAAUACUCUUGGUUGUGAUAGUACGUACAAUAUACUUUAUGUUUGUUAUAAAUUGAUCGGAGAGUAUGAAUUUGUAAUUAUGGAUCCAAUCACAGUAAUAAACCGACGUUCUGACAGGGUACGACAUAAGAAAGCUGAGUGGACUACGGCACUAAAUACUUGCAUAAAUUGAAAGUUAAUAUCUACUUUUCGCUAUAGGUGGACCAUGGGAAUAAUAGAAUUUUCUCCUUAUUUACAGGAGAUGCACGGAUGGAUAUAUUCUCUCCAUGCUAAUUUGAGUCAGGUGUUUGAAUUUGUCCAAAAAUAUACUAUACCUGAAAUAUAUUUAAAUAUAAGCAUUUAUACUGAAUGCCUUAAGUAACCGUGGGAUGAUCAAUUUUCUUUUUCUAUGUUGUGUCCUCAUACACAUGAACAAAAACCACAAUCAUGGGUAACUUUUCAGGGAAAAAAAGAUGAUGCUUAUUUAGUUUAUGAAAAACAGUUUUGACGAUGACUUUCCCCACGAUGACGGUUGGUAAAGCCUUUAACUACAAUAUGUUGUUUUUGUGUUUCUGAAUUGACAGAAUUGCAAGAUCAGUUCAGGAAAGAAAUAAUGUAAUGUGACCAAAAUAAGCAAACAUAACUUGCGGCAAUAAACAAUUUAUUUUCAUUUCCUGAUUGAGAGAUUUAUUCACUGCCUGCACUGCAACUAUAAAUUGCAUGGAUUUUUCUUAUUGUUUCAGGCAUUUUAGAUUGAAUAUUAGAUUAAAAAUGUGGCCAAAAAUGUGUAUCUCAUAAAUUAUCUCAGUGCUAAAAGUUCUAAAAUUUUAGAAUUUUCCGAAUACAGAUUGGUAUGUAAGUUUCGAUAUCAUUUUAGCUUUGGCAGAAAAUUUGAACAUAUAUUUCGAUUCAAGUACAAAUAGAAAUAUGUAAAUUUACUAAAAGAAACUGGUCUAACAUAUUUUUCCAGAGAAGGCCUCGGUGCGAAAACUUACGGCUGGGCACGACAAGAUGUUGGGUUUCUAUUCUCUUCAUAGGCACCGCGCCAUUGUCUUGCAAAAUGUAUGAUUUAUCAUUUGGUCCUCCUUAUUACCAUCGCACCUCCAUGACAUACGUGGUUCUUACGCCAAGGAAAAAGGUGAGCUUUAUAGGAUAAGGGCGUCGCUGUCAAAAACUGUUUCACGGGUCUCCGUUGCACAAAUUUGGGGUGUCAGUAGAUAUUGCUAAGAGCAACUCUAGCAGACCCCGCAUCUCGCCGGCCUGCAAAACGCGUUUGCAGUUCGUGCAAAACAGCUUUUUGCGGGUCGGCUCGGGUUGGCACAGAUGCAGACCCCCAACGGAUCCGUAAAAAAGUACAUUCAUGGAAUAUACUUUUUUACGGGUCGACUAUGCGGAAUGUGCUCUUUGCACUGCUGCAUCCCGCAUAUCAGCAGCCGGCAAAUAUCAAAUACAACAUAAUUCAACAAACGAAAACAAACUGAAUUAUUCCAAUCAAACAUAAAACAAUAAUCAUCUGCAUUACAAAUAAUUAUUCAAAUAAUUGUAGCAAAUUUAAAUAGUGCAAUACAAAAUUUGUCAUGAAUAAAAAUACAAAUGAAUAGAAAAAUAAGUCACUGCCCAGCCCUUUGCCAAUGAUACUCAAUGAGAUCUUCCUGAAGUUAAAAGUGGGUGUCUGCAUUUUCAAUCUCCUUGUAUGUCUGAAGAAAAGCUCUAUUGCGGUUUGGGUUUCUUACUAGUUUGACACGGCUACCCACAUUGUCGUAAAAGAAUUCUAAGUUCAAUCCUCUCUCAUCUUCAAGAAUUAUAUUGUGCAGGAUAACACAUCAUGUCAUUAUGUUCCUCAAGGUUUUCUUAUCCCAAAGACGAGCAGACCACGGACAAUGUCAAACCUAGAUUGAAAAACACUGAAUGCUCUUUUAAUGUCUUUUCGGGCUGCCUCUUGCACCCUUGCAAAUUCACAUUGUUUUUUUGUUUUGGGUUCUUUGAUGCUCUUGAUAAAUGUGCACCAUGGAGGGUAUAUACCAUUUGCAAGAUAGUACCCCUUUGUGUAUUCAUGCCCAUUGAUAGUGUAGUUGCAAGCAGGAGCAUCAUCACAAGCAAGCCUAGCAAAGAAAUGAGACCGUUGCAACACAUUGAUAUCAUUGAGAGUGCCCGGCAUACCAAAAAAGCAAUGCCAAAUCCACAAAUCUUCGGAUGCUACGGCCUCAAGCACAAUUGUUGCAUCACGAGACUUGACACAAUAUAUUCCUUGCCAAGCCUUGGGGCAAUUUUUCCAAUUCCAAUGCAUACAAUGAAUACUACCUAGCAUGCUAGGCCAACCUCUCCUCUCAUUUGAUGCCAUCAAUUUCUUUGUGUCAUCUUCAUUGGUGCCCGAAGAUACUCAGGACCGAGGACACGGAUGAUCACUUUCACAAAUCUACGCACGGACUCAAUUGUGCUAUCUUCACCAAUGUGAAGAUACUCAUCGGCAUAGUCAGGCGGAACGCCAUAUGCAAUCACCCGCAUAGCUGCGGAGAUUUUUUGAUAUGCACUAAAUCCCUUUAAGCCUGCGGCAUUUCUUCUUUGAGUAAAAUACCGGAAAUUUGCCUCGCAAGCUUCAACAAUUUUCACAAAGAGGGAUCGGCGCAUUCGGUACCUUCUCCGGAAGAGGUGCGGAGGAUAUGUAGGAUUCUCUGCGAAAUAGUCUUGCAUCAACAUCUCGUUCCCAAGAUGGCGAUUCCGAGGAAUGCACAAACGACCGACAGUCGAUCCUCGCCUCCUCUUCCGGUGCUCGUCUUCAUGCUCCUUCACGGCAAGCGCCAUGACUAAUGUUUGCUGCCGGAAGUUCGCAAGCAUGCUCUCAACAUCCGAGUCGUCCGAAUCGUCCGAAUCGGAUUGCAAGAACUUCUCGCACGAGGUCAACUCCAUCUACAUGCACACCGGCGCGUCAAUCUACUACACAGCUCGCAAAAAUCACAAAAAAGGGACUAACCGGUGGCGGGUGAUACCGGGCGGCGACGAGGGGGUGCGCUGGACGGUGGUCCAUCCCCGGCGGCGGCGAUAACAACGGGGGGCGGCUCUUCUCCCCGGAUCCGGAGGGGGAAAGCACGUGGGCUGAAAUGUCCCUCCCAACAACUGCUUCUCUCCGAUGCAGGGCACGCAGCCGGGAGGGGGAAACCCGUGUUUUCCCGGGUUGGGGCGGAGAAUUUGCCGUGCCCCCUAAAUUUUUUUGCGGGCCGGGGCGGGAUGCGGGGUCUGAUCGGGCAGGCUUUCCGGCCCGUACCCGUAUUUUGGCGGUUAUUUUGCGGGUCAGGGUGGAUGCGGGGUCUGCUAAAGUUGCUCUAAGUUCCCCAUGGCUCCUACUCUUACGCUUUGAAUCUGUAGGAAGAUGCAUCCUGGUACUCCUAUCUCAUUUCAAAAUCCCGUGUUGGUAUGUUGAAGACUAGAAAGUCAAUGUAAGUUGGUUUUUUAACUUUGCCCAAAGAAGUUGGGUUUUAAUUCCUUGUAGCAGUACAAGGUAGGAGGUGUGUGUGAAAUGAGAGCGCGGAGAAGUUUAAUGACCUGCGCGGCAGAGGUUGGCUGUUGGCCCCAUUUAAUAUGUCAGCGCUAUUAUACACAUCUACAACAUCGUGGCCCAUUGAUUUGGUCCAUGCUUGCACAAUGCUCUGCCGACGAUUUGAGGAGCUCGAUGUGCCGACCAAAACAACGUGGGUGUGUCUAGAGACGGAGGGAAAACUUCCAGAGCUGAUAGCAUUGUAAAUUUAGUUACCACUCCCUCUGUUCAUGGAUAAGUAUACAUACAAAUUUAAAGUCCAUUGAAAAGAUAGAAGUACUCCAACCUCAUUCCUAGUAGCGCCACUUGUGGAUCAAAAGACCAUAGAUGGGAGCGGUGCAACGCACCCAUGUUCCGCUAUAGGAUCCGGAUGCGCCAAAGCCACUUGCAUAAUAAAGUUGAUAUUUUGUAACACAGAAGCGGAAUACCGGUGCACCGUACCGCCUCUCGCAGCGCCGCUCUUCUUCUUCCUCUUGUUGCCUCACACAACUCUCUCUUGUUUCCUUGUUUCUCUCACCAACACAAAGAUACACACCGGGGCAGAAAACACACACGCACACACACGCCACUACACUGGCCACUAACCCAUGCAGUUACGCAUCACCCGGCCACUAGCUCAACUAUAACUCCAUGCAUGUAAGACAAUAAGUUUUGGGAACCAGCACAACCCUCUAGGGGUGGCUUAUCUCAUUAUAUAUAAUGGUUGUGUUACAAUACGUACAUAGGUACAGAAGUUAUACAUAGUCUAACAACCUCCCUCAAUCUUAGCCACUUUCUAAAGAACUGAGAAGGGUAAGAUUGCGCCUACAAGCCUCAAACUGUGGCAGUGGUAAAGGCUUAGUGAAGAUAUCUGCAAGUUGAUCCUUAGACGAGAUAAACUUGAUCUGAAGUUGCUUCUGUGAUACACGUUCCCGUACAAAGUGAUAGUCAACUUCAAUGUGUUUCGUUCGGGCAUGAAAUACUGAAUUUGCAGAAAGGUAUGUAGCACCGAUGUUAUCACACCAAAGAAUAGGAGGCUGUGGUUGAGACAAACCCAACUCCUGAAGCAAAGACUGCACCCAAAUAAUCUCUGCAGUAGCAUUAGCCACAGCCUUGUACUCAGCUUCAGUACUGCUACGUGACACAGUAGCCUGUUUCCGAGCACUCCAGGCGAUCAAAUUAUAGCCAAAGAAUACUGCAUAACCCCGUGGAUCGCCUGUCAUCUGGGCUACCAGCCCAAUCUGCAUCAGAGAAGGCCGAAAGGACCCGAGAGGAAGUCGGCCGAAUAUGCAUACCAAAAGUCAGGGUGAACUGAACAUAACGAAGAAUGCGUUUAACAGCAGCCCAAUGAGUAUCUCUGGGAGCCUGAAGAUACUGACAAACCCUGUUAACAGCAUAAGAGAUAUCUGGUCUCGUGAUCGUCAAGUACUGAAGUCCACCAACAAUGCUUCUGUACUCUGUGGCAUCCGCAGGAGACAAAAGCUCACCAUCAACAGCUGUUAUCUUGUCGGUAGACGACAUGGGUGUGGUGGUCGGUUUGCACUUCAGCAUGCCAGCUUUUUGUAACAACUCGAAGGAGUACUUCUUCUGCGUAAGGACAAGACCAGUAGCACGAGAAGUGACCUCAACUCCAAGAAAGUAGUGAAGCUUCCCAAGAUCUUUGACCGCAAAAUCAGCACCAAGAGAGCAGACAAGAGCAUCAGCAGCAUACUGAGAAGAGCUGACAAGGAUAAUAUCAUCGACAUAUACCAAAAGAUACAUAGUGACUUCUGGCUUCUGUAGAAGAAAUAAUGAAGUGUCAGCAGUGGACGGCACAAACCCAUGAGCACGAAGGGCAGAGGCAAGGCGGGCAUGCCAGGCACGAGGAGCUUGCUUCAAACCAUAUAGUGCUUUGGAAAGACGACAGAUAUAGUCAGGACGAUCAGGAUCAGAGAAACCAGGCGGUUGUUUCAUAUAAACCUCUUCCUCCAAAAAUCCAUGUAGAAAAGCAUUCUGCACAUCAAGUUGACGAAGGGACCAACCACGAGAAACAACAAUGGAGAGAAGAAGCCGAAUAGUGGUAGGCUUGACGACAGGACUGAAGGUGUCCUCAUAGUCAAGACCAUGACGCUGCCGAAAACCGCGAGCAACAAGUCGCGCUUUGUAACGCUCAAUAGAUCCAUCCGAGUGCUUCUUCACUUUGAAUACCCAUUUUGAGUCAAUAACAUUUACCCGUGGUGGUGGAGGAACGAGAGUCCAUGUCUUGUUACGAAGAAGAGCAUGAAACUCCUGCUCCAUAGCCUCUCGCCAAUGUGGAAUGCGCAGGGCAGCCUGAUAUGAGCGAGGCUCAGAAGAUGGAUCCACAACAGCAGUAGCCAAACAAGCAGCCAACCAAGCAACCGUACCAUCCGUACGUUCCUUAGGUUUGAAAAUGCCACUGCGACUGCGUGUAUGUGGUCGAGACACAGGAACCACCGAGUUCGACGGAGCAGCCUGCAACGGGCUGGAGGACGGCGACGUUGACGAGUCAGCCGGUGACGAGGAGCCAGGCACGGUAGCCUCGGACUCAGUCGGCGAAGAAGGCCGGCCCACCGGCGAAACAGCUGGCGACUCCGGCAUCCCAGACCGGGCCGAUGGCGAGCUCGGCAUAGUGGGCCGUGGCGCGGCCGGUGUCGCGGGCCGAUCCGCUGGUGAAGGCGACGUGAGGACCUGAGCCACGGGCGAAGAUGGCGUGACGGGCCGAGCCACGGGCGACUCGGCGACCGCUGGCGAAAAAGGCCGAGCCGCUGGAGACUCAGCGAUCACUGGCGUAGCAGACCGAGCAGUGGAGAUGCUCGGCGCGACGGGCUCGUCGGGUGACCAUGCAUGGGCACGUGAAUCGAUGCCAUGCAACAGAGGGCGAUCGAAGUGCCCACCAGAAGACGACGAUGAUGAUGGUGAAUCCUCCAACAGCUCCAAACGAGCUCCACGUCCAGUUCCAGCACCAUGGUUAGGUAACAGCAAAGGAGAGUAUGCAACAUCAUCAAAUUGGUCAGAAGCAAUAGAGGAUGAAUGCAGGGAUGGUGGUUCGACAGUGGACACAGGAAGGUUGGCAAAGGGAAAAACAUGCUCAUCAAACACGACGUCCCGAGAUAUAUAGACACGAUUAGUGGGAACAUGAAGACAUUUGUAACCUUUAUGAAGAGAGCUAUAGCCAAGGAAAACACACUUCUUAGAACGAAACUCAAGCUUGCGCUUGUUAUAUGGACGAAGAUGCGGCCAGCAAGCACACCCAAAUACCUUGAGAAAGGUAUAAUCAGGUUGUUCAUUAAGGAGAACCUCAAUGGGAGUCUUCAUGUUUAAAACACGAGUAGGAGUACGAUUGAUGAGAAAGCAUGCAGUGGUGAAAGAAUCACUCCAAAACCGAAACGGAACAGAUGCAUGGGCCAAAAGAGUAAGACCAGUUUCAACAAUAUGACGAUGCUUACGUUCGACUGAACCAUUCUGCUGAUGUGUCUGUGGACAUGCUAAACGAUGAGCUAUCCCAAGCGACUGAAAGAAGGAGUUGAGGUUGCGAUACUCGCCCCCCCCAGUCCGACUGGACAUGAACAAUUUUGUGCUUGAGAAGACGUUCAACAUGUUUUUGAAACUGAACAAAAAUAUCAAACACAUCAGAUUUGCGUUUAAUAAGGUAAAGCCAGGUAAAGCGACUAUAAGCAUCAACGAAACUGAUAUAGUAAUUAUGACCACUGACAGAAGUCUGAGCAGGACCCCAUACAUCUGAAAACACAAGUUCUAACGGAUGUUUCACCUCACGACUGGACUCCGAAAAAGGAAGUUGAUGACUCUUCCCCUGCUGACAAGCAUCACACACUGCUACAUCUUUAUUACUAGACAAACUAGGAAGCUCAUGACGACGCAAAAUAUGACGGACAAUAGGUGUGGCCGGGUGACCAAGACGAGCAUGCCACUAUGACGGAGAGACCCGAACUCCACUGAAAACGCGAGCGACACCAGGAUGCUCCAGACGGUAGAGGCCCUGGCACAACCGCCCACUAAGAAGAAUGUCCCUCGUGCCCCGAUCCUUAAUAAAAAGAUCAAAAGGUGAAAUUCACAAAGCACAUUAUUAUCACGUGUGAGUUUAGAAACUGAAAGAAGAUUGCGGGUCACAGAUGGAACGCGAAGAACAUUGCGAAGCUGAAGACUCCUAUUGGCAUGUCUAGUGAGAAGAGAUGCUUGACCAAUAUGAGAGAUGUGCAUACCUGCCCCAUUGGCGGUGUGGAUCUUGUCGGAGCCAUGAUAGGGUUCAUGAGUGUGAAGCUUCCCCAUCUCGCUGGUCAGAUGCUCUGUCGCCCCAGAGUCCAUGUACCAGUGUGGAUCGAUGGAGUAGGACUAAGUGUGUCCCUGGUGCUUCUGCGGUGCGGGACGAUUAGCCAUGGCGACCUGACGGGCAUUGUUGCGUGUAUCUUUGCCGUCAUUGCCAAGACCAAGGAAGCUUCGCUGGAAGCGCUUAUGACACUUGGAGGCCCAGUGCCCAUCGCGGCCACAAAGCUGACACACACGUGGACCGCCAGCCCCCGGUAAGGUCGCAGUAGGUGGGGGGGCCGAGGCGGGCGAUGGUGGCAGCCCCAAGGGAGACCGGGGUGAUGAAGAAGAGCGGCCACCCUUGGUGGCGACGUUGGCCGAGAGAGAGCCAGUGCCCCUGGUGCGGCGAGUCUCGACCCGUUGCUCAGUGAGAAGAAGCCGAGAGAAAACCUCGUGUGCCAACAUGGGUGUCGAGUUACCCCGCUCGUUGAUGAUCUCGACUAAGGCAUCAUACUCCUCAUCAAGACCAUUGACAAUAAACGAGUUGAACUCGGAGUCGGUGAGGGGCUGUCCAAUGGAGGCCAAUGUGUCGGCAAGGCCCUUGACCUUGUUGUAGAACUUAGUGGCCGUGGAGUCAAGCUUCUGACACUCUCCAAGCUGACGACGGAGUGCAGAGACACGAGCCUGGGACUGCGCUGCAAAGGUGCGCUCAAGGAUGGUCCAGGCCUCAUGAGACGUCUUCGCGAAGACAACAAGGCCGGCAACUGCCGGCGAGAGCGACCCCUGGAUGGAGGAGAGGUUCGCCUGGUCCUGCCCCGUCCAGACGCGAUGGGCCGGAUUGUAGACCGGACCGUGCACGCUGUCUACCAGCGCGGGUGGGCAGGGAAGCGAUCCGUCGACGUAGCCUAGCAGGUAGUGACUCCCCAAGAGCGGGAGAACCUGCGCACGCCAGAAGAUGUAGUUGUCUGCGGAGAGCUUGAUGGUGAUGAGAUGACCGAAGUGAAACGGCGGCGGCGAAGACGAUCCCAUCGAGGAGGCUGCCUGGGGUGCAAACACCAUGGAGGCAGCCGGAGGCACCGAAGCCGAUGCGGGAGGAGGCGGGACCGCAGCCAGGGCGGGCGCCGCAAAGCUCGCGGCCGGUGCGGACGCCGCAAGGCCCGCGGCCGGGGCGGACGCCGCCAACCCCGCCAGCGGGGCGGUGUGAUCCGCUCGCGGCAGGAGCGGCGGGACGACGCCUGCGGAAUCCGCAGCGGACGGCGGCGCCGCGGUGUGGACCACGAGGUCACGCCCGAGCGAGGGCGCCGGCGGCGUGGAGAAGACGGAGCCGAUGCUCCUUGUCCCGAUCGGAGCCGGAACGGAGACGGCAUCGAGCGGGAGGUUGAGCAGAGCCGCAAGAGAGGCCGGGAGGAAGCCCGCAGCAGUGGAACCGGUGGUGGCGGCGCUCGACAUGGCGGCGGCGCGAUCGGUGGCGCGGCGGCGGCGGUGAAGGCGGCGGCGGCUGCGGCGGCGGUGCGGGUAUUAGGGUUUAGAAGCGGAAGCGAUCGUAACCUAGCGUGAUACCAUGUAAGACAAUAAGUUUUGGGAACCAGCACAACCCUCUAGGGGUGGCUUAUCUCAUUAUAUAUAAUGGUUGUGUUACAAUACGUACAUAGGUACAGAAGUUAUACAUAGUCUAACAAUGCACUACGACACUAUCUAACCACUAACUACAUGCACGUAUAUACUCGUCACUUGUGCCAAUCUCUCAGCGGUCACAUGACCCGGAUAUGCAGCUAACUACGACUUGCAUGCAACGAACUCACAAGAUCUCUUGUCUCCUCCAUAAUCAGUCCAGCACGUCCGGUCAUACACGUGCUUGCCGUAUCACACAGCCUUGCCGCCUCGCGCAGCAUUGCAGCUUCAGACUACCAUCGGCAUCUCGCCGUGCUCGCCGUAUCACACGGCGUCCUAGCAUCUCGCCUUCUCCGCACAUCUCCGUUGAAGCUUCACCGGACUAGCUACUCUGUAAGAUCACCUAAGUUACAUGCAUGACGAAAAAACCAACAUGCGGAUACAAUGAAAUCAAGAUUAAAGCUAACAUUUUCCCCCUUAAUCUUGAUUCUCUAUUUUUCGACGCGGAUCACCCGGAACCACUUGACAACACCAUCGCAGCGCCACAACCACUUGUCGGUGUCGACGCCGUCGUGGCGCCGGUUGCCAUGGACCAUCUCGUAGUGGAUGACGCCCUCGCAACGCCAAUCACCACACCGUCCUGCCGUGGAUUACGCCGUCGCGACGCCGAGUACCACAACCUCCUACCGCAUGCAAUGGCCAUCUCUUGACGUGGAUGACGCCUUCGCGGCGCCGAUCGCCACGCCGUCUUGCCGCACGCAGCGGCCACCACUUGGCAUGGAUGACGCCUUGGCGACGCCGAUCACCAAGCCAUCACCAUCUCGCGGCAUUGCAGCGCAAUCAGCCACCAGCAGUUUCGCGCCGCCACAAACCUCCUCCUUGCCACCGGCCUCCAUCUCGCAUGGAGUACGCCACGCCGUGGCCGCUGCAGAUCAACCAGGCUCUGUAUACCAAUUAUUGGCGCCGCCUCUCGCAGCGCUGCUCUUCUUCUUCCUCUUGUUGCCUCACACAACUCUCUCUUGUUUCCUUGUUUCUCUCACGAACACAAAGACACACACCGGGGCAGAAAACACACACGCACACACACAUUCACCAGGGAGGAAAUUAGCUUUGCCUUAUCUCUCCCGGUGACAAUCACAUGCGCUACAUGGUUUCCUUCAGCCCUCACGGCCUCCGUUUUCAUUAAUAUGCAACACAUAUAUAUACAUCAGGGGCAAGCACUCAAGCCCCACAACUCACGCCACUACACUGGCCACUAACCCAUGCACUUACGCAUCACCCGGCCACUAGCUCAACUAUAACUCCAUGCACUACCACACUAUCUAACCACUAACUACAUGCACGUCUAUACUCGUCACUUGUGCCAAUCUCUCAACGGUCACAUGACCCGGAUAUGCAGCUAACUACGACUUGCAUGCAACUAACUCACCAGAUCUCUUCUCCAUAAUCAGUCCAGCACGUCCGGUCAUACACGUGCUUGCCGUAUCACACAGUCUUGCCGCCUCGCGCAGCAUUGCAGCUUCACACUGCCAUCGGCAUCUCGCCGUGCUCGCCGUAUAACACGCGGUCCUAGCAUCUCGCCUUCUCCGCACAUCUCGGUUGAAGCUUCACCGGACUAGCUACUCUCUAAGAUCACCUAAGUUACAUGCAUGACGAAAAAACCAACAUGCGGAUACAAUGAAAUCAAGAUUAAAGCUAACAGUUUUUACUUUCACUCCCUUUGUGUAGAACCGAGAUUUUAUUGUAUGUUUUACCAUGUACACUUCCAAUAUAUAUUUAUCUCUACCUAAUAAUAAAGCACGUAGGGUUUCUGUUGUACGUCGUCGCCAAUUUACAAAAACGUCCCUCUAUUUCUGCAAAAUCAACCUGCAGUCCCUAUUAAGUGGAUCUGGGAAACUAUUCGUUUUAAAAAAAAACUAGCGUCGCGGCGGUGGCCUUGGCCGGCAUGGAGGUGAGCUUGCGGGUGCGCUUGCGGUAGGCGAGCCUAGCCCGCAAGUCCUCCCGCUGCUUGGUGAGGGCCUUGGCCUUCCUGCGCGCCAUGUCGGCCUCGGCGCUGGCCUUGGCGGGCCGACGCGUCGCGUAACGGGCGGCGGAUCUCGGCUGCUCCGCCGUGGAUCCGGCGGCAGACGGAUCGAGACAGGAGAGGCGGCAACCUCCAUGGCGGGCCCCUGGGGAGACCAUCGUCGAUUGAGAUGGAGAGGCGACGACCUCCAUGGCGAACUACGGGGCAGAGGAGGCAGGGUCUUGUGGCGGCGCUCACCUGAGCUCCUAGCGCCGGGAAGAUAUCGGGAACGGACGAAGGAUGGCGAGGGAGACUGGAGAGGGGCCGGAUCCGGCGAUUCCCGACAACGGAUGGUCGGUGGCGGUCUCCAUGCUGCGGGGUCGGCUCGAAGUUCCUGCAGCGGGCAUGGUGGUCUUCCUGUUGAAGAAAAUAUAGAGGGUUCGGAGAGAGAAGAGAGAGUCAGGGGAGAGAUAGGGAGGGAGAGAGGAGACGGGGCAACGUCGCAGUGCAGCUACUGCUCACCUAGGCGACGACGUCGGCAGGGCCGCCGGGGCAUGGGUCGGAGCGGAGGACCUCGGGCGUCCAUGGCGGCCUCCCUGCAACAGAGAGCAAGAGAGAUAGAGGGAGAUGAGAGUAAACGGGGAAAAGAGAAUAAGGGAAGAGGGAGAUGGCGGGGAAAAGAAUGCAGGGGGGCGACGGGGGCCCGCUCGGUGGCUUCGGUCAUCAGCGGAAGAAGGAGCUCAGGGACUAGGUGGUUGUGCUCGGGAGCAGCAGAUCGAGCAGGAGAAAGAAGGGGAUAGAAUGGGAUAAGCUUCAACGGCAGAGGAAGGGCCCAGCAAAUUUGACGCCUUAAGACGAGACGUACACGUGAUGGUGUGCGUGGCCUCCACUUUUUUUUGUUUGGGUACGUGGCCUCCACCCGCAUGACAGUGAUGGGCAACAAAGAAAAUUUUGCUUUUUUAUUGUGAUGAUGGGACGGGGGUGUGUGGUCUUUGGGCCAAGUUUAAAUAGAGCAAAAGAAAAAAACCAAACAUAAUUUGUAAACCCAACAACCAGCAUUUUCUAAAAAAUAAUCAACAUAGUAAAAAUAUGUUUGAUUUUGAAUAUUAACAACAAAUAAUUCUUUUUAAAUAAUCCCACUUGAAUGCACCACUACUCUUCCAGCCAAAAGAAAUUCUUUUGCAUUUAAAUCCUCUGAAAAUCCGAAGAAUUAAUUUUGAACUAUUUAUUAAACCUCGAAUGCUAUACUAUUAUUUUGUAUGUAUAUCCCGCUAAAAACACUUACACCAUUCCUCUUCUACCUGAUGAUAGUGGAAACCUGAAGGAGGAGCCAUCAAAGGACAUCUCUAUAACUAUCUCAACUUUAUACUACGUGGUCUAGACACCAACAAUCAUGUUUUAAAUUGCGGACAUCGAGCGUGUGUGUGUUUUUUAAGAUAAAGGGUGUUUCAAAAUCUUCUUGCUUUAAAAAAUCAUGCUUUUAAGUAUGUUCACGUUUUUUAACAAAUGCACAAAAUCCCAAAAGAUCCAGCUUAAACAAAUAUUUAAAAUUUAUCACAAAAUUUUAAAUUUUCAUAUUUAAAAAGACAUGUGGUCAAAACAUGUUUCAAUUCUAAUAAAAAAUAUUAAAAAUUUCAAAAUUGUUCAUUUAUUUCAAAAUAAAUAAAUAUUAGUGUUUUCCCGAAGAGUAAAUAAAUAAAAUCGAUUACUAGACUACUCCAUGCACCACUACUCUUCCAUCAUAUUACUCUGAAAAACGAUAGCAGUAUAAACUUAUUACUGAUGUUUAUGAGAACUGCGUAUAAGAAAUGGCGUGUACUGUCACACGGAGUAGGUUUUACGAUAUUUUUCGCCCGUUGCAACACGCGGGCAUUUGUACUAGUAUUUAUAAUCAUUUCUCCUGAUAUUUUAUUCCACAUAACAACCGUGAGAUACGGCAGAAAUAAAGUGAAUGCAGAGGAUCUCUUACGGGUUUAAAUUAUAAGAGAUGGGAUGAGCAUUAUAUUUGAGUCAUGCUGGUAGUAAAACUGCUAUUUAUUAGCCAUUUGUCAGCAGACACCGGUAAGGUAACUAGGCAUUGCAACUGGAAAAAUUGUAGAAGUAAUAUAUGAUAGACAAGUAAUUUAUGUCGAUCAUGUCCCUCACCUUUGUUUUUUUCCGACGAAGACUGAAUUUAAUGACUCAAAAUGAAGCAUCGAGAUAAUACAAACACAAUGAGCUCCACAGAUAGAAUGAACACAGCCAAGAUGAAGGCACACACACACACACACACACACACACACACACACANNNNNNNNNNNNNNNNNNNNNNNNNNNNNNNNNNNNNNNNNNNNNNNNNNNNNNNNNNNNNNNNNNNNNNNNNNNNNNNNNNNNNNNNNNNNNNNNNNNNNNNNNNNNNNNNNNNNNNNNNNNNNNNNNNNNNNNNNNNNNNNNNNNNNNNNNNNNNNNNNNNNNNNNNNNNNNNNNNNNNNNNNNNNNNNNNNNNNNNNNNNNNNNNNNNNNNNNNNNNNNNNNNNNNNNNNNNNNNNNNNNNNNNNNNNNNNNNNNNNNNNNNNNNNNNNNNNNNNNNNNNNNNNNNNNNNNNNNNNNNNNNNNNNNNNNNNNNNNNNNNNNNNNNNNNNNNNNNACACACACGCACAAAUUUGCCGGCCAAUAGAGAAGUCAUAAAAGACCCAAGUUAUGCCGAAGCGAGCAAAAUAUGAAAGUGCAAAGCAUUCAAGUCCACUAUCGACAAACUACAAUAAUGACCAUAUUCUUACCAACCCCAAAGCGUGCCAUUGAUAGUAGUAGGAGUAGUAGUGGUGGUGAUGGUAGUGAUAGUGAUAGUGGUUGUAGUAGUGAUAGCGUCUCCGCCUUGGAAAAUAUGGAUCUACCCGAUCCAUAAAGAAAACAACCACCACUUUUAGGACAUUUUUACAAUUCUCUUUCACUUGCAUUUUCUUUCGUGAAGGCUCGCUCUCGUUUUUCUUACAUCCUUCCCUUUUUUUCUUGAGAAAUGUAUCGGUGGCUACUGUUGUUUUGCCAGUCUGUCUGUCCUUAAUAAUGAACUCUCGCUAACCGCACCCUAUAGGGAUCACCGAAUCUAUAGCAAUAAGCCCUGUUUUAAGAGGUUCGUAUAAAGAACGCCUGGAAAUUAUAGAUGAACAUGUGUGUUUUUGAGUUGCUUGAUCCACGGGAUCACUUUGUAAAGAAAGCACGUGAUAUGAUGUAUAAAUAAGAAAGCACAACGUGUGGGUAGCAACAAGUUAUUUCAUGUCGUACUUGAGAGGUUUAUUCACCUCCUAUAGUACUACUAUCACUUACACGAUUUUUUUAUUUCAUGUCAUUUUUACUGAAAAUUUAAAAAGGUAUAUAUGGCGUUGUAUAUAUAUGUUGCAUCUAUGUUAUCACUUAUUUUUGUGGUUUCAGUUAAUCUUACAAACUAUCUAUAUUAACAACCAAUUUUUGUUUUAUGGUAAUCACACACUAAUUACUCCAUGAUCCACNNNNNNNNNNNNNNNNNNNNNNNNNNNNNNNNNNNNNNNNNNNNNNNNNNNNNNNNNNNNNNNNNNNNNNNNNNNNNNNNNNNNNNNNNNNNNNNNNNNNNNNNNNNNNNNNNNNNNNNNNNNNNNNNNNNNNNNNNNNNNNNNNNNNNNNNNNNNNNNNNNNNNNNNNNNNNNNNNNNNNNNNNNNNNNNNNNNNNNNNNNNNNNNNNNNNNNNNNNNNNNNNNNNNNNNNNNNNNNNNNNNNNNNNNNNNNNNNNNUACCAACUGGUUUUCCAUGGCUUUCUUUAUCUUCUACGACAGAUUAUCUCCAUCUUCUACACCAAACAAAUGCAUCCUGGAGAUGUGAAACUUCAGGUCGUGUGCCAUGGAGAAGGUGGUCAUCAACUAACCUAAAGAACCUGCACAGAAUGGCCAACGACAUCUUCAUCUACAGGUACACCGAGUCCUUGCAUAGUCAGAGCAGGAACGCCAUGAACUUGAACGGCAACGCAUUGCAUAACGUCCCGUUGUCGCCGAUCCACCGCUUGCAGGAAGCUAGCAGUGUCGGAUCCCCAAUUGUACUCGAUCCGCCCCCAUGGAGAAGGGCACGUAAUUCACCAUGCGCCGACACGCAUCUUGGUGUCGUUGGGGAGCACCUUCCCUUCGAUGGUGCUGAUGACGCCCAUGAGCCGGUAACUAACCCUUACCAUAAUACCUAAUUAUAUCUAUCAAAAUUACCACACGGGGCUGUUAAUAUUUCUUCAUGGACCUGUGUUUCCGCUCAUACAGGUGGAGUUCCUUAUGUAUCUCCCACUCUCAUGCCAGUUGAUUCAUGUCAGGUUUUUCCUACAUGGUUUGCCGAUUGUUUUUUGACACACAUAUAUGAAUGAUUAUGCGUAUUAUUUGCUAUCCCAACGAUGCAUGGUCACUGUUUGUUCUUCUGUAUUGUUAUCAAAUUGUCUUAUCUAAUUUAAUACUCAUGCUUCUUUGUAGGGAGGUGCUUACUAGAUGACUCCACACAAGCUUUGAAGCCCUGGAUUGAAACCAGGAGCGUAAAUGCGUAAUUAGUUUCCUCUGCUCCGUAAAAAAAAGUGUUUUCUCUAUUAUGCAUUUGAUUUCUCAGGUAGUGUUAUUUCCACUCAACUUUUUUAAAUUUGGUUGAUUGUGCUCUGGCAGAUUGUCUUAAUGCUUCCUGCUAUAAACUUCUGUAAUACCUACUUGGUAUACUAUAUACAACUUACGUAGUAAAAUGCAGAAGAUUGGUUUACAACAGGAGUCACCAGACAAUACAUAAUAAGUAUCUCAAAAUGACAAUUGGUAUAUAAUGUUUUAUGUCAUCUCCAAUUUAGAAUCUCUGUACUUAAUGUGUGUGUAUACAUUGGUAUGUAUGUAAAUUAUAUGAGAAUAAUUAUGCCGUAGCACGAUAUUUAAUAAAAGUAUCACAUAAUGCACAUUUCACUAUCUUAAGAUCAUAUAUCUACUAUGCAAACAUAGGAAUCCAAUUUAUGUAUUAUCAUAUAUGCGUAGGACUAAGAGUUCCCGCAGCAACACGCGGGGCAUCAUCUAGUUCUUUAUCAUUUCGUCCGCCUUAGUGCCAACAAGAUAUUUUCUUGACUAUUUUUCCAUGCGCCUGCAGAUUUUAUUUCCUGCAUGCCUGCAUAAACCUAUCUCUCUGUAUGCGAGUAAUUAUGAGACAUUGCAUGCGAACCUAAAACAGGGGCAUGAUAGGAAACUAUCGCUGAAUCGCUGGACCACGCAGAGUAUUGAGGGGAAAAUUGAAAAAAAAAUAGGCACUAGUUAGGAUUGGAGGGAGCACAAUGUUAGGGACAUAGCUCUAAGAAACAACGUCGUGAGACUAACUUUCACAAAUUUGCAGUUCCAUUAAUAUUGCUAUGUUUCUCAUGCCUCCUACCCUUAUGCAUCAAAACUAUAGAAAGAUGCAUCUUGGCACUCGUAUGAGAUUUCAACAUCUCGUACUAGUAUAUUCAACAAUACAAAGUUGAUGUAGGCUAUGCGGAUUUCUUGUAGCAUACAAGUUGGAAAGUGUGUAUGAAAAGAGAGCCCGGAGAAGGAAAAAGACACAUUUUGAAGACAUUGGCAGCAGAGCUUGGCGUUGCCGCAUUAAUGCUUCCAAUGCUACUACACAUAUCUACAUUUUAUGGCACAUUAAUUCGGUCCAUGUUUGGACGGUGCUUCCAUAUAAUUUGACGAGCUCGAUGUGCCAAACAAAAUAACAUGGGCGUGACUAGCAUAGCUUUUGAAUUAGUUGAGACAUAGGAUUUGGAUGUGCAAUACUUAUGGCACAUCUAGAUGUGCUUUGGCAAAACUGUUUGAAUUAUUUUUUUUUUGCAUCUGGUGGUACAAUACAAUCCGACCUAGUAUGGCGCGAUCAUUAGAAAUAGGAAUCACAUGUUUCAAUAUUAUUGAUGUUGUGUGUGUGGCUGAAAAAAAAUAUCAUAGCUCACAGAUGACUCCUUGUAUCACUGGUGCGGUUAAAAAAGCGUUGGAUGUGUAUCAUAGUACAUAGUCCCAAUAGCAGCGGCAUGGCGCACACAUAUUCCAAAUUGGAUCCGGGUACACCAAAGUGGCCAAGCUACUUUCGAAAUAUUGUUUAUACUUUACUUAGUGCUAUGUACGUAUGGCUAUUUACCCGAAAUUCUUGUCUUAAUAUAUAUUAAAUCAACAAUCAAAAUGCAGAUCUGAAUAUGGCAUUAAUGAAUUUUUAAAAUGUGACAAGGGGAAAAGGUAAGACAAGGUAGUUACUCCCAAGCCCUGUACGACCAAUACCACAUGCACCCAUGAAACUGGUAUAGUUCACUAGUCGACCACACCAUCAUCAAUACACUCAACUACUCCACAGUUGGUCAUUGUGAGUACGAUGUCUUUGUGAACAUAAUUAUUAAAAAACAUAGUAUCAUAUUUUUGUCCAUAUUUUUUAUUGGGUUUUGAAUUUCUGUGCCCCAGGUAAUUGUGCUCUGUUUUGCCCAUAUCAUCUAACUUUCCCCACUUUUCCUCUCCACCACUCGCCUCAUUCUCACAGAAGCCAAAACGGAGCUUUGUCGCCGGUCAAACCAGUUGAUAGUCACCGCUCAGUUACUGACAUGUGGGGCCAUAGUUCUUUGGACAUGCGGGCCGCGUAUGGUAGGUGGUCCAUGGUUGUGACCGCUUAUGACGAAGUGGGAUCUGGGAUAGGUGAGCUAUCGCUUUCUUUUGCCUAAAAUAGCCUGGCCCCGAGUGAGCAGCCUCAUCCCCACUCUCUGCCAAUGCCGUUGUUCGUGUAGCAGUCCCGCGCCACCAUACCCUAGCAGUCCCGCCGCGUACUCGACCGUAUGCCUUAGCUCCAAUGGUGAAGCGACCUGGUGAUACGUCGCAGCUAGCAGGAACCAUCCAAUAUAGUUGGGCGACAUGCACGUUUCUAAUAGGAACCCUAGUAAUUAGGAUCAUUCGAUUGAAUGGGUGAUUGGACGAUUGAAUUGUUGUUCGUUGAGCUGCUCCAGCUUGCAAACGUUAUGAAAGUCUUUUUAGGAUUGGAUUCGUGAUAGUGGCAGCUAGUUUAAUAAAAAGGAUAAAUUAUCAUCCGUUCAUAGGAGCCCAUUUUUGGUUAUGUGGUAAUUUCGAUCCUUAUAACCGAUUUAUUUUUAAUAAUUUAAUAGAUUGCUAGUUGUACUUGGACGGAAGAGAGAAAUGGAAGAAUUUUGUGCCGGAGGCGAGGAGUUGUUGGCCGAGUGCAAGGAAAUAUGCUCCUAGUUUCCAAGCAAAAAAUCUCUCAAGUUGCACUCACUGGGCUAACCUUUGAUGUGACAUCAGUCGAACUAGAGCGGAUGAUUCCUGAAGACAAGGGCACAAUCUCAAUGGAGGUUCUCCUUUGGGGAAUGGCAGAAGCAAUGGAUUCGUCGGAUCCUCAACAGCGAGCAUGCUGGUACGAUUAUUGCGCCCGCCUCUCGUCAACAAAUCCAGAGCCGGAAGGAAUGGUGAAUUUGCGUAUUAUUGACAUCAUCGACGAGGAAACUUAAUAGGAGGAUGCCGACGAAGAGGAGGACGAAGAUGAUUCUGACAAGGAGGAGGAGGGAGAGGAUUCUGACAAGGAGGAUGAGGGGGAAGAGGAUUCUGACAAGGAGGAGGAGGAGGAGGAGGAAGAGGAUUCUGAUGAGGAGCAGGAGCGAGAGGAGGAUUCUGACAAGGAGCGGGAGGAGGAUGCAGUAGAUGACAACUACCGGGGUGUUUGGAGAUCAUCGUCCAGAAGGAGGUUGCCGAAAGGGUGUGCUAUCAAGGGAUAUGAAGGUCAUCACUCAUCCUUCGUUGGAAAACACGAUUUGACCAUUCCAGUGGGCGGCGAGGAUCAGAAGAUGCAUGACCAGGAGUUGUUGGAGGCUGAUGCCGGGGAGAAUCUACCGCUGCUUAGCUUGGAGGCCAAGCUGGGCUGCAACACUGUCCCGAUAGUGGAGGAGUAGUAUGUGAUCACGGCUCAGUUUGAGCGGAAUGCUCAACGGUCCCACCAUCAAGUGGGUCGUUGAUACGUCCAUUUUGCAUCAUGUUUUCCUAUAGAUAUGUAUCGCAUUAUGGAUUUUUAUUUCACUUUAUGAUAAUAAUAUUGUGUUUUUUCUCUCUUAUUUUGCAAGUUUCACAUAAAGAGGGAGAUUGCCGGCAGGUGGAAUUCUGGACCAUAAAGGGCUAUAUCAAAAGAUACCUAUUCUGCACAACUCCAAAUAACCUGAAAAUUGACGGAGAUUUAUUUUGGAAUAUAUAAAAUACGCUGGAGAAAGAAUACCAGAAUGGGACCCACCAGGAAGCGACAAGCCUAGGGUGCGCGCCCUACCCCCCUAGGGAGCUCCCCCAAGGUUGUAGCGCCCCUGCCAGGCCUCCAGGGACCAUCUUCUCCUAUAUGCUGCCAUUUGACCUAGAAAAAUAUUGGAAGAAGGGUUUCGAGACGAAGCACCGUCUUCUCGAGGCGGAAUCUGGCCGGAGCACUUUUGCUCUUCGGCAGAGUGAUUCCGCCUGUAAAACUUCCCUUCGGGAGGGGGAAAUUGAAGCCAUCGUCAUUAUCAACAAUCCUCUCAUUGUGAGAGGACCAAUCUUCAUCAACAUCUUCAACUGCACCAUCUCAUCUCAAACCCUAGUUCAUCUAUUGUAUUCAAUAUUUGUCUCAAAACUUCUGAUUCAUACCUGUGGGUUGCUAGUAGUGUUGAUUACAUCUUGUAGAUAAUGCUAGUUGGUUUAUUUGGUGUAAGAUUAUAUGUUCAUAUCCUUAAUGAUAUUCAAUACCCCUAUGAUCUUGAACAUGAACAUGAUUUGUGAGUAGUUAUUUUUAUUCUUGUGGACAUGGGAGAAGUCUUGUCAUAAGUAAUCAUGUGAAUUUGGUAUUGGUUCGAUAUUUUGAUGAUAUGUGUGUUGUGAUUCCCUUAGUAUUGUUAUGUGAAGGUGAACUACAUGACACUUCAACAUCAUUGGGCCUAAUGGAAUGCAUUGUGGAGUAGUAAUUAGAUGAUGGUUUGCUACAGUGAUAGAAGCUUAAACCCUAAUUUAUGUGUUAUUCCGUAAGGGGCUAAUUUGGAUCCAUAUGUUUCAUGUUAUGGUUAGAUUUAUCUUAAUUCUUCUUUCGUAGUGACGAAAGCUUGCGAGAGGGGGUAAUCAUAAGUGGGAGCCUUGUUCAAGUAAGAACAACACCCAAGCACUAGUCCGCCCACAUAUCAAAUUAUCAAAGUAACGAACGCGAAUCAAGUAUAUUAUGAUGAAAGUGACUAGAUGAAAUUGUCGUGUGUCCUCAAGAGUGCUUUAUUUGAUAUAAGAGAUUGUACUGCUAUGUCCUUUGCUACAAAAAGGGUUGGCCUACCUUGGUGCGCCUUAGUUACAAUUGCUGCUUGUUGCUCGUUACAAAAUUAUCUUGCUACCAAACUAUCUGUCACCGAUAAUUUCAGUGCGUGCAGAAAAUACCUUGCUCGUCAAGAAUUAUCUAACCUUCUUCUGGUGUUAUACAUUUCUGACUCGCUCCAGUCGCGCUUUCCCUGUACAACUAUCCCUUUAUCACAGUAAAGGCCUUGGAUCGACGGACGAUCUGUCGAGCCUCUUCUUCAUUCUCUGGGAGCUCUUUCCUUAGGAUAUACGCGAUGUACGGCACUGUCCAGUCAGGAGUGAUGACCAAAACUUCCAUGAUCGGGUCGACCAUAGCUGGGACCUCAACUUCAGUCGGAUCCAUGGCACUUUUUGGCUGCGGGGCUUCUUCGGUGAAAGGAUCCUCUUGAACUGAUGGUGUGUGGAUGUGUUCCAAAAACACAUCACUGGGAAUGGCUUCUCUCUUGGAACCUAUUUUUGCGAAAUCAUCAGCUGCUUGAUUUUUCAGUCGGGGUAUAUGAUGAAGCUCUAACCCCUCGAAUUUCUUCUCUAGCUUUCUUACUGCAUUGCAGUACCCAGUCAUAUCUGGGCUUCCGACGUCCCACUCCUUCAUCACUUGGUUAACCACCAAAUCUGAGUCGCCAUAGACCAUGAGGCGACGGAUGCCGAGUGAAAUGGCCAUACGCAACCCAUACAAAAGUGCUUUGUAUUCUGCUUCGUUAUUGGAGGAAUCAAAGUGAAUCUGGAGCACAUAUCUGAGCUUAUCUCCCCAGGGGGAAAACCAACACUACCCCAGCACCGGAACCAUUCAGCAUCUUAGAACCAUCAAAGAACAUGGUCUAGUGCUCCGAGUGAACUUGAGUCGGCAGUUGCUGUUCAGUCCACUCGGCGAUGAAAUCUGCUAUUGCUUGGGACAUGAUGGCUUUCUUUGCCUCAAACCUGAUAUCUAGGGGAAGGAGUUCAAUCGCCCAUUUUGCCACUCGACCAGCUGCAUCUCUGUUGUGCAGAAUCUCUGACAAUGGAGCGUCGCUGACGACUGUAAUGGAAUGGUCAGAGAAGUAAUGAGCAACCUUCUUUGAGGUCAUAUAAAUCCCAUAUACAAGCUUCUGAUAAUGAGGGUAUCUUUGCUUUGAUGGGGUCAAAACUUCAGAAAUAUAAUAUAAUGGGCAUUGAACUUUAAAGGCUUUUCCUUCUUCUUCCCGCUCGACCGUAAGUACUGUACAGACGACUUGUCCUGUGGUUGCAAUGUAAAGCUGCAAAGGCUCUUUGUUGAUCGGGGCAGGAAGCCCCGGCUGGGUGGAGAGCAAGGCUUUUAGCUCUGCGAACGUUGCAUCAGCUUCAGGAGUCCACUCGAACUUGUCUGACUUCUUCAUCAGUCAGUAAAGAGGCAAUGCCUUUUCACCGAGACGAGAGAUGAAUCGACUUAAAGCGGCCAAGCAACCAGUAAGCUUAUGGACAUCGUGCACACGCACAGGACGUUUCAUUCGGAGUAUAGUACCAAUUUUUUCCGGAUUGGCGUCGAUUCCUCAUUCGGAAACGAGAAAACCGAGUAACUUUCCGCUAGGAACUCCGAGUGUGCACUUUGAUGGAUUAAGCUUGAUAUCGUACCUGCUGAGGUUGGCAAAUGUCUCAGCAAGGUCAGUCAGCAGGUCGGAACCUUUCUGUGACUUGACCACAAUAUCAUCCAUGUAUGCUUCCACAUUCCGACUGAUCUGAGUGAGCAAACACUUCUGAAUGAUCCUCAUGAUCGUGGCUCCGGCAUUCUUGGGGCCGAAUGGCAUGGUGACAUAACAGAAGCAACUGAAUGAAGUGAUGAAAGUUGUUUUGAUCUCAUCGGGUCCAUACAGACGGAUCUGAUGGUAACCGGAAUAGGCGUCUAAAAAAGACAGGCGCUCACAUCCCGCAGUUGAGUCGACUAUUUGGUCGAUGCGGGGGAGAGUAAAAUGAUCUUUCGGGUAGGCCCGAUAGAUAUGUUUGAAGUCGAUGCACAUGCGAAGCGACUUGUCCUUCUUGGGGACCAUGACAACAUUGGUGAGCCACUCGGAGUGAUAAAUCUCCCGGAUAAACUCCGCCGCUAAGAGCCGAGACACCUCCUCGCCAAUGUCCUUUCUUUCUGGACGGCGGACCGUCGAAUAUGUUCUUUGACAGGUUUCACUUUUGAAUCGACUCGUAGACGGUGCUCAGCCAGCCCCCUGAGAACACCCGGCAUGUCAGAAGGUUUCCAUGCGAAGAUGUCCCAGUUCUCACGGAGGAACUGGAUGAGCGCUUCUUCCUAUUUGGAGUCGAGUGUUGUAGAGAUAUGAGUCGGAGCAGCACUGGGGUCGGUCGGGUGAAUGUGAAUCGGUUUUGUCUGACCAGACGACUGAAACGCUGAUUCCGUAGCGGGCUUCUUGGCUCGCAACAAAUCACUCGGGUCUGCAGUUUUCUGGUAUUCUUGCAGCUCUACCUCUGCCAUCUGAGCAUCGGCGAUCUUUGAGCCUUUCUGAAAGCACUCUUCUGCAUUCUUCUGAUUGCCAUUCAUAGUGAUCACACCUUUGGGACCAGGCAUCUUCAAUUUGAGGUACACAUAACAUGGUCGAGCCGUAAAACGUGCAUAAGAUGGCCUGCCCAAAAUAGCGUGAUAAGCACUCCAGAAAUCCACAACUUCAAACGUCAACUUUUCUUUGCGGUAAUUUUUAGAAUCGUCGAAAACCACAUCAAGAGCAAUCUGACCGAGUGACUCAGCCUUCUUUCCAGGAAUGACUCCAUGGAAGCUCAUAUUGCUGGUACUGAGUCUGGACAUCGGAAUACCCAUCCCCUUCAACAUCUCUGCAUAUAGUAUAUUCAGGCCACUGCUAGCAUCCAUCAAAUCUUUAGUCAGUCGAGUUCCUUGGACGACUGGGUCGACCACCAGAGCUUGCCUCUCAGGGGUGGCUAUGUGUGUCAGGUGAUCAGACUGGUCGAAUGUGAUGGCAGUCCGCGACUAUUUGAGAUAACUGGGUGUAACCGGAGCAACCAUAUUCACUUCUCGGUUGAUAACUUUCAGUCGACUUUUGCUUUCAACAUCAGCAAAAAUCAUCAGGGUGGAAUUGACAUGGGGAUAUCCAUCAUCACUAUCCUCUUUGUCCUCUACUUUGUCCGACUCCUUUUCCUUAUCUUUGGGCUGUUUCCCCUGGAAUUGCUGGAUCAAGAGCCGACACUGUCGAGUGGUAUGUUUCGGGUAAAUGAAUUUACCCUCCUCAUCUUUCUUCGUGUGGAUGUGGCAUGGAAAAUCCAUCAUGUCAUUUCCUUCCUUGUCCUUCACCUUCUUAGGGUUCCAAGACCCUUUGGGCUUCCCUUUAAAGUUUCCUUGAGUCACAGCCAAGGCUUCUCCAGGAGCAGUUGGCUCGGCUUUCCGCUUCUGCUUCCGACUGGAGUUCCCUCCACCGGUUUCGUGGGCGACUGAGUUGUUCUUUCCACUCCGGAGCCGAUCCUCUUCUUCACCAUUGGCAUACUUGGUGGCGAUAUCCAUCAUUCGACUCAGAGACAUGUCUCCGGUUCGACCGAAUUUUAGGUUUAGCUCUCUGUGGCACAAACUGCCUGGUGAUCAGAUACAUUCGCUACUGUGUGAUGCAACGUGAUCCAUCUCUGGAUGUAAUCUCUCAAUGUUUCAUUCGACUUCUGCACACAAGAUUGCAGCUCUGUAAGUCCUGCUGGUCGCUUGCAAGUUCCUUCGAACAAUCUGACAAACACUCGGGCAAGAUCUUCCCAAGUGUAAAUGUUGCUGGGUGCUAACUGAUUCACCCAUGCUCUGGCCGAGCCCUCCAACAUAAGAGGCAGCUGUUUCAUGGCUACCUCAUCAUUGCCGCCACCAAUCUGAACAGCCACUCGGUACUCUUCAAGCCAAGUAUCAUGCUUGGACUCACCAAUGAACUUACUGACUCCAGUCGCCAACCUGAAGUUGGGAGGAAUCACCGCAACCCUGAUGGCUCUGCUGAAACACUCUGGUCCUGAGACGUGCACUCUGUUGCUGGUGGGUACAUCUCUGUAUUGACCUUCUCGGUGAGCUCUGUUCCUGUCGACCAAACCUUGAAUGAUAAUGGAUCUCGCAUCAAAGCCUGGUUCCCUGGGGUCGACUGGAAUCCUUUGCCCAACACUGUGAUGGCGUCUGUCAUCCAGUUGUCGAGGAUCGUACGAUCCACCCCUUGGGGGAGGGGUGGGCACUCGACGUCAAUCAUCGCGAUCAAUUCGGUGAUCAUCCUGCUCACGGUUCUUGUACUGAUCACGCCGGUCUCCACACUCCUCACGCCUCGGGGGCGAUCUGGGGCUAUGGGCCGACUGGACUGUAUUUGCAGCUACGGAUCUGCUAUGAAUCCUAUUUCGCGACUGUGAUACAGCUGAAUUUUGAUCUCCUGCUGCCCGGAGUAAAUCUCUGAUAUGUAACAACCCUCUGCCAGCCUCUGACUGGGAAGGCUGAAUUGACUCUGUUAUACGGGCUGCAGCUGCUAAAUUCUAAAUCGGAAUUCGAUAUACCUGAGUCGGUGGUGGAAAGAGUUGACGUCGACUGGAUUCCGGAACCCGUUGCCGCGCACGCUCGUCGAGUGCUCGCUGAAGGUUCUCCAGUCGAGUGCGCUCAGCCAAGUUGGCCAAGCGCGCGUCCUCUAAGGCACGAGCCUUGGGGGUUUCUCCAACGAUAGGAGUGUGCAGCGCAUCCAUGUUACGGCGGCGAAGUUCUUCCCUCUGCAACGAAGUGAGUGGCUCGGGAAGAUACUCUUCAUGGGCAUACGACGGAUCGCCUCCGCCGUCACCUCCGUCGGUGCGGGGAAAACCGGGAGGACCGCAUGGUCCAUCGACCAUUAGAACCUCCGCCGCUGGAUCACUGCUGUCGCACUCGGAUGUAGUCUCUGCGGAGCUAGUCGACAGGUCGAACAGGCCAUAGAGAGAUUCGUCGGGCUCGAUUGCCGUGACUUGGGGGGUGGCCGACUAGCGAGCCACCGCGUUCCUCACCCAUCGCUGAAGCCUCGACCGACCGGAGCUCUUGAGCCGGCGGGAAACGGGGAGGGAGGACGACACAAGGACCGACUGAUACUGGGUCGACAGUUACCGCAGGAGGACGCCGCGGAGGCACGCGUGAAAGUGCGUCGCUCCGUGGACUGGGAGCGCAUCGAUGUCGAGCGGAGCCUCCUGAAGCCAAGCAGAGUCGUCGGCGAUGAACGUGAGCGCGCCGAGACGGAUCUCAUGGCCCGCAAACAAAACUCCGCCUGAAACCAUGAUGAAGGAGAUCGGAAAAAACCGCAACUUCUCUAAUAAGUCGCUAAGACACCUGCCCCACGGUGGGCGCCAACUGUCGUGGUUCUAAGUCUGACAGUAGUGUAGGGGGGUAGGUAUGGAGAGGCAAGAUCCUAGCUAUGGAGUAGUUGUAUACACAAGGGGUUUACGAGUUCAGGCCCUUCUCAGAGGAAGUAACAGCCCUACGUCUCGGAGCCCGGAGGCGGUCGACUGGUAUUACGUGUAUAUGAGUUACACGGGUGCGAACCCUUUACACUGAGGAGGGGGUGGCUUAUAUAGAGUUCGCCAGACCCCUCCGGCCCUCAGUUAUGUAGGGUUUAAGGUACAUUAAGAUCUGGCAUUACUGGUAAUGCCACAAGUAAAGUGCUAUGAUGACCAUAAAAGCUACUCAAUGACCGACCGUUUGCAUGAAGAGUAACUUUAGAUCUCCCGGCCGUCGAGUGGUUGGCUUCAUGGUCGAGUGGUUGGCUUCAUGGUCGAGUGUCUUCGAGUCUAUCGAGUGGAACACUUCUGAGUCGAUUGACAGGUGGUUUCUUCAAGAGAUGUCCUUGGGUAGGGUAGUUUGGACAGGUCCAUGACCCUACCCUAGGUACAUAGCUUCAUCAGCUUCCACUGAGCAGACUCAGCAGCUGGAGCCUGUCUUCAUGGCUCCUGGUAGCUACCCCGUGGAUGCUAUCAUGGAGUCUCAACAUUGCCACCUUAUGACGCGAUGGAUGACAUUGAAAGUCAAGGCGGCUGUUGGCUCUGUUUUACCUACUGAACUUGGCACAACCUACCACGGACGGUCGAUUCCAGAAGGAUAUGCUAGGGUGAUGGUGGAUCAAAUAACGGAUGGAUUUGAGGACCUUGAGCUUGACCACCCUACGGAUGAAGGGGAGAUUCGGCUAGGUUCUUCUCUGAAGACUCCAUGCCUAUGGCGGAAGGAGCUCAUCAACCUUCCGAACUGGACGCCUCCGCCUCCUCCUCCUCCCCCGGCGAGUGAUCGGUGCACUCAGCCUCCUUCUCCGACACGUGGUGGCACUCCGCCUCCUUCUCCGCCUACGCAGGCGCGCCCUAGCAGCCAGCUUCCUCCUUCUCCGCCUCGUCAACAAGGGCGGAAGAGACCCGCCGCCGCUUCGGCUGCUCCGGCACAUCGUCCUUCUCCUCCGCCUCGUAAGAAAGGAUAGACAGCCGCAGCCGCUCCGUCUGCUCCGGCGUCUAGCAGUACAGCCAGAGGCAGGAAAUACAAAUACGGUCCUUCUCUAAAGACUCCAAAGAAGUUAACAUACGAGAGGAGCCAGGAGGAAAUCACGAAGAUCGUGCAAGCCGAAGUGACCAACUUCUUUGAAGGGGUGAAAGCAAAGAAAAAUCCACCUCCGAAGGAGAAGAUAGAUCCGGUAAAAGCGAAGCGUACUCUGGCUGCCCUGAAGAAACCACCAAAGUCUGCAGUGAAAGGCUACUAUGAGCGCAUUAUAAAGUCAUUUAUCGAAGUAGAGCGGUCAAGAAGUACUGUCAGUGGUCAAAAGUUAGAAGAACGACGAGCUGGGAAAAAAGUUGCCCAGCUCGGCGAACAAGCGAACCAAUCAUUCCCCCUGCUCCAGGUGUCUAGCAUCGUCGCUAAUCAUCCGGGCGGGACAAUGGUGCCCGGUUAUACCAAUCUUGGAGAUUACCUGCCCGAGGAUGCACAUUUUGAUAUAAUGGAGGUGGACGAACACAAAUACGAGUACGGGAAGCCUCUCCUCAAAGAUGAAAGAUCUCUAACAACGAUGAUGCGAAGAUUCCAUGAUUGGUAUAUGAAAACCUGCAGAGAGUCUGAGGGGAUGAAUAUUUUGACACUGAGAGUUAGAGAGGAGCAUGACCUCGUUGGAAUUGAACUGUCGAAUGUUCCAUUUGAGGAGUUCUUCGAGUUUUUGAAUCUAAAGGCCCUCGUUAAGUUAAUGAUCACUUGCUACUGCCUGUAAGUAGUAGUACUUCUAUCAUUAAGUCUCUAUAUAUAGGUCAGCUCUUUCAUUGCAUGUAUUUUUAAUUAUCCUCACUAUAUUAUGCAGAUUGAAGAUCGCCGAAUUGAAGAAAAGACAAAUCAGUGAUUGUCGGUGUCAAAAUCGGCGGCUCUCGGGUAGGGGGUCCUGAACUGUGCGUCUAGGCGGAUGGUAACAGGAGACGAGGGACACGAUGUUUUACCCAGGUUCGGGCCCACGAUGAUUGUUGUUCGUCCUACGGACUAAAGCCAUCCGGUUUAUAUAGACAUCGGAGAGGGCUAGGGUUACACAGAGUCGGUUACAAUGGUAGGAGAUCCACAUAUCCGUAUCGCCAAGCUUGCCUUCCACGCCAAGGAAAGUCGCAUCCAGACACGGGACGAAGUCUUCAAUCUUGUAUCUUCAUAGUCUUGGAGUCCGGCCGAUGAUGAUAGUUCGGCUAUCCGGACACCCCCUAGUCCGGAACUCCCUCAGUAGCCCCUGAACCAGGCUUCAAGGACGACGAGUCUGGCGCGCAUGUUGUCUUCGGCAUUGCAUGGCGGGUUCUCCCUCCGAAUAAUUCAUGGAAGAUUGUGAACACCAGGAUAGUGUCCAGCUCUGCAAAAUAAUUUCCACAUACCACCGUAGAGAGAAUAAUAUUUGCACAAGUUCAAUCUGCUGACGUAUUUCGUGCCAUGACGUCACACCACUACCAAGCCUUUACUCGAAUUAUUUUUAUUAUACCACCUCAGCGCGUUUAGCGAAGCGGUUUCCUUGGCACGUCUUUGUCGAAGCAGGGAUUAUGUUCCCCUUAUUCCGGGAUUCCCAUGAAUACGGACGUGGGUAACCCAACCGCGCCCGCUGCCACGCCCCGUCCAUCGAAGGCGGGUUCCAAACAGUCACGAGGACGGCUCUCGGUAUUCUUCCUCUUUAUGAUGAGACCAAGGCCAGUUCUUUUUCUUCAAUCCUCAAUCGAGUCCGCCCCUCGUCCCCGAGUUCCAACACCCAGGGCUCCAGAUUCGGGUACCUUCAACCUUCGACAAUGUCUGGCUCCGACCUACGGGGCCGGUGGAUGCCCUCUUCCAUCAUGGAACGACGUGUUAAAGCUGAGAGACGCCAGGUACUUGACCUAUGAGAUUUCACAUAGGUUGCCUGCCUGAGGGCAAGUUAUUCCUACUCCCGAGCCGGGCGAGAGCGUUGUGUUCAUGUCUCACCUCCGUCGGGGUUUAGGCUUCCCGACGGACCCCUUCGUGAGGGGGCUCAUGUUUUACUAUGGGCUGGAAUUCCAUGACUUGGCUACGGAGUCCAUCCUCCACAUCUCAUCAUUUAUUGUCGUUUGCGAAGCCUUCCUCCACACUACCCCUCACUUCGGCUUGUGGCUCAAAACCUUUAAUGUGGAGCCGAAGAUGAUUGAGGGGCGUCAGGUAGAGUGCGUAGGGGCGGUCAUAAGCAAGAAGGCCGAUGCUCCAUGGCCCGAGGGCUCUUUUCAAGAGGAGCUCGACGUGUGGCAACAGGAGUGGUUCUAUAUCACCGCUCCCAGGGGCAGUAGGCAGAGGCCGCUGCCCGUCUUCCGCUCGGGCCCUCCACAACAGUUGACAUCAUGGGUCAAUCCGGCGCCUACUGCCCUGCAAACGUCGCCCCCUCCGCCUGUGGGAAUUUAAUCCAGAGGGGCCACGAGCUCUUCAACACUUCAUGGGUUUGACACCCAUGGAGAUGUACAAACUGUUCUUCGGAUCGCAAGAGAUGCGUCCGGACUUGACCGAGGAUGCUGGCCUAAGCUGCAAUCGCCCGGAUACUCAAGUAAGUAGCCCUGUGUCCGGACACACUGUCCACUUAUUUAUCGUGGGUUUGCCCUUUAACCAGCUAUCCCUUGGAGAGGAGUGGAUAGCGCUAGCAAAACUGAUACGGUGUCCGGCCCCCCUCCUUGAGACCAUGCAGGAUCACGUGUUAAUUAAAAUGUUGGAGGUUGUGCCCUCCGAGGAGGGCGAAGGGGGGCACAGGGGAACUACCACCUCUGCCAAGGAGGCUUCCAGUAAGGGAGGAAUCAAGAGUCCCUCCUUCUAGGGGGAGAAGAGGACAGCUUCCGAAGACCCGGAGGCCAAGGCCUCGAAGCGGGGAAAGAAAUCUGAACUGGAAGGUCCUGUGCCCGGAAGAGUCCCGGCCGUACUGUCUCCUCGGAGGAAUCAGCCCUCCAGCGAGCCGUAAGUAAAGGGUAACCAAAGUUUUCAUCUUGUAGUUCGGAUCUCAGCCCAUCUCAGCACAGCUCAUCUUCGGGAGACCUUCGUCCGGAGAUGAUGGAGAGUGAAACGCCUCCAUCUGCCGCCCCAUCGUGCGGGGCGGACGACCCUGAGGUGUCGUCGCGGAGGGUCUCCCCGAGUCCGGCGGGGCUAGAGAGUUCGGCGCCCAUUGGAGUACGGCCGGUAGAGCUGCAGGAUUUGCUUAAGAGGGCGUCCAUCUCGAAAGAUCACCGCACAUUAAUGAGUAUAGUUAUUGAAAGGAUCUCGUCCGCCGAGAGCAGGUUGUAUGAGGCCAUCGGAAGCUUGCUGACGGGCUUUGAGGUAUGCAAAAAAUGACAUACCUUUUGACAGUUUUGCACAUGAAGUGCGCCCUGUAUAGAUAGUAGCCCCUGAGACUUGGUAUGCUGUCGAAAGCGAUAGCAUGCCAAGGAUCAUAAUCUCAGUUAUAGAAUGUCGCCUUUCCUAUGCAGGUGGCGGAACGUCCGGUGGCCAGCCGGACUGAUGGAUUUGCCGAGCUGAGAAGGCAACUCGACGUUGCGGAUGCGGACAUCUUGCUGGUCAAUAAACGACUUGAUUAGUCACAAGGUAUGUGGUUGCUGCGCGGUCGCCUAGUAAGGGAGCUGACGCCCAUUCCUUACAAUUUGUAUGCUUGAUGCAGAUGGUGCUGCUGCUAUGGAAGGCCUUCGAGCAGAACUUGCUCGGGCCAAGGAGCAAGCCAGAAAAAGCGAGGCGGCUGCCUCGAAGGCAGCGGAAGAGCUAGAAGCCGAGAAGGCUGCUCACUGCCAAAGCAGGGAGGAGAUGGCCAGAAUGGCCGCGAAAUUAAAAGUUGCUACCGACCGCCAGAGGGUUCUUGAAAGAGAAUGCCGAGCGGAGCAAGAGGACCUGAAGAAGGCCGACGCCGAAGCCAAGGAUGCCCGUAGUGCGAUGCGGUCUAUGAAGGAGGAACUGCUUCAGGUCUGAGACAUUGUGGCUGGAAAGCCCUUUAUGCUGCGCAGGAAGUUUACGGAUCCGAAGUAUGCUCAGCUGGGCCGAUUGUAUGGUGCGGAGGAUCCUUAUCUGGACUUGGCAGCGAGUGCGGCGGACGCAGUCGUGCACUUCCGAAGCCAGAAGGAUCACGAAAUGGAAGAGCUUUUUUUGUCUCAAUUCCAUAGUCCGGAGCGUCCACUUCCGUUGAGUGACCGGCUGGUUGAGUGGGCUGAGCUAAAUAGAUUGUCCGGACUUGCCAUGACGGAUGUGGUCGCUCAUCUGUGGCCGGGAAGGCCCAAGUCGAAGAGUUAUUUUGGCUUGUUGCAGCAAUUCCUUGGGGCGGUGCCGCGUAUUGGGGCGAUGAAGCGGUCGGCGUGUAUAGAAGGUGCGCGGAUGGCUCUCGCCCGUGGUAAGACAUACUGGGCUGAGAUGGAUGCCACCACUGUUGCAUCCCGGGGUUCGGAUAAAAGCCGGUUCCCCACCGAGCACUAUUUUGAGGAAGUCCUGCAGGGCGCUCGUUUAAUAGAUUCGCAGUGCUCAAAAAAUGUUAUGUUUGAAUGACAUGUAUGAUUUCUGAGAUCAUGUUUAUAAUACAAUAGCUUUUAUACUUGUGCGUUCAAGUAUUGAACUAUCUCCUGUGCGGCCGUAUGUUUAUGUGUAAUCUGAAAUAUGGCAGUCUUUGGCUUCAGCCCCCACGCACAUGGUGCGGGGGUGUUUGCAAAAAGAAAACCGCUUUUUCACACUUAAUCCAACGUCUUGGUCCUUUUAAGGAGGUGAUAGCGUAGCAAACUAGGUAACCGGACUAUAAUGCUUUAUCACUUUCACUUAGCCAUAGGAGCUCGAAUGUCGGGCUACUAUAUAGCCCCUGGCGGCACCGUGUCACAUCCCUAGCUUCUGGUAAUGCUCUAGGCUAGCUUCAUGUGUGCAUCAUGUCUAUGUUUUUGAAACUUGAAUUGAGGAAUAUUGGAAGCCUCAAAACCCUAAAUAAAAGAGGGGCAAAAACCCUAGAAAUCUCAUUCAUUGCUCCAAAAUGCUCUCCUUAAAUGUUUGAUAAUUUUUGGUAAGGGUUCUGGUCCCAACCAAAAUAUUGAACAUUUUUAAGGAAUUAUUUUUGGGACUUUGGAUUUAAUUCAUUAGCUAUUUGAAUUUGAAUUAUAUUCAUAUAAUUAGAAUAUAAUUUCAAAUAUCCCUGAAAUAUUUUAUGAGCUUUUGGAAAAGUCCAUCUAGCAAAAUAAAAUUAUUCAGAGGAGUUUUGGCAUUGUUUGAAUUAUUUUUUAAAUUCAAAACAAUGGCAAAAGAAUUAAUUAAAAAGGGAAACAGAACAGAAAAAUUAAAAGGAACAAUACUCACCUGGUCCACUUACCUGGUGGCCCAACAGGACCGGCCCAGCUCAGCCCAGCCCACCUCUUCCUCUCUCCUACUGUCUUCAACCUCCUGCCAGUGGGCAGGAGGGCGUGUGGCCGCCGUGCGCGCACACGCGCCUCGGCCACCUCCUGCUUGUCGCUCCCCCUCGACGCCCUGGCCUUCUCUGGUGGUGCCACGCAUCUCCCUGCCUCUCUCCCUCACUCUUCUUCGCUCCUCCCCCUCCUCUGUUCUCCCCACCGAGAGCCGCCGCCGCCGCCGCUCGCAACCACCGCAACCACAGCCACUCCCUCGCUCCCUCUCUGCGUACCCGAGCUCCGCCACGACCCCGUGGAGCAACACACUCGAUGCACGCGACCAGAAGAGGCCCCAGCCGACCGGAGCAUCGUCGUCUUCACCUCCGGUGCCCGGAGAUCGACUCCACCAAUUCGGCGCGUCCAGAGCUUCCCCGACUUCGUCGUCUCCAACGCUAGCCCCUCCGUGAGCUCUCCUACGUUUCCCCUCUCUCCCCGUUGGUUUCCCGUGCAGUAGCCAUGCUAGCCACCGUACCGAGCGCCGCCGUCCGCCAUGGACGCCGGGCAUGGCACUGACGUGCUGUUGCGGCCAGUCCGACGAGCCUAGCGUGCUCCUAGCUUCCCCAGGAGUCCGCAUAGCCCCUCAGCCAGCCCCCUAGCGCUCUGUAACCUCGCUCCGCCCAAACCCGAGCUCCGGCAGCCGCCGCGGCCUCCACUCCGGCGAGCUCCGGCCACCCCGCGCCUCCCGCAUGCCUCCUUUGGAUGCGCGCAAGCAAGGGCAACCCUCUGGUGCCCUUGGCUUGGCCCAAAACCGCUCGCAGCGCCACUCCGGCGAGCUCCCACCGCAGUUUUGGUCGUCGCCGGCCGAACUCCGGCGAAGUCGACGUGUCCCUUAAUUAGCGCUAAUGACCCCACUAACUAACCCCCCCCUCUCACUGACUACUGGGCCCACGCCCCUAACUAACACUAGUUUAAAUUCUGUUUAAUAUUAUCUAAUCACUGUGGACCCACACGUCAGAGUUGACCAUGAUGACGUGGAUGUUGACCUGACCCCACCUGUCAGCGAGCUAAACAGCCCUGGGUCACUGACCAGUGGACCCCACUGGUCAGGUUUGACCUGGAGGCGCCCUGUUGACCUGCUGACGUCAUGAUGAUGUCAGGCUGACGCAAUAAGUAUUUUCUGGAAUUUAAAUAAUCUUAAAUGAUUUAAUAAUUUCAGAAAAUAGCUAAAACUUCUAUAAAUCAUAGAAAAUUAACCGUAACUCCAAAUUAAAUAAUUUAUAUAUGAAAAAUUAUCAGAAAAAUUCAAGGAAUCCAUCUGUACCAUUUUCAUGCAUGUUAGAACAACUUAUAGGUGCUGUUUAGCACAAAUCAAUUAAAUGGCAUUUGAAUAAUCACAUAUGGAGUUUGAAUUUGAAUCUUGUAUUCAAACCAACUUCAUUUAAUCUGUUGCUAGUUGCAUUAGCCCAAAACACAUUCAUUUUGCCAUAUCAUGAUCAUGCAUCAUAUUGUGCAUUGCAUUGAUUGUGUUCCCUUCUGUGUUGCCGGUAUUUGUCCCCUCUCGAUAGACGUGAUACCGAGGAUGUGAUCGUUGACACUGAUGAAGACUCAAUGUUAUCUUCAGAAGUGCCAGGCAAGCAAAACCCCCUUGUUCAUUCCGAUACAAUCCUACUCUCUCGCUCCUGCUCUCUUUUACUACAUUAGGAUAACACCGAUUCAUCUGUUACUUGCUGCGGUAGCUGAACCCCUUUAUCCUUUGCAUGACCUGUCAUUGCCACAGUAAAUAGAUGAAACCCACUAGCAUGAGUAGGAGUUGUUUGAGCCCUGAUGUGCCUACUCAUUCAUGCUUGUUUGUCAUGCCUGCUACUGCUUAGAGUUGAGUCAGGUCUGAUUCAUCGAGGAUGAAUCAGAGGUGUGUGAACAUGUCCUACUAUGUGUGAGCUAAGUGUGUGAACACGAUUUGGUAAAGGUAGCGAUGAGAGGCCAUGUAGGAGUACAUGGUGCGUUGUCUCAUUGAAGCCGUCCUUAGGAACUGAGUUCUGUGUUUGUGAUCCAUGACUCAGCUACUACCAUACAUUGGGCCCUGAAAUAUGACCCCGCUCGACUUCUUAAUCACCCUUGUCCUCUGUCCAGGAGUUGCAAGUAGUUUCUGGUGUUUGUAGUAUGCUGGAGGCCGUGGACAGCGCUGACCGUAGGGGUGGGCUGUGAUGCGGUAGGCACGUGGCCGGGUAUACCGGGCGCCCGUUUGGUGUCACGGAACCCUGUUCACAUCGUUUAGGGCUGUGAGCGAAACUUCGGCCGGAUCUCCUCAUGGAUGGAACCCGAAUAGGCGAUAAACCUGGACUAGAGACUUAGGUGGUUAGGUAGGUCGUGGUCUACACCCACGUCGGCUUUCGCUUGAAGUCUGCCGAGCACAUGUCGUGUGCAGACGCUAAGUGGUGGAAACAUGUAUGAAGAAGUACAGCCCUGUAGAGUUAAUAUCAUCUAUUCGAAUAGCCGUGUCCACGGAAAAGGACUUCUGGGUUGCUUAUAUCAGUUCAUAGACAAGUGAAAGUGGAUACUCUAAAAUACGCAAGAUAAGCGUGAGUGCUAUGGAUGGCGUUCUCGUAGGGAGACGGGAGCGGAUCCAUAGUGGUGUAUUGGUUGGUGAAUAUGUGGACUCGUGUGCGCCACCUCAAAAGAGUUACUUGCAGUCGUAGUUCAGGAUAGCCACCGAGUCAAAGCUGGCUUGCUGCAGUCAAACUCCACCAUCCCCUUUGUUGAAAAUGAUGCAUAUGUAGUUAGUUCUGAUGUAAGUCUUGCUGGGUACAUUUGUACUCACGUUUGCCUAUUUUAUGUUUUUGCAGAGAGACUUCAGUCUCACUAGUAUUUCCGCGUGGUCUUCGACGUUUAGCUUGUUACCUCAGCUACGAUCUUGUGCCCUCGGCAGGAUCUGAUAGAUAGUCAGGCUUCUCAGCCUUUUUCAUUUAUAGAUGUCUGUACCCAGACAUGAUAGCUUCCGCUUGUGCUUUGAUUGGUAUGCUCUGAAUGUUGGGUCAUGAGACCCCUGUUUGUAAUAUCGCGCUCCUCGGAGCCUAUUGAAUAAAUUACUUGAGUCAUAGAGUCAUGUUGUGAUGCCAUGUUGUGUUUGCACAUAUCGAGCAUAUUGUGUGUAUGUUAUUGAAAUGCUUGGUAUGUGUGGGAUCUGACUAUCUAGUUGUUUAUCUUCAGUAGCCUCUCUUACCGGGAAAUGUCUCCUAGUGUUUCCACCGAGCCAUGGUAGCUUGCUACUGCUCCGGAACACUUAGGCUGACCGGCAUGUGUCCUUCUUCGUUCCUGUGUCUGUCCCUUCGGGGAAAUGUCACGCGAUGAAUACCAGAGUCCUGUUAGCCCGCUACAGCCCGGUUCACCGGAGUCCUGCUAGCCCAGUGCUACAGCCUGGAUUCACUCGCUGAUGACCGACAGGUUCGAUGCUGGGUCAUGGAUGCCUGUCCCUGUAAGUUUGUGCCACUUUGGGUUUACGACUAGCCAUGUCAGCCCGGGCUCCUUAUCAUAUGGAUGCUAGCGACACUGUCAUAUACGUGUGCCAAAAGGCGCAAACGGUCCCGGGAAAAGGUAAGGCAACACCCGUGGGAAUACCGUGCGUGAGGCCGCAAAGUGAUAUGAAGUGUUACAUACUAGAUCUAUGUGGCAUUGAGUCGGGGUCCUGACAGCGUUGGUAUCAGAGCUUGACUGCCUGUAGGAUUACCAAGCCAAACUGGUCAAAGUUGAGUCUAGAUAUUCUUUAGUUAUGUAAGGGAAUUGAUUGUGGGAUGGAACGUAAGGCUCUUUUUACACCUUAUACCUCAUGGCCUUCUGAUCUGAGUCAUCAUCUUCUCUUCUACGGGGAUUAAGAACUAGGCUAUCUCUUCUUUCUAUUAGGAUCACGUGUUACUAAUCAGUGGACUUAUAAGAUUGUUGGAUUUAAGCCUCUGUUCAGUUUUUACUACUUCCGUAUGUUAAUUGUUGAUCUCGAAACCAUGAUAUUGUGCUUCUGAGUUGUUAUGCCACCAUUUUUGUGAAUGUCUCAAAUCUUUCUGAGCAUUUACAGCCGUUAUGCUGUCCGAGUCAUCCCAGGUUCCUAAGUAGUCUGAUGCAAUUGCAAAUCCUUUCUUCCCGUUUCAAUGUGCCCAUGGGCCAGAUUAAUCACACUAAUUGUUGAGUUGAGGUAUUCUAUUGCCUUGACUUUUAUGUUGGAGUUACUAUUAUGACCCUAGGUAUUUAGGGAGUCACCUAGUAAUCUAGCAACGUUUUGUGUUCCCAGUGUGAGAUUCUGGCCUUUAUUCUCGAAAGCAUCCCGUGAUGCUACUUAGUAGUAGGUAUUCUACUCUUGGGUUCUGAACCCGAGAUUCACUCUACCUACUUCAUGUUGAUAGUAAUUGCUAGUGCCUUUAGGAUAUUAGUAACCUUUGCGAUAGUCCUUGAAGUCCGUGGUAUCUUCUUCUUCCAAAUACCAUGAACUACUUAUGGCAGAUGUUUAUUCGAUAAAAAAAAAUCACAAUUAGAGUACUCUUGAGGAGUUCUCCAUUCAUAAAUCGUGACUCUGCCAGUUCUACCUUUCUGCAUGGGUUAUCCGGAAGAAAUAUGUUGAACUUGGUUCGACAUACUAAUCUAUGCAUCCACAACUCAGAAAACCGUAUGUUCCUUGAGUUGUCCCUCUUUAGUUGUCUUCUGACCCUCGUCUAUCAAUUGAUAGUCAAGAGUAUGCGUGCGUUCGUUUAUCGAUGCCUAUUACUCUUGUGGUCCGCCAAGCCAUUCUAUCACAGAAUGACUAGGAGAAACAAACUCCAGUACCUCUUCCAUAUCCAGGAUUGGGUCAAAGAAGUUGUGCUCCGCAGAUCAAAUUGCUAAUCCAGCUUUUGGUUCUGUUCUACCUUGGAGUAUUACCUUAUUCUAUAUCGAGAUUGUUAUAGGAAUUGCACACCAUCCUAUGAACUCUUGGUACAGUGAUACUUCUCACCAUCAUUAGUCAUUCCUCGGCCCUCGUGUUGAUGCAACCGGAAUACCGACAAAUGAGUUGUGAUGUGUGAGAUCAAUACUCCCAGCAACCUCGUUGCUUGGUAGUUAAAGGAUAAUAAUUUCAUUCUUAGUAUGUUGGUUUUUGAAUCAUCCUUCUAAGACUGAUCGUGCUACCUAGUCCUUAUUUCGGUGCACCCUUCGAUUGAUGAAUUAGGAUCUUGUCAAGUCCUCGCUCACUUGAUCAUAUCAUCUUGCCCUGAAAAGCAAGAUUGUUCUCGAGCUUAGUAACAUAUCGGUGGUUCGUGAUUUUCCGAAGAUCUUCUCGGAAGUACUACCAGGUUGUCACCUGACCGCUAUGUUGAGCUCGUGAUCAAGUUGGUUUAUUGUAAACCACCCUUUCUCCAAGAAUCUGUGAUGGAUAUCCCUGAGCUAGUUGGUUAAGCUAGACAACAACUUGGAGAGUUGGAAGGUAAAAGCUUGCCUGACUUAGUUCGUUCCAAAGGGAUAUUCUUGUGUAGUGUGUGUUGAAGAAAGAUGAUAUCUUCAUCGGUUGGUCCCUGUGAUCAGUUGCUGGACCUAUUGCCUUAUCAAUCCUUUGAUUUGAGUGUGGGCUAUCGUCAAAUCAAAUCAGUACCAAUGAUGCUCGUAAUGUUGUCUUGUUCGUGGUUGAUCCCUCGAGCAUACACCAUUACAUCUUUGGCCUGACCAAUGCUAUCACUUGUUCACUUAACUAUGGAAUUCCUUUUAAAAGGAAACCCAGAUGAAUUGUUGUUGAGCCCAUUGACAACAUCCUUAUCUCCUCCAUAAUUUUGUUGGACAUUAAGCUAGUGUUGGAAACUUUUGAAAGCAUUUUCUUCAUGCUAGCUCAUGAAGUAUUUGUUGAUGAAAGGAGUGACUUCCUUUUAUACACGUGCAUUUGGUGAAAGAUGCCGCCGUGAAUUUGAGAAAGUUAGUUUUGCUUCCUCUGAAAUCAUCCCAAGUCAGUCAUUCAUACGUGCGAAGUAUUCUGUGGUCUGGAGAUUUGCAACCUCCAUUCUAUAUGUAUAUCCUAGCACACCAAGCCACUGAUUGAGUUGUUCAAAGAUAAAGGAGUCUGUCCAAGGUGAACUCUUUGGACUUCCACGCGUGGAGACUUCGAUGUCAUUAAUGAUGGUUCCCCUUCCUGAACUCGGUAGUGUUUUAUUAUAAGACUACUUUGUGGUCAUGCUUGUCUUGGACAACAUGUUCACAUGUUUGUAGCAGAACCAGCUCAUGUUUUGGAGCUUGCUAUCGUAGUUCAUAUCCCGAGUAUCCCGCAACGUCAUCUCGUCGAUUUGUGUUGCAAACUUUCAUUUUUCUUUCUAGACUCGAUGAGUCUGGAAUAUCCUGACACCAACCAGAUCUGAAUCUCAGGUAGAUAUGAUGGUUUGGAACAUUUCCCAAGAACUAUAAUAUCGGUCCCUCGAAAACCGGUAAAGUGGAUGUCGUGGCCAACACAUCCAGCCGGAAGACCUGUUAUUAUAAUAUCUUGAUUGAGGAAGUUGGCCACCUCCCCAUAGGGAUUUCGUAGGAUUUACUCCCUAGUUGCCCCUAUGGAUUUUGAGAUCCUGAAGUCCGACCUUUUUACUUGAUGUUCUAGAUAUCAAACCAUAUCUAUGAAUGGUUACGCUAGCACAUCAAGGAGAACAUUAGAAGCGGAGUGCUAAAUGUCUCUCGGUCGAUCGUCCAGAUUUUGUUCCUUGGCUCGCUAAGGUGAAAUCUGAGAAAGUGUUAUCCUCCUUUGCAUCUGCAUCGUCCAUCGCUAUUCAUCAUGGUAGUAUGUUGUGUUGUCAGCAUCCUUGACACUGAUGUUGGUAAAACCUUGAUGAUUAUGGAAAUGCUCAAGUUCUUGAGAGCACGCACAAGCGCUACGUGUUAUCAUCGGCUCUAACUAGGAUUCCUCCCGUUUCCCCGGCAAUGCUAUGACCUUUCAAACAGUGAAUUUACUCUCUAUUGCUGGGUUCUUCCCCAGUUACCAGAAUCAUUCCCAGCAUUUGCAUUUUGUUCCUAGCUUGCACCGCCAAUGUGCCAUUCUACCAUGGGUCUCUUCCACCUCCGGUGAUAAGCAAAUUCAUCCAUUACGUUGUCUUCAACAAGGUAAUCCACAUCAUCCAAGUCCGAGUAUGCCAUUCUACCGACCCCCUCCAAAUGAUCGCUUGUGAUUACCUUAGGCUGGUAUAAAGAGUUUCAAUGAUCUUUGAAUAAAAGAUAAUUCUUUUUGCCACUUAAGGGGAUAAUCUACGAAUCACCCUCCUUCAGGAUGUUUCAUCGUGGUAUCAUGGCAACUCAACUCCUCGCUACGUGGACAAUCGUUUACCACCUUCUUAGCUGUGGAAUCGUUGUCUACCUAGUGAACCUUCGUCAUCCGUUUCUUUCCACCCCUCUUGAUGUGUAUCUCGUGUCUCAACCCGAGUGAUGGUCCUAUGUCUCGUUCCGUGAGUUGUUCGAUCUUCGAGAAGAUCGACCCUUCUAGAGUCUCCUUCUUUCCUCCAUGUCAUGUUGACAGGAUUUUUCAAGGCAAGACUUCAAGGCAAUGAUGGUGAAUGAAUCAACGUUCAACUGAAGUGCAACUGGAUCGUGAAGAUUAUACUAGUCUGCGUUACCCCUUCACCUUACCCUACGCUUGAAUCUCGAGACGAGAUUUUUGUUUAGUGGGGGUGAGUUGUCACAUCCCUAGCUUCUGGUAAUGCUCUAGGCUAGCUUCAUGUGUGCAUCAUGUCUAUGUUUUUGAAACUUGAAUUGAGGAAUAUUGGAAGCCUCAAAACCCUAAAUAAAAGAGGGGCAAAAACCCUAGAAAUCUCAUUCAUUGCUCCAAAAUGCUCUCCUUAAAUGUUUGAUAAUUUUUGGUAAGGGUUCUGGUCCCAACCAAAAUAUUGAACAUUUUUAAGGAAUUAUUUUUGGGACUUUGGAUUUAAUUCAUUAGCUAUUUGAAUUUGAAUUAUAUUCAUAUAAUUAGAAUAUAAUUUCAAAUAUCCCUGAAAUAUUUUAUGAGCUUUUGGAAAAGUCCAUCUAGCAAAAUAAAAUUAUUCAGAGGAGUUUUGGCAUUGUUUGAAUUAUUUUUUAAAUUCAAAACAAUGGCAAAAGAAUUAAUUAAAAAGGGAAACAGAACAGAAAAAUUAAAAGGAACAAUACUCACCUGGUCCACUUACCUGGUGGCCCAACAGGACCGGCCCAGCUCAGCCCAGCCCACCUCUUCCUAUCUCCUACUGUCUUCAACCUCCUGCCAGUGGGCAGGAGGGCGUGUGGCCGCCGUGCGCGCACACGCGCCUCGGCCACCUCCUGCUUGCCGCUUCCCCUCGACGCCCUGGCCUUCUCUGGUGGUGCCACGCAUCUCCCUGCCUCUCUCCCUCACUCUUCUUCGCUCCUCCCCCUCCUCUGUUCUCCCCACCGAGAGCCGCCGCCGCCGCCGCUCGCAACCACCGCAACCACAGCCACUCCCUCGCUCCCUCUCUGCGUACCCGAGCUCCGCCACGACCCCGUGGAGCAACACACUCGAUGCACGCGACCAGAAGAGGCCCCAGCCGACCGGAGCAUCGUCGUCUUCACCUCCGGUGCCCGGAGAUCGACUCCACCGAUUCGGCGCGUCCAGAGCUUCCCCGACUUCGUCGUCUCCUCCGCUAGCCCCUCCGUGAGCUCUCCUACGUUUCCCCUCUCUCCCUGUUGGUUUCCCGUGCAGUAGCCAUGCUAGCCACCGUACCGAGCGCCGCCGUCCGCCAUGGACGCCGGGCAUGGCACUGACGUGCUGUUGCGGCCAGUCCGACGAGCCUAGCCUGCUCCUAGCUGCCCCAGGAGUCCGCAUAGCCCCUCAGCCAGCCCCCUAGCGCUCCGUAACCUCGCUCCGCCCAAACCCGAGCUCCGGCAGCCGCCGCGGCCUCCACUCCGGCGAGCUCCGGCCACCCCGCGCCUCCCGCAUGCCUCCUUUGGAUGCGCGCAAGCAAGGGCAACCCUCUGGUGCCCUUGGCUUGGCCCAAAACCGCUCGCAGCGCCACUCCGGCGAGCUCCCGCCGCAGUUUUGGUCGUCGCCGGCCGAACUCCGGCGAAGUCGACGUGUCACUUAAUUAGCGCUUAUGACCCCACUAACUAACCCCCCCCCCUCUCACUGACUACUGGGCCCACGCCCCUAACUAACACUAGUUUAAAUUCUGUUUAAUAUUAUCUAAUCACUGUGGACCCACACGUCAGAGUUGACCAUGAUGACGUGGAUGUUGACCUGACCCCACCUGUCAGCGAGCUAAACAGCCCUGGGUCACUGACCAGUGGACCCCACUGGUCAGGUUUGACCUGGAGGCGCCCUGUUGACCUGCUGACGUCAUGAUGAUGUCAGGCUGACGCAAUAAGUAUUUUCUGGAAUUUAAAUAAUCUUAAAUGAUUUAAUAAUUUCAGAAAAUAGCUAAAACUUCUAUAAAUCAUAGAAAAUUAACCGUAACUCCAAAUUAAAUAAUUUAUAUAUGAAAAAUUAUCAGAAAAAUUCAAGGAAUCCAUCUGUACCAUUUUCAUGCAUGUUAGAACAACUUAUAGGUGCUGUUUAGCACAAAUCAAUUAAAUGGCAUUUGAAUAAUCACAUAUGGAGUUUGAAUUUGAAUCUUGUAUUCAAACCAACUUCAUUUAAUCUGUUGCUAGUUGCAUUAGCCCAAAACACAUUCAUUUUGCCAUGUCAUGAUCAUGCAUCAUAUUGUGCAUUGCAUUGAUUGUGUUCCCUUCUGUGUUGCUGGUAUUUGUCCCCUCUCGAUAGACGUGAUACCGAGGAUGUGAUCGUUGACACUGAUGAAGACUCAAUGUUAUCUUCAGAAGUGCCAGGCAAGCAAAACCCCCUUGUUCAUUCCGAUACAAUCCUACUCUCUCGCUCCUGCUCUCUUUUACUGCAUUAGGACAACACCGAUUCAUCUGUUACUUGCUGCGGUAGCUGAACCCCUUUAUCCUUUGCAUGACCUGUCAUUGCCACAGUAAAUAGAUGAAACCCACUAGCAUGAGUAGGAGUUGUUUGAGCCCUGAUGUGCCUACUCAUUCAUGCUUGUUUGUCAUGCCUGCUACUGCUUAGAGUUGAGUCAGGUCGGAUUCAUCGAGGAUGAAUCAGAGGUGUGUGAACAUGUCCUACUAUGUGUGAGCUAAGUGUGUGAACACGAUUUGGUAAAGGUAGCGAUGAGAGGCCAUGUAGGAGUACAUGGUGGGUUGUCUCAUUGAAGCCGUCCUUAGGAACUGAGUUCUGUGUUUGUGAUCCAUGACUCAGCUACUACCAUACAUUGGGCCGUGAAAUAUGACCCCGCUCGACUUCUUAAUCACCCUUGUCCUCUGUCCAGGAGUUGCAAGUAGUUUCUGGUGUUUGUAGUAUGCUGGAGGCCGUGGACAGCGCUGACCGUAGGGGUGGGCUAUGAUGCGGUAGGCACGUGGCCGGGUAUACCGAGCGCCCGUUUGGUGUCACGGAACCCUGUUCACAUCGUUUGGGGCUGUGAGCGAAACUCCGGCCGGAUCUCCUCAUGGAUGGAACUCGAAUAGGCGAUAAACCUGGACUAGAGACUUAGGUGGUUAGGUAGGUCGUGGUCUACACCCACGUCGGCUUUCGCUUGAAGUCUGCCGAGCACAUGUCGUGUGCAGACGCUAAGUGGUGGAAACAUGUAUGAAGAAGUACACCCCUGCAGGGUUAAUAUCAUCUAUUCGAAUAGCCGUGUCCAUGGAAAAGGACUUCUGGGUUUCUUAUAUCAGUUCAUAGACAAGUGAAAGUGGAUACUCUAAAAUACGCAAGAUAAGCGUGAGUGCUAUGGAUGGCGUUCUCGUAGGGAGACGGGAGCGGAUCCAUAGUGGUGUAUUGGUUGGUGAAUAUGUGGACUCGUGUGCGCCACCUCAAAAGAGUUACUUGCAGUCGUAGUUCAGGAUAGCCACCGAGUCAAAGCUGGCUUGCUGCAGUCAAACUCCACCAUCCCCUUUGUUGAAAAUGAUGCAUAUGUAGUUAGUUCUGAUGUAUGUCUUGCUGGGUACAUUUGUACUCACGUUUGUCUAUUUUAUGUUUUUGCAGAGAGACUUCAGUCUCACUAGUAUUUCCGCGUGGUCUUCGACGUUUAGCUUGUUACCUCAGCUACGAUCUUGUGCCCUCGGCAGGAUCUGAUAGAUAGUCAGGCUUCUCAGCCUUUUUCAUUUAUAGAUGUCUGUACCCAGACAUGAUAGCUUCCGCUUGUGCUUUGAUUGGUAUGCUCUGAAUGUUGGGUCAUGAGACCCCUGUUUGUAAUAUCGCGCUCCUCGGAGCCUAUUGAAUAAAUUACUUGAGUCAUAGAGUCAUGUUGUGAUGCCAUGUUGUGUUUGCACAUAUCGAGCAUAUUGUGUGUAUGUUAUUGAAAUGCUUGGUAUGUGUGGGAUCUGACUAUCUAGUUGUUUAUCUUCAGUAGCCUCUCUUACCGGGAAAUGUCUCCUAGUGUUUCCACCGAGCCAUGGUAGCUUGCUACUGCUCCGGAACACUUAGGCUGACCGGCAUGUGUCCUUCUUCGUUCCUGUGUCUGUCCCUUCGGGGAAAUGUCACGCGAUGAAUACCAGAGUCCUGUUAGCCCGCUACAGCCCGGUUCACCGGAGUCCUGCUAGCCCAGUGCUACAGCCUGGAUUCACUCGCUGAUGACCGACACGUUCGAUGCUGGGUCAUGGAUGCCUGUCCCUGUAAGUUUGUGCCACUUUGGGUUUACGACUAGCCAUGUCAGCCCGGGCUCCUUAUCAUAUGGAUGCUAGCGACACUGUCAUAUACGUGUGCCAAAAGGCGCAAACGGUCCCGAGAAAAGGUAAGGCAACACCCGUGGGAAUACCGUGCGUGAGGCCGCAAAGUGAUAUGAAGUGUUACAUGCUAGAUCUAUGUGGCAUUGAGUCGGGGUCCUGACACACCGCUCAUCUCCGAACUCGGGGUGCGUAUGUGCCUGACCGGGAAGCGGUCCUUCGUCAAAGCGGAGGAAUUCUAAACAUUCCAAUGGUCGAUCGAGUGGUUGACCAGUCUCUCGCUAUAUCAUGACAGUCAGUUUUCGGCUUUCUCUACUGAGGUGCUCGCCCGGCCGAACUGGGGCACAAUCGCAGUAGUUCUCCUGGUGCCGCGUUAGCCGAUGAUACGGAACGUAAGGCAGCAAAACACAGGAGCCGGGCAAACCCAACAUUUGACCAAAGACAUGAUUCGGAGCUGAUGCAUAUAAGGCCUAACUCGAGACGCCGAACACUCCCUGAAGUGUUCGGUCUUUAUGAUACCGGGCAGAACAAUGCCCUAAGCCCCUAGUGUCCAGGUACAGACGGGAACCUCUAACGCGGCCGAUGCCAAAACGCCAGCCUCCUCCUCGGCUAUGGUAGGAAACCGGGGGAUGUGUAUCAACAAGACACAGUAAGAGAGGUUUACGCAGGGUCUUAAUAUGAAGAAAAUCCUUGCAACGGGUCACUGCUGCAUGUCUGCGCCUGUGUCUCCGUUGUGCUGUAUCCUGGACGGGUGUAGCACGUGCUUCAUCUGUAAAAGAGAAGGAGUUAGUUUCUAAGAAAUAUCGUGCAAAAGUUGUGUUAAAAUAAAGUAUGAUUUGGUAGAUAAAGAAAGUUGAGCUUUAUUGGCUCUCAUCGAUGAAAUGUGCGGCCCCUUAUAAAGGGGGUAUGCGGCUGGGAAGCCCCUUGUUUAUUUACGCCGGACUUGCCUAACCGUGUCCGGGGUCUAAAUGACCUGUGUUUAGGGGCCUUGACCUGCAAGGUCGGAGUUGCUGUCAAGGCAGCCCCACGCUCUCCGUGGUCGAGGAACACUCGUAGUUACUCUUUAAUGAUAUUAUGCCGCGUGGACCCGGCAUUGUAUGUAUAGGAGACAUGUAGUGUGGUAUGGCGUUAAAGUGGGCGAAAGCUUUGCGUCCCUGUAGUGCUUGAUGGCCACUGUAUAAUGGGGCGCGACGAAGAGUGAGCCUUUCGCGACGGCGGUUGUCGGAUGAACCGAACACAACCUCUAGUGGUACAGAGCCCGUAUAAUUGGCUUAAAGGCCUGGCGUCACUCCUUUGACGGGAGUGCUGUUAUGGCGAAUGUUGGUAGGGUCUAUCCCCAUUCUGCGGACAGUGUCCUGAUAUGGCAGGAGCCGCGCUGUGUUGUCGUGUUAUCACAUGAAGUGAGUUCACUGUUUUGACUUCUAGUGGGAAAGUCUUCUGUUUUCCGGAGUGCUACUUUUGCGGUUCGUCACUUUCGCUUGGUGUAUCGAGCCCCUUGUGUUCGGCGUUAAGUCGGCCGGACUGCUGGAAGACCCAACAAUCUCUAUGGGUAUGGUUUGCAGGCUUUCCGGAGGUACCAUGUAUUUGACAUAGCCUGUCUAGAAUCUUGUUUAGGUUGGAUAGCUCGUCACUGUUGUCCUUGAGGGACAACGUUUUGUUGUUCGGCCGAGAGUUUUUGAAUCCGGCGUUGACCGCCGUACUGUUUGGGCCAUUUUCCUUAUUCCGGUGCUGAUCCUUUCUUCGUCGAGAUUUCCCAUUUCCAUCCCUGACUUCGGAUGUACUCGGGUUGCUGGUGCUGCAUCUAGCCAACCAGCUGUCUUCCCCCGCGCAAAAGCGGGUCAUGAGGCUUGUUAGUGUGGCCAUUGUUCUUGGUUUUUCCUGGCCGAGGUGUCUGGCGAGCCAUUCGUCUCGAACGUUGUGUUUAAAGGCUGCUAAGGCUUCAGCGUCCGGAUAGUCGACUAUUUGGUUCUUUUUAGUCUCGAACCUGUUCCAGAAUUUGCGUGCUGACUCUCCGGGCUGUUGAGUUAUGUGACUUAAAUCGUCUGCAUCCGGAGGGCGGAUAUAGGUCCCUUGAAAAUUUGCUCAAAACGCAUAUUCAAGCUCUUCCCAACUUCCAAUGGUAUUUGGGAGGCUUUUAAGCCAAUGCCGAGCUGGCCCUUUGAGCUUGAGGGGUAGGUAUUUUAUGGCAUGGAGAUCGUCUCCUCUGGCCAUAUGUAUGUGUAGGAUAUAAUCCUCAAUCUAGACUUCGGGGUCCGUCGUUCCGUCAUAUGCCUCUAUGUUUACGGGUUUGAAUCCCGCUGGAAAUCCAUGAUCCAGUACCUCAUCGGUGAAACAUAGUGGGUGUGCGGCGCCCCUGUAUUUGGGUGUGCCGUUGUCUUCAAAUGCUCGGCGGGUUAUGUUGCUUCCUGGAGUCUUCUUUUUUGGCCCAUAGAUAGACCUGGCUGGUCAUCCUUCUUCCGAGGAUCUUUAAGCUGAUCGUGUGUCGGCUUGUGUUCGGCGCCCUUUGUUGCUCUUAGCCUGUCAUCUGGUCGUCUAUCCGGCCAGGCGGCUUCUUUCUUUUUUGACUGCGGGGGCUCUAAGGCCUCCUCGUCAAAUUCGGGCAACAGCUUGCGCUUCGGGUAGCUCUUUGUCUGGUGACUAGCGCCGUAUUUAUCUGCGGUGUUGAGUACUUUGCUCCAUCUCUUUCUGAGUGCGUCCUCCGCUGUUUUGAGCUUCCGCUUUUGCUUCUUCAAACUUCUUGCAGUGGCGAUGAGCCUUUUAUGAAGGUUCGUAUGCUCUGGUGAUGUGAGAUCGUCUUCGCCGGGGAUGGGUUGCUUGUCUAGUUCAUCAUGUUCGGAUGGCUGCUUGGUGGCAUGUGCGUCGUCCACUGCUUCGCCCUGCUCUAAGGCCGGGUCCAUAUGGGUGCCGUUUUUAUCGAGGCCGGUCUUUGGGUGGCGCUUGCGUCGCCGUUUUGGUUGUUUGUUAGGGGAGUUGUCCUUCGCAACGUCCCGUUUUUCCUCAUUGUCGCUUCCUUUUGGUGUAUCCACCAUGUGUACGUCAUGAGUUCGGGUGGCUUUCCAGUGCCCGUUAGGCGCUGGUUCUUGGUUGUCUCCGGCAUCGUCGUCCAUACCGUCGAUGUCAUCGGAGUCGUAGUCUAGCAUGUCGGUUAGAUCAUCGACAUUGGCUACCAAGUGGGUGGCGGGUGGGUUUUGAAUUUCUUCGUCAUCCGCAUCCCAACAGUCCUUGCCACAAUCCGGCCAGGGCUCUCCUGAUAACGAGAGAUACUUUAGCGAACUCAAGAUGUCGCCGAAAGGUGAGUGUUGAAAGAUGUCCGAGGCAGUAAACUCCAUGAUCGGUGCCCAACUGGAUUCGAUUGGUGAGGGCGCGGGAGGUUCGGAGUCCGGCAAGGAGUCCGGCACCUCGGAGUCAUGAGCUUCGUGAGGGACAAGGUCAGUGUUCGACUCUAUCGCCGUAGAGGUUGCAGCCCCCGAGGCGAUGUCUAGCCAUCCGUCUUCGAUCUGCGCAGCCGGCUCCACAUUGAAGAUCGGAGCGGGCUCGAGUGCGGCCUCCAGGGUACUGUCCGGCAGCAGAGCUAAAUCAUGCCCGUCGUGACAGUGCGGCACACUCGGCUGUGGCUCGAAUCCAUCGAGGGUCAAGUCCCCACGGAUGUCGGCCGUGAAGUUCAAACUUCCAAAUCUAACCUGACGGCCAGGGGCGUAGCUUUCGAUCUGCUCUAGAUGGCCAAGCGAAUUGGCCCGCAGUGCAAAGCCGCUGAAUACAAAGAUCUGUCCUGGGAGGAAGGUCUCACCCUGGACUGCAUCGUUGAUGACGAUCGAAGAAGCCAUCGAGCCUAUCGGCGACGACACAGAGGAACUCUCGAUGAAAGCACCAAUGUCGGUGUCAAAACCGGCGGAUCUCGGGUAGGGGGUCCCGAACUGUGCGUCUAGGCGGAUGGUAACAUGAGACAAGGGACACGAUGUUUUACCCAGGUUCGGGCCCUCUUGAUGGAGGUAAAACCCUACGUCCUGCUUGAUUAAUAUUGAUGAUGUGUUUUACAAGAGUAGAUCUACCACGAGAUCAAGGAGGCUAAACCCUAGAAGCUAGCCUAUGGUAUGAUUGUUGUUCGUCCUACGGACUAAAGCCAUCUGGUUUAUAUAGACACCGGAGAGGGCUAGGGUUACACAGAGUCGGUUACAAUGGUAGGAGAUCUACAUAUCCGUAUCGCCAAGCUUGCCUUCCAUGCCAAGGAAAGUCCCAUCCGGACACGUGACGAAGUCUUCAAUCUUGUAUCUACAUAGUCUUGGAGUCCGGCGGAUGAUGAUAGUUCGGCUAUCCGGACACCCCCUAGUCCGGAACUCCCUCAGUGAUAUUGGGUUCAUUAACACAAAUCUCAUAGACGCAUAUAUGGUUAAAUUUCAGGCCAAAGAUACUGAGGCCAAGAUGCUACAAUCGUUUGUAUUAAAUCAAAACAAAGCUAUAAUACUCUUCCCUUACGAAUUCCAGUGAGUGUUAUUGUCUUGUGCAUAUUCUGUUUCCCUUAUUAGUCGAGGUUAUAGUAAUGUAAUUGAUGAGUUAUGCAUGCGUGCGCAGGUUCCACUAUAUUCUCCUAGAGAUUAAGCUUGAGCAGGGACUAGUACCGUCUUAGACUCAAGACGAAAAGAUCCCAAGGAGUAUGCGGACAUGACUGCAAUUCUAGAGAAGUAAGUUAAAUCGACCAUUAUCGCACCAUAUCGGCAACUUCAAUUUGUUCAUUUCCUGAUAUCAAGUAAUUGUUUUCUUUGUCUGGCAGGGUUCGGAAUAAAUUCACCUCAAAAACUCCGGGACUGCCGAAGAAGCUGGAAUUUAGACACCCAAAAGUAAGUACUAUAGUAGCAUGUUCCAUGCAUCUCCUAGUGAUUCAAGCGCUAGUUUCAUCAAUACCAUUUAGCAUGCUUGCUAAUUCUCAGUUUGAUUGACCUCUAUUUCUUUUAAAGUGGUUGUGGCACGAACAAGGGAAUAAUUACUGUGGAUACUACAUUUGCGAGUCCAUCCGCCACACGACCUGUGAGCGGGGCUACUCCGACAAACAAUAUGAAGUGCGUAAAUAAUAAUAUUCACAAUUUUAUAUUAUUACCAUCUUUUGUGUUCAGUUUCAUUUAUUCAUAUAUAUGUAUCGACCCCCUUCUUUAAAUUAUAUAUUUCGGAUGCGGGGUGAACUCCUACCACCAGAUCGUAUGCGAGGAAAUCAAGAGGAAUUGGCGGCAUUCUUUCUUGACCACGUGAUCGCUAAAGACAGAGAAUACCAUGUGGACCCUGAGUUCAUUUGGAAUUAGGAGAUUAUAUAGUAAGAGAUAAUUAUAUUGUAUAUAUGUAGCUAGUAGCAUUGGAUAGAUAUACAAGAACUUGUUGUUCAACCAAUCUCUCAGAGAAGGAGAGGUGGUCGAUAUCACUUCUCUCUGUAUGCAUAUGUUCAUGACGAUCCUAUGUUUCCUGCAUUUGCUUACUAGCUAGCGUGUCUAGUCCACUCUAUACGUAUAGUACGUAGCGUCGACCAAGCACGGAGGUAAGAGAGGACACUUCUCUGUAUUAAUUAGCUAGCUAACACAAUAUAUGAAACACCUAAAUUAACCCCCCAAAACCCCCUAACUCUCCCCCCUUUAAAAAAAACAAAAACCCCAGCACCUGAAAUGCUGACGCGUGGAUGCCUAUUGGUCCUGGUUGGUGCCACCAACCGGGACCAAAGGGCCUCCUGUCUGGGCUCGCCGCACCGGCCACGUGGAGGCCCAUCUGUCUCAGUUUGUGUAAGAACCGGGACUAAAGGCAAGGUCAUUAGUAACAACCUUUUAGUCUCGGUUCCAAAAACGGGACAAAAGGCCCUUACGAACCGGGACAAUUGGCCCUUUUUCUACUAGUGCGAGCUGCCGGAUGAUUGGCCCCUGCGGCCUGUGGCGUGCUCGCACCGGCCAAGGCGAUGUGUGCGUUUGUGCUCAAGGACCCUGGUAGUCCCUUGUAAGCAUCCAAGGUGACCACACCACUCAUAGCUCCAUCUUGGCCAUCCUCACUGCCGUCGCCUUUGAGUUCAAUAUAGGCCACCCUAUUUCUUUUCCUUCUGAACACUGUCAAUUGAUGAAGGUGUUUGUGGCUGCUAAAUUAAUGUCUGAAUGUUCCAAAUCUGCUGCUCUGAAGGUGCCAACAUCCGUGAGGGAAUUUGUGAAUGAUGGGUUUAGUAGUAAGUCAAAUCUGCCGCCAUGUAGUUUUCAGCCAGACAAGAUGAUGUUCAUGCCAUUUUCUUAACUAUGUCACCCAUUUUCAGCUAUUGUACUGAGAAACAAAUUCUAGGAAUGAAUGAGUAAUGCACUUACGGAUGCGAGAGUGCAUCUUACCAGAGAUGGAAAAAGUCUUGAUUUUCUUAAUUACGCCUGGACAGGCAUGGUAAGAAUAAAAUCCCGAUCGAUUACAGUUAAAGCAAGUUGAUUCUCCCAUCACUGAGAACAAGCUCGUUUUAAUUUAGAGUAUUAUAUUGGAGCUCAGGUAGUUUUCCUUGAUCCAUGGACUGGCAUGUUUUACAUAAUCUUGUUACUGUUCAAAGUGGGCAUCGGAUAGUUGAGUCUUAUAGCCUUUUUUAGUGUGUUGAUAUUUGAAAGGGGAACAGGGCAAUGUUGCAAUCUUGCUUUUGUUAGAGCACAUUAUUUUAUAGUUAAUGAUGCUAUAUUCCAAAUUGCAUUUUAUUCUGCUCAUAUGAUAUUGCUCAUCUUUUGUUUUCUGUCGUGAUGCCUCAUGUAUUUAAAGUAGAUAAUGCUCUAAAUUUAGUGUUUCUUGAACAUGGCCAAGGAAAUGGAUAAAAUCUAGAUGCUAAGUUGACUUUUUCUUGUGGAUUCUCCUAUCGUGAAGAUGCACAAAGGGUCAAUACAUCAAGCAUUGUAUGCUGGCAAAAUAGGAGUUCCAUCACCAUAGGAAGAAAGUAAUUCCUACGAUUAGGAAGCUGCUAUAGAUAUUGAAAACUAUGAAAUUAGUGAUGACAACAACGAUGAUCGUAAUCACAAGCAUCGUGAGACCACUCCCGUGUUCCUGCACUUUAGUGUUAUCUCAAGGGCAACAUUGAAAUAGUAUGCUCCAUUACUUCACAUUUUCUGUAUCAUGAGGACCACUACCACGUUGUGUUAAUAUAAACAUAGCCUUGAAAUGUGUCCUCUAAGUGUUGUUACCAUUGAUGAUUUGAUUUGCAAUUAACAUUCUUCACAAUACCCUGUCCAAAAUCCUAACUGAGUUACAAUUAAUGUGAUUGCAUUUCUAGGUUUGUUUUAAUUGCCAGAAGUUUAUGCAUAAAAUAGAAUUGGUGAAUUUUUUAAAUUCCUAAUUAGAUAGUAGUAGCUUGGGAAAAAACUGUGUGCUACUACUAUUUAGGAUACUAGUAGUGUGUGGUUAUUAUAAAUUAUAUUAGCGCGGGCGCAAAAAUAGUAGUAGCACGGAUGGCACCCGCGCUACUACUAACAAUUUAGUAGCGUGCGGUGGCACCCGCGCUACUAUAAACUUUUUAGCUGUGGUGCGACAGUAGUAGCGCGGGGCCUGCACUACUAUUAGAGAGUUUACCCGCGUUACUACUAGACUUUUCCCUAAUAGUGUCAAUAGAUCAACGAUACAUAUUUUUUAAGCGCUGAGAAUUACCAUGGAAGUAUGUAAUUAGUAAUAGGUAGAUAGACCGAUAGAUAGAUAUAAUGAUGUAUGAUUUAGAAAUAAGAACACAUAACCUACAACAACAAGAUAUUUUCAUGUCACCUAUUGAGCGAUAUAUUCACCGCCCAUAGUGCAAAAAUAAGUUGCAAAAUUUUUCCUUUUUGUUGCAUAAAAUUUAUUGAAUAUUAACCAAAUCUUCACUCUACACAAGCUAUUGUGGUCAUUCCGUUGGCCUGUGUACAGAAGCAUCGUCUUAGUAAUUUCUAGUCUAUUUGCAUCUUACAUUAUGGACGCCGAUAAGUGCCACACGUGUGGGUGUUAGAAGGUCUGCCCACACAUUUUGUGUGGUGUAUAAGAGGAACAGCCCACACACCUACGUGUGGGCAAAACAAGUAAUGCCCACACAUCUCUUUUUUCUCCUCCCAAUCCCACUCACACGCGUGUGUGUGGGCGAAGUAGAUAACGCCCACACGCCCUGUAUGUCAGGCCUCGUACCUCGUGGUCCCGCACGCCAUGCGUGACAGUCACCGCGGGCUCGCAGUUGUCAUGGUCCAGACCCUCGUUCAUGUUCGUUUAACAGCAGUUGCCAUGUCGCUGAACUACGGUUGCCAUGUCGGACAACUGCAGUUGCCAUGGUUGCUCAACUGCAGUUGCCAUGUAUGGUCUGGUCUAAUGUAGUUGCCAUGGUGUCAAAACUUUAGGAGUUGCCACAUACUGACACUAGGCAGUUGAGAGAGUUGCCAUGUGCUCACAAGCAUGCUAGGGCAGUUGCCAUGUAAAAUGAAGAGUUAUCAUCUGCUUACGUGCACUUUAGGGCAGUUCCCAUGUACCAUGCAAAAAGACAUGGCAACUCGGUAAAAGAGAGUUUUCAUCUGCUUACGUGCACACUAGGCAGUUGCCGCGUACCCUGCAAAACACAUGGCAACUCGGGUAAAAAGAGAGUUGCCACCUGCUUAUAAAGCACACUAGGGCAGUUGCCAUGUGCACUACAAAGUACAUGGCAACUAGUAGCUUGGGUGAGGGAGAGGAGACGGGCGUGUGGGCGAGAUGACAAAUGCCCACACACUAGCCCUUAUGCGUGCGUGGAAAGUGGCGUGUGGGCGAACUGCUGAACGCACACACACCAGCCCCUCCCCGUGUGGUGAAACGGCCGUGUGGGCGACUGGGUGAAUGCCCACACAUUAGACCAGUCCUACGUGGCACUAAAAACAUGUCAAGAUUCAUGCGCUUACGAACGGAUGCGGAUCAACGCGUGUGGGCUAGAUGCAAACACCCACACGUGUGGGCGUUAACAUUUUUGUACAUUAUUCGUACAUAAUGCAUUAUGUGUAAAAAAUACAUGACAAGUUAACCAGAGAAAAGAUACACCUAUGUUAACACCAUGGAUCAUAGCGGAUAUACCCCUUGGUGUCGACGGCGAAGCUUCAGAACGCGGACAUGAAGCCACACGAGUUGAUGUUUUGAGACGUGCAUGACCGGAUCCCAUCCGAUCUAGAGGUCCAUGAGUGCCAUGCACCAAUCCGUGAACACCGUCGAUUGAAGAGUCCAGAACUUGUCGGCUGCCAGAUCGAGGACGACCGGCACCUGGAAGAUCGGCAAUUUGGAUAGGAGAAUACCACUAGGGUCGUCAUGCUACCAUCUUUUCCCCCAUCGGCGUCUCCCCACACAGGCUGACCUCCACCUCUUGCAGCACGCCUGAAGGAAACCCCACCUCCUUCGGAUAUGGGCCUGCCGCCACCGCAGUAGAGGCCAGUGGCAGUGGCGGAAGGGGAGGCUGCAGCGGAUGGCUGUUGGUGGCGGCAUGGAGUUUUGCUCCUGGCAUCGCCUAGGGAGUGACGUGCACGAGUGAUCUAUCUCUUGCAGAUUAGUCUGUUGUAAUGAAGGCAUCUUACCCCUUAUUUCUUUUUUCAAGAACAUGCAUGAGCAUUGCAUGUCCUUUGAAAGGGGGCUACAAGCCGGACUGUAAGGCAAGGACGGACGCAGGCAACAUGCAUGAACAAUGGGCGCAGGCAAGGUGGACUUGCACUGAAAAACCCUAGCAUUCCGAUCUAGCCAGAUGGAUCGUAGGGUUGCGACAAUGCGGGUGUUGAGAUAUCUACGCCAGUUAGACACAGUUUAAGCCCCUAUCGUCGGCCACUAAUCUGCCAAGGAGGCGGAGCCAUCGGGUGUGAACCUGUGCAAACGCAGGGGGAGGAGCAUGUGAUACAAAACUUCCCUGGAAAAGGGGCAUCCAAGCAGCAUAUGUGCCGUGUCUUCAUCCACAUGGCAGCAUAGCUGGCAAAGCCUGGCAUGAGGCAGGUUUCGGCGCGUGAGCCUAUCCGCUGUCCAUAGUCGACCUUGCACCGCCAACCAAACGAAGUUCUUGAUCUCCAGGGGGGCCAUGAUCUCCAGAUCACAUCAGCACAAGCAGCCCGCUCCUUCGCGAGGAAGAAGGAGGCAUAUGUUUCGCGAGGAAGAAGCCCGCUCCCAUAGCUCCAAGAAUUACGCUAUCACUGGCAUGGAGGGGGUGCGGCGGAUCUUGCCAACCCAUGCGUUGCCAAGAAGGGCUUGCGCCACGCACAUUUCCCUGCCUGCGGGCCUGAUGAAGGGAAGCGGGUGGGGAGCGAUCUGCGCGAUGUUACGGCCGUCGAUCCACCGGUCAUGCCAGAAGUUUACUCGCUCACCAUUCCCAACCUGGCAGCAGAGAGCCGCAAGAGCAAGGCUCUGACUCUCAUGUGGAAUGGGCAUUUACAGCCCCAGCCAAGGCUUGUCCAGCGCCGUCUUCUCAAACCACACCCAACGCAUGCGGAGAGCCUCGUUCAGCAGGGGCUUGCCCCUUAUUUCAAUGGUGCCAAACUGGAAGACCCUUACAUGUGUUUUAUUUUGACGGGAUCUAAUUAUAAAGAACUAUUGGAUCAAACUUUCCUGACCAUAUUGUUUAUGGUUUUGAUAAUUGUCAGCCGACUGAGAAAGUAUGUCUAUGCCACAUCAUCAAAAUUGCUUAGUUGGCAUGUAUGAUACUACCUAUGAUACUCCCAUUGAGGGCAGCAUUAGUAAUCAAGCACACCGUCGUAAAUGCACUCAAUUCCAUGUCCGGUCACUUGUAUUAAUCAGUUGUGCAUACACCAUGGGUCCCCCCCACCACCACCACACACACACCCACCCCCACGACGAAACUCCUCCCGGUACAAUCACAUAGUGAAUCUAGCCUUCUUAUCAUCUUCAGUUGACUACUAUUGCUAGCUAGAUCAAGACGGCCCAUGCUGCAGUUGCUCAGCUUAUGCUGGUCACCCUAGUGGCCGCUAGCUAUGCUCCUCGUAGCCACCGACGCGGCCAUCUCCUAUGGACAGGUGAGCUCUACCUUGAAUCCCUGCAUCUCCUAUGCCAGCGGCAACGGCGCCAACCCGAUUGUUGCCUGCUGCAGCCGUGUCAGCAGUGUGGCCAGCGCAGCACGGAGCACCGCUGACGAGCAAGUGGCGUGCAAGUGCAUCAAGAGCGCUCCCGGUGGGCUCAACGCUGGCAACGUAGCCGACAUUCCCUUCAAGUGUGGCGUCAACAUCCCCUACGCCAUCAGCUCUUCCGUCGACUGCUCUAAGAUUUGUUGAUCAACCAAUGGUCACCAUGUGUACAUUGAGGUCACACCCACACACACCCACACACACACACACACACACAAAUAAAAGCCUUCAUAUUAUAUCAUGGAGGAGGAGGUGGCGGAUGAGGAGGAGGAUGAAGAGGAGCAGGUGGGGAUGGAGGAGGAGGAGAAGUUGGAGGGGGAGCACAACAAGAUAUUUUAUGUAUGCGUAGGACUAAGAGUUCCCGCAGCAACACGCGGGGCAUCAUCUAGUUCUUUAUCAUUUCGUCUGCCUUAGUGCCAACAAGAUAUUUUCUUGACUAUUUUUCCAUGGGCCUGCAGAUUUUAUUUCCUGCAUGCCUGCAUAAACCUAUCUCUCUGCAUGCGAGUAAUUAUGAGACAUUGCAUGUGAACCUAAAACAGGGGCAUGAUAGGAAACUAUCGCUUAAUCGCUGGACCACGCAGAGUAUUGAGGGGAAAAUUGAAAAAAAAAUAGGCACUAGUUAGGAUUGGAGGGAGCACAAUGUUAGGGACAUAGCUCUAAGAAACAACGUCGUGAGACUAACUUUCACAAAUUUGUAGUUCCCUUAAUAUUGCUAUGUUUCUCAUGCCUCCUACCCUUAUGCAUCGAAAUUAUAGAAAGAUGCAACUUGGCACUCCAAUGAGAUUUCAACAUCUCGUACUAGUAUAUUCAAAAAUACAAAAUUGAUGUAGGCUAUGUGGAUUUCUUGUAGCAUACAAGUUGGGAAGUGUGUAUGAAAAGAGAGCCCGGAGAAGGAAAAAGACACAUUUUGAAGACAUUGGUAGCAGAGGUUGGCGUUGCCGCAUUAAUGCUUCCAAUGCUACGACACAUAUCUACAUUUUAUGGCACAUUAAUUCGGUCCAUGUUUGGACGGUGCUUACAUACAAUUUGACGAGCUCGAUGUGCCAACCAAAAUAACAUGGGCGUGAAUAGUAUAGCUUUUGAAUUAGUUGAGAUAUAGGAUUUAGAUGUGCAAUACUUAUGGCACAUCUAGAUGUGCUUUGGCAAAACUGUUUGAAUUAUUGAUUUUUUGCAUUUGGUGGUACAAUACAAUUCGACCAAGUAUGGCGCGAUCAUUAGAAAUAGGAAUCCCGUGUUUCAAUAUUAUUGAUGUUGUAUGUGUGGCUGAAAAAAAAUAUCAUAGCUCACAGAUGACUCCAUGUAUCACUGGUGCGGUUAAAAAAGCGUUGGAUGUGUAUCAUAGUACAUAGUCCCAAUAGCAGCGGCAUGGCGCACACAUAUUCCAAAUUGGAUCCGGGUGCACCAAAGUGGCCAAGCCACUUUCGAAAUAUUGUUUAUACUUUACUUAGUGCUAUGUACGUAUGGCUAUUUACCCGAAAUUCUCGUCUUCAUAUAAAUUAAAUCAACAAUCAAAAUGCAGAUCUGAAUAUGGUAUUAAUGAUUUUUUAAAAUGUGACAAGGGGAAAAGGUAAGACAAGGUAGUUACUCCCAAGCCCUGUACGACCAAUACCACAUGCACCCAUGAGACUGGUAUAGUUCACUUGUCGACCUCACCAUCAUCAAUACACUCAACUACUCCACAGUUGGUCAUUGUGAGUACGAUGUCUUUGUGAACAUAAUUAUUAAAAAACAUAGUAUCAUAUUUUUGUCCAUAUUUUUUAUUGGGUAUUGAAUUUCUGUGCCCAUAUCAUCUAACUUUCCCCACUUUUCCCCUCCACCACUCGCCUCAUUCUCACAAAAGCCAAAACAGAGCUUUGUCGCCGGUCAAACCAGUUGAUAGUUACCGCUCAGUUACUGACAUGUGCGGCCACAGUUCUUUGGACAUGCGGGCCGCGUAUGGUAGGUGGUCCAUGGUUGUGACCGCUUAUGACGAAGUGGGAUCUGGGAUAGGUGAGCUAUCGCUUUCUUUUGCCUAAAAUAGCCUAGCCCCGAGUGAGGAGCCGCAUCCCCACUCUCUGCCGGUGUCAUUGUUCGCGUAGCAGUCCCGCGCCGCCAUACCCUGGCAGUCCCGCCGCCUACUCGACCGUAUGCCUUAGCUCCAAUGGUGAAGCGAUCUGGUGAUACGUCGCAGCUAGCAGGAACCAUCCGAUAUAGUUGGGCGACAUGCACGUUUCUAAUAGGAACCCUAGUAAUUAGGAUCAUUCGAUUGAAUGGGUGAUUGGACGAUUGAAUUGUUGUUCGUUGAGCUGCUCCAACUUGCAAACGCUAUGAAAGUCUUUUUAGGAUUGGAUUUGUGAUAGUGGCAGCUAGUUUAAUAAAAAUAUAAAUUAUGAUCCGUUCAUAGGAGCCCAUUUUAGGUUAUGUGGUAAUUUCGAUCCUUAUAAUCGAUUUCUUUUUUAAUAAUUUGAUUUGCAAAUAUUGUCUUGAAUAGAUUGCUAGUUGUACUUGGACGGAAGAGAGAAAUGGAAGAAUUUUGUGCCGGAGGCGAGGAGUUUUUGGCCGAGUGCAAGGAAAUAUGCUCCUGGUUUCCAAGCAAAAAAGCUCUCGAGUUGCACUCGCUGGGCUAACCUUUGAAGUGACAUCAGUCGAACUGGAGCGGAUGAUUCCUGAAGAUAAGGGCACAAUAUCAAUGGAGGUUCUCCUUUGGUGAAUGGUAGAAGCGAUGGAUUCUUCGGAUCCUCAACAACGAGCAUGCUGGUACGAUUAUCGCUCCCGCCUCUCGUCAGCAAAUCCACAUCCGGAAGGAAUGGUGAAUUUGCGUAUUAUUGAUAUCAUCGACGAGGAAACUUAAUAGGAGGAUGCCGACGAUGAGGAGGACGAAGAUGAUUCUGACGAUGAGGAGGAGGGAGAGGAUUCUGAUAAGGAGGAUGAGGGGGAAAAGGAUUCUGACAAGGAGGAAGAGGAGGAGGAGGAGGAGGAGGAGGAAGAGGAUUCUGACGACGAGCAGGAGCGGGAGGAGGAUUCUGACAAGGAGCGGGUGGAGGAUGUAGUAGAUGACAACUGCCGGGGUGUUUGGAGAUCAUCGUCCAGGAGGAGGUUGCCGAAAGGGUGUGCUAUCAGGGGAUAUGAACGUCAUCGCUCGUCCUUCGUUGGCAAACAUGAUCUGACCAUUCCAGUGGACGGCGAGGAUCAGAAGAUGCAUGACCAGGAGUUGUUGGAGGCUGAUGCCAGGAAGAAUCUACCGCUGCUUAGCUUGGAGGCCAAGCUGGGCUGCAACACUGUCCCGAUAGUGGAGGAGUAGUAUGUGAUCACGGCUCAGUUUCAGCGGAAUGCUCAACGGUCCCACCAUCAGGUGGCUCGUUGAUACUUCCAUUUUGCAUCAUGUUUUCCUAUAGAUAUUUAUCGCAUUAUGGAUUGUUAUUUCACUUUAUGAUAAUAGUCUUGUGUUUUUUCUCUCUUAUUUUGCAAGUUUCACAUAAAGAGGGAGAUUGCCGGCAGGUGGAAUUCUGGACCAGAAAGGGCUAUAUCAAAAGAUACCUAUUCUGCACAACUCCAAAUAACCUGAAAAAUGACGGAGAUUUAUUUUGGAAUAUAUAAAAUAUGCUGGAGAAAGAAUACUAUAAGGGGACCCACCAGGAAGCGAGAAGCCUAGGGUGCGCGCCCUACCCCCUAGGGAGCGCCCCCAAGGUUGUAGCGCCCCUGCUAGGCCUCCAGGGACCAUCUUCUCCUAUAUGCUGCCAUUUGACCUAGAAAAAUAUCGGAAGAAGGGUUUCAAGAUGAAGCACUGUCGUCUCGAGGCGGAAUCUGGCAGGAGCACUUAUGCUCUUCGGCGGAGUGAUUCCGCCUUGAAAACUUCCCUUCGAGCGGGGGAAAUUGAAGCAAUCGUCAUUACCAACAAUCCUCUCAUUGUGAGAGGACCAAUCUUCAUCAACAUCUUCAAAUGCACCAUCUCAUCUCAAACCCUAGUUCAUCUGUUGUAUUCAAUAUUUGUGUCAAAACUUCAUAUUCAUACCCGUGGGUUGCUAGUAGUGUUGAUUACAUCUUGUAGUUAAUGCUAGUUGGUUUAUUUGGUGUAAGCUUAUAUGUUCAUAUCCUUAAUGAUAUUCAAUACCCCUAUGAUCUUGAACAUGAUCAUGAUUUGUGAGUAGUUAUUUUUAUUCUUGUGGACAUGGGAGAAGUCUUCUCAUAAGUAAUCAUGUGAAUUUGGUAUUCAUUCGAUAUUUUGAUGAUAUGUAUGUUGUGAUUCCCUUAGUAUUUUUAUGUGAACGUGAACUACAUGACAAUUCAACAUCAUUGGGCCUAAUGGAAUGCAUUGUGGAGUAGUAAUUAGAUGAUGGUUUGCUAGAGUGAUAAAAGCUUAAACCCUAAUUUAUGUGUUAUUCCGUAAGGGGCUAAUUUGGAUCCAUAUGUUUCAUGUUAUGGUUAGAUUUAUCUUAAUUCUUCUUUUGUAGUUACGAAAGCUUGCGAGAGGGGGUAAUCAUAAGUGGGAGGCUUGUUCAAGUAAGAACAACACCCAAGCACCGGUCCGCCCACAUAUCAAAUUAUCAAAGUAACGAACGCGAAUCAAGUAAAUAUGAUGAAACUGACUAGAUGAAAUUCCCGUGUGUCCUCAAGAGUGCUUUAUUUGAUAUAAGAGAUUGUACCGGUAUGUCCUUUUCUACAAAAAGGGUUGGCCUAUCUUGGUGCAUCACCCGUCAUCUUAAGCGUCUCCAACCCCCUUCUAGCUAGUUUUGAGGACCAGGCAUGUGGAUUCCUAGUGUUAACUGAAAAUAAUAUGAUGUUGUCGUACUAUGAUUUGGUAAGCUUAAUCAUGUCGUUAACUUUUGUUUGAAUGUUCUUACUAAGUUGGUGUAUGCUACCUUUAGGAAUUCCAAUGUUAAUUGGCUUUUACAUGUUCAAAAAUAGUGCAGCAUACAAACUUACCAAAAAUAGCAACAUGCAAAAAUAACUAUAACAGGUCUAACAUAGAAUGAGAGUAUCAUGCACUUGCACAGCUUACCAAAAAAGGGGCAACAUAUACGUAAGUAGUCAAAAAAGAUGCAACAUGUAUAUAAGUACUCCAAAACGGUGCAACAUGUACGUAAGUAGCCAAAAAAACUGCAACAUGUCCAAGGGAGGUCAUUGCCAUAGGGCGCUGGUGCCCGUCACCGGUGGCGGCUCCAAUUCCAGUGCAACGGCAGCCUCCAACUCCUGCACAGACUCCAAGUCUGGCGCCUGCUCCAACUCGCUGGGCUCGAGCCCCUACUCAAACAACUCCAAGCUUGAGCUCGCAUCGUUCGAGUUGUCUUGUAACCAUAGGGAGGUUGAGGAGGAGGACGCUGAGGAGGAGGUGGCCUUCAAGACGAUGCAGGAGUACCUCGACGUCCAUGACAUGGAAGACGAGGCAGAGGAAGAUGUGUUGGCUCCUGCAUUAUGCUGGUGUGCUCAUUGCCCAUGCGAAGCUAGCCCUGCGCUCGGUGCAGCAGCAUCUCAAGUAGGCGGUGCUAGCCGUGUCUCUGUCCACAUCGUAGCUAGAGGGUGCUAGGCGCUGGGAGCCUGAAGAACAGGAUGCAGCUCGAGAGCUAAGGAGGGCCACCAAUCUGCGUGCAGCGGCCGCCCUUGAGGCGGAAGGUGAGGGACCAUACGUCGUCAUCCUAUCCUCCCAUGAUGACAAAGACCAUAAUGACGAUGACGACGACUACGGCAGCAUCGUCCUUUUGGACGAUCAAGACAAGUAGCCUAUGUCGACGCCGACCAGCCAUCUUAUGUGGCCCCUGUUAAAAUAUCGUGCUUGUUAAGCUUAUCUGAAUCUCAGAAUAUCUGAAUCCGAUGUGUUUUACAAUGCCGAGUUCUUUCUUUCCACGGUCACUGAUUCGUGAGCCCUUUUGUAAUGUAUGAUCGCAAGAAAAUAUUAGGUUAUAUAGCUGAGGCUCUGCAAAAAUAAGCAUAGAGACGAACCAAGUGGAAUGGCUCGCACUAUGCAUAGUCAACGAUUGUUCUGGUGUUUGACCCCCAUGGGCGGCAUUAUAUUCCACCCUUUAUUUUGCAAAUAAAUCAGACACUGACAUGUAUGUUCUGGGAUGUUCGACGCAUCAUUCAUUCAACUAUUUUUCCCUAAUAAUCCAGAUGCCGACAAGUGGGUCUUGGGUGCUCCACGCAAACCAGAUGCUGAUAGGUGGGUCCUGGGUGCUCCACGUGUUAGUAUGUGCAUCAGGUGGUCAACUACAUUGACCCAACGGAAACACUCUGUUUUGGGCAUUUUUGACUGUCAGACGAAUGAUGAAGGGGAAAAGUGAGGGACCUUAGUUGGGUGGGGAAAAACUGAGAAGUACUAAGCAAUGAGGGCACAACAAUAGAUCAAAAUAAUCAGUAAAUGCAUGAAAAAUAACAAAUGAAGUCAGAAAGGGUUGUAAAUUGAUGAUGUGGCUUUGAAUGGUGCAUUUUGAACAAAGAGAAACUAUGGAGUUCAAAUAAGUUCAAAAAAAUAAUAUCCCUUUGUAACAGACGAGUUUCCGUAUGAAACCCUGAUACUUCGAAGGAGAUUGUCUGUUUUGUACACGAAGUGCAUCUUGUUUUUUCCGUAACCCUCUGUACUUUCUUGCACAUGCUAUGUGGGUGAAAUGAUGAUACCAUGCCAACUUGGAACCUUUUCAGAGUUCAUUUCAAAUGCUUUUCAAUUUCAUGGUCUUAUAGCUCAAAAUAAUCAGUAAAUGCAUGAAAAAUAACAAAUAAAGUCAGAAAGGAUUGUAAAUUGAUAAUGUGGCUUUGAAUGGUGCAUUUUGAACACAUAAAAACUAUGGAGUUCAAAUAAGUUCAAAAAAUUGAAAUCCCUUAGUAACAGACGAGUUUCCGUAUGAAACCCUCAUACUUCAAAGGAGAUUAUCUGUUUUGUACACGAAGUGCAUCCAGUUUUUUCCGUAACCCUCUAUACUUUCUUGCACAUGCUAUAUGGGAGAAAUGAUGAUACUAUGCCAACUUGGAACCUUUUCAGAGUUCAUUUCAAAUGCUUUUCAAUUUCAUGGUCUUAUAGCUCAAAAUAAUCAGUAAAUGCAUAAAAAAUAACAAAUGAAGUCAGGAAAAAAAAAGUAAUUUGAAACAAAAUAAUAUAAACUUUAAUAAAAUAGAUUAGUAGAAACAAAAUAAAAUGAAAAAAAUAAACUUUAAUAACAUAAAUAAAAUUUAUGAAACUAAAAUUAUCAAAGUAUUUUCUGUUCAAAACAUUAUAAGCAACAUCUAGUAUUAUUGAAACUAAAAUUAUAUAAAAUUGAUACAACUAAAAUUAUCAAAGUAUUUUCUGUUCGAAAGCAUUAAAAGCAAAAAGAAUUUUCAUAAAGAACUUUUUUUGUGAGAAACUUUAAUAGCAAAAAGAAUUAUCAUAAAAUAAAAUUAGUAAGUAAUUAUAAACAAAAUAAAAUAAAAUAAAUAAGUAUUUUGUUGUACGUACAAACAAAACAAAAUAAAUAAAGCAAAAAAAAAUGGAAAAAAUAAAAAAAUUGCCACCAACUAGGCCACCACGGCCUGAAUACAACUAGAAACCCAUCCAUGGGCCCGGAUUCAGGCCCCCAGAAGGCCCAUCAGGCAUAGCAGUAACAAUUAGACCCGUAAGCCUGGAAUUGAGAGGAGCUCGAGAGGGGUGCGACAGUGGGGCUUAUAAACCACUGCACGCCCCUCUCAACUAGCGAGAUGAGACUAAACUUUGGCCGCGACACGGGUAGCACAAGGGCCUUUGGUCCCGGUUGGUGGCUCCAACCGAGACUAAAGGGGGUGCAUAGGUACCAGUUCGUAGAACCAACCGGUACCAAUGCUCCCCCUUUAGUCCCGGUUGGUGCCACCAACCGGGACCAAAGGCCUCUGCUUCCCGCCCUUUGGGCUGCUGAAAAGAGACCUUUGGUCCCACUUGGUGGCACCAACCGGGACUGAAGGGUGGCAUUGCUCCCGGUUGGUGCCACGAACCGGGACCAAAGACUAAGAAUAAUAGGCCCGUAAGGGUUCCUUUUUCCUGGUUUUUUUGAACUUUUUUUUACCGCUGUUGUAAAAAUGACGCGUGUCUGGAAGAGUUUGUUGACGUUUUCUCUCCUCGCAUGGUAGUUACCUUGUCUACCAUCAGUUUCCAGAGAGUUCUUGCCUUUUUUUAUCUGUCUCUACAUUUUUCACAUUCGAUUCAUAGGGUUGUUGCCGCUUUAGGCCCCGUCCCACGCGUCGUUGCAUAUUUUUUCUGAUUUUUUUAAAGCUUUUUGGGUGUACAACAGGUCAAUCUGGAUGUCACGCGUGUAAUCCUGAAGGUAAAGAGGGAUCACCAGAUCGACACGUCAACUUAUCUAGAUACGUCCCCUCCUCAGUAUAUAAAUGAGACACACGUCUCCUCUCAUUGCCUCCGAGCAGUCGCUCGAGAUGCCAGUGGCCCGCAGCAAUUCCCCACGUCCCCUCCCCCAUGCCCUCCACCUCAUCUCUUGACGCCGCCGGAGGGAGCUUCUUCCCAUGCCCUCCAUCUCAUCUCUUACCACCGGCCGGAGGGAGCUCCGCGCUCUCCUGCAGUACACCGCUCCUCUUUCGCCAAGGCGACAAAAAUCACGAAACGGGGACACACCAUAUGGCCAGGGGCUCGUCCAUCGCUGCUUGGUUCAUCGGUGGCGGUGUUGGCAUUGAAGGAUGGGGCGGCAAUGCCAUUGGAGUCUUGAAAAAGCAGCUCGGGCAGAGGAAGAGGACGCGCCCGGCGUCGGAGGAGGCUGGGCGGGAGACGAUUGUUCUGUUGCAGGUACGUGAACAGGCUGUCUAGGUUGACACGCUGGCCUCCUCUAGCAGCCUCUCUGCCCCGCGCUAGCUCUAGCCCCUCGCUUGCUGCCUCCUACGAUGCUGGUGUUCAGCUCGCAUGCGAGGUGUUCUAGCAAUUGACCAAACUGAGCCAAGCAUGAGCAUGAACGAUGGUCACGUACUUUCCUUCGUCAAGUAGUGCAGUACUGCACCAGAAGCGAUGUUGGCCGAACAGGUGGAGGGGAAGAGGCCAUAGAAGGAUUCUUGCGUCCCAAAUGGUAUGUUCAUUUUUGCCAAUUCAUGAUCCAUCAUUACCUGACUCAUGAUGUCCAGUGGACUCAGCUCACAGUGCUUGAUGAUUGAUCAAUAGCAACACGAUUUGAUUCUCAAUUUACAAGUUGAUUUCACCGCUAUGGAUUGGAUUAAUCUGAUUUUGAUAUCUUGGUUUAGUGAGUUUCAGGUUCACGGUCUGGAUGGUGGAUUCUUUCUUCAUUGGCCAGACCAUCCAUGUCAAGCAGCGGCAUGAGAAGAGCUCCGGCGAGGUCAUCAUGUGCCGGUGCAUCUCACCUUCAAGCACAUGCUGCAGACUACGACUGGUGUGGCUCCGUUCCUUCUCAGUCCUAUUUUUCUUUACUCUCCCUUGGUUAAUGUUUGCCUUAAUCUUGAUUUGUUUUGUUGGUUCAUGCUGUUCAUUAGUUCAUUCUUUGCUGGAUGUUCGGUGCACUGAUGCUGCAUGGAAGCAUUCGAAGUGAAAAAAAUCUUCACAUACCUUCCUGUAAGUGCAUCUCCCCAUCUUAAUUUGGGUUGCUCUCGCUGUCCCGCUUACCUAUUCUACUUCGCCCAUCAUUCAGAGAGUUAGGUUGGUUCAUGAGGUCAGAUAAUGUACUGUCGUUUAUUUUACCCAACUGCUACAUUCAAGAUCGAGGAGUGCAAGUGUGUAUUGAUCUGAACACAAAGUGUUACAAUAUUCAUGUUGAGCUUAUCUCAUAUUAUGGAAGUAUCUACAUUCAAGAUCGAGGAGUACAAGAUAUGUCAGCCUGCACUUUUGGACCAAAACAGUUUUACAUGGGAUUCUCUGGAGGAAAAGGAAACCCCACCUGAACUUUUAGCUUUCCGUAUAUGUGAGAUUACUUGCUGAGUUUUCCCACAUGAUAGCUUUUCUUAUGAAUUCAUGGGAUUUUAGAUUUUAAUCAGGUCAUGCAGUUCUGAGUUCUAAUUCAUGUGCAAGCUCCCGCCUGGCCGCCAAAGAGCCCUCUGUCUUCACUGAUAUGACUACUAGUGCUGUCAGGGCAAAAGCCGCGCGCCUCACUGCCUCGGACGUCGCAAAGGCACUCAAGGACGCCAUCCACAACACCCAGCUCGAUGUCCCUGAAGCCCCGUCUGCUUCUGCCGCAUCCCUUGCGGAGAUUGCUGCACUGUGCGGGGCUGACGGCGAUGCUGUUGCUUCCGUUGCUCACGCUGAUGACAGCAGCGACGACGGCGGUGCUGACGCUCUGCCAUGAUGCUCCAACUAUCCCACGCACGCCCAGGUGGCGGCCUAGCGGUGACUUAUUGUCCCUACCGCGAAUCGACCAAUCGGGUCUACUUAUCCCCUAGCUUAUGUGCAUGGGGCAAACCUUGUGUCUGCCUCAACUACCCCUUAGUCUAUUGCUCCCUAGCAUUUCAUAUCAGUAGUUUGCUCUCGUCUAAGUGUCUGAUGUAUUCCUAUCUGUAUGAGUAACACCACCCUAUCUAUCUGUUCGUGGAAUGUACGAGAUCUUGGUGAUGUCUCAAAAUGCGUUGAUAUCCUCUCCGAACUUAUCAGCAUUAACCCACACUGCGCCCUCCUACAGGAAUCAAAACUAAAUGUCAUUACUGAACAAAAAAUAUGAUCCUUCCUACCUCGCUCUCUAGACCAACAUGUGUUUUUACCGGCCGAUGGCUCGGCUGGGGGAACAGUCUUGGAUUUCAACUCAAACUACUUCUUAGUGCUCUCCCACACGCACAGCCACUUUACCACAUCGAUCAAAAUCACGUCCCUUGCGCACCCACAACCAUUUAUCAUCACAAACGUCUAUGCUCCCGCAACUAACAAGCUUUUCUCGAUGAACUCAAAACGAUAAAACAAGACGACCACACGCCCUAGUUAAUAGUAGGAGAUUUCAACCUUGUACGUUUUUCGCACGAAAAAAAUAACCACAACUUUCACCAACGAGAAGCAGAUGCUUUUAACAGCAUAAUCAAUGAGUUAGCCCUACUCGAACUCCCACUGCUCGACCGACGCUUCACUUGGUCUAACAAACACUCUCUGCCAACCUUAGAAUGAGUCGACCGGGCGUUCUUUAAUCUGUCAUGGAAUAAUUACUUCCCUAACACAACACUAUCCUCACAGCCACGCAUCACAUCAGAUCACGUACCCCUAAUCCUACGCAUCCAGACAGGUGUACCAAAACCACACCACUUUAGAUUCGAGUCCGCAUGGACUCUCUCCACAGAAUGCCAUCACAUCAUGCAGAAAUGCUGGGCCACAAACCGCCAAUCAGCCCAACGAAUAAACUCAGCAGCCGCCCUAUCAAAAGCCCUCAAAACAACACGUUCCUCUCUCAAACAAUGGGCAUCCAAAAAAUCACCAGCCCACCUCCGCGAAGCAGCAGCAAAACAAGUCAUAAACCUCCUCGACCUAAAAGAAGAAGCCCGACCACUCUCUAGAGCCGAACACAAGUUAAGACUUGUCGUCUCAAAUGCCCUGCACUUAGCUAUUUCGGAAAAAUGGCUUUCUGGAAGCAACAGGGGAAAGUGUGCGCUGCUAUUCACGGUGAGGAGAACUCUUAGUACUUCCACGCCACCGCCUCCCAGAGACUUCGAAAGAACACCAUAACUUCCCUCCUACAAAAUGGGACGGAGUUCCAUUCCCACGACCAAAAAGCAGUCAUUCUUCAGCAACACUUCACAUCCAUCUUAGGUUGCGCACCGCCUACAUCCUGGGCCUUCCAGCCACAACAAUUCUACCCCCAACCCCUACCCCAACUACUCAAUAUAGAAUCUACCUUUUCUCAGGAUGAAAUAAAAGAUGCUUUCAUGCAAAUGAACCCCCUAGCUAGCCCCGGACCGGAUGGUUUUGGCCCCCUCUUCUACCGAAAAUACUGGAAUCUCGUAAAAAACCACAUCUUCUCAUUCAUGACAGACUUCCAAAACCUCUCUGCACAAACUGAAUGCUUAAACCGCGCCCACCUAAUUCUGCUGCCAAAAAUAGAAGAAGCAAAUACACCAGGAUCCUACCGCCCGAUCUCUCUCCAAAACUGUCCCGUCAAAGCUACCGCCAAGAUCCUCACCAACAGAUUAAAACCGCUGAUCCCACUGCUUGUUCACGGAAACCAGACUGGCUUUAUCUCAGGCGUUGCAUCGCGGAAAACUUUAUCUAUGCUACGGACCUUAUCGGCUCCUGCCAUAAUCAAAAAGCCCCAACCAUGGUCAUAAAACUAGACUUCUCAAAAGCCUUCGACACUCUCUCCUGGGAAUCUCUCCACGCCAUCCUCCACUGCCGCGGCUUCCCGCCAAAAUUCACGACCUGGAUCCAGGAUAUCUUCUCAACAAGAAAAACGACCGUCAUGCUGAACGGGCUCCCAGGAAACUGGAUAAACUGCAAGGACGGACUCAGACAAGGAGACCCCAUAUCACCCUACCUUUUCAUCAUCAUUGCUGACCUCCUUCAACAAAUGAUCACACAACACUGCGACGCUCGGCACCUAACACACCCCCUGUUCACACACCUGCCACCGACGGUUCUACAAUAUGCCGAUGACACCCUCAUAAUCGCCAAGGCAUCCAAUGACGCCGCCAUGCAGCUAAAACACAUUCUCCAAAAUUUUGCAAUGGCUACAGGCCUCACGAUAAACUACACAAAAACUACUUUUGUACCUAUGCAUGUUUGCCCUUCUGUGGCAGACUCCAUUGCUACCAACUUGCAAUGCACAACCUCAACCUUUCCACAAAUCUACCUAGGCCUCCCCCUGGCACCGACCCGUCUACCCCUAAACGCCUUUCUACCCAUUAUCGAACGAUGCCGAAAAUUCUUGUAAGGUUGGCGAGCAAAAAUCCUAUCCAAGGGCGACCGGCUCAUCCUUCUGUCUGUUGUCCUUGACUCCAUCUUAGUCUAUUUUAUGCCAGUAUUUCUCAUCCCAAAAAGUGUGCUAAAAACCCUAGACUCCAUACGCCGUGCUUUCUUCUGGGCCACAGAGAAAACUUGCACCGGUGCUCAAUGCUUAGUUGCCUGGAAAAAUGUUAGUAAGCCCAAAAGCUAUGUGGUCUAGGUCUAAAAAAUCUCCAUGUUCAGAAUAACUGUCUAUUAAUGAAAUUUGCUGUAAAAGCUCUGCUACCGGACCAAACUCCAUGGCAAGAUUGGAUUGACCUUCAACACCCAAAUGCUCUCAUCGCUCCACAAAACAGCCACUCCUUCCUCUCCCAAACCAUAAACCACCAACUACCAGCUCUACACUCCAUCUCCUUCGUCAUCACACAGUCCAGAACAAACACCUAUUUUUGGCUAGACAACAAUCACUCGCUACUCUCUUCCCCUGCCUCUACUCACACACCACCACGCCCCUCGUUCGUGUGGCUGCUGUUAUGAACCACGGUCUAGAAUCAAUCCUAAGGAACCGCCUAACAUCUAAUGCCACUACCGAGUUGUGAUCUUUGCUGUCUCUCCUGCAGGAUUUCCAGGUGUCGCCGGGACCGGACGAGCGCUACAUAAACAGUGGCCUCAGUUUCUCUACACGGUCCGCUUAUCAGCUGGUCAUGGCCGACAAUGAUGACGACGCCCAUGCCAUUGCAAUCUGGUCUUCCUGCGUUCCAAACCGUGUGAAAAUCUUUGCAUGGCUUCUGUUUCGUGGAAGAAUCAACUCCAAAAGCAACCUUAUCCGCAAGCACAUCGUCCCAGACGCGCUAUGUCCAUGGUGUGGGUUCGACGGGGAGACCGCCUCGCAUAUCUUCCUACACUGCCCCCUCGCUCAGAGAAUAUGGCAGCGACUCGGACUAUCGCCACCCAACUCCAUCGACAACCUUUGGGACUGCCGCCUCCCCAACCAGCUUGACGCGCUAAUAUGGCACUCCAUCCUCCUCAUUAUCCUAUGGAAAAUAUGGGACUCCAGAAACGCCAUGACUUUCAAGCAACAGAACCACCACAGCAUCUUCACCCUCAAGCGAAUCAUUGAUGACCUUAUGCUCUGGACGCAUCGGGUGAAGAAAACGGCGCAUAAGCAGGCCGCCUCCUCAUGGCGUUCUACUUCUUAUCACGCUUACACGUGCCUAUGUAAUUCACCUUUGUAAUCGGACAGACGUUGGGUUACAAAAAAUGAGAAAUAUAUUCAGGUGGGGGAGCUCCCCACCCCCCCCCCCCUCCCCGGUGAUUUUUCAAAAAAAACUAAAAUUCUUGUGCAAUAGUCACAAACAGAUCUGUCUUGCAUUCAAAAUAUUGCAGCUUGAACUUAUUUACAUUUCAGUUAAAUUUUGUUUACCAAUGUCAGCCAAUGUGAGAGCAAACUUUUCCUCCGAUUAUUCUAAAUUAUCCAUGGACUAUUCCGAGUCUGUAAAUGGAAGUUGAAUUUCUUAAUACAUCUAGGCAAUCUAUAGAAAAAGAUGGCCUCGCGUGCCACUGUGCAACACCAUGACGAUUAACAUCACCCAGUGAAGACUGAACAAGUCUCGAAUCAAUUUGCAUUUGCGAUUUGUGGUUCUGUCCUGUUUUAGUAGGGUUGUAUCUCUUCUAUAAUCUUUUGGUAAUUUUGUAGAUUAGGAAGUUUAAUUCUUUUCCGAUGAUAGUUUAAUAGUAGUCAAGAUAUGCGAUCUGCAUGUCCAUUUUACUGUAUAUAUCUGUUUUUACACUUCUAUUAUAGGUCUGGGAGUAUUAUGCCGAGCCUCCCCAGCAAGGUUUUCAAUAUUAAGGGGGAAAUAUGAAGGUGUAUAAGGUAAAGACACAGAGCUAUAGAUACAUUUAGUAAUAAAUUUCUUUAUACCUUGCAUUAUAAUUACACAUGGGAAAUACAGAUGAGGUGCCUGAUGUCAUCUGCAAUCACAGAUCUAAGAAUCAGCUUUUUAAAUGUAAUUGAUAAAAUGAGCAAUGAGUAACUGCAUGACCCACUACAGAGAGAACGUGUAAGAACGACACACCUAGGAUUAACCCUGCCUGUUAUCAAGUUCAGGUAUUACCAUUAUUGUAUAGAUUCAAGCAGCAUUUUGUAGUUACCAUGACACAUAUCUUCACGAGAGAAGUUUUUGUUUAGCAGUAGCGUACGAUAGCUUUUCUUAAGCAUGGUUCAGAUUACCAUUAUUGCAUGAAAUAUAUAAGAACAUACUCAUUAGCUGUGUAAAAUCCAUAGCCUACAGGAGAGAAAUGAUGUUUAUGCAGACUGAACUUGUUAUUCUGCGAAUUUAUGUUGACACAAACUAUUGACUGGGUCUCUGGCUUGGUGCUACCUGUAUGAGGUACUCCCUUGUGGUGUUGUAGGUACCACUUUUAUUGGCCUGCUGGUACAUAUUCAGUUAAUCACACAGAGUUAUUGGAAUAUAGGCAAGACUAUAGUAUGUGUUCAUCUGGAAGCCUAUAGACAGAAAUAUGUGUUCAUCUGGAAGCCUAUAGACAGAAAUAUGUGUUCAUCUGGAAGCCCAUAGACGCUAAAUAAUAUUUUAGUGAUCUUGGAUGCUAUCACCUACAUAGACUAUUUUCCCGUAAUAGUGUGCUUCCAGUUUGUUUGAUUCAUGGACGGUCAAAUGGUAUUUCACCUAGCUCUUCCAGUUUGUUGGUUCAUGGACAGCCAGAUGGUAUCUCGCCUAGCUAACGUGCUUUCAAUUAUCAGUUUGCUAAACAGGCAAAUGCUUCUGCAAUUUUCGCUAGCACUAUAUAAUACAUCAAUUUCUUUCUUAUUGUUGUAAUUUGAAGAUCUGCGAAUUAGAAGAAUUGUCUUUUUUAUAGGAUGCCUGUUUUGUGUUGCAAAAUUAGAAGUAUUUUCUAAUGUGGUGCAAAAUUUUGUGUUGUUCUUAUGGCCCAUGGUCCUACCUAAAGUAUUCCAAUACAUCUCCACAAAUCAGCUUUUCUUAAUUUUCACGUAACACAUGUUCAUGUCCAAUCAGGGAUGGGUUCAAGUGGUGCUGGGACACGUAUAGAGAAGGGGCACAUUAUACAUGGAGACAAGUUUUGAAUUGGGGCGUGUUGCUUCCUACCUGAUGGUGUAGACGUUAGAUGAGGCAUCUCCAUAUAAGUAGAGUGUCACACAUAUGGAUGUUGUAUCUUGGAUGAUUCAUAGAAAAGAAGCCAAAGAACGAUUCAUCAGUUGCAUAUCUUUUUUACCUUCUACAUGUUACUUUUUUCUCCAUAAGUUGGUCUGCACUUCAAAAAGGCCGAGAAUGUGACUAUAUGAGAAGCGUAGUUAAGUGUGUUCAAGAAGUAUAUGUAGGAAAAAAAAUAGACUGCUGGGCGUAAAAAAUUCAUGAGCUGGCUCAAAGGUACGCAUAUGCAGACCGUACAACAAUUUUUCAAAAGCUAUAACGAAACAAACACAUACUGAACCAAUGGGUGCGGCGUGCCGCCGCGCACAGUUGGCCGCGCAUGCUUCGGUGGAUCAACUUGAAUGGAUUGCGCAGCUUCUGUGGAUUGAUUUGAACAGAUUGGAUCGACUUGUGUAGAUUGGUUGGUGAUGAUAUGUCUCUUAGGACCCAUAGCGGUGGUUUGAUUCAGAAGUAAAUUUCACUACCACUACAUCACAAAGACAAAUCCAGCAGGAGAAUCAAUAUCUUGGGUCUAGGAAGAAAACAAGUGCUUCACAAUUCCAGUACCCACUAUCACUACAUGUUGUAGAUCACUCAUGCAUGUACCAACUAGAUGUAUAUUUUCUUGUAUGAACUACUUUGCCACCACUAUCACUACAUGUUGUAGAUCACUUAUGCAUGUAUGAUGUAUCUUUUCUUGUAUGAACUACUUUGCCAUUAUGGCGCGGCCUGCCGCCGCGCACUACUCUCUAGUCCUUUGCUAUAUAAGAAACACUUAGCAGUUUCUGCAAAAAUCACUUCUUCUCCGUCCCGACGCCCCCACGCUGCUCCUCGUCGCCGUCGUCGCCGAGCCCUGCCCCGACGCCGUCGCCCGCGCCCUCACCCGACGACGUCGCUGCUCGCCGCCCUGCCCCGACGCCGUCACCGUCGCCCGACGCCGUCGUCGCUCGUCGCCCUGCCCGGNNNNNNNNNNNNNNNNNNNNNNNNNNNNNNNNNNNNNNNNNNNNNNNNNNNNNNNNNNNNNNNNNNNNNNNNNNNNNNNNNNNNNNNNNNNNNNNNNNNNNNNNNNNNNNNNNNNNNNNNNNNNNNNNNNNNNNNNNNNNNNNNNNNNNNNNNNNNNNNNNNNNNNNNNNNNNNNNNNNNNNNNNNNNNNNNNNNNNNNNNNNNNNNNNNNNNNNNNNNNNNNNNNNNNNNNNNNNNNNNNNNNNNNNNNNNNNNNNNNNNNNNNNNNNNNNNNNNNNNNNNNNNNNNNNNNNNNNNNNNNNNNNNNNNNNNNNNNNNNNNNNNNNNNNNNNNNNNNNNNNNNNNNNNNNNNNNNNNNNNNNNNNNNNNNNNNNNNNNNNNNNNNNNNNNNNNNNNNNNNNNNNNNNNNNNNNNNNNNNNNNNNNNNNNNNNNNNNNNNNNNNNNNNNNNNNNNNNNNNNNNNNNNNNNNNNNNNNNNNNNNNNNNNNNNNNNNNNNNNNNNNNNNNNNNNNNNNNNNNNNNNNNNNNNNNNNNNNNNNNNNNNNNNNNNNNNNNNNNNNNNNNNNNNNNNNNNNNNNNNNNNNNNNNNNNNNNNNNNNNNNNNNNNNNNNNNNNNNNNNNNNNNNNNNNNNNNNNNNNNNNNNNNNNNNNNNNNNNNNNNNNNNNNNNNNNNNNNNNNNNNNNNNNNNNNNNNNNNNNNNNNNNNNNNNNNNNNNNNNNNNNNNNNNNNNNNNNNNNNNNNNNNNNNNNNNNNNNNNNNNNNNNNNNNNNNNNNNNNNNNNNNNNNNNNNNNNNNNNNNNNNNNNNNNNNNNNNNNNNNNNNNNNNNNNNNNNNNNNNNNNNNNNNNNNNNNNNNNNNNNNNNNNNNNGAACCAUAGAAAAAAACGAUGUUGGUCUCCUACCCCCUCCUGCCGCGCCCCUACCCGACAAACUCUCUCGAGGCCACCCAAAUUUACCAACUUAAAAGAGCGUUGUCGUCGAGGCCACCCCAAACCCUUGAAGCGUUGUGUCAAGGCCACCCCAAACCCUCGAAGCGUUGUCGAGGCCACCCCAAACCCUAGAGAAGCAGCGUCGAGGCCACUAAUAUGAUUCCUUAUUGUGAUUAGCUAGCAAGUUAUACGUUUGCCACUAAUAUAUAUCCAUCUGUCAUGUUUGAAUAAUAAUUUCCAUGUUGAAAAUUUUUGCAGAAACUAUGGAGCACCCCCGACACGAAGCAACAGAAGCGAUGUUGGGGGACAUAAUCACAAAAGGAAGUGCUGUCGUUGCGUCGUUUCUCAACGACACCGAUGGUCUGGAAGGACGAGGUAGUGAAGAAGAAGGCUAUGAUUAUGAUGGCUCCGGUGACCCAUUAAUGCCGGUACAAGAAGAAGGUUAUGAUCAUCAUGGCUCUGGUGACCCAAUGCAGGUACAGGAAGGAGACCGUGAUGACGGCUCCGGUGAUCGAACCGAGUCUGGCCAGGUAUAUAUAUUAGUUAAGCCCGUGCUGACUAGCUAAUUGAUGCAUUCAUUGUUUUCAUAUGUACACAUAUUAAUUAACUCUCGUCUUUCUUUUCCUCUCUAGCCCUCCGAAUCGAGCACAACUUCGGUAAAGAAACGAGGCCCGAAGAAAAAGUUGCGCUCGGAUGAAAGGUUUGAGAUCAUAGCAAUCGCGCGCGAUGGAAAGCCAAUUGAACCCAUACGGACAAGGGAUGCAUUUCGUGCUCAGUGCGAUCCCGAUCAGUAUCCACCAAUGGUUAAAGCCUAAGAAAGAAGACCCUGAGGUGUCUUAUGUCUCCGAUAUGCAGAAAGAAGAUCUUUUGACAACGCUUAAGGAAAAUUUCACCCUACCGCCAGAGGAGGAUCCGGAGAAGCCAGUUAAAGAGCAAUUGAUAAAGUCUCAUGCUCUUAAGAAGAUGGCAGAACUAUUCAGGAGGAGGAAGAAUGAGCUGAAAACAGAUUUUUUCGACGAAGAAAAGACACCAGAAUUCACCAGAAAGUAUGAGAAGAUCAAAGAUCACUGGCCCGCAUUUGUGGCCCACAAGACAUCGGAAAAGAGUAAGAAGAUGUCAGCGACAAGCAAGAAAAAAGUUGCGAAGAAGAAGCAUCACCAUCGCACGGGGUCAGGUGGCUACCUCAAAGCCCGACCUUUGUGGGACAAGGCUGAGAAUGACUUGAUUGCUAAAGGGGUCGAACCAGAGACAUUGAACUGGCCAGACCGUUGCCGGACUUGGUUCUUUGGGGUUGGCGGAACCUUGGACCCUGUAUUAGGGAAGUGCGUUUGGACGGAAGAGCAACUGUGAAUACCCGUCAGGAGGCUUCAGGAGUAUAUCGAGAAAGCACAGAAAGGGACGUUCGUUCCAGACAGAGAGAACGACGAGCUCACAAUGGCCCUCGGGAAUCUCGAGCACCCAGGACGGACACGAGACAUGCCAGGCUCCAUUCCAUGGAAGGCUGGGUUUCCAGACGCAAGGGGGGUACAAAAGGCAGGAGAGGAGGAAGGAAGUGGAGCAUAGCCAACUACAGGCGCUGCACGAAAGGGCACAAGGGCUAGAGGAACGAGAAGCAGAUCGCAGCAAACAACCUGCCGAAGCUUCCCUUGAAGCUACCCCGCCAUCUCGGCGGAGAAGAAGCGUGGCUUCCACCGAGCAGACUCAGCAGCUGGAGCCUAUCUUCACGGCUCCUGGUAGCUACCCCGUGGAUGCUAUCACGGAGUCUCAACAUUGCCACCUUAUGGCUCGAUGGAUGACAUUGAAAGUCAAGGCGGCUGUUGGCUCUGUUUUACCUACUGAACCUGGCACAACCUACCACGGCAGGUCGAUUCCAGAAGGAUAUGCUAGGGUGAUGGUGUAUCAAAUAACAGACGGAUUUGAGGACCUUGAGCUUGACCACCCUAUGGGUGAAGGGGAGAUUCGGCUAGGUUCUUCUCUGAAGACUCCAUGCCUAUGGCGGAAGGACCUCAUCAACCUUCCGAACUGGACGUCUCCGCCUCCUCCUCCUCCUCUGGCGAGUCAGGGCACUCCGGCUCCUCCUCCGGCAAGUGAUCAGGGCACUCAGCCUCCUUCUCUGGCGCGUGGCAGCACUCCGCCUCCUUCUCCGCCUGUACUGGCGCACCCGAGCAGCCAGCCUCCUCCUUCUCCUCCUUGUCAACAAGGGCGGAAGGGACCCACCGCCGCUCCGGCUGCUCCAGCGCGUCGUCCUUCUCCUCUGCCUCGUAAGAAAGGAAAGACAGCCGCAGCCGCUCCGUCUGCUCCGACAUCUAGCAGUACAACUAGAGGCAGACAAUACAGAUACUGUCCUUCUCUGAAGACUCCAGAGAAUUUACCAUAUGAGAGGAGCCAGGAGGAAAACAUGAAGAUCGUGCAAGCCGAAGUGACCAACUUCUUUGAAGGGGUGAAAGCAAAGAAAAAUCCACCUUCGAAGGAGAAGAUAGAUCCGAUAAAAGCGAAGCGUACUCUGGCUGCCCUGAAAAACCACCAAAGUCUCUGAUUAAAGGCAACUAUGAGCGCAUUCUUACAAAGUCAUUUAUCGAAGCAGUGCGGUCGGGAAGUACUGUCAGUGGUCAAAAGUUAGCAGAACGACGAGCUGGGAAAAAAGUUGCCUAGCUCGGCAAACAAGCGAACCAAUCGUUCCCCCCGCUCCAGGUGUCUAGCGUCAUCGCUAAUCAUCCGAGCGGGACAAUGGUGCCCGGUUAUAACGAUCUUGGAGAUUACCUGCCCGACGAUGCACAUUUUCAUAUAAUGGAGGUGGACAAACAGAAAUACAGUACGGGAAGCCUCUCAUCAAAGAUGAAAGAUCUCUAACAACGAUGAUGCGAAGAUUCCAUGAUUGGUAUAUGAAAAGGCCCUUGAUAAGUUAAUGACCUCGUUGGAAUUGAACUGUUGAAUGUUCCAUUUGAGGAGUUCUUCGAACUUUUCAAUUUAAAGGCCCUUGAUAAGUUAAUGAUCACUUGCUACUGCCUAUAAGUAGUACUACUUCUGUCAUUAAGUCUCUCGAUAUAGGUCAGCUCUUUCAUUGCAUGUAUUUUAAAUUAUCCUCACUAUAUUAUGUAGAUUGAAGAUCGCCUAAUUGAAGAAAAGAUAAAUCGGUGAUAUUGUGUUCAUUAACACAAAUCUCAUAGAUGCAUAUAUGGUUAAAUUUUAGGCCAAACAUACCAAGGCCAAGCUGCUACAAUCGUUUGUAUUAAAUCAAAACAAAGCUAUAAUACUCUUUCCUUACGAAUUCCAGUGAGUGUUACUGUCUUAUGCAUAUUCAGUUUCCCUUAUUAGUCGAGGUUAUAGUAAUGUAAUUGAUGAGUUAUGCAUGCGUGCGCACGUUCCACUAUAUUCUCCUAGAGAUUAAGCUUGAGCAGGGACUAGUAACCGUCUUAGACUCGAGACGAAAAGAUCCCAAGGAGUAUGCGGACAUGACUGCAAUUCUAGAGAAGUAAGUUAAAUCGAUCCUUAUCGCACCAUAUCGGCAACUUCAAUUUGUUCGUUUCCUGAUAUCAAGUAAUUGUUUUCUUUGCCUGGCAGGGUUUGGAAUAAAUUCACCUCAAAAACUCCGGGACAGCCGAAGAAGCUGGAACUUAGACACCCGAAAGUAAGUACUAUAGUAGCAUGUUCCACGCAUCUCCUAGUGAUUCAAGCGCUGGUUUCAUCAAUACCAUUUAGCAUGCUUGCUAAUUAUCGGUUUGAUUGACCUCUAUUUCUUGUAAAGUGGUUGUGGCAGGAACAAGGGAAUAAUUAUUGUGGAUACUACAUUUGCGAGUUCAUCCGCCACACGACCUGUGAGCCGGGCUACUCCAACAAACAAUAUGAAGUCUGUAAAUAAUAAUAUUCACAAUUUUAUUUUAUUACCAUCAUUUGUGUUCAGUUUCAUUUAUUCGUAUAUAUGUAUUGACCCCCUUCUUCAAAUUAGAUAUUUCGGAUGCGGGAUGAACUCCUACCACCAGAUCGUAUGCGAGGAAUUCAAAGGAACUGGCGGCAUUCUUUCUUGACCACGUGAUCGGUAAAGACGGAGAAUACCAUGUGGACCUUGAGCUCAUUUGGAAUUAGGAGAUUAUAUUGUAGGAGAUAAUUAUAUUGUAUAUAUGUAGCCAGUAGCGUAGGAUAGAUAUACAAGAACUUGUUGUUCGACCAAUCUCUUAGAGAAGGAGAGGUGGUCGAUAUCACUUCUCUCUGUAUAGAUAUGUUCAUGAUGAUCUUCUGUUUCCUUCAUUUGUUUACUAGCUAGCGUGUCUAGUCCUCUCUAUAUGUAUAGUACGUAGGGUCGACCAAGCACGGAGAUAAGAGAGGACACUUCUCUGUAUUAAUUAGCUAGCUAAUACAAUAUAUGAANNNNNNNNNNNNNNNNNNNNNNNNNNNNNNNNNNNNNNNNNNNNNNNNNNNNNNNNNNNNNNNNNNNNNNNNNNNNNNNNNNNNNNNNNNNNNNNNNNNNNNNNNNNNNNNNNNNNNNNNNNNNNNNNNNNNNNNNNNNNNNNNNNNNNNNNNNNNNNNNNNNNNNNNNNNNNNNNNNNNNNNNNNNNNNNNNNNNNNNNNNNNNNNNNNNNNNNNNNNNNNNNNNNNNNNNNNNNNNNNNNNNNNNNNNNNNNNNNNNNNNNNNNNNNNNNNNNNNNNNNNNNNNNNNNNNNNNNNNNNNNNNNNNNNNNNNNNNNNNNNNNNNNNNNNNNNNNNNNNNNNNNNNNNNNNNNNNNNNNNNNCUGACGCGUGUAUGCCUAUGGGUCCCGGUUGGUGCCACCAACCGGGACCAAAGGGCCUCCUGUCUGGGUUCGCCGCACCAGCCACGUGGAGGCCCAUCUGUCCCGGUUUGUGUAAGAACCGUGAAUAAAGGUCAAGGGCAUUAGUAACGACCUUUUAGUCCCGGUUCCAAAACCGGGACAAAAGGCCCUUACGAACCGGGACAAUUGGCCCUUUUUCUACUAGUGCGAGCUGACGGAUGAUUGGCCCGUGCGGCCUGUGGCGUGCUCGCACCGGCCAAGGCGAUGUGUGCGUUCGUGCUCAAGGACCCUGGUAAUCCUUUGUAAGCAUCCAAGGUGACCACACCACUCAUAGCUCCAUCUUGGCCAUCGUCACUGCCGUCGCCUUUGAGUUCAAUAUAGGCCACCCUAUUUCUUUUCCUUCUGAACACUAUCAAUUGAUGAAGGUGUUUGUGGCUGCUAAAAUUGAUGUCUGAAUGUUUCAAAUCUGCUGCUCUGAAGGUGCCAACGUCUGUGAGGGAAUUUGUGAAUGAUGGGUUCAGUAGUAAGUCAAAUCUGCUGCCAUGUAGUUUUCAGCCAGACAAGAUGAUGUUCAUGCCAUUUUCUUAACUAUGUCACCCAUUUUCAGCUAUUGUACUGAGAAACAAAUUCUAGGGAUGAAUGAGUAAUGCACUUACGGAAGCGAGAGUGCAUCUUACCAGCGAUGGAAAAAGUUUGCUUUGCUUAAUUACGCCUGGACAUGCAUGGUGAGAAUAAAAUCCCGAUCGAUUACAGUUAAAGCAAGUUGAUUCUCCCAUCAUUGAGAACAAGCUUGUUUUAAUUGAGAGUAUUCUAUUGGAGCUCAGGUAGUUUUCCUUGAUCCAUGGACUCGCAUGAUUUACAUAAUGUUGUUAGUGUUCGAAGUGGGCAUCGAAUAGUUGAGUCUUAUAGCCUUUUUUAGUGUGUUGAUAUUUGAAAGGGGAACAAGGCAAUGUUGCACUCUUGCUGUUGUUAGAGCAUAUUAUUUUAUAGUCAAUGAUGCUAUAUUCCAAACUGCUUUUUAUUCUGCUCAUAUGAUAUUGCUCAUCUUUUGUUUUCUGUCGUGAUGCCUCAUGUAUUUAAGGUAGAUAAAGCUCUAAAUUUAGUGUUUCUUGAACAUGGCCAAGGAAAUGGAUACAAUCUAGAUGCUAAGUUGACUUUUUCUUGUGGAUUCGCCUAUCGUGAAGAUGCACAAAUGGUCAAUAGAUCAAGCAUUGGAUGCUGGCAAAAUAGGAGUUCCAUCACAAUAGGAAGAAAGUAAUUCCAACGAUUAGGAAGCUGCUAUAGAUACUGAAAACUAUGAAAUUAGUGAUGACAACGAUGAUGAUCGUAAUCACAAUCAUCGUGAGACCACUCCCAUGUUCCUGCACUUUGGUGUUAUCUCAAGAGCAACAUUGAAAUAGUAUGCUCUAUUACUUCACAUUUUCUGUAUCAUGAGGACCACUACCACGUUGUGUUAAUAUAACCAUAGCCUUGAAAUGUGUCCUCUAAGUGUUGUUACCAUUGAUGAUUUGAUUUGCAAUUAACAUUCUUCACAAUACCCUGUCCAAAAUCCUAACUGAGUUGCAAUUAAUGUGAUUGCAUUUCUAGGUUUGUUUUAAUUGCCAAAAUUUUAUGCAUAAAAUAGAAUUGGUAAAUUUUUUAAUUUCCUAAUUAGAUAGUAGUAGCUUGGGAAAAAAACUGUGUGCUACUACUAUUUAGGAUACUAGUAGUGUGUGGUUAUUAUAAAUUGUAUUAGCGCGGGCGCAAAAAUAGUAGUAGCACGGAUGGCACCCGCGCUACUAUUAACAUUCUAGUAGCGUGCGGUGGCACCCGCGCUACUACAAACUUUUUAGCUGUGGUGCGACUGUAGUAGCGCGGGGCAUGCGCUACUAUUAGAGAGUUUACCCACGUCACUACUAGGCUUUUCCCUAGUAGUGUCAAUAGAUCAAUGAUACAUAUUUUUUAAGCGCUGAGAAUUAACGUGUGAGCUUCAUGGAAGUCUGUAAUUAGUAAUAGAUAGAUCCGAUAGAUAGAUAUAAUGAUGUAUGAUGUAGAAAUAAGAACACAUAACCUACAACAACAAGAUAUUUUUAUGUCACCUAUUGAGCGAUAUAUUCACCGCCCGUAGUGCAAAAAUAAGUUGCGCAAUUUUUCCUUUUAGUUGCAUAAAAUUUAUUGAAUAUUAACAACUUGUGUGACACUUUACAUAUAUGUCGAUCUUAUGAGAGUAUCAUGUUUGUACUUCAGUAAAUUUUACUAAGUGACUAUAGCAUCGAAUGGACCAAAUGCUUGUGCAAUAAUAUUAGUAAGACCAAGCUACGUCGUGACACACUAAAAGUACAUAGAGGGCCGUCAAUCGCUUUCCAUUAUCAUACAACUGCAUAAUUAGUUAUCUGCCUUUUCAAUUUUUGUAGGAUUUUUUUAAUAUAGAUUGGUAUCGGAAUUUUGUUACCUUUCUGAGUUUGGUUGCAACGAUGAACAUAUAUUUUCAUGUUGUACACAUAAAUAUAUGUAAGUCUAUGCAUGUAAUUUUACCAAAAAAAGGCCUAAAAAUUAUAUACCCCAAUGAAGAUGUCCCUGCUAAAAAUUAAAACUGGGGCUCCACAAGGCGCGGCCUUCUAGUCUCUCCCUAGGCACCUCACAGUCUUCUUGCUAUUUGGUCCAUGCUUGCACGGUGAUUGCCGACGAUUUGAGGAGCUCGACCUGCCGACCAGAAGAACGUGGCCGCGACUAGAAACUUUGAGAAGAAUUCCGCAGUGGAUAGCAUUGCUAUUUUAUCAGGCGGUAAAUCCUGCCCAGUAUGGCACGACUGACGACUGGAUGUAUCACUGGUAAAGUCAAAAUAAGGUUCCGCGUGUAUUGACUGUAACCAGAUCGUUUAGGCAAAUUUUUGAAGAGAAAAUAAUAGAUUCAGCUAUCGAUUGAUGCAAGUAACCAAAUCUUCACUCUACACAAGCUAUUGUGGUCAUUCCGUUGGCCUGUGUACAGAAGCAUCGUCUUAGUAAUUUCUAGUCUAUUUGCAUCUUACGUUAUGGACGCCGAUAAGUGCCACACGUGUAGGCGUUAGAAAGUUUGCCCACACAUUUUGUGUGGUGUAUAAGAGGAACAGCCCACACACCUAUGUGUGGGCAAAACAAGUAAUGCCCAGACAUCUCUUUUUUUCCCUCCUGACCCACUCACACGCGUGCGUGUGGAUUAAGUAGAUAACGCCCACAUGCCCCGUACGUCAGGCCUCGUACCUCGUGGUCCCAAAUGCCACGUGUGACAGUCACCGCGCGCUUGCAGUUGCCAUGGUCCAGACCCUCGUCCAUGUUCGUUUAACUGCAGUUGCCAUGUCGCUGAACUACGGUUGCCCUGUCGGACAACUGCAAUUGCCAUGGUUGCUCAACUGCAGUUGCCAUGUAUGGCCUGGUCUAAUGUAGUUGCCAUGGUUUCAAAACUUUAGGAGGUGCCACAUACUAACACUAGGCAGUUGAGAGAGUUGACAUGUGCUCAGAAGCAUGCCAGGGCUGUUGCCAUGUAAAAGGAAGAGUUGUCAUCUACUUACGUGCACGUUAGGGCAGUUGCCAUGUACCAUGCAAAAACACAUGGAAACUCCGUAAAAGAGAGUUGUCAUCUGCUUACGUGCACACUAGGAAGUUGCCGUGGACCCUGCAAAACACAUGGCAACUCGGGUAAAAAGAGAGUCGCCACCUGCUUAUAAGGCACACUAGGGCAGUUGCCAUGUGCACUGCAAAGCACAUGGCAACUAGCAGCUUGGGUGAGGGAGAGGAGACGGGCGUGUGGGCGAGAUGGCAAAUGCCCACACACGAGCCCUUGUGCAUGCGUGAAAAGUGGCGUGUUCAAACUGCUGAACGCGCACACACCAGCCUGUCCCGUGUGGUGAAACGGCCGUGUGGGCGACCGGAUGAAUGCCCACACAUCAGACCAGUCCAACGUGGCACUAAAACAUGCCAAAAUUCGUGCGCUUACGAAUGGACGCGGAUGGGCGUUAACAUUUCCGUACAUUAUUCGUACAUAAUCCAUUAUGUGUAAAAAAUACAUGACAAGUUAACCAGAGAAAAGAUACACCUCUGUUAGCACCAUGGAUCAUAGAGGAUAUACCCCUUGGUGUCGACGGCGAAGCUUCAGAACGCGAAUCUGAAGCCGUGCGAGUUGAUGUUUUGAGACGCGCAUGACCGGAUCCCAUCCGAUCUAGAGGUCCAUGAGUGCCAUGCACCAAUCCGUGAACACCGUCGGUUGAGGAGUCCAUAACUUGUCGGCUGCCAGAUCGAGGACGACCGGCACCUGGAAGAUCGGCAAUUUGGAUAGGAGAACACCACUAGGGUCGUCGCGCUACCAUCCUUUCCCCAUCGGCGUCUCCCCACACAAGCUGAUCUCCACCUCUUGCAGAACGCCUGAAGGAAACCCCACCUCCUUCGGAUAUGGGCCUGCCGCCACCGCAGUAGAGGCCAGUGGCAGUGGCGGAAGGGGAGGCUGCAGUGGAUGGCUAUUGGCGGCGGCAUGGAGUUUUGCUCCUGGCGUCGCCUAGGGAGUGACGUGCACGAGUGAUCUGUCUCUUGCAGAUUGGUCUGUUGUAAUGAAGGCAUCUUGCCCCUUAUUUAUUUUUUCAAGAACAUGCAUGAGCAUUGCAUGUCCUUUGAAAGGGGGUUACAAGACGGACUGUAAGGCAAGGACGGACGCAGGCAACAUGGAUGAACAAUGGACGCAGGCAAGGUGGACUUGCGCAGAAAAACCCUAGCGAUCCGAUCAAGCCAGAUGGAUCGUAGGGUUGCAGCAAUGCGGGUGUUGAGCUCUCUAUGCCAGUUAGACGGAGUUUAAGCCCCUAUCGUCGGCCACUAGUCUGCCAAGGAGGCAGAGCCAUCGGGUGUGAACCUGUGCAAACGCAGGGGGAGGAGCAUGUGAUACAAAACUUCCCUGGAAAAGGGGCAUCCAAGCAGCAUAUGCGUCAUGUCUUCAUCCACAUGGCAGCAUAGCUGGCAAAGCCUGGUAUGAGGCAGGUUUCGGUGCGUGAGCCUAUCCGCUGUCCAUAGUCGACCUCGCACCGCCAACCAAAUGAAGUUCUUGAUCCCCAGGGGGGGCCAUGACCUCCAGAUCACAUCAGCAAGGGAUCCCGCUCCUUCGCGAGGAAGAAGGAGGCAUAUGUUUUGCAAGGAAGAAGCCCGCUCCCAUAGCUCCAAGAAUUCCGCUAUCGCUGGUAUGGAGGGGGUGCGUCGGAUCUCGUCAACCCAUGCGUUGCCAAGAAGGGCUUGCGCCACGCACAUUGCCCUGCCUGCGGGCCUGAUGAAGGGAAGCGGGUGGGGAGCGAUCUGUGUGACGCUACGGCCGUCGAUCCACCGGUCAUGCCAGAAGUUUACUCGCUCACCAUUUCCAACCUGGCAGCAGAGAGCCGCAAGCGCAAGGCUCUGACUCGCAUGUGGAAUGGGCAUUUACAGCCCCAACCAAGGCUUGUCCAGCGUCGUCUUCUCAAACCACACCCAACGCAUGCGGAGAGCCUCGUUCAGCAGGGACUUGCCCCUUAUUUCAAUGGUGCCAAACUAGAAGACCCUUGCAUGUGUUUUAUUUCGACGGGAUCUAAUUAUAAAGAACUAUUGGAUCAAACUUUCCUGACCAUAUUGUUUAUGGUUUUGAUAAUUGUCAGCCGACUGAGAAAGUAAGUCUCAGUCGAUUCUAUUAUCAUCAGAUAUUUUGGUUUGUGGAAAGUAAGUCUCUGUGGAAGUGAGGCCAUUAGAGAUUUGAUGGUGGAUAGAGGUCGGGCCCUGGUGCGGGGUUUCUGUCUUUCGCUUUGUCCGUGGAGUCGCCACUCGCAGGCCACCGGCAUUGGCAUGCCGUUCCUGGUGCAGCUUGCACUGGUUGGUGUCCCGGCGAACGCCUGGACUCAGCGGGCUGCGCAAGAGGUCCUGCGCGGAACUGGCGUCGUGGUCAAGGUGGUCGACAGCACGGCUCGGCGCCAUGACAUGUCGCGGUUCCGCGUUUCGCUAAAGACGGAUGACCCGGACCGAAUUCCUGUUCGCCGCAUCCUAGUCGUGGAAGAAUCGUCCAGCUUGCGUGGCCAUGGGCGCGUGGAGGGCGUCGACGCUCUAUGGUAUCCCGUGGAGAUCAUCCGAGAAGCGCCACCUGUCAGGCCGGGUGGCAGCACGUCCGGUCACCACCCACCCCCUCCAUCGCCGCCGUCUGCGAACGGGGAUGAGGAAGAUGACAGGCAUUCCCGUCAUGGGCGCGAUGGGUAUGUGCCUCGGGGGCCUCCGCCUCGUAGGCCAGUGGGAUCUCCGCUGUCCUCGAUGGCGUCUGCGCCGCCGGCGAGGUCGCAUGGGUGCACGCCGCCUCCGGGUGACGGGGGCCCCGUGGGCUAGGGCGGACCCGUGCAGCCAUCCCAAGGGGCUGACAUCAGGCGGUCAAGCCUGGGGGUGGACCAAGUGGAAAGACAGGGCGGUCUUCUCAUAGGGCGACACGUGGAAAGCCAGGCCAGGGUGGACCAGGAGGAGGCACGGGAAAACGUGGCUAUGGGACAGGGCGGGUUGCCCCUCGCCGCUCCAAUCCCCUCGCUCGUGUCGUCUUGCGGCUCUAGAAGGAUCUGCCACCAACCGGAGGGAGACAAUGAGUCAUCUGCGCAGUGUCCUGUCUCGAUGAACCAACACAACGGCAGGAUGGGACGACCGGAUUCUGGGCUGGCCCUGCUGGUUGGACCCGCGCGUAGCCCGAGGAUGGGUGGUUGUACCACCGCCAACGCCACCAUCAACCCAGAACGCUCCAUCCUCAUUGGCGAUUGGGAUCUGGACCUGCCAGUAGAUGCCAAUCGGGACCCCACAUGCCUGCCACGGCAUGAUCUCAUGCUCGAUUCCCUGGGGGACAGCCAGGUUGGUGGGGACAGGGGAUCGCCCUCAUUCCCCACGCUAGAUGGCGACACAACAAUUGGCGAGCCAACACCAGUGGAGGGUUUGCAUGCAUGCAAGAUGGCAGCCACGAGCGAGGAGGUGUGGACUCCGGUUGCAGAUCCAUGUGACGAGCUGAACCAAUUUUGUACCUCUGCCCGGAGAAUCCUGGACCCAGUUCUUGCCAAGCCUGCGGACCGUGCACCACCACAAGACAAGAGAAGACCAAGGAAAAAACGGGCACCGGUCUCGAGCCCGAGAAGGAGUGUGCGCCUGGCCAAGGGUCCGGGAAGGCGCUCGGUAGGUUCAAAACAGCAGCAUGUCCUAAUCCGGAGACUGUGCCUUGCAAACGAAGCGGAGGUGAUCACGGACGAAGCGCUACAACUCUAUGUGGAUCUCUUCUCCAAGCCGCAUAACGACCAUCACAUCGCGGCGAUACUGGUGCUGUUUGGGUGGGAGGGACCGGCUCUCCCCCUCCAGGAGGAAGUGCCAGAGGUAGAUGCGCGGUGAUACGUCUCCAAUGUAUCUAUAGUUUGGUUUGGCCUACUAGAUUGGUCUUUCUUUCCAUGGGAGAAGUGCUUAGCUUUGGGUUCAAUCUUGCGGUGUUCUUACCCAGUGACAAAAAAGGUUGCAAUACACGUAUUGUAUUGUUGCGCAUCAAGGCGGAGUGCGCCAUUAGUAUGACAAAGCACAUGGUUACAUAUGCCCCCCCGGGAGGCAUACUAAUGGCGCAUUGUGUUACAUACUAAUGGCACACUGCUUGGUGCGCCAUUAGUAUACCAGAUACUAAUGGCGCACCAGCGAUGCACCAUUAGUAAAAAAUUCUAGUGGCGUGCUACUAAUGGCGCACCGGUAGUGCGCCAUUAGUAGGAAAAACUGGUGGGCCAUUAGUAGGCCUUUUCCUAGUAGUGCACAUUGAUAUCUAUUAAUGGGCAUCUCCUUAUAGCCCAUUAGUACGCCUAGUUGAUGUGAGACAAUCUUAUCCCUCUUUUUGUCCUUACAACCACCAAAUACCACCAUAGUGUUAUGUCCAUGGCUUAUGCUCAUGUAUUGCGUAAGAGUUGAAAAAGCUGAAGCGCGUUAAAAAGUAUGAACCAAUUGCUUGGCUCGUCAUCGGGAUUGUACAUGAUGGGAGUAUCUUGUGUAAUGAAAAUGAAGCAUGGCCUAACUAUAUGAUUUUAUAGGGAUAAGCUUUCUUUGGCUAUGCUAUUUUGAUAGGACAUGAUUAUUUGUUAGUAUGCUUUGAAGCAUUAUUAUUAUUAUGUUUAAUAAGAUUUUAUCUUGAAUAAUUUGGAUCUGAACAUUCAUGCCACAUGAAAGGAAAUUACAUGAUGAAUUAUGCUAGGUAGAAUUCCACAUCAAAAAUUUCUUUUUUAUCAUUUACCUACUCGAGGACGAGCAGGAAUUAAGCUUGGGGAUGCUUGAUACGUCUCCAAUGUAUCUAUAAUUUUUGAUUGUUCCAUGCUAUUAUAUUACCCUUUUUGGAUGUUUAUGGGCUUUAUUCUACACAUUUAUAUCAUUUUUGGGACUAACCUACUAACCGGAGGCCCAGCCCGUAUUGCUGUUUUUUUGCCUAUUUCAGUAUUUCGAAGAAAAGGAAUAUCAAACGGAGUCCAAACGGAAUGAAACCUUCGGGAGCGUGAUUUUUGGAACGAACAAGAUCCGGAGAGCUUGGAGUGCAAGUCAAGAAGCUCCCGAGGACCCCACGAGAUAGGNNNNNNNNNNNNNNNNNNNNNNNNNNNNNNNNNNNNNNNNNNNNNNNNNNNNNNNNNNNNNNNNNNNNNNNNNNNNNNNNNNNNNNNNNNNNNNNNNNNNNNNNNNNNNNNNNNNNNNNNNNNNNNNNNNNNNNNNNNNNNNNNNNNNNNNNNNNNNNNNNNNNNNNNNNNNNNNNNNNNNNNNNNNNNNNNNNNNNNNNNNNNNNNNNNNNNNNNNNNNNNNNNNNNNNNNNNNNNNNNNNNNNNNNNNNNNNNNNNNNNNNNNNNNNNNNNNNNNNNNNNNNNNNNNNNNNNNNCGUAGGGCGCGCCCCCUGUCUCGUGGGACCCUCGUGCGUCCACCGACGUACUUCUUCCUCUUAUAUAUACCUACGGACCCCGAAAACAUCCAGAAGCACCACGAAACACAAUUUCCACUGCUGUAACCUUCUGUAUCCGCGAGAUCCCAUCUUGGAGCCUUCGCCGGCACUCUGCCGGAGGGGGAAUCGACCAUGGAGGGCCUCUACAUCAACAUCAUUGCCUCUCUGAUGAGUUGUGAGUAGUUUACCACAGACAUACGGGUCCAUAGUUAUUAGCUAGAUGGCUUCUUCUCUCUUUUUGGAUCUCAAUACAAUGUUCCGCCCCUCUCUUGUGGAGAUCUAUUCAAUGUAAUCUCUUUUUGCGGUGUGUUUGUCGAGAUCCGAUGAAUUGUGGGUUUAUGAUCAGACUUAUCUAUGGAUAAUAAUUGAAUCUUCUCUGAAUUCUUUUAUGUAUGAUUGAGUUAUCUUUGCAAGUCUCUUCGAAUUAUCAGUUUGGUUUGGCCUACUAGAUUGGUCUUUCUUGCCAUGGGAGAAGUGCUUAGCUUUGGGUUCAAUCUUGCGGUGUUCUUACCCAGUGACAGAAAGGGUUGCAAGACACGUAUUGUAUUGUUGCCAUCGAGGAUAACAAGAUGGGGUUUAUAUCAUAUUGCAUGAGUUUAUCCCUCUAGAUCAUGUCAACUUGCUUAAUGCAUUGCUCUGUUCUUAUGAACUUAAUACUCUAGAUGCAGGCAGGAGUCGGUCGAUGUGUGGAGUAAUAGUAGUAGAUGCAGGUAGGAGUCGGUCUACUUGUUAUGUACGUGAUGCCUAUAUACAUGAUCAUGCCUAGAUAAUCUCAUAACUAUGCUCUUUUCUAUCAAUUGCUCGACAGUAACUUGUUCACCCACCGUAAUACUUAUGCUAUCUCGAGAGAAGCCUCUAGUGAAACCUAUGGCCCCCGGGUCUAUCUCUUAUCAUAUUUGCUUUCAAUCUACUUUUAUUUGCAUCUUUACUUUUUGCAUCUGUAUUAUAAAAUACCAAAAAUAUAUUUAUCUUAUCAUACUAUCUCUAUCAGAUCUCACUUUCGCAAGUGGCCAUGAAGGGAUUGAUAACCCCUUUAUUGCGUUGGUUGCGAGUUCUCAGUUUGUUUGUGUAAGUGCGUGAGACUUUUGAGGAGCCUCCUACUGGAUUGAUAUCUUGGUUCUCAAAACUGAGGGAAAUACUUACGAUACACUUGCUGCAUCACCUCUCCUCUUCGGGGAAAACCAACGCUAGCUCAAGACAUAGCAAGAAGGAUUUUUGGAGCCGUUGCCGGGGAGGUCUUCGCUCAAGUCAAGACAUACCAAGUACCCAUCACAAACCCAUCUCCCUCGCUUUUACAUUAUUUGCCUCUCAUUUUCCUCUCCCCCACUUCACCCUUGUCGUUUUAUUCGCCCUAUCUUUCCCAAUCUCCUCCUCUCUUUUUGCUUGCCGUUUUUCUGUUUGCUUGUGUGUUGGAUUACUUGUUGCCAUGGCGCAAGAUAAUACCAAAUUGUGUGAUUUCUCGAAUACCAAUACUAAUGAUUUCAUUAGUACUCCGAUUGCUCCUCUUAAUGAUGUUGAGUCUUGUGAAAUCAAUGCUGCUUUGCUGAAUCUCGUUAUGAAAGAUCAACUUGCCGGCCUUCCUAGUGAAGAUGCCGCUACUCAUCUAAAUAAUUUUGUUGAUUUGUGUGAUAUGCAAAAGGAGAAAGACACGUAGAACAAUAUUGUCAAAUUGAAGUUAUUUCCAUUUUCACUUAGAGAUCGUGCCAAAGUUUGGUUUUCGUCUUUGCCUAAAAAUAGUAUUGUUUCUUGGAACAAGUGCAAAGAUGCUUUUAUCUCUAAGUAUUUCCCUCCCGCUAAGAUUAUCACUAUUAGAAACGAUAUCAUGAAUUUUAAACAACUUGAUCAUGAGCAUGUUGCCCAAUUUUGGGAAAGAAUGAAAUUGAUGCUUCGCAAUUUGCCCUACUCAUGGUUUGAAUUUAUGGAUGAUCAUACAAAAAUUUUAUGCCGGUUUGAACUUUUCUUGUAGAAAUCUUUUAGAUUCGGCCACGGGAGGCACGUUUAUGGAAAUCACGUUAGGAGAUGCUACAAAACUUCUUGAUAAUAUUAUGGAAAAUUAUUCUCAAUGGCACACGGACAAAUCUUCUAGUAAAAAAGUGCAUGCUAUAGAAGAAAUCAAUAUUCUGAGUGGAAAGAUGGAUGAACUUAUGAAGAUGUUUGCCACUAAAAAUACUCCUCUUGAUCCUAAUGAUAUGCCUUUGUCUUCUUUGAUUGAGAAUAAUAAUGAGUCUAUGGAUGUGAAUUUUGUUGGUAGGAAUAGUUUUGGAAACAAUGCCUAUAGAGGAAACUUUAAUGCUAGACCGUUCCCUAGUAAUCUCUCUAAUAAUUAUGGAAAUUCCUACAAUAAUUCUUAUGGUAACUUUAAUAAGAUGCCCUCUGAUUUUGAGAAUAGUGUGAAAGAAUUUAUGAUUUCUCAAAAGAAUUUUAAUGAUUUGCUUGAAGAAAAAUUGCUCAAAGUUGAUGAUUUGGCUAGGAACGUUGAUAGACUUUCGCUUGAAGUUGAUUCUCUUAAAAUUAGAUCUUCCCCUCCUAAGCAUGAUAUCAGUGAGUCUCUCAAAGUAACGAGAAUUUCCAUUGACGAUUGCAAGGAAAGAACCGCUAGAUUGCGUGCUAAAGAAGAAAGCUUUAUAAAAGUGUGUUCUUGUAGUUUCCGUGAAAAUAAUGAUGAGGAUCUUAAAGUUAUCAAUACGUCUCCGAUUAGAUCUAUGUUUUGCAAUAUGAAUUUUGAUGAUUAUGGGACUGAUGAUGAAUCAACUUUGCCUAAAAGGAGCCCCAAGAAUUCGGAGUCUUUAGAUCUUAAUGCUAAAUUUGGUAGGAGUGAGAUUGGAGAAUCCUCAACUUCUAGUAAUGUUGAACCCACUAUCUCGGAUCUCAAGGAAUUUGAAUAUGAUAAUUGCUCUUUAAAAGGUUGUAUUUCCUUGUUACAAUCCGUUGUUAGUUAUCCUCACGCUUAUAGUCAAAAUAAAGCUUUGACCAAACAUAUUGUGGAUGCCUUGAUGCAAUCUUAUGAUGAAAAACUUAAUUUGGAAGUUUCUAUACCUAGAAAACUUAAUGAUGAGUGGGAACCUACUAUAAAGAUUAUAAUUAAAGAUUAGGAGUGUUUUGCUUUGUGUGAUUUGGGUGCUAGUGUUUCCACGAUUCCGAAAACUUUAUGUGAUAUUCUAGGUUUCCUUGAUCUUGAAGAUUGCUCUUUAAAUUUGCACCUUGCGGAUUCCACCAUUAAAAAGCCUAUGGGAAGGAUCAAUGAUUUUCUUAUUGUUGCAAAUAGAAAUUUGGUGCCCGUAGAUUUUAUCGUUCUUGAUAUAGAUUGCAAUCUUUCUUGUCCUAUUAUUCUUGGUAGACCUUUCCUUAGAACGAUUGGUGCGAUUAUUGAUAUGAAGGAAGGGAACAUUAGAUUCCAAUUUCCCUUAAAGAAAGGCAUGGAGCACUUUCCAAGAAAGAAAGUCAAAUUACCUUAUGAAUCUAUCAUGCGUUCUACUUAUGAAUCAAGUGCCAAAGAUGGCACUAUUUGAAUGAAUCUUCGCUUUUAUGCCUAGCUAGGGGCGUUAAACAAUAGCACUAGUUGGGAGGCAACCCAAUUUUUCUUUACGUUUUUUGUUUUUUCUCCUGUUUAGUAAUAAAUCUUGCAUCCACUCUCUGUUUAGAUGUGUUUUUAUCUUGUAGUUAGUGUUUGUGCCAAGUAGAACCUAUAGGAUAAACUAUGAUGAUAGUUGAUUUGAUUCUGGUGAAAAACAGAAACUCUGCGCUCACGAGAAAACAUUCAAUAAAUCACAGAAAAGUGAUUUUGCAUUGACUCUUUUUGCUGCUGAUCAAUAAACAAAUUUUCCAGCACGUCCUAUUUUGGUAGGAUUUUUAGAGUUCCAGAAGUUUGCGUUAGUUACAGAUUGCUACAGACUGUUCUGUUUUUGACAGAUUCUGUUUUUCGUGUGCUGUUUGCUUAUUUCAAUGCAUGUAUGGCUAGUAAAUUAGUUUAUAAACCAUAAUGAAGUUUGAAUACAGUAGGUUUAACACCAAAAUAAAUAAAUAAUGAGUUCAUGGCAGUACCUUAUGUGGUGGUUUUGUUUUCUUUCACUACGGAGCUUAUAAGAUUUCCUGUUGAGUUUUGUGUUGUGAAGUUUUCAAGUUUUGGGUAAAGCUUUUAUGGACUAUGGAAUAAGGAAUGGAAAGAGCCUAAGCUUCGGGAUUACCAUGGCACCCCAAAAUAUUCAAGGAUAGGAAAAAGCCUAAGCUCGGGGAUGCCCUGGGAAGGCAUCCCCUCUUUCGUCUUCGUUCAUUGGUAACUUUACUUGGAGCUAUAUUUUUAUUCGCCACAUGAUAUGUGUUUUGCUUGGAGCGUCGUGUAUUAUAUUAGUCUUUGCUUUUUAGUUUACCACAAUCAUCCUUGCUGCAAACACCUUUUGGGAGAAGCCUAUUUGAUUAGAAUUUGCUAGAAUACUCUAUGUGCUUCAAUUAUAUCUUUUGAGCCUGAUAGUUUAUGCUCUAGCGCUUCACUUAUAUCUUUUAGAGCAAGGCGGUGGAAUAAUUUUGAUGAAAUUGCUAGUAUCUCAUGCUUCACUUAUAUUAUUUUGAGAGUCUUUUAGAACAGCAUGGUAUUUGCUAUGGUUACAAAGUUGGUCUUAGAAUGAUGAGCAUCCAAGUUGGGUAUAAUAAAAACUAGCAUAGAAAAAGAAUUGGAUGCUAUGAUCAACUUGAUGCUUGAUAAUUGUUUUGAGAUAUAAAGGUAGUAAUGUUAGGAUCAUGCUAGUGGGUAAUUAUGAAAUUGAGAAAUACUUUUGUUGAAGUUGGCAAGUCCCGUAGCAUGCACGUAUGUUAAAAGUUGCAUGACAAAUUUGUUGCAUGCGUUGCUCUUUUGAGUGUCUUCCUCAUGAGUGGCAGUCGGGGACGAGCGAUGGAAUUUUUCCUACCAAUCUAUCCCUCUUGGGGCGUGCGUAGUAGUACUUUGCUUCGAGGGCGAAGUAGACUUUUGCAAUAAGUAUAUGAGUUCUUUUUUUGACUAAUGUGAGUCCAUGGACAUAUGCACACUUAUCCUUUUACUUUGCUAGCCUUUAUUAUUACCGCGCAACUCUCGCCGCUAUUGAACCCUUUAUUUACCUUCCUCAAAACAGCCACCAUAUGUACCUAUUAUUGCAUUUCCAUAGCCAUUCCGAGAUAUAUUGACAUGCAACUUUCCACCAUUCCGUUUAUUAUGACACGUUCCAUCAUUGCCAUAGUGCUCUUUGCAUGAUCAUGUAGUUGACAUUGUAUUUGUGGCAAGGCCACCUUCAUAAUCUUCAUACAUGUCACUCUUGAUUUAUUGCAUAUCCCGGUACACCGCCGGAGGCAUUCACAUAGAGUCCUAUCUUCUUUGAGUUGUAAUUUUUGAGUUGUAAAUUCAUAAAAGUGUGAUGAUCUUCAUUAUUGGAGCAUUGUCCUAGUGAGGAAAGGAUGAUGAAGGCUAUGAUUCCCCCACAAGUCGGGAUGAGACUUCGGACUUUACAAAAAGAAAGAAAAAAAUGAGAAAAUAUUUUUUUUGAGAAAGGCCAAAAAUAAAAAAAAAUAGGCCAAAGAAAAAAAGAGAGAAAAAGAAAGAAAGAAAAAAAGAAAAAAAUAAUGAAAUGAGAGAAAAGAGAGAAGGGACAAUGCUACUGUCUCUUUUUCCACACUUGUGCUUCAAAAUAGCACCAUGAUCUUCACGAUAGAGAGUCUCAUAUGUUGUCACUUUCAUAUACUAGUCGGAAUUUUUCGUUAUAGAACUUGGCUUGUAUAUUCCAAUGAUGGGCUUCCUCAAAGUGCCCUAGGUCUUCGUGAGCAAGCAAGUUGGAUGCACACCCACUUAGUUUCUUUCGUUAGGCUUUCAUAUAUUUAUAGCUCUAGUGCAUCCGUUGGGUGGCAAUCCCUACUCACUCACAUUGACAUCUAUUAAUGGGCAUCUCCUUAUAGCCCAUUAGUACGCCUAGUUGAUGUGAGACUAUCUUAUUCCUUUUUUUGUCCUUACAACCACCAAAUACCACCAUAGUGUUAUGUCCAUGGCUUAUGCUCAUGUAUUGCGUAAGAGUUGAAAAAGCUGAAGCGCGUUAAAAAGUAUGAACCAAUUGAUUGGCUCGUCAUCGGGAUUGUACAUGAUGGGAGUAUUUUGUGUAAUGGAAAUGAAGCAUGGCCUAACUAUAUGAUUUUGUAGGGAUAAGCUUUCUUUGGCUAUGCUAUUUUGAUAGGACAUGAUUAUUUGUUAGUAUGCUUUGAAGCAUUAUUAUUAUUAUGUUUUAUAAGAUUUUAUCUUGAAUCAUUUGGAUCUUUACAUUCAUGCCACAUGAAAGAAAAUUACAUUAUGAAUUAUGCUAGGUAGCAUUCCACAUAAAAAUUUUCUUUUUUAUCAUUUACCUACUCGAGGACGAGCAGGAAUUAAGCUUGGGGAUGCUUGAUACGUCUCCAACGUAUCUAUAAUUUUUGAUUGUUCCAUGCUAUUAUAUUACCCUUUUUGGAUGUUUAUGGGCUUUAUUCUACACAUUUAUAUCAUUUUUGGGACUAACCUACUAACCGGAGGCCCAACCCGUAUUGUUAUUUUUUUUGCCUAUUUCAGUAUUUCGAAGAAAAGGAAUAUCAAGCGGAGUCCAAACGGAAUGAAACCUUCGGGAGCAUGAUUUUUGGAACGAACAAGAUCCAUAGAGCUUGGAGUGCAAGUCAAGAAGCUCCUGAGGACCCCACGAGAUAGGGGGCCAGGCUCCCUGUGUAGGGCGCGCCCCCUGUCUUGUGGGACCCUCGGGCAUCCACCGAUGUACUUCUUCCUCCUAUAUAUACCUACGGACCCCAAAAACAUCUAGGAGCACCACGAAACACAAUUACCACCGCCGUAACCUUCUGUAUCCGCGAGAUCCCAUCUUGGAGCCUUCGCUGGCACUCUGCCGAAGGUGGAAUCGACCAUGGAGGGCCUCUACAUCAACAUCCUUGCCACUUCGAUGAGUUGUGAGUAGUUUACCACAGACCUACGGGUCCAUAGUUAUUAGCUAGAUGGCUUCUUCUCUCUUUUUGGAUCUCAAUACAAUGGUCUCCCCCUCUCUUGUGGAGAUCUAUUCGAUGUAAUCUCUUUUUGCGGUGUGUUUGUCGAGAUCCGAUGAAUUGUGGGUUUAUGAUCAGAUUUAUCUAUGGAUAAUAAUUGAAUCUUCUCUGAAUUCUUUUAUGUACGAUUGAGUUAUCUUUGCAAGUCUCUUCGAAUUCUCAGUUUGGUUUGGCCUACUAGAUUGGUCUUUCUUGCCAUGGGAGAAGUGCUUAGCUUUGGGUUCAAUCUUGCGGUGUUCUUACCCAGUGACAAAAAGGGUUGCAAGACACGUAUCGUAUUGUUGCCAUCGAGGAUAACAAGAUGGGGUUUAUAUCAUAUUGCAUGAGUUUAUCCCUCUAUGUCAUGUCAUCUUGCUUAAUGUGUUGUUCUGUUCUUAUGAACUUCAUACUCUAGAUGCAGGCAGUAGUCGGUCGAUGUGUGGAGUAAUAGUAGUAGAUGCAGGCAGGAGUCGGUCUACUUGUUAUGGACGUGAUGCCUAUAUACAUGAUCAUGCCUAGAUAAUAUCAUAACUAUGUGCUUUUCUAUCAAUUGCUCGACAGUAAUUUGUACACCCACCGUAAUACUUAUGCUAUCUCGAGAGAAGCCUCUAGUGAAACCUAUGGCCCCCGGGUCUAUCUCUUAUCAUAUUUGCUUUCAAUCUACUUUUAUUUGCAUCUUUACUUUUUGCAUCUAUAUUAUAAAAUACCAAAAGUAUAUUUAUCUUAUCAUACUAUCUCUAUCAGAUCUCUCUUUCGCAAGUGGCCGUGAAGGGAUUGACAACCCCUUUAUUGCAUUGGUUGCGAGUUCUUAGUUUGUUUGUGUAGGUGCGUGGGACUUUUUAGGAGUCUCCUACUGGAUUGAUACCUUGGUUCUCAAAACUGAGGGAAAUACUUACGCUACACUUGCUGCAUCACCCUCUCCUCUUCGGGGAAAACCAACACUAGCUCAAGACGUAGCACGCGGUAUUGAUCUGCGCAUGCUUGGUGGCUUUGGUAGGACUAGAUCAUGGAAUCAGAGCCUUACAAAGUCCUUGUGUGGAACGUGCGCGGGCUAAACUCGCCCGCUAGGCGUAGUGCCGUGUACCAGGUCGUGGAUAUGAUUAGGCCGGCUAUAGUGUGUCUUCAGGAGACAAAGGUCGAACACUUGACCGUGGAUGUUGUUCGGCACUGCCUGGGAAUUAAUCUAGAGAAUUUCUUCUACUUGCCGGCCUCCGGAACGAGGGGUGGAAUCCUACUGGCUUGGGAUGAGACAAUUGUCGGACUAUCCAACCCGCAUCGCACCAUGAACACGAUAACUGUCUUGGUGAAGCCCAAGAUCGGUGGGCAUUGGUGGUUCACCGGUGUGUAUGGCCCGCAGACUAACAUGGACAAGGUCGCAUUCAUGCAAGAGCUGGUAGAUGUACAUGAGUUACACGCUGGCCCGUGGGCAAUCAUGGGUGACUUUAAUCUGUUGGUGAACCCUCAAGACAAGAACAAUGACGCGAUCAAUCGGCGAAUGAUAGCCAGGUUUAGAAACAAGGCGAACCAACUGGAAGUGAAAGAGAUGUACCUCAACGGCCGCAAGUUCACUUGGUCCAAUGAACGGCAGCGCCCAACCAAGGAGAAGAUUGACCACGUGUUCACAACUAACUGCUGGGAUGAUGCCCAUCCAGCUGCUCUGCUCACUGCCCUAGGAUCAGCGCUCUCGGACCACUAUCCGCUCCUCCUGGACAUCAACGCAGACUUUGCAUACGGGAAGCACUUCAGGUUCGAAUCCUUUUGGCCAAAGGCAGAAGGCUUCUAUGAAACUGUGGAAACUGCAUGGGGAUCGGUAAGCUCGGAAGGAAACGCCUUCGCCGUGUUGGACAACAAGCUUUGGGCAACGGCGAAAGAACUCCAGCGGUGGAGUGAUAGGUGGAUUUGGAACAUUAGGCUACAGAUCGCGAUCGCGCUGCAGGUGAUUGCUAGGCCGAAUGGGGCAAUGGACUCACGGAUUCUGACGGAUCAAGAGAGGGGCCUGCGCAAUGACCUCAAGAAAAUGCUCCUUGGCUUAUGCUCGUUAUAGUGCACAAUUGUGAGGCAAAUAUCGCGGUUACUCCAGCUAAAAGAGGGGGAGGCGAAAUCGGCCUUCUUUCAUCGCCAGGCGAGCCACAGGCAGAGGAAGAACGUGAUCCUCUCGAUCGUCCCUGAGAACCAGGUGCACACGGGGCAGGAGAAUAUUGCAAAUGCGGUGGAUACAUACUUCACGAGGCUCCUCGGGUCAUCCACCGAACGGGCACAUGGUCUUAACAUGGAGAUGUUGCAGCUGCCUGUUCACGACUUGGCACACCUGGAAGAGCCGUUCUCGGAGCAGGAAGCGGCGCAUGUAAUCAAGAGUAUGCCACUCGACAAGGCGCCAGGGCCUGACGGCUUCACGGGGCAAUUUUACACUACUUGUUGGACUAUCAUCAGAGAUGAUUUCAUGAGAGCCCUGCAGGAGUUUCAUGGUGGAGAUAUGUGUGGAUUACAUGCGAUCAAUAGAGCUACAGUCACAUUGCUUCCAAAAAAGCCAGGGGUAGUGGACAUUCGCGAGUUCAGGCUGGUGAGGCUCAACCAUGGCGCAAUCGAAAUCUUCGACAAGAUCCUAGCCAUGAGGCUUGCGGACGAUCUGCCUCACCUGAUCGGGAACCACUAGAGCGCCUUUGUCCGGGGACGAACACUCCACGAAAACUUUAUGCUUGUGCAAGGCACGGCUCGCAGGUUGCAAACUAGACAUAUCCAAAGCCUUUGACACCGUGCCGUGGCCGUUUUUGGUGGAGUGUUGUCGGCGCUUGGUUUUGGACAGAAAUGGCUCGCCUGGAUAUGUGGUUUGUUGGCGACGUCCACCACCAAGAUCGCUGCCAAUGGCAUUGCAGAGGAGACCAUAUACAAUUGCCAAGGCUUGAGACAAGGCAGCCCCCUCUCUCCCAUGCUAUUCAUCCUAUGCAUGGAGAGCCUUUGCACUACUUGUUUGAGUGCGCGUCCACAGCCGGACUGCUUGCCCCUCUCGGCAGAUCUGGGCUGCAGCAGCAUGUCUCCAUGUACACUGAUGACAUCAUGGUGUUCCUGAAACCAUAAGUGAGAGAUAUGCGGGCAUGCGCUACCGUCACUACAAGAAAUAUGUCAACUAGUGACGUUAUGUCAGUGAACCUGGAAGAAUUGGUCAUAGAUCUAUGACCAUUUGAGACCAAUUGGUCAAAAACCGUUCGGGCGGCUCCAAACCCUAAACCAUUGCGACCAUUUUGGUCAGAAAGGUCGUAAUUUCCUUACACGAAAUGUUCACAAAGCAAACAGUGUUGGUCCGUUGCCUUAUUUCUAGUUGUUAACGACCAAUAUAGAUGGUCAUAGCCUUGUAGAUUGUGGUGGGUUGUGAUGACUUGGCGCCAUCUCAUCAGUUUUGCCUAUGUGGCAUGUCCAUGUGUCAAUUUUUGCCCUAGGUUGUGAAGCAACCUAUACUUCUGUUAUUCCAAAAAUUCCCAAAAAAUUCUCAUAAAUUGUUUGGAUCAUAUCUUCAUCAAAUAUGUCAAAAACCUUCCUGGCCUAUUUCGAAAAUAACUCAACAAUAUUCAUUUUCCUAUCCUGUUCAAAGCAGCACUUUGUGAAGGAAGUACCACUUUGGCAUGUCCAAAUGGUAUCCAUUUUCUACGGUGCUUUCCUAUGCCCAAAUAACCAUCCUCCACCAAAUGCCAGAUCAAUCCAUUCAUUAUUUUGAGCCCAGCUUCAACAUUCAUAUUUAUGUCCAGUGUGGUACUUUGCAAAGCAAGUACCACCUAGGCUCCUCCUUUUGAGGUGAAAAUUUGUGAAGAUGGUCUUCUUAAUAACUGAUCAUCCUCAGCCGAAACUCACGCCCAUUAGCCAUGUGCUCCUCCUUAUGUUGUGACUUUCUUCCUAGCACCUACCUGGGGAGUGCCCAACCCACUAGACAUGCCUAGGCCGCCCAGAACACAUGGCAACGCCACCGUCACGCGGUGACCACACGGCGGGCAUGCGAGCUUACGCGCUCUAGAGUUGGGGCCAUCGGCCACCGUCCAAACCUCGAUGUCUCGCCAUCAAACCAUGUAUUUCUGAUUAAAUAGAUACUUAUUAACCUAGAAAUUAUUUUUGAAAAAAAUAAAGAGAAAACUAUGAGGCAGUUGCAGUUCAAAUUUGACCCGCUUCCAGCUGAAUCGACGGGAAUUUGUCUUUUUCACCAGAGAUCGAUCAAAAAAUUUGACACCCAACCAUUUUGUCAGUUGUGCAUUAAAUAUGGCCUAGUAUUUUAUAAAAUUGUUUAGGUCCAAUUUUGCAACAAAUAUGUGGUAGGUCCUUCACAAAAAAACUCAUUUCGGGCACUCGGCAAAUGGAAAAUGAAUUUUCCGUGCAAAGAAAAUGAAAAAUACCUUAGGCAACAUUGUUUGGAAUUCAAAGAUGCACCCUUGUGCAUAAUAUGAGAUCAUUUGAACAAACUAUGCCAUGAAUGUGGCCAUAAGAUUGAUCAUUUGGCUUGAAAGCCAUGAGUUUUCACACUUGAUAGCUCAUUUCUGAGAACACUUUUUUAAAAUAAUUAAUGUAUUACAAGUUUAUUGUUUUCCCUGGAAACUUGGUCACAUAUAAUGACACAAUGCGAAGGUUUUCCAAUUUUUUUAUUUUUUUUAUUUUUUAUGCCCAUUUCAAAAAGCGGUCAAAACGGCAGGCUUGACCGUUCCUAUCUAGUGGUUGAAUCUUGGAAUUUUUUUGGUGUUUCUCUGAUUGAAUAGAUACUUAUUUACCUAGAAAUGAUUUUUGGAAAAAAUAAAUAGCAAACUACGAGGCAGCUGCAUUUCAAAUUUGACCCGCUUCCAACUGAGUCGACGAGAAUUUGUCUUUUUCACCAGCGGUGAAUCAAAAAAUUUGACACCCAACCAUUUGGUCAAUUGUGCAUUAAAUAUGGCUUAGUAUUUUAUAAAUUUAUUAGGUCCAAUUUUGCAACAAAUAUAUGGUAGGUCCUUCACAAAAAAACUCAUUUUGGGCACUCGGAAAAUGAAAAAUGAUUUUUUCAGCCAUUGAAAAUGAAAACUUCCUUAGGCAACAUUGUUUGUCAUUCCAAUAUGCACCCUUGUGCACAAUAUGAGAUCAUUUGAACAAACUAUGCCAUGAAUGUGGCCAUAAGAUUCAUCAUUUGGCUUGGAAGCCAUUGAUCUCCACACAUGGUAGUUCGUUUCUGAGAACACUUUUUAAAAAUAAUUGAUGUAUUACAAGUUUAUUAUUUUUCGUAAUAACUUGGUCACAUUUAAUAACACAAUGCGAAGGUUUUCCAAUUUUUUUAAUUUUUUUGAAUUUUUUAUGCCCGUUUGAAAAUGCGGUCAAAACAAUGGGCAUGACCGUUCAUAGCUAAGGGUCGAAUCUUGCAAAAAAUUUGAAGUAUCUCUGAUUAAAUAGAUACUUAUGUACCUAGAAAUUAUUUUUGAAAAAAAUAAAGAGAAAAGUAUGAGGCACCUGUAGUUCAAAUUUGACCCGCUUUCUACCGAAUCGGUGGAAAUUUGUUUAAAUGACCAAAAAUAGCUAGAAGGAUCGGAAAUGCAUAAAAAUUGGUAAACAUCCAUAAAAUGUGGUCUAUACUAAGUGAAAAAUUUAGUGAUGCCAAUUUGCAGAAUAGUUUUGGUAGUUGCUUCACAAAACCCCCCUGUUUUUAGCACUAAGAAAUAAUUUUAUAUUUUCGAACCAAUCAAGAGGCAGCCCAUGGAUCGGCCCCCACUAUAGUUGAUCUAAGCCGUCCACACCCUCCCUCAGUCCCUCGAUCCAGCGUCUCUCGCUCACCUAUCCUAAACGCAUGCGCACGACACAUCUCCUCCCUCAGUCCCUCGAUCCAGAUCCAAAUCCACAUCGCCUCCGCCUCCCUCUCCCCGAUCCAAAUCGCCGCCGCCACCCCUCCGCCACCCAAUGCCAUCCAUCCUCCCUUCCUUUACCGGCGCCCCUUCCUCCCAACAACCUCUUUGCCCGCGGCCAUGGCAAGGAUCCGAAGCAGGUCAGCCGGCGGCGGCCAUGGCGCAUCUCUUCCUCACCCCAUAGCCGUCAGCGGCCAUGGCAGGUCACCAGAGACGGGCAGAGCGGGAGGGGUUCACGCCGUCGGGACAGAACCCCCCCCCCCUCUCUCUGACGACGCGGCCGGUGCGGGAGGGCUUCAACUCUUCUCAGGCGGGGCGGCCGUCGUCAAGGGGCACUAGUGGAUGUGCGGGCGCCACGUGAUGCGCCACUUCGAAGGGACUGCCACAGCCUUCCCGCUGACUUGUCAGCACCCAGCCCUCUUCCUUCCUUCUCCUCACGGCACGGCGCUGGCCUUUCCAAGCCGUUCUGUUGCGUGUGGAGUUCCUCUGCUCAUGCUUUGGCUGAUGUUUGUCAUGGUGUGCAGGGCGAAGAAGGCGAAUAAGGGGAGGUCGCCGCCGGCGGAGGAGAUGGAGGCCUUCUUUGCCGCGGCGGGGGGCGACGUCGCGCGACGCUUUAUUGCCAAGUGAGUACCGUGCAUGCAUGGGUUAGGCUUGGCAAUAGCUUCAUCCUACUAGUCCUAUGCUCUUGAGGAAAAGCUGCUGCGGAUUUAUAUGGGAGUAGCUUAGCAAUGCAUGCGUAGCAGUGGGCCUGUAAAUUCUGCUCAAGGAGCCUCUGGUGAAUAUCUCGGUUGUCAGUCAGUUUGGUGUUGCACACAGCACACGCACGCUCACACAGUAAAGAAAAAAAAGCCAAGCAUGUGCUUUUCCCUCCAAUUCUCUGUCGCCGUUUUUCUUUUUCUCUUGAUUGAAAAGGCCAGCUGCUGGUGCUAGUGUAUGAAGUAAUUUGAACAAAAUCAAAUCACCACACAUAUAGACUGUUCUGNNNNNNNNNNNNNNNNNNNNNNNNNNNNNNNNNNNNNNNNNNNNNNNNNNNNNNNNNNNNNNNNNNNNNNNNNNNNNNNNNNNNNNNNNNNNNNNNNNNNNNNNNNNNNNNNNNNNNNNNNNNNNNNNNNNNNNNNNNNNNNNNNNNNNNNNNNNNNNNNNNNNNNNNNNNNNNNNNNNNNNNNNNNNNNNNNNNNNNNNNNNNNNNNNNNNNNNNNNNNNNNNNNNNNNNNNNNNNNNNNNNNNNNNNNNNNNNNNNNNNNNNNNNNNNNNNNNNNNNNNNNUCUUUUGUAAAAAAAACUGAAUGGAUUGGGAGAUUUCUCAACAGCAAAGGGAAAAAUGGUUCCAACUUAAUUUUUGUAUCUGUCAAAUUAGCUCAAGCAAUUAUAUUUCCAGAAACAAAAAGUGAAGUUGGCAGAGCAGUACUAUUCCUAUUCUUUUCUAACGUUUGGAUCUUGUGCUUUGGAUUGAAGGUACAACUAUGACGUCGUCGCAGACGCUCCCAUGGAUGGGCAUCGGCAAGCUCCCAUGCUGAGAUCGACAAGCUCGACCUCGGCAUCGGUAAGUACAACGAGACUUGUCGCAGCAUCGUCACCAAGCACGUCGCCGAGUGGGAGGCCGUUGUCAUGCGCAUGGGGAGGUGGAUCGACUACAAGGCCGACUUGCAUGGGGAGGUGGUCCAUCGCCUUGGCCGUCCUGACCGUCGGCUUCUCUCCUCUAAGUUAUCCCACUGAUUCCUCCCCUCUGCUCAUCUCCCAUGCUCUAUGUGGUAAAUCUUAUGAUGGCCUUGGCGCCAUGGAAAUUUCUGCUUUGGCCAUAAGAUCUUGGACUUGCUGUUAUCUUGGAUUGAUUAUAAGCUUAUUGUUGUCUUGGCUUCUUAGAACUAAGAAUAGUAACCCUCCAAAGUGAUAAUAUUCAGAAGGUCGUUGCACAUUUAGCUCUGAAGAAUUGUUCUACUCACAAUUUAUAUCAAACUUCUUACACAUUCAGAUCAGCUAGUACCAGGAGCUAGUAGUUGAGAGCUCGAGUUGUUGCACAAUGGAAAGAACUUCGAAUCAAUUUGGUAGUCCUAGUGCUGGCUGCUGCUACUAUAAUUCUGGAUACGAUGAUAAUUACUUUAUGUAAUUAUUAAGCUGAUGAGGUGAUGACGACAAACUAGGAUACGUAUUGAAGUGUAUGUAUUACAUGGUUCAUACUAGGUCAUUGCAAUUUUUGUUUGUUUGGUAUACAUUUAUUAAUCAGGCUGCUAAAAUAAAAAUGUUGGGUGCUUUCAUUGCCUGCAUGUUCAGUUAAGUGAGAGCCAGCUACCUGCAAGGUUGUUUGCAGGUCUAAUGAUGUGUGAAGAGCAGGCUUGCAAUGUCUGUCUUUUCUCAUACUGCUCCAAACGUAACUAUGGCCUUCUCACGAGGGGAUUCUAUGGCCUGUCCGCAUUUCUCUUUGUAGGUAAAGAUGUUGAUUUAGGUCCAGAUGGGUGUCUGCGCAAUUUAGCCUUUUUGUUUCCUGUGUCCCUAGUUUAGGUGUGUGUUCAAGCAAAAAAGGUGGGCGUUGAUGUUGUUAUUGUGUCCUGGAGCCUUGAGUAAAAUUCAAGGAUGCAAUGCUUGUCAUUCUCAUACUGCUCCAAAGAGUAACCGUGGCCUUCUCAUGGAGAGUAUGAUGCCUUGUGUAGGUAAUUAGUAUUAUGUCCAUGUUGUUGUUGGCUAGAUGGUAAUGGCUCAUCAGAAUAUACACACAUGAGUGUAUCAUGUAACAAUUGGCAGUCACCAGAAUAUAUACACAUUAAAUCUAUUGUUCUGUUUUAUCAUUGUGCUGCAUAUGUUUCUAACUCCACUAUUUCUGUUUUUCUUUAUCACCUUAUCCAACAUUAUAGAUUCCUGUAUUGAUGCAUGCCAACUAUGAAUAUGAUCUUGCAUUAAGCUUUAUCUGGUUGUUAAUUAUGUUGUGCUAGCUGUUGUCUAACCAUGGCCUGCGGUGGCUGGGUGUUUCUUUUGGGCGCAGGUGACUUGUACACGAAGCUGUACGACUAGCUAGGUGUUUCUUUUGGGUAUGUCCAGCACGUGUUCGAGUUCACUUGCGAUGGGAUUUUGCCUAAUAGGUGUUUGUGGUAAUAUCCGUAUAUGUAUUCCAGAUCAUUUACAUUACCAAUGAUAUAUUUCUGUAAUAGUGAAGAAAUACCUUCUUCAGUUGCAUUCCUUGACUUCAUAGAUCAGUGGAAUCAUCAUGAGUAGUAUACAACCUGAGAUGUCCGAUUGUUUACAAACUGCACCUUGAAAUUAAUAUGUUCCAGGCUGUCUUUGAUUGUAAAUGUUUAUUCACUAUAAACUCUUCUAUCUGUGAUAAGUGCAACUAGAAGAAUUUGUCCCAUGUAAAAUUCUGUAAUCCCUAUUAGCUGAAACUUGAGCAUUACAAAGUUUCAUUUCUAAGUUCAGUUUGUUGAUAAGCCAUCCUCUUCCUGUUUCUGGAAUUAGCGUGCAUACACAACCCUUCAUGAAAAUAAACUACAUGUGAUAUACUCAAAUAGCACUAGGGUCUGGGACUAUUUUAUGGUGUUGUGGAUAUACUUUGUGAUUUACAGUUACUCUCUGGUGUCAUAUUAUGGUCUAAUAUGUUUUGUUUUGACUCUUUGUUUGUUGCCAGGAAAGUGGUGAGGAGAUGUUGACGGUGCCUACUUACUUGGCUGCUAUGGUGAUGCAUGUACCGGUGAAGCAAGCACACAUGCAAGGCUGGCCCCAUGUAUCUUCCUUGGCUGUGAAUAUCAUCUACAGGUACGAAAAAUGUCCCACCUCUCUGUCGUUUUGCUCCUCCUCUCCUUGCAUCCGAGGAAAUUGGUGCUUUAUAUGCUAUUGAUUCGUUAACACCAAGUCCAAACUCUUGCUUUGAUUUUUCCUGUUACUUAGGAUAGCAGGAUGACAAGGACAAGCUACAAGCUCCCAGCGCGUGUGAUCCAGGGUGCUAGGGCCAACCUGUUACAGAAGACGGCCAUGCUCACGAGCCCCUUUGGAUCAAAAUAGGUAUUCCUUUCUGCCUCUUUUUGGAUUCACUCAUAUUUUGCCUCGUGGAUUGAUGGAUUAGUCCUAUGGUACUGUAAUUGUAAAGUCUGGUCCUCAUUUACUUUCUGUAACUGAUUGCCUCUGUCUAAAUUUCGAAUGCAUGCUAGCUAAGGCUUUAUCUAGCCCUUGGUGUUGAUUGAGCGUUUGCUCCUCUAAUGUUCAUGAAGUCCAUUGUUAUAUACCUCUCAUUGUAGGAUGGCAAGUUGUGGCAGCUGGAGCAUGUCUCGUAAGAGAGAGCAAUGAAAUCCCUCUUGUAUAUUCUGUAAAAAGGCUGUUCCGUAAAAAAAUACAUUGUACUAUUAUGAUAGUAGCAGAUGUGUCAUCAUUUUCUUUAUUGUAUAUUCCCUCUAUUCCUGCUAUAUUUCUGUGUAGGGAAAUGUAUUCCUGAGAUGAUUUUUUGUGUUAUGUAAACCUGGGAGAUGUGUUAUGUGAUGUGAUAUGAUGGUUGACUUGAAUUUGACCUGGAGUUUUCCUAAUUUGAAUGAAAUAAUGUUGUAUGUAUGUGUGAUUGGGCUAAAUUCGGCUUGGGUCUCAACAUUAAAAGGCUGGUCAAAACUGGACAAAUAAUUGGGCCGAAAAAGGCCACAUCCCAAAAAGCGUCGAACAAUUUCAAAAAGGGUUGAGGGCCAAAAAAAUUGCAUGAAUCUCAAAAACUAAAAAGGCCAAAUUGUUGGGCUAGGACAAUGUAGCUGACCAAAAUUAAAAGGAAAAAAAUAAUCAUAAAUGGGCUGAAUUGUUGGGCUAGGCCCAUGUAGAAAACCGAAUUGGACCGGGCUGAAUCUUGUGCCACAUCAGCUUGCCACGCUGGAUGCCUACGUGGCCUGGGGAGGUUGCUAGUGACCAAAAUGCCAGAGUGGACAUAUUUUGGUCAUAAACGUCUUCGACCAUUCCAGAAGAAAGGUCGCUAUAGUCGGUUUACGACCGCCAGCUUUUGACCUUCUCUUUUUGGUCACAAAAAGGUCGCAAAUGAAAAACCAUGACCUUUCAGUGACCAAUAGUGGUGGUCACAAGUUGACAUAUUUCUUGUAGUGCAUGUUGGACCUGUUCGGGCACACAUCUGGCCUCCGGAUAAACCUGCAGAAGAGUGCGGCCUUGCCAAUUAGGUGCACGCAGGAGCAUAUGCAGACGGUGAUAGGGCUGCUGGGCUGCACGGGUGGCUCUUUUCCUUGCCAGUAUCCCGGCCUCCCGCUCUCGAUAAGGAAGCAGACGGCUGCGCAGUUCCAAGAGAUGGUCGACCAGAUGGCAGCGUGUCUGCCGACCUGGAAAGCCGCGACGCUGCCCAAGAGCAGCCGCCUUCUGCUGGUCCAGUCUGUGCUGAGUGCUAUCCCAGUUCACUCCAUGCUUGCAAUGGGGUUGCCGCCGAAGACCAUGAAGGCGAUGAUCAAAAUCUAUAGGGGUUUCCUAUGGUGUGGAAAGGAAGAAGCAGGUGGUGGCAAGUGUGCCGUGGCAUGGGAAUCAUUGAGUAGACCGAGGUAGGCAGAAGGACUUGGAGUUCCAAACCUGCGAUGGAUGAACAUCGCCUUGCAAACCAAGUGGCUCUAGCUACAGCGUAUUGAUCACUCUACGCCAUGGGUGGAAUUCAAGUUGAACAUACCGGAGGAGGCCAGAGGGCUCUUUCGGGCAGCUGCGAGGAUGACCAUUGGUGAUGGACGUACCGCCCUUUUCUGGGAGGACCGAUGGCCGAUAGGAUACCACAUACAGGAGCUCACGCCAUCCGUAUAUGACAGAAUAUCUAAACGGACGAGGAAAUCCCGAACGGUGGUGGUUGCCCUAACUAAUGCAACUUGGGCCCGGGACAUCGGCCCGGACAUGGACGAGCACGCGCUAGCACAGUUCCUUGGGCUUUGGCCCGAGGUGGAAAGCGUCGCACUAUUGGAACACACGCCAGACAAGUUGACGUGGUCAUGGGAGAAGAACGGAGCCUUCUCGGCGCGAUCGUCCUACACGGCAGGAUUUGCAACGCUUCAGGUCUCCCCCACGGCAGUUUUCACAUGGUCAUCGCAUGCACCCCUGCGCUGUCGAUUUUUUGCAUGGCUGGCCCUUCAAAAUCGGGUGUGGACCUCAGAUAGAUUGGCGAGAAGAGGCCUCCCACAUCAGGAACGCUGCCCAUUUUGCGACUAGGACGAUGAAACUAUUAACCACCUCCUCAUCCGGUGUGUGUUUGCUAGAGAAACCUGGGACGCGGUCUGCCAGGCGACUGGCAUCAUUGUCGAGGCCCCAACAGCAGCGGAUGAUCUUCUGUCCUGGACUACUAGACCUGUGUUGGCCGGGCGGCAUGCCAAAUCAUUGCAUGCAUUACAUCUCCCGAUCAUGUGGGAAUUGUGGAAACACAGGAAUUCUACUGUGUUCGAGGGGAAGACACCGGACGUGCAGGCACUUCUGCGGAGGAUCGCCGCUGAGUGCGCGGUGUGGAUGAAGGCAGGGAUCAUUCAUAGCGACUUAGAGCCCUGGAUGGCUGGGAUAGGUGUGUGGGCAGAUAGGGAGUAGUCCACGUCUUUCCUUUUCUUGAUGGGUGGAGUGCGAUUGUGGAUGUAACGCGAACUAUGUAAACUGUGGAUGGGGUUUCUUCACCCCUCUCCUUCUUCAAUAUAUGAUACGCACACUCGUGCGUAUUCAAGAAAAAAAGAUAUUUUGGUUUAUUUCUUUAUUGAGGGCUUCAUGCAUGUCAGCUGCAACCCGCUUCAUUCGGCCACUCUCUUGGGUCUUGCUUAUUGCUGGGCCAAGACCUAGAGAUGGCCCUUGCUUCUUUUCAGGUAGAGAACCUACCGGUAGAAGGAAAUGUAGUGUUUUUUUUUCUUUUCCAUUAGUGUCCAUAAUCAUAUUCCUCUUCACUUCUUUUCCUCAUGGCGUCGUGUAUGGAUCGAGACCCUGCAGCAGUGGCACAUCGUAGGAUGAAACACAGCGGAUCCGUUUUCAAAUAUGCACCUCUCGAACUCUGUUCCCAAUGAUGUCAUAUGUGGAUCGAGAAACUAUAGCCACACGGCAGUGGAACAACACACCAGCAUGACGUGUGCUAUAAGAUCCUGGUGCACCGAAGCCAUUUGCUAAAUGAAAUUUAUGUCCUACUACCUCCGUCCUGAUUUAUUGGUCCCAUUCGCAUUUUGUGCUUAAUUUUGACCUUAAAUUUAACUAAUAAAAUGUUAAAGCAUGAAAUAAAAAAAUCACUACAAACUAUAUUCAAAUACGAAUCAAAUGAUAUGAUUUUUUAUGACAUGCAUUAUUAUUUUCUUAAUUAAGUCUAUCGUGAAAGUUUGGUGUAAAAUACUAACAGGACCAAUAAACUUGCAGAUGGAUGGAGUAGUUAGUACUAAUACAUUGUUAUUUACUCAAACACGGUAUUAUCAUAUAAACUAAAUCAAUACAACAUUAUAAUGUUAAACUGUAACAUGGAGAACAGACUAAGGAAAGGCGGUUUAUCGCCCGCCCUGCACGGCCAUAUGUACUGUCAGAUUGGUUUACUUUAGGCUGGCCAUAGUGGAGGUAACAUAACCGGUAACUUGUAUUUGGGACUAGCAAACAUGCUUAAUUAUGUGGCACACAAUUAAAGAAGAGAGAGGGUUAGAGUAACAUAGAUAGAUACCAUAUCAUGUUAAAUGCUAAACUAUUUUGUGUCAUGCAUGGCAAUAAAUAUGGUCAGCUAUGAUACUAUUUUAUGAUAGUAUGCACUAUGGAGGUAGUAUCAUAUACUAGUAUCAUAUGCAUGAUACUAGUAUAUGAUACUUCUCACUAUGAGUAGCCUUAGGCUAGUUGUAAUGGGGAGUAUCAUAUAGUAGUAUCAUGCAUAUGACACUACAUCUGUAAUGCAUAGUAUCAUGUGUUGUUAUCAUAGAUGACUACAUUUAUUGCCAUGCAUGACACAAAAUAACACAUCAUUUAAUAUGAUACGUUAUCAUAAGAGCAUGAUUAAUAAGAAAGCCGUUGCUGGCUAUAUAUGAGUGCCAUGUCACAUAAAGCCUUCAUAAAAGCCCACCAGUACAACAGAUUAGCUAUAGUCUAGCUAUUGGUAUUUAUUGUUUGCAAGUGGGGAAAGGCAAAGAGAGACAUGUGAUUGGUGAGAAGAGAGGAAUGUCGGCUCACAAGACUGUUUGCAGAAUUCUUUUUCUUGUUUCUUGUGCUAGAGCCGGUGCUAGCUGAAUCACCCGCCUCCUUCUCUUUCCUCCAUUCUCUCUCCUCCAGCAAUGACUUUGAUGACGUGGAACAGCAUAUAGCCAGCUGACUAGCACUUAUUGUACUUGAUCUAAUAUGAUACUCAAGCCUCUCUUUCUUCAUUUAUUUCUAUGCCACAUCAUCAAAAUAGCUUAGUUGGCAUGCAUGAUACUACCUAUGAUACUCCCAUUACGGGCAGCCUUAGUAAUCAAGCACACCAUCAUAAAUGCACUCAAUUCCAUGACCGGUCACUUGUAUUAAUUUGUUGUGCAUACGCCAUGGGUUCCCACCCCCCACCACCACCACACACACACCCACCCCCACGACGAAACUCCUCCCGGUGCAAUCACAUAGCGAAUCUAGCCUUCUUAUCAUCUUAAGUUGACUACUAUUGCUAGCUAGAUCAAGACGACACAUGCUGCAGUUGCUCAGCUUAUGCUGGUCGCCCUAGUGGCCGCUAGCUAUGCUCCUCGUAGCCACCGAAGCGGCUAUCUCCUGUGGACAGGUGAGCUCUACCUUGAAUCCCUGCAUCUCCUAUGCCAGCGGCAACGGCGCCAACCUGACUGUGGCCUGCUACAGCUGUGUCAGCAGUGUGGCCAGCGCAGCACGGAGCACCGCUGACAAGCAAGUGGCGUGCAACUGCAUCAAGAGCUCUCCCGGUGGGCUCAAUGCUGGCAACGCCGUCGACAUUCCCUCCAAGCGUGUGGCGUCAACAUCCCCUACGCCAUCAGCUCUUUCGUCGACUGCUCUAAGAUUUGCUGAUCAACCAAUGGUCACCAUGUGUACGUUGAGGUCACACCCACACCCACCCACACACACACACACACACACACACACACACACACGAAAAAAAGCCUUCGUAUUAUCUCAUGGAGGAGGUGGUGGCGGAUGAGGAGGAGGAUGAAGAGGAGCAGGUGGGGCAGGAGGAGGAGGAGAAGGAGGAGGGGGAACAGCUGUCGAAAGCAGAGCCCGUGAAGAAGGAGGUAGCGGAGCCAGAGGGGAGUAGGUGGAGGUGUGGCUGUCUGCGGGCUUCGCCGUGGCGGAUGCCAAGAUGGAGUACGAGGCUGCCCAAGCGAUGGAGAUGGUAGAACAGACCGCCGUCCAUGAGUCCAUCUAGGACGAGGUCUAUGUCGAGGCUAACCGACAGUUCAUCGGAAUAAAACAGGCGGCGAUGGAAGCACUGUUCAUCGAAUUGGACGGGAAGGCGGAGGUGGAGGAGGGGCCAGAGUCUUCACAGGCGCAGGAGCUACCGCACUUUCCCAUCUACCUAGCCCCAGGCAAGGAGACCGUCAACAUCUCCAACAAUAGUUCUUUUAGCUAUGUACGUAGUACAUAGGUUUUUAUUUACAUGGUUGUGCUAUUUGGGUACGGAGAUACGAAAUUUGAGUUUUAUGAUUGUGGCGGACAUUUUUGCUGUGUUGUCCGGUCACUGUCUGCGGACGCGUCCGCGGGUGUUUUGGGGCCUGCUUAGUGUGUUUGUGGUUGGAGAUGCUCUAAUGACGCAUCCAUCGGUAGUAGUAAAUCAUCAUGAGACAUGCUGCUACAUUGACGGAUGAGGCACUUACCAUUAAUAAAAAGCCGAGUGGACUAUGGCACUGAAUACUUGCACAGAGGCAAAUUAACAUCUAUUCACUCCAGGUGAACCAAGGGGACAGUGACAUUUGGUGCUGAAUUACAAGUCUCCCAAGUGCACAUUUUUGCUCUGCGGUAAUUUAGAAUGUGUAUUUGUAAAACAACUGAAAAUAUAUUAACUAAGAAUAUAUUUAUAUAUGCAUUUAGAUCAAAUAUCGUCCGGUUUUGUACCAACUUAGUUCCAUUGAUAUAUUACUAGAGUUAACGUGGAACGAUCAAUUUCGUUUCUGAAGGUGGUGCACACAUCCACGUGAACGAAAAAGACAGGCAAGGGUAUCUUGUGAGGAAACAAGAGAUAGUGUUCCUUUGUUUUCUCUUAGAACAAGACUGGCAAUGGCGUUCCCCACAAAUAAAUUGUAACAACAAGAACAACAACAACAACAAUAAUGACUAUAAUAGUAACGACGACCAAGAAGAUGAUGGACAUAAAGGUCUUAACAUGAACAUGUGUCCUUUUGUGUUUUUGAGUUGCUAGAAUCGUGGGAUCACCUUCGGAUAAAACAUGCAUGAUGUACAAAUAAAAAUUCGAAAUGUAGCUCUGAAUAUGGUACCAAUGAAUGUUAAGCUGUGAUAUUGGGACCAAAUAAGGCAAGGUAGAUGAUCCCCAGUCAUGCAUGACCACAUGCACAACUAGAUUGAUAUAGUUCACUUGUCGAGCUCAUCAUAAUUAAUGCACUCAACUACCGAAAUCACUGAUUAAAGAGUACUCUUUGUAAAUGUCACUCACACCUUCCCAUGGUGCAACAUGUGUUGAACUGCAUGUGCGCCACUUGUCGCAACCUGGGAUUUUUCCUUUUUCGUAGAUUUUUUAUUCAAAAUGUUUUAUCUCUCAACCAUGUGUCCAAAUACUGAACCAUUUCACCAUUGGAUUCCUCGCGUCGAGAUCUUCAAAACUAGAUCGUAUGUUGAUAGGUUUCGACGAACUUUUUUUCACGAAAAAAUCGGACGAAAAAAACCCGAACCGAGAGCACGGUUUUCCCUUUCCAAGAGCAUGACCAAGCUUCUCGCGGAAGCAAAUCCGCACCUCCACGAGAACUAAAUUAGUGCCUCUCGUGGAAGGAAAAGAACAUAUUUUGUCUUUUUCUGAGAGGCACGGCUGUUCUUGUCGUGGAAGCAAAUCCGUGCCUCCACGAGAAGUAAAUUAGUGCCUCUCAUGGUCGAAAAAAUCCAAGAUUUUUCCCUCUCGCAUAAGCAAAUUCUUGACUCCACGAGAAGUAAAUCAGUACCUCUUGUGGAUGGAAAAAACAUUUUCUUCCCUUUUCCGAGAUGCACGGCUGUGCUUCUAUUGGAAGCAAAUCCGGUUUCCGCUUUGAAGCUGAGCUAUUGGAUUCGGUAGGCCAGAGCGUAUUUUGGGUAAAAAUGAUGAUGUACGUAUAUGCACAGUUCAAUGGUCGUGCUCACCAUCAUAGAUGCACUCAACUACUCCAUGGUCGGCCACUAUAUGACUGCGUACAUGUCUUAGUCUCAUAGUUAAUCUGCUGUGUACACGCUAAUCAACCACAUUCCACCGCUAGUGCUUGGUCCAUCCAUCGGCCCAACCAAACGGUAACAACCAACCAUCUCCUAAAUGCAUUAACACCCAUAAAUCAAUUCCAACAUCCAACAACCUAAAUUCAUGCAUUUGCUCGCAUCAAUUGAAUUGGCACACGUAGACACAAUACUUGACACCAAGAAAGUACACUGUUUAUUCCGAAUGGAAUCCCGUGAUGGUAAGAAGCCCUAUUUAAGCCCAUGCAUCCCCACGAAACUCCUCACCAUUACAAUCACUUAGCAAAUCUAGCUAUCUCAUCAUCUCUGCCUGAGCUCACUACCACUACUAUUGCUAGCUUGAUCGAGAUGGCCCGUUCUGCUGUUGCUCAGGUCGUGCUCGUCGCCGUGGUGGCCGCUAUGCUCCUCGCAGUCACGGAGGCGGCUGUAUCGUGCGGUCAGGUGAGCUCUGCCUUGAGCCCCUGCAUCUCCUAUGCACGCGGCAACGGCGCCAGCCCAUCUGCGGCCUGCUGCAGCGGCGUUAGGAGUCUAGCCAGCUCAGCCCGGAGCACCGCUGACAAGCAAGCGGCGUGCAAGUGCAUCAAGAGCGCUGCUGCUGGGCUCAACGCUGGCAAGGCCGCCGGCAUCCCCACAAAGUGCGGCGUUAGCGUCCCCUACGCCAUCAGCUCUUCCGUCGACUGCUCUAAGAUUCGCUGAUCGAGCACUUGCUGCCAUCGUUGUUGCUAUCGUACGUCCCCUACGCCAUCGUUGCUGGAUCUACGCUUAGUACGUUGAGGUCACAUACACGCACACACACAUAUAUUUAUGAAUAAAUGCUCUCAUAUUAUCUCACUGCGUGAGAGAGAGACACACUGUCCAAGCAGCUCUGCAUGGCCGGCCACACUGUUGUAUCGAUGUUUGGUUGUUCCUCCACUCCCCGAGGUUGCUGUACUUUGUACCAUGUGUACUUUUGAUAUAUGGAUUGUAUACACAGCUGAUCAGCUCUACUUGCGUGCGCAUGUUAUUCAGCACUUUUGAUAUAUGCAAGACUGGCAAAGCAUUCCAUUCCAGUUUGUUGCUCCAAGCAAGACGUAGGAAUGAACCCAACAAUUUACUAGGAAUGGAACUAUGGUAUUUCACUCAUUUUGGUUCCUCAACAAAACACAUCCUAAAACUGUUUGAGAACACACAGAAUUCUAGUGAAUGCAACCACCAACAAAAACUCCUACUGGCUUAAUUAUAAGAAAUCGGAAUAUACUUAGAACUGCUUAAAUCACCAUCAUCCAAUACACUGCAAUAUACUUCUAGACAGAUUAAGGUAAAUUUCAAACAGUGUACAUGAAAGAUCAUCCAGAGAGAUGUCAAUUAAUUAGACACUGGUUGUUAGCUUGUAGGGCAAAAAAUUGGAAUACUCUUGGUUGUGAUAGUACGUACAAUAUACUUCAUGUUUGUUAUAAAUUGAUCGGAGAGUAUGAAUUUGUAAUUAUGGAUCCAAUCACAGUAAUAAACCGGCGUUCUGACAGGGUACAACAUAAGAAAGCUGAGUGGACUACGGCACUAAAUACUUGCACAAAUAGAAAGUUAAUAUCUACUUUUCGCUACAGGUGGACCAUGGGAAUAAUAGAAUUUUCUCCUUAUUUACAGGAGAUGCACGGAUGGAUAUAUUCUCUCCAUGCUAAUUUGAGUCAGGUGUUUGAAUUUUUCCAAAAAUAUACUAUACCUGAAAUAUAUUUAAAUAUAAGCAUUUAUACUGAAUGGCUUAAGUAACCGUGGGAUGAUCAAUUUUCUUUUUCUAUGUUGUGUCCUCAUACACAUGAACAAAAACGACAAUCAUGGGUAACUUUUCAGGGAAAAAAAAGAUGAUGCUUAUUUAGUUUAUGAAAAACAGUUUUGACGAUGACUUUCCCCACGAUGACGGUUGGUAAAGCCUUCAACUACAAUAUGUUGUUUUUGUGUUUCUGAAUUGACAGAAUUGCAAGAUCAGUUCAGGAAAGAAAUAAUGUAAUGUGACCAAAAUAAGCAAACAUAACUUGCGGCAAUAAACAAUUUAUUUUCAUUUCCUGAUUGAGAGAUUUAUUCACUGCCUGCAUUGCAACUAUAAGUUGCACAGAUUUUUCUUAUUGUUUCAAGCAUUUUAGAUUGGAUAUUAAAAACUUCAAUCAGACACAAUUUGAAUAUUACAAAAUUGAUGUCAUUGUAAGUCUAUGUUAUCAAUUACUUUUGCAGUUUUAGUACAUUUUAGUGAUAGCCUUCAGCUUGGAGUACAUGGACUAAAUGCUUAUGGUAUAAAAAAUAACAAGAAAGUUAUGUUGUGUCACAUUGAAAGUGGAUAGUUGAUCGUCAGCUGCUUGCCAAUAUCGCACAAGCACAUAAUUUCAGUCUUUUUCCAUCAAAAACUGUACUCCCUCCGACCCAUAAUAAGUGUCGCAUCUUUGAGCUAAGGUUUAACUAACCUUAAUUUAAAGCUGCGACACUUGUUUUGGAUCAGAGGCAGUAGAAUUUUCCAAAUACAGUUUGGUAUCCGAAUUUAGAUAACUAUCCAACUUCGGUAGGAAAUAUGAACUCCAUAUGUUUAGUGAAGUUCAAAUAGAUACAUCUAAUUUUAUUCAAGUGAAUUUAGUAAAAAUGUGGCCCAAAAUGUGUAUCUCAUAAAUUAUCUCAGUGCUAAAAGUUCUAAAAUUUUAGAAUUUUCCGAAUACAGAUUGGUAUGUAAGUUUCGAUAUCAUUUUAGCUUUGGCAGAAAAUAUGAACAUAUAUUUUGAUUCAAGUACAAAUAGAAAUAUGUAAAUUUACUAAAAAAAACUAGUCUAACAUAUUUUUCCAGAGAAGGCCUCGGUGCGAAAACUUACGGCGGGGCACGACAAGAUGUUGGGUUUCUAUUCUCUUCAUAGGCACCGCGCCAUUGUCUUGCAAAAUGUAUGAUUCAUCAUUUGGUCCUCCUUAUUACCAUCGCAUCUCCAUGACAUACGUGGUUCUCACGCCAAGGAAAAAAGUGAGCUUUAUAGGAUAAGGGCGUCGCUGUCAAAAACUGUUUUACGGGUCUCCGUUGCACAAAUUUGGCGUGUCGUAGAUAUUGCUAAGAGCAACUCUAGCAGACCCCGCAUCCCGCCGGCCCGCAAAACGCGUUUGCAGUUCGUGCAAAACAGCUUUUGUGGGUCGGCUCGGGUUGACACAGAUGCAGACCCCCAAACGGAUCCGUAAAAAAGCAUAUUCACGGAAUAUACUUUUUUACGGGUCAGCUAUGCGGGAUCUGCUCUUUGCGCUGCUGCAUCCCGCAUAUCAGCGGCCCGCAAAUAUCAAAUACAACAUAAUUCAACAAUCGAAAAGAAACUGAAUUAUUCCAAUCAAACAUAAUACAAUAAUCAUCCGCAUUACAAAUAAUUAUUCAAAUAACUGUAGCAAAUUUAAAUAGUGCAAUACAAAAUUUGUCAUGAAUAAAAAUACAAAUGAAUACAAAAAUAAGUCACUGCCCAGCCCUUUGCCAAUGGUGCUCAAUGAGAUCUUCCUGAAGUUGAAAGUGGGUGUCUACAUUUUCAAUCUCCUUGUAUGUCUGAAGAAAAACUCUAUUGCGGUUUGAGUCUCUUACUAGUUUGACACGGCUACCACAUUGUUGUAAAAGAAUUCUAAGUUCAAUCCUCUAUCAUCUUGAAUCAUAUUGUGCAGGAUAACACAACAUGUCAUUAUGUUCCUCAAGGUUAUGUUAUCCCAAAGACGAGCAGGACCACGGACAAUGUCAAACCUAGAUUGCAAAACACUGAAUGCUCUUUCAAUGUCUUUUCGGGCUGCCUCUUGCACCCUUGCAAAUUCACAUUUUUGUUUUUGGGUUCUUUGAUGCUCUUGACAAAUGUGCACCAUGGAGGGUAUAUACCAUCUGCAAUAUAGUACCCCUUUGUGUAUUCAUGCCCAUUGAUAGUGUAGUUGCAAGCAGGAGCAUCAUCACAAGCAAGCCUAGCAAAGAAAUGAGACCGUUGCAACACAUUGAUAUCAUUGAGAGUGCCCGGCAUACCAAAAAAGCAAUGCCAAAUCCACAAAUCUUCAGAUGCUAUGGCCUCUAGCACAAUUGUUGCAUCACGAGACUUGCCACAAUACAUUCCUUGCCAAGCCUUGGGGCAAUUUUUUCAAUUCCAAUGCAUACAAUCAAUACUACCUAGCAUGCCAGGCCAACCUCUCCUCUCAUUUGAUGCCAUCAAUUUCUUUGUGUGAUCUUCAUUGGUGCCCGAAGAUACUCAGGACCGAAGACACGGAUGAUCACUUUCACAAAUCUACGCACAGACUCAAUUGUGCUAUCUUCACCAAUGUGAAGAUACUCAUCGGCAUAGUCAGGCAGAACGCCAUAUGCAAUCACCCGCAUAGCUGCGGAGAUUUUUUGAUAUGCACUAAAUCCCUUUAAGCCUGUAACUUUUCUUCUUUGAGUAAAAUACCGGAAAUUUGCCUCGCAAGCUUCAACAAUUUUCACAAAGAGGGAUCGGCGCAUUCGGUACCUUCUCCGGAAGAGGUGCGGAGGAUAUGUAGGAUUCUCCGCGAAAUAGUCUUGCAUCAACAUCUCGUUCCCAAGAUGGCGAUUCCGAGGAAUGCACAAACGACCGACAGUCGAUCCUCGCCUCCUCUUCCGGUGCUCGUCUUCAUGCUCCUUCACGGCAAGCGCCAUAAAUAAUGUUUGCUGCCGGAAGUUCGCAAGCAUGCUCUCAACAUCCGAGUCGUCUGAAUCAUCCGAAUCGGAUUGCAAGAACUUCUCGCACGGGGUCAACUCCAUCUACACGCACACCUGCGCGUCAAUCUACUACACAGCUCGCAAAAAUCACAAAAAAGGGACUAACCGGUGGCGGGUGAUACCGGGCGGCGACGAGGGGGUGCGCUGGACGGUGGUCCAUCCCCGGCGGCGGCGACAACAACGGGGGCGGCUCUUCUCCCCGGAUCCGGAGGGGCAGUGAAGCGACUCAGCGCGGGAGAGUGUGGGGCGGCCCCGGGGCGCGAUUCCGCCCGAAGAUAUGGCCGAAAUCGCAGGCGGCGGGCGGGCGGAAGCAAAGGGCGGGCGGCGGCGGAAGGAGGGGGAAAGCGCGCGUGCUGAAAUGUCCCUCCCGCCAACUGCUUCUCUCCGAUGCAGGGCACCGCAGCCGCGAGGGGGAAACCCGUGUUUUCCCGGGUUGGGGCGGAGAAUUUGCCGCGCCCCCUAAAUUUUUUUGCGGGCCGGGGCGGGAUGCGGGGUCUGAUCGGGCAGGCUUUCCGGCCCGUACCCGCAUUUUGGCAGUUAUUUUGCGGGUCGGGGUGGAUGCGGGGUCUGCUAAAGUUGCUCUAAAUUCCCCAUGGCUCCUACUCUUACGCUUUGCAUCUGUAGGAAGAUGCAUCCCGGUACUCCUAUCUCAUUUCAAAAUCCCGUGUUGGUACGUUGAAGACUAGAAAGUCAAUGUAAGUUGGUUUUUUAACUUUGCCCAAAGAAGUUGGGUUUUAAUUCCUUGUAGCAGUACAAGGUAGGAGGUGUGUGUGAAAUGAGAGCGCGGAGAAGUUUAAUGACCUGCGCGGCAGAGGUUGGCUGUUGGCCCCAUUUAAUAUGUCAGCGCUGUUAUAUACAUCUACAACAUCGUGGCACAUUGAUUUGGUCCAUGCUUGCACAAUGCUCUGCCGACGAUUUGAGGAGCUCGAUGUGCCGACCAAAACAACGUGGGUGUGUCUAGAGACGGAGGGAAAACUUCCAGAGCUGAUAGCAUUGUAAAUUUAGUUACCACUCCCUCUGUUCAUGGAUAAGUAUACAUACAAAUUUAAAGUCCAUUGAAAAGAUAGAAGUACUCCAACCUCAUUCCUAGUAGCGCCACUUGUGGAUCAAAAGACCAUAGAUGGGAGCGCUGCAACACACCCAUGUUCCUCUAUAGGAUCCGGAUGCGGCAAAGCCACUUGCAUAAUAAAGUUGAUAUUUUGUAACACAGAAGCGGAAUACCGGUGCACCAUACCGCCUCUCGCAGCGCCGCUCUUCUUCUUCCUCUUGUUGCCUCACACAACUCUCUCUUGUUUCCUUGUUUCUCUCACGAACACAAAGACACACACCUGGGCAGAAAACACACACGCGCACACACACAUUCACCAGGGAGAAAAUUAGCUUUGCCUUAUCUCUCCCGGUGACAAUCACAUGCGCUAUAUGGUUUCCUUCAGCCCUCACGGCCUCCGUUUUCAUUAAUAUGCAACACAUAUAUAUACAUCAGGGGCAAGCACUCAAGCCCCACAACUCACGCCACUACACUUGCCACUAACCCAUGCACUUACGCAUCACCCGGCCACUAUCUCAACUAUAACUCCAUGCACUACGACACUAUCUACCCACUAACUACAUGCACGUAUAUACUCGUCACUUGUGCCAAUCUCUCAACGGUCACAUGACCCGGAUAUGCAGCUAACUACGACUUGCAUGCAACUAACUCACAAGAUCUCUUGUCUCCUCCAUAAUCAGUCCAGCACGUCCGGUCAUACACGUGCUUGCCGUAUCACACAGCCUUGCCGCCUAGCGCAGCAUUGCAGCUUCACACUGCCGUCGGCAUCUCACCGUGCUCGCCAUAUCACACGGCGUCCUAGCAUAUCGCCUUCUCCGCACAUCUCCGUUGAAGCUUCACCGGACUAGCUACUCUCUAAAAUCACCUAAGUUACAUGCAUGACGAAAAAACCAACAAUCGGAUACAAUGAAAUCAAGAUUAAAGCUAACAUUUUCCCCCUUAAUCUUGAUUCUCUAAUUUUCGACGCGGAUCACCCGGAACCACUUCACAACACCAUCGCAGCGCCACAACCACUUGUCGGUGUCGACGCCGUCGUGGCGCCGGUUGCCAUGGACCAUCUCGUAGUGGAUGACGCCCUCGCAACGCCAAUCACCACACCGUCCUGCCGUGGACGACGCCGUCGCGACGCCGAGUACCACAACCUCCUACCGCAUGCAGCGGCCAUCUCUUGACGUGGACGACGCCUUCGCGGAGCCGAUCGCCACGCCGUCUUGCCGCACGCAGCGGCCACCACUUGGCAUGGACGACGCCUUGGCGACGCCGAUCACCACGUCAUCACCAUCUCGCGGCACCGCAAUCAGCCACCAGCGGUUUCGCGCCGCCACAAACCUCCUCCUUGCCACCGGCCUCCAUCUCGCAUGGAGUACGCCACGCCGCCGCCGCUGCGGAUCAAGCAGGCUAUGUAUACCAAUUGUUGGCGCCGCCUCUCGCAGCGCCACUCUUCUUCUUCCUCUUGUUGCCUCACACAACUCUCUCUUGUUUCCUUGUUUCUAUCACUAACACAAAGACACACACCAGGGCAGAAAACACACACGCACACACACAUUCAUCAGGGAGAAAAUUAGCUUUGCCUUAUCUCUCCCGGUGACAAUCACAUGCGCUAUGGUUUCCUUCAGCCCUCACGGCCUCCGUUUUCAUUAAUAUGCAACACAUAUAUAUACAUCAGGGGCAAGCACUCAAGCCCCACAACUCACGCCACUACACUGGCCACUAACCCAUGCACUUACGCAUCAGCCGGCCACUAGCUCAACUAUCACUCCAUGCACUACCACACUAUCUAACCACUAACUACAUGCACGUCUAUACUCGUCACUUGUGCCAAUCUCUCAACGGUCACAUGACCCGGAUAUGCAGCUAACUACGACUUGCAUGCAACUAACUCACCAGAUCUCUUGUCUUCUGCAUAAUCAGUCCAGCACGUCCGGUCAUACACGUGCUUGCCGUAUCACACAGCCUUGCCGCCUCGCGCAGCAUUGCAGCUUCACACUGCCAUCGGCAUCUCGCCGUGCUGGCCGUAUCACACGGCGUCCUAGCAUCUCGCCUUCUCCGCACAUCUCCAUUGAAGCUUCACCGGACUAGCUACUCUCUAAGAUCACCUAAGUUACAUGCAUGACGAAAAAACCAACAUGCGGAUACAAUGAAAUCAAGAUUAAAGCUAACAGUUUUUACUUUCACUCCCUUUGUGUAGAACCGAGAUUUUAUUGUAUGUUUUACCAUGUACACUUCCAGUAUAUUGUUUAUACUUAUAAUCAUUUCUCCUGAUAUUUUAUUCCACAUAACAACCGUGAGAUACGGCAGAAAUAAAGUUAAUGCAGAGGAUCUCUUACGGGUUUAAAUUAUAAGAGAUGGGAUGAUCAUUAUAUUUGAGUCAUGCUGGUAGUAAAACUGCUAUUUAUUAGCCAUUUGUCAGCAGACACGGGUAAGGUAACUAGGCAUUGCAACUGGAAAAAUUGUAGAAGUAAUAUAUGAUAGACAAGUAAUUUAUGUCGAUCAUGUCCAUCACCUUUGUUUUUUUCCGACGAAGACUUAAUUUAGUGACUCAAAAUGAAGCAUCGAGAUAAUACAAACACAAUGAGCUCCACAGAUAGAAUGAACACAGCCAAGAUGAAGGCACACACACACACACACACACACACACACACACACACACACACACAAAUUUGUCGGCCAAUAAAGAAGUCAUAAAAGACCCAAGUUAUGCCGAAGCGAGCAAAAAAUCAAACUGCAAAGCAUUCAAGUCCACUAUCGACAAACUACAAUAAUGACCAUAUUCUUACCAACCCCAAAGCGUGCCAUUGAUAGUAGUAGGAGUAGUAGUGGUGGUGAUGGUAGUGAUAGUGAUAGUGGUUGUAGUAGUGGUAGCGUCUCCCCCUCAGAAAAUAUGGAUCUACCCGAUCCAUAAAGAAAACGACCACCACUUUUAGGACAUUUUUACAAUUCUCUUUCACUUGCAUUUUCUUUCGUGAAGGCUCGCUCUCGUUUUUCUUACAUCCUUCCCUUUUAUUCUUGAGAAAUGUAUCUGUGGCUACUGUUGUUUUGCCAGUCUGUCUGUCCUCAGUAAUGAACUCUUGCUAACCGCACCCUAUAGGGAUCAUCGAAUCUAUAGCAAUAAGCCCUGUUUCAAGAGGUUCGUAUAAAGAACGCCUGUAAAUUAUAGAUGAACAUGUGUGUUUUUGAGUUGCUUGAUCCACGGGAUCACUUUGUAAAGAAAGCAUGUGAUAUGAUGUAUAAAUAAGAAAACACAACGUGUGGGUAGCAACAAGUUAUUUCAUGUCGUACUUGAGAGGUUUAUUCACCUCCUAUAGUACUACUAUCAGUUACAAUUUUUUUUUUACUUCAUAUCAUUUUUACUGAAAAUUUAAAAAGGUAUAUAUGGCGUUGUAUAUAUAUGUUUGCAUCUAUGUUAUCACUUAUUUUUGUGGUUUCAGUUAAUCUUACAAACUAUCUAUAUUAACAACCAAUUUUUGUUUUAUGGUAAUCACACACUAAUNNNNNNNNNNNNNNNNNNNNNNNNNNNNNNNNNNNNNNNNNNNNNNNNNNNNNNNNNNNNNNNNNNNNNNNNNNNNNNNNNNNNNNNNNNNNNNNNNNNNNNNNNNNNNNNNNNNNNNNNNNNNNNNNNNNNNNNNNNNNNNNNNNNNNNNNNNNNNNNNNNNNNNNNNNNNNNNNNNNNNNNNNNNNNNNNNNNNNNNNNNNNNNNNNNNNNNNNNNNNNNNNNNNNNNNNNNNNNNNNNNNNNNNNNNNNNNNNNNNNNNNNNNNNNNNNNNNNNNNNNNNNNNNCCCCCCUUGAGUUCCCAUGGCUCUCUUUAUCUUCUAGCAGUAUAUGGCGGAAAAUCUCCUUCAUCACCCCAAUUAAUUCCCCUACCAACUGAUUUUCCAUGGCUCUCUUUAUCUUCUAUGACAGAUUAUCUCCAUCUUCUACACCAAACAAAUGCAUCCUGGAGAUGUGAAACUUCAGGUCGUGUGCCAUGGAGAAGGUGGUCAUCAACUAACCUAAAGAACCCGCACAGAAUGGCCAACGACAUCUUCAUCUACAGGUACACCGAGUCCUUGCAUAGUCAGAGCAGGAACGCCAUGAACUUGAACGGCAACGCAUUGCAUAACAUCCCGUUGUCGCCGAUCCACCGCUUGCAGGAAGCUAGCAGUGUCGGAUCCCCAAUUGUACUCGAUCCGCCCCCAUGGAGAAGGGCACGUAAUUCACCAUGCGCCAACACGCAUCUUGGUGUCGUUCGGGAGCACCUUCCCUUCGAUGGUGCUGAUGACGCCCAUGAGCAGGUAACUAAUCCCUUACCUUAAUACCUAAUUAUAUCUAUCAAAAUUAUCACACGGGGCUGUUAAUAUUUCUUCAUGGACCUGUGUUUCCGCUCAUACAGGUGGAGUUCCUUAUGUAUCUCCCACUCUCAUGCCAGUUGAUUCAUGUCAGGUUGUUCCUACAUGGUUUGCCGAUUGUUUUUUGACACACAUAUAUGAAUGAGUAUGCGUAUUAUUUGCUAUCCCAACGAUGCAUGGUCACUGUUUGUUCUUCUGUAUUGUUAUCAAAUUGUCUUAUCUAAUUUAAUACUCAUGCUUUUCUUUGUAGGGAGGUGCUUACUAGAUGACUCCACACAAGCUUUGAAGCCCUGGAUUGAAACCAGGAGCGUAAAUGCGUAAUUAGUUUCCUCCGUAAAAAAAAUUGUGUUUUCUCUAUUAUGCAUUUUAUUUCUCAGGUAGUGUUAUUUCCACUCAACUUUUUUAAAUUUGGUUGAUUGUGCUCUGGCAGAUUGUCUUAAUGCUUCCUGCUAUAAACUUCUGUAAUACCUACUUGGUAUACUACAUACAACUUACGUAGUAAAAUGCAGAAGAUUGGUUUACAACAGGAGUCACCAGACAAUACAUAGUAAGUAUCUCAAAAUGACAAUUUGUAUAUAAUGUUUUAUGUCAUCUCCAAUUUAGAAUCUCUGUACUUAAUGUGUAUACAUACAUUGGUAAGUAUGUAAAUUAUAUGAGAAUAAUUAUGCCGUACCACUAUAUUUAAUAAAAGUAUCACAUAAUGCACAUUUCACUAUCUUAAGAUCAUAUAUCUACUAUGCAAACAUAGGAAUCCAAUUUAUGUAUUAUCAUAUAUGCGUAGGACUAAGAGUUCCCGCAGCAACACGCGGGGCAUCAUCUAGUUCUUUAUCAUUUCGUCCGCCUUAGUGCCAACAAGAUAUUUUCUUGACUAUUUUUCCAUGCGCCUGCAGAUUUUAUUUCCUGCAUGCCUGCAUAAACCUAUCUCUCUGUAUGCGAGUAAUUAUGAGACAUUGCAUGCGAACCUAAAACAGGGGCAUGAUAGGAAACUAUCGCUGAAUCGCUGGACCACACAGAGUAUUGAGGGGAAAAUUGAAAAAAAUAGGCACUAGUUAGGAUUGGAGGGAGCACAAUGUUAGGGACAUAGCUCUAAGAAACAACGUCGUGAGACUAACUUUCACAAAUUUGCAGUUCCCUUAAUAUUGCUAUGUUUCUCAUGCCUCCUACCCUUAUGCAUCGAAACUAUAGAAAGAUGCAUCUUGGCACUCCUAUGAGAUUUCAACAUCUCGUACUAGUAUAUUCAACAAUACAAAGUUGAUGUAGGCUAUGCGGAUUUCUUGUAGCAUACAAGUUGGGAAGUGUGUAUGAAAAGAGAGCCCGGAGAAGGAAAAAGACACAUUUUGAAGACAUUGGCAGCAGAGGUUGGCGUUGCCGCAUUAAUGCUUCCAAUGCUACUACACAUAUAUCUACAUUUGAUGGCACAUUAAUUCGGUCCAUGUUUGGACAGUGCUUCCAUACAAUUUGACGAGCUCGAUGUGCCAAACAAAAUAACAUGGGCGUGACUAGCAUAGCUUUUGAAUUAGUUGAGACAUAGGAUUUGGAUGUGCAAUACUUAUGGCACAUCUAGAUGUGCUUUGGCAAAACUAUUUGAUUGCAUCUGGUGGUACAAUACAAUCCGACCUAGUAUGGCGCGAUCAUUAGAAAUAGGAAUCCCGUGUUUCAAUAUUAUUGAUGUUGUAUGUGUGGCUGAAAAAAAAUAUCAUAGCUCACAGAUGAUUCCAUGUAUCACUGGUGCGGUUAAAAAAGCGUUGGAUGUGUAUCAUAGUACAUAGUCCCAAUUGCAGCGGCAUGGCGCACACAUAUUCCAAAUUGGAUCCGGUUGCACCAAAGUGGCCAAGCCACUUUCGAAAUAUUGUUUAUACUUUACUUAGUGCUAUGUACGUAUGGCUAUUUACCCGAAAUUCUUUUCUUAAUAUAUAUUAAAUCAACAAUCAAAAUGCAGAUCUGAAUAUGGCAUUAAUGAAUUUUUAAAAUGUGACAAGGGGAAAAGGUAAGACAAGGUAGUUACUCCCAAACCCUGUACGACCAAUACCACAUGCACCCAUGAGACUGGUAUAGUUCACUAGUCGACCUCACCAUCAUCAAUACACUCAACUACUCCACAGUUGGUCAUUGUGAGUACGAUGUCUUUGUGAACAUAAUUAUUAAAAAACAUAGUAUCAUAUUUUUGUCCAUAUUUUUUAUUGGGUUUUGAAUUUCUGUGCCCUAGGUAAUUGUGCUCUGUUUUGCCCAUAUCAUCUAACUUUCCCCACUUUUCCCCUCCACCACUCGCCUCAUUCUCACAAAAGCCAAAACGGAGCUUUGUCGCCGGUCAAACCAGUUGAUAGUUACCGCUCAGUUACUGACAUGUGGGGCCACAGUUCUUUGGACAUGCGGGCCGCGUAUGGUACGUGGUCCAUGGUUGUGACCGCUUAUGACGAAGUGGGAUCUGGGAUAGGUGAGCUAUCGCUUUCUUUUGCCUAAGAUAGCCUGGCCCCGAGUGAGCAGCCUCAUCCCCACUCUCUGCCAAUGCCGUUGUUCGCGUAGCAGUCCCACGCCACCAUACCCUAGCAGUCCCGCCGCCUACUCGACCGUAUGCCUUAGCUCCAAUGGUGAAGCGACCUGGUGAUACGUCACAGCUAGCAGGAACCAUCCAAUAUAGUUGGGCGACAUGCACGUUUCUAAUAGGAACCCUAGUAAUUAGGAUCAUUCGAUUGAACGAGCGAUUGGACGAUUGAAUUGUUGUUCGUUGAGUUGCUGCAGCUUGCAAACGUUAUGAAAGUCUUUUUAGGAUUGGAUUCGUGAUAGUGGCAGCUAGUUAAAAAAAAAGAUAAAUUAUGAUCCGUUCAUAGGAGCCCAUUUUUGGUUAUGUGGUAAUUUCGAUCCUUAUAAUCGAUUUAUUUUUAAUAAUUUGAUUUGCAAAUUUUGUCUUUAAUAGAUUGCUAGUUGUACUUGGACGGAAGAGAGAAAUGGAAGAAUUUUGUGCCGGAGGCGAGGAGUUGUUGGCCGAGUGCAAGGAAAUAUGCUCCUAGUUUCCAAGCAAAAACGCUCUCGAGUUGCACUCGUUGGGCUAACCUUUGAAGUGACAUCAGUCAAACUGGAGCGGAUGAUUCCUGAAGACAAGGGCACAAUCUCAAUGGAGGUUCUCCUUUGGGGAAUGGCAGAAGCGAUGGAUUCGUCGGAUCCUCAACAGCGAGCAUGCUGGUACGAUUAUUGCUCCCGCCUCUCGUCAGCAAAUCCAGAGCCGGAAUGAAUGGGGAAUUUGCAUAUUAUUGACAUCAUCGACGAGGAAACUUAAUAGGAGGAUGCCAAUGAUGAGGUGGACAAAGAUGAUUUUGGCAAGGAGGAGGAUGAAGAGGAUUCUGACAAGGAGGAUGAGGGGGAAGAGGAUUCUGACAAGGAGGAGGAGGAGGAGGAGGAAGAGGAUUCUGACGAGGAGCGGGAGCGGGAGGAGGAUUCUGACAAGGAGUGGGAGGAGGAUGCAGUAGAUGACAACUACCGGGGUGUUUGGAGAUCAUUGUCCAGGAGGAGGUUGCCGAAAGGGUGUGCUAUCAGGGGAUAUGAAGGUCAUCGCUCGUCCUUCGUUGGCAAACACGAUCUGACCAUUCCAGUGGGCGGCGAGGAUCAGAAGAUGCAUGACCAGGAGUUGUUGGAGGCUGAUGCCGAGGAGAAUCUACCGCUGCUUAGCUUGGAGGCCAAGCUGGGCUGCAACACUGUCCCGAUAGUGGAGGAGUAGUAUGUGAUCACGGCUCAGUUUGAGCGGAAUGCUCAACGGUCCCACCAUCAGGUGGGUCGUUGAUACGUCCAUUUCGCAUCAUGUUUUCUUAUAGAUAUUUAUCGCAUUAUGGAUUUUUAUUUCACUUUAUGAUAAUAGUUUGUGUUUUUUCUCUCUUAUUUUGCAAGUUUCACAUAAAGAGGGAGAUUGCCGGCAGGUGGAAUUCUGGACCAUAAAGGGCUAUAUCAAAAGAUACCUAUUCUGCACAACUCCAAAUAACCUGAAAAUUGACGGAGAUUUAUUUUGGAAUAUAUAAAAUAUGCUGGAGAAAGAAUACCAAAAGGGGACCCACCAGGAAGCGACAAGCCUAGGGUGCGCGCCCUACCCCCCUGGGGAGCGCCCCCAAGGUUGUAGCGCCCCUGCCAGGCCUCCAGGGACCAUCUUCUCGUAUAUGCUCCCAUUUGACCUAGAAAAAUAUCGGAAGAAGGGUUUCGAGACGAAGCACCGUCCUCUCGAGGAGGAAUCUCGCCGGAGCACUUUUGCUCUUCGGCGGAGUGAUUCCGCCUGGAAAACUUCCCUUCGAGAGGGGGAAAUUGAAGCCAUCGUCAUUACCAACAAUCCUCUCAUUGUGAGAGGACCAAUCUUCAUCAACAUAUUCAACUGCACCAUCUCAUCUCAAACCCUAGUUCAUCUGUUGUAUUCAAUAUUUGUCUCAAAACUUUUGAUUCAUACUUGUGGGUUGCUAGUAGUGUUGAUUACAUCUUGUAGUUAAUGCUAGUUGGUUUAUUUGGUGUAAGAUUAUAUGUUCAUAUCCUUAAUGAUAUUCAAUACCCCUAUGAUCUUGAACAUGAACAUGAUUUGUGAGUAGUUAUUUUUAUUCUUGCGGACAUGGGAGAAGUCUUGUCAUAAGUAAGCAUGUGAAUUUGGUAUUCGUUCGAUAUUUUGAUGAUAUGUAUGUUGGGAUUCCCUUAGUAUUGUUAUGUGAACGUGAACUACAUGACACUUCAACAUCAUUGGGCCUAAUGGAAUGCAUUGUGGAGUAGUAAUUAGAUGAUGGUUUGCUAGAGUGAUAGAAUCUUAAACCCUAAUUUAUGUGUUAUUCCGUAAGGGGCUAAUUUGGAUCCAUAUGUUUCAUGUUAUGGUUAGAUUUAUCUUAAUUCUUCUUUCGUAGUUACGAAAGCUUCCGAGAGGGGGUAAUCAUAAGUGGGAGGCUUGUUCAACUAAGAACAACACCCAAGCACCGGUCCGCCCACAUAUCAAAUUAUCAAAGUAACCAACGCGAAUCAAGUAAUUAUGAUGAAAGUGACUAGAUGAAAUUCUCGUGUGUCCUCAAGAUUGCUUUAUUUGAUAUAAGAGACUGUACCGCUAUGUCCUUUGCUACAAAAAGGGUUGGUGUCGGUGUCAAAACCGGCAGAUCUCGGGUAGGGGGUCCCGAACUGUGCGUCUAGGCGGAUGGUAACAAGAGACAAGGGACACGAUGUUUUACCCAGGUUCGGGCCCUCUUGAUGGAGGUAAAACCCUGCAUCCUGCUUGAUUAAUAUUGAUGAUGUGUGUUACAAGAGUAGAUCUACCACGAGAUCAAGGAGGCUAAACCCUAGAAGCUAGCCUAUGGUAUGAUUGUUGUUCGUCCUACGGACUAAAGCCAUCCGGUUUAUAUAGACACCGGAGAUGGCUAGGGUUACACAGGGUCAGUUACAAUGGUAGGAGAUCUACAUAUCCGUAUCGCCAAGCUUGCCUUCCACACCAAGGAAAGUCCCAUCCGGACAUGGGACGAAGUCUUCAAUCUUGUAUCUUCAUAGUCUUGGAGUCCGACCGAUGAUGAUAGUUCGGCUAUCCGGACACCCCCUAGUCCGGGACUCCCUCAGUAGCCCCUGAACCAGGCUUCAAUGUUGACGAGUCUGGCACGCAUAUUAUCUUCGGCAUUGCAAGGCGGGUUCCUCCUCCGAAUAACUUAUAGAAGAUUGUGAACACCAGGAUAGUGUCCGGCUUUGCAAAAUAAAUUCCACGUACCACCGUAGAGAGGAAAAUAUUACAAAAGUUCAAUCUGCUGACGUAUUUGGCGGCGUGAUGUCACACCACUACUAAGCCUUUACUAGAAUUGUUUUUAUUGUACCACCUCAGCGCAUUUAGCGAAGCGGUUUCCUUGGCACGUCUUGUCGAAGCAGAGAUCGUGUUCCCCUUAUCCCGGGAUUCCCAUAGAUACGGACGUGGGUAACCCAACCGCGCCCAUUGCCACGCCCCUCCAUCGAAGGCGGGUUAAAAACGGUCACGGGGACGGCUCUUGGUAUUCUUCCUCUUUAUAAUGAGACCAAGGCCCAUUCUUUUUCUUUAAUCCUCAAUCGAAUCCACCUCUCGCCCCAAGUUCCAACACCCAGGGCUCCAGAUUCAGGUACUUUUGACCUUCGACAAUGUCCGGCUCCGACCUACGAGGUCGGUGGAUGCCCUCUUCCGUCACGGAAGAAGACGUGCUAAAGCUGAGAGAAGCCCGGUACUUGACCUACGAGAUUGCGCAUAGGUUGCCUGCCCGAGGGCAAGUUAUUCCUACUCCCGAGCCCGGCGAGAGCGUCGUGUUCGUGUCUCAUCUCCGUCGGGGUUUAGGCUUCCCGAUGGAUCCCUUCGUGAGGGGGCUCAUGUUUUACUAUGGGCUAGAAUUCCAUGACUUGGCUCUGGAGUCCAUCCUCCACAUCUCAUCAUUCAUUGUCGUCUGCGAAGCCUUCCUCCGCACUACCCCUCACUUCGGCUUGUGGCUCAAAACCUUCAACGUGGAGCCAAAGAUGAUAGAAGGGCAUCAGGCAGAGUGCGGCGGGGCGGUUAUAAGAAAGAGGGACGAUGCUCCAUGGCCCGAGGGCUCUUUUCAGGAGGAGCUCGGCUUGUGGCAACAGGAGUGGUUCUAUAUCACCGCUCCUAGGGGCAGCAGGCAGAGGCCGCCGCCCGUCUUCCGCUCAGGCCCUCCACAACGGCUGAGGUCAUGGGUCAACAAGGGGCUUAACUGGGGGCCGUCCAAAGACGUACCCCUGUUGCAGGACCGGAUUCGAGGCCUCCAUGAAAGGGAGAUUAUUCUGGUCGUAGUGGCACAGGUUAUGCUGAUUCGGCGCCUUCUGCCCUGCAAACGUAGCCCCCUCCGUCUGUGGCAAUUUAAUCCGGAGGGGCCACGAGCACUCCAACACUUCAUGGGUUUGACACCCGCGGAGAUGUACAAACUGUUCUUCGGAUCGCAAGAGAUGCGUCCGGACAUGACCGAGGAUGCUGGCCUAAGCUGCAAUCGCCCGGAUACUCAAGUAAGUAGCCUUGUGUCCGGACAUAUCGUCCAUUUAUUUAUCAUGGGUUUUCCUUUUAACCAGCUAUCCCUUGGACAGGAGUGGAUAGUGCAAGCAAAACUGAUAUGGUGUCCGGCCCCCCUCCCUGAGACCAUGCCGGAUCCUGUGUUAGUCAAAAUGUUGGAGGUUGCGCCUUCGGAGGAGAGCGAAGGGGGACACAGGGAAACUACCACCACUGCCAAGGAGGCCUUCAAUAAGGGGGGAAUCGAGAAUCCCUCCUUCCAGGGGGAGAAGAGGACCGCUUCCGAAGACCCAGAGGCCAAGGCCUCAAAGCGGGGAAAGAAAUCUGCACCGGAAGGUCCCGCACCUGGAAGAGCCCCGGCCAUACUUUCUCCUCAUAGGAAUCAGCCCUCCAGCGAGCCGUAAGUAAAAAGGGGGGAUUUUGUAAUAGGGAACGCCCCUGUAUUAUUUCCAAAGGUAACCGAAGUUUUCACCUUGUAGUUCGGAUCUCAGCCCAUCUCAGCAGAGCUCAUCUUCGGGGGACCUUCGUCUGGAGAUGAUGGAGAGAGAGACGCCUCCAUCUGCCGCCCCGUUGGGCAGGGCGGAUGACCCUGAGGUCUCGUCACGGAGGGUCCCCCUAGUCCGGCGGGGCCGGAGAGUCCGGCACCCAUUGGAGUACGGCCGGUGGAGCUGCAGGAUUUGCUCAAGAGGCCGUCUAUUUCGGAAGAUCACCGCACAUUAAUGAGUUUGGUAAUUGAGAGGAUCUCAUCCGCCGAAAGUGGGUUGUAUGAGGCCGUCGGAAAUUUGCUGACGGGGUUUGAAGUACGCAAAAAAUGACAUACCUUUUGACAGUUUUGCACAUGGAGUGCGCCCUGUAUAGAUAGUAGCCCCUGAGACUUGGUAUGUUGUCGAAAGCGAUAGCGUGCCAAGGAUCAUAAUCUCAGUUAUAGAAUGUCGCCCUUCCUAUGCAGGUGGCGAGACGUUCGGUGGCCAGCCGGACUGAUGGAGUUGCCGAACUGAAGAGGCAACUCAAUGUUGCGGAUGCGGACAUCGCGCUGGUCAAUAAACGACUUAACGAGUCGCAAGGUAGGUGGUUGCUCCGCGGUUGGCUAGUAAGGGAGCUGAUGCCCGUUCCUUACAAUUUGUAUGCUUGAUGCAGAUGGCGCCGCUGCUAUGGAAGACCUUCGAGCAGAGCUUGCUCGAGCCAAGGAGCAAGCCAGGAUAAGUGAUGCGGCUACCUCGAAGGCAGCAGAAGAGCUAAAAGCCGAAAAGGCUGCUCACUGCCGAAGCAGGAAAGAGUUGGCCGGAAUGGCCUUGAAAUUAAAAGAUGCUACCGACCAUUGUGAGGUUCUUGAAGGAGAACGCCGAGUGGAGUAAGAGGACCUGAAGAAGGCCGCCGCCGAAGUCAAGGAUGCCCGGAGUGAGAUGCGGGCUAUGAAGGAGGAACUGCGUCAAGCCGGAGACAUUGCGGCUGGAAAAUCCUUUCUUCUGCGUAGGAAGUUCACGGAUCCGAAGUAUGCUCAGCUGGGCCAGUUGUGUGGUGCAGAGGAUCCUUAUCUGAAUUUGGCGGCGCGUGCGGCGGACGCAGUCGUGCACUUCCGUAGCCAGAAGGAUCACGAAAUGGAAGAGCUUUACUGGUCUCAAUUCCAGUCCGGAGCGUCCACUUCUGUUGAUUGAUCGGCUAGCUGAGUGGGCUGAGCUGAAUAGAUUGUCCGGACUUGCCAUGACGGAUGUGGUCGCUCAUCUGUGGCCGGAAAGGCCCAAGCCGAAGAGUUAUUUUGGCUUGUUGUAGCAAUUCCUUGGGGCGGUGCGGCAUAUCAAGGCGAUGAAGCGGUCGGCAUGCAUAGAAGGUGCACGGAUGGCGCUCGCCCGUGUGAAGACAUACUGGGCGGACAGGGAUGCCACCGCUGUUGCAUCCCGGUGUUCGGACAAGAGCCGAUUACCCGCCGAGCACUAUUUUGAGGAAGUCCUGCAGGGCGCUCGUUUAAUAGAGUCGCAGUGCUCGAAAGAUGUCAUGUUCAAAUGACGUGUAUGAUUUGUGAGAUCAUGUUUAUAAUGCAAUAGCUUUUUAUACUUGUGCGUUCAAGUAUUGAACUAUCUCCUGUGCGGCCGUAUAUGUAUGAAUAACCUGAAAGUUGCAGUCUUUGGCUUCAGCCCCCACGCACAUGGUGCGGGGGUGUUUGCAAAAAAGAAAAGCGUUUUUGCACACUUAAUCCAACGUCUUGGUCCUUUGAAGGAGGUGAUAGCAUAGCAAACUAGGCAACCGGACUAUAAUGCUUUAUCACUUUCACUUAUCCAUAGGAGCUCGAUGGUGGGGCUACUAUAUAGCCCCUAGAGACACCGCGCUCUCCGAACUCGGGGCGCGUAUGUGCCUGACCGGGAAGCGGUCCUUCGUCAAAGCGGAGGAAUUCUAAACAUUCCAAUAGUCGAUCGAGUGGUUGACCAGUCUCUCGCUAUAUCAUGACAGUCAGUUUUCGGCUUUCUCUACUAAGGUGCUCGCCCGGCCGAACCGGGGCACAAUCGCAGUAGUUCUCCUGGUGCCGCGUUAGCCGAUGGAGCAGAACGUAAGGCAGCAAAACACAGGAGCCGGGCAAACCCAACAUUUGACCAAAUACAUGAUUCGGAGCUGAUGCAUAUAAGUCCUAACUCGAGACGCCGAACACUCCCUGAGGUGUUCGGUCUUUAUGAUACCGGGCAGAACAAUGCCCUAAGCCCCUAGUGUCCAGGUACAGGCGGGACUUCUGACGCGGCCGAUGCCAAAAUGUCAACCUCCUCCUCGGUUAUGGUAGAAAACCGGGGGAUGUGUAUCAACAAGAGACAGUAAGAAAGGUUUACGCGGGGUCUUAAUCUGAAAAGAAUCCUUGCAAUGGGUCCCUGCUGCACGUAUGCGCCUGUGUCUCCGUUGUGUUGUAUCCUGGACGGGUGUAGCACGUGCUUCAUCUGUAAAAGAGAAGGAAUUAGUUUGGAAGAAAUAUCGUGCAAAGGAUGUAUUGAAAAUAAAGUGUAUUGGCUCUCAUCAUUUAUACGCGCAGCCCCUUAUAAAGCGGUAUGCGGCUGGGAAGCCCCUUGUUUAUUUACGCCGGACUCGCCUAACCGUGUCCGAGGUCUGAAUGACCUGUUUUUAGGGGCUUUGACCUGCAAGGUCGGAUUAAUGUGUGGCUAUCAAGGCAGCCCCACGUUGUCCGUGGUCGAGAAACACUCGGAGUUACUCUUUAAUGAGAUUAUGCCACGUGGACCGGGCAUUUCAAACGUAAGAGACGCAUAAUGUGGUAUUGCGUUAAAUAGGGCGAAAGCUUUGCGUCCCAGUAGUGCUUGAGGGCCACUGUUAAAUGGGGUGAUAUGUAGAGUGAGCUUUUCGCGAUGGAGGUUGUCGGAUGAACCGAACACAGCCUCUAGCGGUACAGAGCCUGUGCGAUUGGCUUAAAGGCCUGGCGUCACUCCUUUGAAGGAAGUGCUACUACGGCGAAUAUUGGUAGGGUCUUCCCCAUUCUGCGGACGGUGUCCUGGUAUGGCAGGUGCCGCACUGUGUUUUCGUGUUAUCACAUGAAGUGAGUUCACUGUUUUGACUUCUAAUGGGAAAGUCUUCUGUUUUCCGGCGUGCUGCUUGUGGGGUUCGUCGUCUUCGCUUGGUGUGUCGAGCCCCUUGCGUUCGGUGUUAAGUCGGCCGGACUGCUUGAAGACCCAACAAUCUCUGUGGGUAUGGUUUGCAGGCUUCCCGGAGGUACUAUGUAUUUGACAUAGCCUAUCCAGAAUUUUGUUUAGGUUGGAUAGCUCGUCACUGUUGUCCUUGAGGGGCAAUGGUUUGUUAUUCGGCUGAGAGCUUUUGAAUCCGGCGUUGACCGCCGUGCUAUUUGGGCCAUUUUCCUUAUUCCGCCGCUGAUCUUUUCUACGUCGUGAUUCCCCAUUUCCAUCCCUGACUUCGGAUGUACUUGGGUCGCUGGUGCUGCAUCUAGCCAGCCAGUUGUCCUCCCCUGCGCAAAAGCGGGUCAUGAGGCUUGUUAGUGCGGCCAUUGUUCUUGGUUUUUCCUGGCCGAGGUGUCUGGCGAGCCACUCGUCUCGGACGUUGUGCUUAAAGGCUGCUAAGGCUUCGGCGUCCGGACAGUCGACUAUUUGGUUCUUUUUGGAGAGGAACCUGUUCCAGAAUUUGCGUGUUGACUCUCCGGGCUGUUGAGUUAUGUGACUUAAAUCGUCUGCAUCCAGAGGGCGGACAUAAGUCCCCUGAAAAUUUGCUCGAAACGCAUCCUCGAGCUCUUCCCAACUUCCAAUGGUAUUUUCUGGGAGGCUUUUGAGCCAAUGCCGAGCUGGCCCUUUGAGCUUGAAGGGUAGGUAUUUUAUGGCAUGGAGAUCGUCUCCUCUGGCCAUAUGUAUGUGUAGGAUAUAAUCCUCAAUCCAGACUCCGGGGUCUGUUGUUCCGUCAUAUGCCUCUAUGUUUACGGGUUUGAAUCCCGCUGGAAAUUCAUGAUCCAGUACCUCAUCGGUGAAACAUAGUGGGUGUGCGGCGCCCCUGUAUUUGGGUGUGCCGUUGUCUUCAAACGCUUGGCGGGUUGUGUUGCUUCCUGGGGUCUUCUUUUUUGGCCCAUAGAUAGACCUGACCGGGUCAUCCUUUUUCCAAGGAUCUUUAUGUUGAUCGUGUGCCGGCUUGUGUGCGGAGCCCCUCGCUGCUCUUAGCCUGUCAUCUGGUCGUCUAUCCGGCCAGGCGGCCUCUUUCUUUUUUGUCUACGGGGGCUCUAAGGCCUCCUCGUCGAAUUCAGGCAAUAGCUGCCGCUUUGGGUAGCUCUUUGCCUGGCGACUAGCAUCAUAUUUAUCUGCGGUAUUGAGUACUUUGCUCCAUCUCAUUCGGAGUGCGUUCUCUGCUGUUUUGAGCUUCCGCUUUUGCUUCUUCAAACUUCUUGCAGUAGCGACGAGCCUUUUAUGAAGGUUCUUAUGCUCUGGUGAUGUGUUCGGCGUGAGAUCGUCUAGGCUCUUCUUUUCGUCGGGGAUGGGUUGCUCGUACAGUUCAUCAUACACGGAUGGUUGCUUGGUGGCAUGUUCGCCGUCCACUGCUUCGCCCUGAUCUAGGGCCGGGUCCGUAUGGGUGCAGUUUUUAUCGAGGCGGGACUUCGGGUGGCGCUUGCGUCGCCGUUUUGGUUGUUUGUUGGGGGAGUUGUCCUUCGCCACGUCCCGUUGUUCCUCAUUAUUGCUUCCUGUUGGUAUAUCCACCAUACAUACGUCGUGAGUUGGGGUGGCUUUCUAGUUCCCGAUAGGCGCUGGUUCUUGGUUGUCUCCGGCAUCGUCGUCCAUACCGUCGAUGUCUUCGGAGUCAUAGUCUAGCAUGUCGGUUAGAUCGUCGACAGUGGCUACAAAGUUGGUGGUGGGUGGGCUUUGAAUUUCUUCGUCGUCCGCAUCCCAACCAUCCUGACCGCAGUCCGGCCAGGGCUCUCCUGAUAACGAGAGAUACUUUAGCGAACUUAGGAUGUCACCAAAAGGUGAGUGUUGAAAGAUGUCCGCUGCAGUGAACUCCAUGAUCGGCGCCCAACCGGAUUCGAUUGGAGGGGGCGCGGGAGGUUCGGAGUCCGGCAAGGAGUCCGGCACCUCGGAGUCACGAGCUUCAUGAGGGACAAGAUCAGUGUUCGGCUCUAUCGUCAUAGAGGUUGCAGCCACCGAGGCGGUGUCUAGCCAUCCGUCCUCGGUCUGCGCAGCCCGCUCCGAAUUGAAGAUCGGAGCGGACUCGAGUGCGGCCUCCAGGAUACUGUCCGGCGGCAGAGCUAAAUCAUGCCCAUCGUGACAGUGCGGCAUGCUCGACUGUGGCUCGAAUCCAUCGAGGAUCAAUUCCCCACGGGUGUCAGCCGUGAAGUUCAAACUUCCAAAUCUGACCUGACGGCCACGGGCGUAGCUUUCGAUCUGCUCCAGAUGGCCAAGCGAGUUGGCCCGUAGUGCAAAGCUGCCGAAUACGAAGAUCUGUCCGGGGAGGAAGGUCUCACCCUGGACUGCGUUGUUGUUGAUGAUCGAGAAGCCAUCGAGCCUAUCGGUGACGACACAGAGGAACUCUCAAUGAAAGCACCAAUGUCGGUGUCAAAACCGGCGGAUCUCGGGUACGGGGUCCCGAACUGUGCGUCUAGGCGGAUGGUAACAGGAGACAAGGGACACGAUGUUUUACCCAGGUUCGGGCCCUCUUGAUGGAGGUAAAACCCUACAUCCUGCUUGAUUAAUAUUGAUGAUGUGUGUUACAAGAGUAGAUCUACCACGAGAUCAAGGAGGCUAAACCCUAGAAGAUAGCCUAUGGUAUGAUUGUUGCUCGUCCUACGGACUAAAGCCAUCUGGUUUAUAUAGACACCAGAGAGGGCUAGGGUUACACAGAGUCGGUUACAAUGGUAGGAGAUCUACAUAUCCGUAUCGCCAAGCUUGCCUUCCACGCCAAGGAAAGUCCCAUCUGUAAACGGGACGAAGUCUUCAAUCUUGUAUCUUCAUAGUCUUGGAGUCCGGCCGAUGAUGAUAGUUCGGCUAUCCGGACACCCCCUAGUCCGGGACUCCCUCAGUUGGCCUACCUUGGUGCACCUUAGUAACAAUUGCUGCUUGUUGCUCGUUACAAAAUUAUCUUGCUACCAAACUAUCUAUCACCGAUAAUUUUAGUGCUUGCAUAAAAUACCUUCCUGAAAACCGCUUGUCAUUUUCUUCUGCUCCUUGUUGGGUUCGACACUCUUAUUUGUCGAAAGGACUACGUUUGAUACCCUAUACUUGUGGGUCAUCACCCGUCAUCUUAAGCAUCUCCAACCCCCUUCUAGCUAGUUUUGAGGAUCAGACAUGUGGAUUCCUAGUGUUAACUGAAAAUAAUAUGCUGUUGUCGUACUAUGAUUUGGUAGGCUUAAUCAUGUCAUUAAUUUUUGUUUGAAUGUUCUUACUAAGUUGGUGUAUGCUACCUUUAGGAAUUCCUAUGUUAAUUGGCUUUUAGAUGUUCAAAAACAGUGCAGCAUACAAACUUACCAAAAAAUAGCAACAUGCAAAAAUAACUAAUAACAAGUCUAGCAUAGAAUGAGCGUAUCAUGCACUUGCAUAGCUUACCAAAAAAGGUGCAACAUAUACGUAAGUAGUCCAAAAAGAUGCAACAUGUAUAUAAGUACUCCAAAACGGCGCAACAUGUACGUAAGUAGCCAAAAAACUGCAACAUAUCCAAGGGAGGUCAUUGCCAUAGGGCACCGGUGCCCGACACCGGUGGCGGCUCCAAUUCCGGAGCAGUGGCAGCCUCCAACUCCUGCGCAGGCUCCAAGUCUGGUGCCUGCUCCAACUCGCUGGGCACGAGCCCCUACUCCAACAACUCCAAGCUUGAGCUCGCAUUGUUCGAGCUGUCUUGUAACCGUAGGAGGGUUGAGGAGGAGGUGGCCUUCAAGGCGAUGCAGGAGUACCUCAACGUCCAUGACAUGGAAGACGAGGAAGAGGAAGAUGUGUUGGCUCCUGUAUUAUGCUGGUGUGCUCACUGCCCAUGCGAAGCAAACCCUGCGCUCGGUGCAGCAGCAUCUCGAGUAGGCGGUGCUAGCCGCGUCUCUGUCCACAUCGUAGCUAGAGGGUGCUAGGCGCUGGGAGCCUGAAGAACAGGAUGCAGCUCAAGAGCUAAGGAGGGCCACCAAUCUGCGUGCAGCGGCCACCCUUGAGGCGGAAGGUGAGGGACCAGACGUCAUCAUCCUUUCCUCCCAUGAUGAAAAAGACCAUAAUGACGAUGACGAUGACUACAGCAGCAUCGUCCUUUCCGACGAUCAAGACAAGUAGCCUAUGUCGACGCUCGCCAGCCAUCUUAUGUCGCCCCUGUAAAAAUUUCGUGCUUGUUAAGCUUAUCUGAAUCUCAGAAUAUCUGAAUCCGAUGUGUUUUACACCGCCGCGUUCUUUCUUUCCAGGGUCACUGAUUCGUGACCCCUUUUGUAAUGUACGAUCGCAAGAAAAUAUCAGGUUAUAUAGCCGAGGCUCUGCAAAAAUAAGCACAGAGACGAACCCCGUGCAAAUGGAUCGCACUAUGCAUAGUCAACAAUUGUUCUGGUGUUCGACCCCCACGGGAGGCAUUAUAUUCCACCCAUUAUUUUGAAAAUAAAUCAGACACUGACAUGUAUGUUCUGGGAUGUUCGACGCAUCAUUCAUUCAACUAUUUUUCCCUAAUAAACCAGAGGCCGACAGGUGGGUCUUGGGUGCUCCACGCAAACCAAAUGCUGAUAGGUGGGUCCUGGGUGCUCCACGUGUUAGUAUGUGCAUCAGGUGGUCAACUACAUUGACCCAACAGAAACGCUCCGUUUUGGGCAUUUUUGACUGUUAGACGAAUGAUGAAGGGGAAAAGUGAGAGAUGUUAGUUGGGUGGGGAAAACUGAGAAGUACUAAGCAAUGAGGGCACAAUAAUAGAUCAAAAUAAUCAGUAAAUGCAUGAAAAAUAACAAAUGAAGUCAAAAAGGGUUGUAAAUUGAUGAUGUGGCUUUGAAUGGUGCAUUUUGAACACAGAAAAAUUAUGGAGUUCAAAAAAGUUCAAAAAAAUGAAAUCCCUUUGUAACAGACGAGUUUCCGUACGAAACCCUGAUACUUCGAAGGAAAUUGUCUGUUUUGAACACGAAGUGCAUCCAGUUUUUGCCGUAACCCUCUGUACUUUGUUGCACAUGCUGUGUGGGUGAAUGAUGAUACCAUGCAAACUUGGAACCUUUUUAGAGUUCAUUUCAAAUGCUUUUCAAUUUCAUUGUCUUAUAGCUCAAAAUAAUCAGUAAAUGCAUGAAAACUAACAAAUGAAGUCAGAAAGGGUUGUAAAUUGAUGAUGUGGCUUUGAAUGGUGCAUUUUGAACACAGAGAAAACUAUGGAGUUCAAAUAAGUUCAAAAAAUAAAAUCCCUUUGUAACAUACGAGUUUCCGUAUGAAACCCUGAUACUUCGAAGGAGAUUGUCUGUUUUGUACACGAAGUGCAUCCAGUUUUUGCCGUAACUCUUUGUACUUUCUUGCACAUGCUAUGUGGGUGAAAUGAUGAUACCAUGCCAACUUGGAACCUUUUCAGAGUUCAUUUCAAAUGCUUUUCAAGUUCAUGGUCUUAUAGCUCAAAAUAAUUAGUAAAUGCAUGAAAAAUAACAAAUGAAGCAAGAAACAAAAUAAAAUAAAAUAAAUAAGUAAUUUGAAACAAAAUAAUAUAAACUUUAAUAACAUAAAUAAAAUUUAUGAAACUAAAAUUAUCAAAGUAUUUUCUGUUCAAAACAUUAUAAGCAACCUCUAGUAUUAUUGAAACUAAAAUUAUAUAAAAUUGAUACAACUAAAAUGAUCAAAGUAUUUUCUGUUCAAAAGCAUUAAAAGCAAAAAGAAUUUUCAUAAAGAACUUUUUUUGUUAGAAACUUUAAUACCAAAGAGAAUUAUCAUAAAAUAAAAUUAGUAAGUAAUAUAAAUAAAAUAAAAUAAAAUAAAUAAGUAUUUUGGUGUAAGUAGAAACAAAACUAAAUAAAUAAAGCAAAAAAGAAAACAAAAAAACUCGGAAAAAAUAAAAAAAAUUGCCACCAACUGGACCACCACGACCAGAAUACGACUACAAACCCAUCCAUGGGCCAGGAUUCAGGCCCGCGGAAGGCCCAGAAGGCCCAUCAGGCAUAGCAGUAACAAUUAAACCCAUAAGCCUGGAAUGGAGAGGAGGUCCAGAGGGGUGCGGCAGUGGGGCUUAUAAACCACUGCUCGCCCCUCUCAACUAGCGAGGUGGGACUAAACUUUGGUCGCAACGCAGGCAGCACAGGGGCCUUUGGUCCCGGUUGGUGGCAUCAACCGGGACUAAAGGGGGUGCAUAGGUACCGGUUCGUAGCACCAACCGGUACGAAUGCCCCCACUUUAGUCUCGGUUGGUGCCACCAACCGGGACCAAAGGCAUCUGCUUCCCGCCCUUUGGGCUGCUGAAAAGAGACCUUUGGUCCCGGUUGGUGGCACCAACCGGGACUAAAGGGUGGCAUUGGUCCCGGUUGGUGCCACGAACCGGAAUCAAAUCCUUUGAUAUAUAAGAAACACUUACCAGUUUCUGCAAAAAUCACUUCUUCUCCGCCCCGAUGCCCCCAUGCUGCUCCUCAUCNNNNNNNNNNNNNNNNNNNNNNNNNNNNNNNNNNNNNNNNNNNNNNNNNNNNNNNCCUGCCCCGACGUGCGCCGCCCCGGUCCUGCUACGUCGCCCGGCCCUGCCCCGAUGCGCGUCGCCCCGGCCAGCCCCCGUAGUCGCCGUCGCCCUGCCCCACCCCUGUAGUUUCCGUCGCCCCGGUGCGCCCCCUGCCUCGCCGCCGACCCCGCGCCCCUGCCCCUCCUCACCUUGGUCUGGCCGGCGCCCUCCCUUGUUUCUUAUUUUUUUUAAUAUAUGUGAUGAUUUAUAUUCGUGUUUUUUUUUAUAUAUAUGAUGAUAUAUAUGAUUGUGAUCAUAAUUGUUUUUGUUCAUAUAUAUGAUGAUUUUUUUAUAGAAUAUGAUGUUUUUUCUCAUAUUAUAUGUAUAUGAUUUUUAUAGAAUAUGAUGUUUUUGCUUUUUUAUAAAAAUGUAUAUAUGUUUGUGUGUUCUCUGUGUAUAUAUGUUCAUAUAUGCAAAAGUAGAUUUUUAGAAAAGUUUUAUCUAUAUAUGUUCUCUGAUUUAUUACAUUUUAGGUUAGUUUCAUUUUUAGAGAAGUUUUAUAUAUGUAGAUAUAGGAAAGGAAGAAGAAGAAAAAGAAUGAGAGGAAAAAGGAAAAUGAGAAGAGGAAGAAAGGAGAAGAAGAGGAGAGGAAGAAGAGGAGAAAUNNNNNNNNNNNNNNNNNNNNNNNNNNNNNNNNNNNNNNNNNNNNNNNNNNNNNNNNNNNNNNNNNNNNNNNNNNNNNNNNNNNNNNNNNNNNNNNNNNNNNNNNNNNNNNNNNNNNNNNNNNNNNNNNNNNNNNNNNNNNNNNNNNNNNNNNNNNNNNNNNNNNNNNNNNNNNNNNNNNNNNNNNNNNNNNNNNNNNNNNNNNNNNNNNNNNNNNNNNNNNNNNNNNNNNNNNNNNNNNNNNNNNNNNNNNNNNNNNNNNNNNNNNNNNNNNNNNNNNNNNNNNNNNNNNNNNNNNNNNNNNNNNNNNNNNNNNNNNNNNNNNNNNNNNNNNNNNNNNNNNNNNNNNNNNNNNNNNNNNNNNNNNNNNNNNNNNNNNNNNNNNNNNNNNNNNNNNNNNNNNNNNNNNNNNNNNNNNNNNNNNNNNNNNNNNNNNNNNNNNNNNNNNNNNNNNNNNNNNNNNNNNNNNNNNNNNNNNNNNNNNNNNNNNNNNNNNNNNNNNNNNNNNNNNNNNNNNNCUAGAGGCAAUAAUAAAUGGGUUAUUAUUAUUAUAUUUACUUGAUCAUGAUAAUAGUUUAUUAUCCAUGCUAUAAUUGUAUCGAUAGGAAGCUCAGAUACAUGUGUGGGUACAUAGACAACACCAUGUCCCUAGUAAGCCUCUAAUUGAUUAGCUCGUUGAUCAAUAGAUGGUUACGGUUUCCUGACCAUGGACAUUGGAUGUCGUUGAUAACGGGAUCACAUCAUUAGGAGAAUGAUGUGAUGGACAAGACCCAAUCCUAAGCCUAGCACAAAGAUCGUGUAGUUCGUAUGCUAAAGCUUUUCUAAUGUCAAGUAUCUUUUCCUUAGACCAUGAGAUUGUGCAACUCCCGGAUACCGUAGGAAUGCUUUGGGUGUACCAAACGUUACAACGUAACUGGGUGGCUAUAAAGGUGCACUAAGGGUAUCUCCAAAAGUGUCUGUUGGGUUGGCACGAAUCGAGACUGGGAUUUGUCACUCUGGUUGACGGAGAGGUAUCUCUGGGCCCACUCAGUAGGACAUCAUCAUAAUGUGCUCAAUGUGACCAAGGGGUUGAUCACGGGAUGAUGUGUUACGGAACGAGUAAAGAGACUUGCCGGUACCGAGAUUGAAUAAGGUAUCGGCAUACCGACGAUCGAAUCUUGGGCAAGUACAAUACCGCUAGACAAAGGGAAUUGUAUACGGGAUUGAUUGAGUCCUUGACAUCGUGGUUCAUCCGAUGAGAUCAUCGAGGAACAUGUGGGAGACAACAUGGGUAUCCAGAUCCCGCUGUUGGUUAUUGACCGGAGAACGUCUCGGUCAUGUCUGCAUGGUUCUCGAACCUGUAGGGUCUACACACUUAAGGUUCGGUGACACUAGGGUUGUAGAGAUAAUAGUAUGUGGUAACCCGAAUGUUGUUCGGAGUCCCGGAUGAGAUCCCGGACGUCACGAGGAGUUCCGGAGUGGUCCGGAGGUAAAGAUUUAUAUAUAGGAAGUCCAGUUUUGGCCACCGGGAAAGUUUCGGGGGUCAUCGGUAUUGUACCGGGACCACCAGAAGGGUCCCGGGGGUCCACCGGGUGGGGCCACCUAUCCCGGAGGUCCCCAUAGGCUGAGGGGGCGUGGGAACCUGCCCCUGGUGGGCUGGUGCGCCCCCUUGGUCCUCCCAUGCGCCUAGGGUUAGAAACCCUAAGGGGUGGGGGCGCCUCCACUUGGCUUGGAGGCCAAGCCACCCCUAGCCCCUCCCUAGAUGGGAUCUACCAGGGGCCGACGCCCCCUAGGCCCCUGUAUAUAGUGGAGGGGAGGGAGGGCAUCCGCACUUGAGUCCCUGGCGCCUCCCUCCCUCCCGUGACACCUCUUCCUCCCCGCUUGCGCUUGGCGAAGCCCUGCCGGGAUCCCGCUACUUCCACCACCACGCCGUCGUGCUGCUGGAUCUCCAUCAACCUCUCCUCCCCUUGCUGGAUGAAGAAGGAGGAUAUGUCUCUCCCAACCGUAUGUGUGUUGAAUGCGGAGGUGCCGUCCGUUCGGCGCUAGGAUCAUCGGUGAUUUGGAUCACGAUGAGUACGACUCCAUCAACCCCGUUCACUUGAACGCUUCCGCUUAGUGAUCUACAACGCUAUGUAGAUGCACUCUCCUUCCCCUCAUUGCUAGUUUCUCCAUAGAUAGAUCUUGGUGACUCGUAGGAAAAUUUUGAAUUUCUGUACGUUCCCCAACAGUAGCAUCAUGAGCUAGGUUUAUGCGUAGUUUCUAUGCACGAGUAGAACACAAAGUAGUUGUGGGCGUUGAUUUUGUUCAAUAUGCUUACCGUUACUAGUCCAAUCUUGUUUCAACGGUAUUGUGGGAUGAAGCGGCCCGGACCGACUGACAUGCACUUGUUGCAUAAGGUGGCUAGUGGGUGCCAGUCUCUCCCACUUUAGUCGGAUCGGAUUCGAUGAAAAGGGUCCUUAUGAAGGGUAAAUAGAAAUUGACAUAUCACGUUGUGGUUUUGCGUAGGUAAGAAACGUUCUUGCUAGAGACCCAUAGCAGCCACGUAAAGCAUGCAAACAACAAUUAGAGGACGUCUAACUUGUUUUUGCAGGGUAUGCUAUGUGAUGUGAUAUGGCCAAAAGAAUGUGAUGAAUGAUAUGUGAUGUAUGAGAUUGAUCAUGUUCUUGUAAUAGGAAUCACGAUUUGCAUGUCGAUGAGUAUGACAACCGGCAGGAGCCAUAGGAGUUGUCUUUAUUUAUUGUAUGACCUGCGUGUCAUUAAACAAUACCAUGUAAUUACUUUACUUUAUUGCUAACCGGUAGCCAUAGUAGUAGAAGUAAUAGUUGGUGAGACAACUUCAUGAAGACACGAUGAUGGAGAUCAUGGUGUCAUGCCGGUGAUGAUGAUGAUCGUGGAGCCCCGAAGAUGGAGAUCAAAAGGAGCAAAAUGAUAUUGGCCAUAUCAUGUCACUUUUUGAUUGCAUGUGAUGUUUAUCAUGUUUAUGCAUCUUAUUUGCUUAGAACGACGGUAGUAAAUAAGAUGAUCCCUCAUUAAAAUUUCAAGAAAGUGUUCCCCCUAACUAUGCAUCGUUGCGAAAGUUCGUCAUUUCCAAGCACCACGUGAUGAUCGUGUGUGAUAGAUUAUAAUGUUCACAUACAACGGGUGUAAGCCAGAUUUACACACGCGAAACACUUAGGUUAACUUGACGAGCCUAGCAUGUACAGACAUGGCCUCGGAACACAAGAGACCGAAAGGUCGAGCAUGAGUCUUAUAGUAGAUACGAUCAACAUGAAGAUGUUCACCUAUGAUGACUAGUCCGUCUCACGUGAUGAUCGGACACGGCCCAGUUGAUUCGGAUCAUGUAAUCACUUAGAUGACUAGAGGGAUGUCUAUCUGAGUGGGAGUUCAUAAGAUGAACUUAAUUAUCCUGAACAUAGUUAAAAACCCUUUGCAAAUUAUGUCAUAGCUCGCGCUUGAGUUCUACUGUUUUAGAUAUGUUCCUAGAGAAAAUAUAGUUGAAACUUGACAGUAGCAAUUAUGCGGACAGUAGAAGGCUUGUGUCCUUAAUGCACCGCUCGGUGUGCUGGACCUCGAACGUGGUCUGUGGAUGUUGCGAACAUCUGACAUACACGUUUUGAUGACUACAUGAUAGUUCGGUAAUGUUAAAUGGUUUAGAACUGAGGCACCAAAGACAAUUUUGAAAUGUCGCAGAACAUAUGAGAUGUUCCAAGAGCUGAAAUUUGGAUUUCAGGCUCGUGCCUAGGUUAAGAGGUAUGGGACCUCCGACGAGUUUUCUAGCCUACAAACUAAGGGAGAAGAUCUCAAUCGUUGAGCUUGUACUCAGAUUGUCUGGGUACAACAAUCACUUGAAUCGAGUGGGAGUUAAUCUUCAAAAUAAGAUAGUGAUGUUUCUCCAAAGACAUUGCCACCAAGCUACUAGAGCUUCGUGAUGAACUGUAACAUAACAUGGAUAUAUAUGAUGAUCCUUGAGCUAUUCGCAGUGUUCGACACCGCGAAUGUAGAAAUCAAGAAGGAGCAUCAAUUGUUGAUGGUUAAUGAAACCACUAGUUUCAAGAAGGGCAAGGGCAAGAAGGGAUACUUCAUGAAGCGGCAAAUCGGUUGCUGCUCCAGUGAAGAAACCCAGGGUUGAACCCAAACCCGAGACUAAGUGCUUCUGUAAUAAGGGGAACAGCCACUGGAGCAGAAUUACCCUAGAUACUUGGUAGAUAAGAAGGCUGGCAAGGUCGAUAGUAGUAUAUUGGAUAUACAUUAUGUUAAUGUGUACUUUACUAGUACUCCUAGGAGCACUACGGUAUUAGAUACCAGUUCGAUUGCUAAGUGUUAGUAACUCGAAAUAAAAGCUAAGAAAUAAACGGAGACUAGCUAAAGGUGAGCUGACGAUAUGUGUUGGAAGUGUUUCCAAGGUUAAUUUCAUCAAACAUCGCACGCUCCCUCCACCAUCAAGAUUAGUAUUAAACCUAAAUAAUUGUCAUUUGGUGUUUGCAUUGAGCAUAGACAUGACUGGAUUAUGUCUAUCGUAAUACGGUUAUUCAUUUAAGGAGAAUAAUGGUUAUUCUAUUUAUUUGAAUAAUACCUUCUAUGGUCUUGCACCUAUAAGAAUGGUUUAUUGAAUCUCGAUCGUAGUGAUACACAUUUUCAUGCCCAAAGAUAUAAGAUAGUAAUGAUAGUACCACUUACUUGUGGCACUGCCAUGUAAGUCAUAUUGGUAUAAAACGCAUGAAGAAGCUCCAUGUUGAUGGAUCUUUGGACUCACUCGUUUUUGAAAAGUUUAAGACAUGCGAACCAUGUCUAUUGGUGUAUACGCAUGAAGAAACUCCAUGCAGAUGGAUCGUUUGGACUCACUUAUUUUGAAUCACUUGAGAUAUGCAAAUCAUACCACAUGAACAAGAUGACUGAAAAGCCUCGUUUUCAGUAAGAUGGAACAAGAUAGCAACUUGUUGGAAGUAACACAUUUUUGAUGUGUGCAGUCCAAUGAGUGCUGAGGCAUGUAGUGAAUAUCUUUAUGUUCUUACUUCACAGAUGAUUUAAGUAGAUGUUGUAUAUUUACUUGAUGAAACACAAGUCUAAAUUAUUGAAAGGUUCAAGUAACUUUAUAAUGAAGUUGAAGAUCUUCGUGACAAGAGGAUAAAAUGUCUAUGACAUGAUCAUAGAGAUGAGUAUCUGAGUUACGAGCUUUGGCACGCAAUUAAGACAUUGUGGAAAUUGUUUCACAAUUAAUACCGCUUGGAACGCCAUAGUGUGAUGGUGUGUCGGAACAUCAUAGUUGCACCCUUUUGGAUAUGGUGUGUACCAUGAUGUCUCUUAUCGAAUUACCACUAUCGUUCAUGGGUUAGGCAUUAGAGACAACCACAUUCACUUUAAUAGGGCACCACGUAAUUCCGUUGAGAUGACAGCGUAUGAACUGUGGUUUAGAGAAACCUAAGCUGUCGUUUCUUGAAAGUUUGGGGUUGCGACGCUUAUGUGAAAAAGUUUCAGGUUGAUAAGCUCGAACCCAAAGCGGAUAAAAUGCAUCUUCAUAGGACACCCAAAAACAGUUGGGUAUACCUCCUAUUUCAGAUCCGGAAGAAAAAGGAUUGUUUCUAGAAAUGGGUCCUUUCUCGAGGAAAAGUUUCUCUUGAAAGAAUUGAGUGGGAGGAUAGUGGAGACUUGAUGAGGUUAAUGAACCAUCACUUCAACCAAUGUGUAGCAGGGCACAGGAAGUUGUUCAUGUGGCACCUACACCAAUUGAAAUAGAAGCUUAUGAUAGUGAUCAUGAAACUUCAGAUCAAGUCACUACUGAACCUCGUAGGUCGACAAGGACGCGUACUGCCUCAGAGUGGUACGACAAUCCUGUCUUAGAGGUCGUGUUGCUAGACAGCAAUGAACCUACGAACUAUGGAGAAGCGAUGGUGGGCCCCGAUUCCAAUAAAUGGCUAAGAGGCCAUAUAAUCCGAGAGAGGAUCCAUGUAUGAGAACAAAGUGUGGCCUUUGGAAGAACUACCUAAUGGUCGUAAGGCUAUUGGGUACAGAUGGAUUUUAAAAGGAAGACAGACAAUGAUGGUAAGUAUCACCAUUAAGAAAGCUCGACUUGUCGUUAUGUUUUUCGACAAGUUCAAGGAGUUGACUAUGAUGAGACUUUCUCAUUCGUAGCGAUGCUAAGAGUCUGUUGGAAUUAGAUUAGCAGUUACUGCAUUAUCUAUGAAAUCUUGCAGAUAGGAUGUCAAAACAUUGUUUCCUCGAUGUAAUACUUGAGGAAAGGUUGUAUGUGAUACAAACAGAAGGUUUUGACAAUCCUGAAAGACACUAACAAGUAUGCAAAGCUCCAGCAAUCCUUCUAAGGACUGGAGUAAGCAUCUCGGAGUUGGAAUGUACGCUUUGAUGAGAUGAUCAAAGAAUUUGGGUUUAUACAAAGUUUAUGAGAAACUUGUAUUUCCAAAGAAGUGAGUGGGAGCACUAUAGAAUUUCUGAUGAUUAUAUGUUGUUGACAUAUUGUUGAUCGGAAAUGAUGUAGAAUUUCUGGAAAGCAUAUAGGGUUAUUUGAAAAGUGUUUUUCAAUAGAAAACCUGAAUUAAGCUGCUUGAACAUUGAGCAUCAAGAUCUAUGAGGAUAGAUCAAGAACGCUAAAUGGUACUUUCAAAUGAGCAUAUACCUUGACAUGAUCUUAAAGGUGUUCAAGAUGGAUCAGUCAAAGAAAGAGUUCUUGCCUGAGUUGUAAGGUAUGAAGUAGAGUAAAAGCUCGACCACGGCAGAAGAGAGAGAAAGGACGAAAGUCAUCCCGUAUGCUUCAGACAUAGGCUCUGUAGUAUGUUAUGUUGUGUACCGCACCGGAAGUGUGCCUUGCCAUGAGUCUGGCAAGGGGGUACAAGAGUAAUCCAGGAAUGGAUCAUUGUACAGUGGUCAAAAUUGUCCUUGGAGUAAAUAAGGACAUGUUUCUCGAUUAUGGAGGUGAUAAAGAGUUCGGCGUAAAGGAUUACGUCGAUGCAAGCUUUAACACCUAUCCGAGCGACUCUGAGUAGCAAACCGGAUACAUAUAGUGGAGCGACCAUUUAGAAUAGCUCCAAGUGGAGCGUGGAAGCAACAUUUACAAUAUGACCUAGAGAUUUGCGAAAUACAUACGGAUCUGAAUGUUGCAGACCCGUUAACUAAAACCUCCCUCACAAGCAAAACAUGAUCAAACCCCAGAACUCAUUGAGUCUUAAUCACAUGGUGAUGUGAACAAGUUUAGUGACACUAGUAAACUCUUGGAUGUUGGUCACAUGGCGAUGUGACCUAUCAGUGUUAAUCACAUGGCGAUGUGAACUAGAUUAUUGACUCUAGUGCAAGUGGGAGACUGUUGGAAAUAUGCCCUAGAGGCAAUAAUAAAUUGGUUAUUAUUAUUAUAUUUCCUUGUUCAUGAUAAUCGUUUAUGAUCCAUGCUAGAAUUGUAUCGAUAGGAAACUCAGAUACAUGUGUGGGUACAUAGACAACACCAUGUCGCUAGUAAGCCUCUCAUCGACUAGCUCGUUGAUCAAUAGAUGGUUACAGUUUCCUGACCAUGGACAUUGGAUGUCAUUGAUAACGGGAUCACAUCAUUAGGAGAAUGAUGUGAUGGACAAGACCCAAUCCUAACCCUAGCACAAAGAUCGUGUAGUUCGUAUGCUAAAGCUUUUCUAAUGUCAAGUAUCUUUUCCUUAGACCAUGAGAUUGUGCAACUCCCGGAUACUGUAGGAAUGCUUUGGGUGUACCAAACGUCACAACGUAAAUGGGUGGCUAUAAAGGUGCACUACGGGUAUCUCCGAAAGUGUCUGUUGGGUUGGAACGAAUCGAGACUGGGAUUUGUCACUCCAGUUGACGGAGAGGUAUCUCUGGGCCCACUCGGUAGGACAUCAUCAUAAUAUGCACAAUGUGACCAAGGGGUUGAUCAUGGGAUGAUGUGUUACGGAACGAGUAAAGGGACUUGCCGGUAACGAGAUUGAAAAAGGUAUCGGCAUACCGAUGAUCGAAUCUCGGGCAAGUACAAUACCGCUAGACAAAGGGAAUUGUAUACUGGAUUGAUUGAGUCCUUGACAUCAUGGUUCAUCCGAUGAGAUCAUUGAGGAACAUGUGGGAGUCAACAUGGGAAUCCAGAUCCCGCUGUUGUUUAUUGACCGGAGAACGUCUCGGUCAUGUCUGCAUGGUUCCCGAACCCGUAGGGUCUACACACUUAAGGUUCGGUGACACUAGGGUUGUAGAGAUAAUAGUAUGCGGUAACCCGAAUGUUGUUUGGAGUCCUAGAUGAGAUCCUGGACGUCACGAGGAGUUCUGGAGUGGUCCGUAGGUAAAGAUUUAUAUAUAGGAAGUCCAGUUUUGGCCACCGGGAAAGUUUUGGGGGUCAUCGGUAUUGUACUGGGACCACCGGAAGGGUCCCGGGGGUCCACCAGGUGGGGCCACCUGUCCCGGAGGGCCCCAUAGGCUGAGGGGGCGUGGGAACCAUCCCCUGCUGUGCUGGUGCGCCCCCCUUGGGCCUCCCAUGCGCCUAGGGUUAGAAACCCUAAGGGGUGGGGGCGCCUCCACUUGGCUUGGAGGCCAAGCCACCCCUAGGGAAGCCGCCCCCUCCCUAGAUGGGAUCUACAAGGGGACGGCGCUCUCCUAGGCCCCUAUAUAUAGUGGAGUGGAGGGAGGGCAGCCGCACUUGAGUCCCUGGCGCCUCUCUCCUCCCGUGACACCUCUUCCUCCCCGCUUGCGCUUGGCGAAGCCCUGCCGGGAUCCCACUACUUCCACCACCCCGCCGUCGUGCUGCUGGAUCUCCAUCAACCUCUCCUACCCUUGCUGGAUCAAGAAGGAGGAGAUGUCUCUCCCAACCGUUUGUGUGUUGAACGCGGAGGUGCCGUCCGUUCGGCGCUAGGAUCAUCGGUGAUUUGGAUCACGACGAGUACGACUCCAUCAACCCCGUUCACUUGAACGCUUCCGCUUAGUGAUCUACAAGGGUACGUAGAUGCACUCCCCUUCCCCUUGUUGCUAGUUUCUCCAUAGAUAGAUCUGGGUGACUCGUAGGAAAAUUUUGAAUUUCUACUACGUUCCCCAACAUAUAUACCCCCUCUCGACCGUGAUAACUUAUACCACGGGAGCACCCCCCACCCGGCCCUCUCGCUCGACCAGAACUGUCGAGGACACCAAAACCCUAGAAAAAAACUAUGUUGGUCUCCUACCCCCUCCCGCCGCGCCCCUACCCGACAAACUCUCUCGAGGCCACCGAAAUUUACCAAGUUAAAAGAGCGUUGUCGUCGAGGCCACCCCAAACCCUUGAAGCGUUGUGUCGAGGCCACCCCAAACCCUUGAAGCGUUGUCGAGGCCACCCCAAACCCUAGAGAAGCAGCGUCGAGGCCACUAAUAUGAUUCCUUAUUGUGAUUAGCUAGCUAGUUCUACGUUUGCCACUUAUAUAUCCAUCUGUCAUGUUUGAAUAAUAAUUGCCAUGUUGUAAAUAUUUGCAACAACUACAGAGCACCCCCGAGACGAAGCAACAGAAGCGCUGUUGGGGGACAUAAUCGCAAAAGGAAGUGAUGUCAUUGCGUCGUUUCUCAACGACACCGAUGGUCUGGAAGGACGGGAUAGUGAAGAAGAAGGCUAUGAUUAUGAUGGCUCUGGUGACCCAUUAAUGCCGGUACAAGAAGGAGGCUAUGAUUAUCAUGGCUCCGGUGACCCAAUGUAGGUACAAGAAGGAGACCGUGAUGACGGCUCCGGUGACCGAACCGAGUCCGGCCAGGUAUAUAUCUCAGUUAAGCCCGUGCUGACUAGCUAAUUAAUGCAUUCAUUGUUUUCAUAUGUACACAUAUUAAUUAACUCUCGUCUUUCUUCUUUUCUCUAGCCCUCCGGAUCGAGCACAACUUCGGUAAAGAAACGAGGCCCGAAGAAAAAGUUGUGCUCGGAUGAAAGGUUUGAGAUCACAGCAAUCGCGCGUGAUGGCAAGCCGAUUGAACCCAUCCGGACAAAGGAUGCAUUUCGUGCUCAGUGCGGGGUUCUUGUUAGGGACAAGAUCCCGAUCAGUAUCCACCAAUGGUUAAGUCCUAAGAAAGAAUAACCUGAGGUGUCUUAUGUCUCCGAUAUGUAGAAAGAAGAUCUUUGGACAACGCUUAAGGAAAAUUUCACCCUACCGCCAGAGGAGGAUCCGGAGAAGCCAGUUAAAGAGCAAUUGAUAAAGUCUCAUGCUCUUAAGAUGAUGGCAGAACUAUUCAGGAGGUGGAAGAAUGAACUUAAAACAGAUUUUAUCGACGAAGAAAAGACACCAGAAUUCAUUGGAAAGUAUGAGAAGAUCAGAGAUCAUUGGCCCGCAUUUGUGGCCCACAAGACAUCGGAAAAGAGUAAGAAGAUGUCAGAGACAAACAAGAAAAAUGUUGCGAAGAAGAAGCAUCACCAUCGCACGGGGUCAGGUGGCUACCUCAAAGCCUGACCUUUGUGGGACAAGGCUGAGAAUGACCUGAUUGCUAAACGGGUCGAACCAGAGAUAUUGAACUGGCCAGACCGUUGCCGGACAUGGUUCUUCAGGGUUGGAGGAACCUUGGACCCUAUAUUAGGGAAGUGCGUUUGGACAGAAGAGCAACUGUGAAUACCCGUUAGGAGGCUUUAGGACUAUAUCGAGAAAGCGCGGCAAGGGACGUUCGUUCCAGACAGAGAGAACGACGAGCUCACAAUGGCCCUCAGGAAUCCUGAGCACCCUGGACGGACAUGAGGCACGCUAGGCUCCAUUCCGUGGAAGGCUGGGUUUCCAGACACAGGGGGUUACAAAAGCCAGGAGAGGAGGAAGAAAGUGGAGCAUAGUCAACUACAGGCGCUGCACGAAAGGGUACAAGGGCUAGAGGAACGAGAAGCAGAUCGCAGCAAACAACCUGCCGAAGCUUCCCUUGAAGCUACCCCACCAUCUCGGCGGAGAAGAAGCGUGGCUUCCACCGAGCAGACUCAGCAGCUAAAGCCUGUCUUCACUGCUCCUGCUAGCUACCCCGUGGAUGCUAUCACGGAGUCUCAACAUUGCCACCUUAUGGCUCGAUGGAUGACAUUGAAAGUCAAGGCGGCUGUUGGCUCUGUUUUACCUACUGAACCUGGCACAACCUACCACGGCAGGUCGAUUCCAGAACGAUAUGCUAGGGUGAUGGUGUAUCAAAUAACAGACGGAUUUGAGGACCUUGAGCUUGACCACCCUACGGGUGAAGGGGAGAUACAGCUAGGUUCUUCUCUGAAGACUCCAUGCCUAUGGCGGAAGGACCUCAUCAACCUUCCGAACUGGAUGUCUCCGCCACCUCCUCCUCCUCCGGCGAGUCAGGGCACUCCGCCUCCUCCUGUGCCUCCUCCUCCGGUGAGUGAUCAGGGCACUCAGCCUCCUUCUCCGGCGCGUGGCGGCACUCUGCCUCCUUCUCCGCCUAUGCCGGCGUGCCCGAGCAGCCAGCCUCGUCCUUCUCUGCCUCGUCAACAAGGGCGGAAGAGACCGGCCGCUGCUCCGGCUGCUCCGUCGCGUCGUCCAUCUCCUCCAUCUUGUAAGAAAGGAAAGACAGCCGCAGCCGCUCUGUCUACUCCAGCGUCUAGCAGUACAACCAGAGGCAGGCAAUACAGAUACGAUCCUUCUAUGAAGACUCCAGAGAAGUUACCAUACGAGAGGAGCCAGGAGGAAAACACGAAGAUCGUGCAAGCCGAAGUGACCAACUUCUUUGAAGGGGUGAAAGCAAAGAAAAAUUCACCUCCGGAGGAGAAGAUAGAUCUGGUAAAAUCGAAGCGUACUCUGGCUGCCCCGAACAAACCACCAAAGUCUCCGAUGAAAGGCAACUAUGAGCGCAUUCUUACAAAGUCAUUUAUCGAAGCAGAGCGGUCGGGAAGUACUGUCAGUGGUCAAAAGUUAGCAGAACGACAAGCUGGGAAAAAAGUUUCCCAGCUCGGUGAACAAGGUAACCAAUCGUUCCCCCCGCUCCAGGUGUCUAGCGUCGUCGCUAAUCAUCCGGGCGGGACAAUGGUGCCCAGUUAUAACGAUCUUGGAGAUUACCUGCCCGGCGAUGCACAUUUUGAUAUAAUGGAGGUGGACGAACACAAAUACGAGUACGGGAAGCCUCUCGUCAAAGAUGAAAGAUCUCUAACAAUGAUGAUGUGAAGAUUCCAUGAUUUGUAUAUGAAAACCUGCAGAGAGUCUCAGGGGAGGGGGGGUAUUUUGACGCUGAGAGUUAGAGAGGAGCAUGACCUCAUUGGAAUUGAACUGCUGAAUGUUCCAUUUGACGAGUUCUUCGAGUUUUUCAAUUUAAAGGCCCUCGAUAAGUUAAUGAUCACUUGCUACUGCCUGUAAGUAGUACUUCUGUCAUUAAGUCUCUCGAUAUAGGUGAGCUCUUUCAUUGCAUGCAUUUUUAAUUAUCCUCACUAUAUUAUGCAGAUUGAAGAUCGUCGAAUUGAAGAAAAGACAAAUCGGUUAUAUUGGGUUCAUUAACACAAAUCUCAUAGAUGCAUAUAUGGUUAAAUUUCAGGCCAAAGAUACCGAGGCCAAGCUGCUACAAUCGUUUCUAUUAAAUCAAAACAAAGCUAUAAUACUCUUCCCUUACGAAUUCCAGUGAGUGUUACUGUCUUAUGCAUAUUCAGUUUCCCUUAUUAGUCGAGGUUAUAGUAAUGUAAUUGAUGAGUUAUGCAUGCGUGCGCAGGUUUCACUAUAUUCUCCUAGAGAUUAAGCUUGAGCAGGGACUAGUAACCGUCUUAGACUCGAGACGAAAAGAUCCCAAGGAGUAUGCGGACAUGACUGCAAUUCUAGAGAAGUAAGUUAAAUCGAUCAUUAUCGCACCAUAUCGGCAACUUCAAUUUGUUCGUUUCCUGAUAUCAAGUAAUUGUUUUCUUUGUCUGGCAGGGUUUGGAAUAAAUUCACCUCAAAAACUCCGGGACUGCCGUAGAAGCUGGAACUUAGACACCCGAAAGUAAGUACUAUAGUAGGAUGUUCCACGCAUCUCCUAGUGAUUCAAGCGCUAGUUUCAUCAAUACCAUUUAGCAUGCUUGCUAAUUAUCGGUUUGAUUGACCUCUAUUUCUUGUAAAGUGGUUGUGGCAGGAACAAGGGAAUAAUUAUUGUGGAUAAUACAUUUGUGAGUCCAUCCGCCACACGACCUGUGAGCGGGGCUACUCCGACAAACAAUAUGAAGUGUGUAAAUAAUAAUAUUAACAAUUUUAUUUUAUUACCAUCAUUUGUGUUCAGUUUUAUUUAUUCAUAUAUAUGUAUUGACCCCCUUCUUCAAAUUAGAUAUUUCGGAUGCGGGAUGAACUCCUACCGCUAGAUCGUAUGCCAGGAAUUCAAAGGAAUUGGCGGCAUUCUUUCUUGACCACACCAUUCAUAGCUGCAUCUUGGCCAUCCUCAUUGUCGUCACCUUUGAGUUCAAUAUAGGCCACCCUAUUUCUUUUCCUUCUAAACACUGUCAAUUGAUGAAGGUGUUUGUGGCUGCUAGAAUUAAUGUCUCAAUGUUCCAGAUCUGCUGCUCUGAAGGUGCCAACGUCCAUAAGGGAAUUUGUGAAUGAUGGGUUCAGUAGUAAGUCAAAUCUCCUGACUUGUAGUUUUCAGCCAGACAAGAUGAUGUUCAUGCCAUUUUCUUAACUAUGUCACCCAUUUUCAGCUAUUGUACUGAGAAACAAAUUCUAGGAAUGAAUGAGUAAUGCACUUACAGAUGCGAUAGUGCAUCUUACCAGAGAUGGAAAAAGUCUUGCUUUGCUAAAUUAAGCCUGGACAUGCAUGGUAAGAAUAAAAUCCAGAUCGAUUACAGUUAAAGCAAGUUGAUUCUCCCAUCAUUGAGAACAAGCUUGUUUUAAUUGAGAGUAUUCUAUUGGAGCUCAGGUAGUUUUCCUUGAUCCAUGUACUGGCAUGUUUUACAUAAUCUUGUUACUGUUCGAAGUGGGCAUCGAAUAGUUGAGUCUUAUAACCUUUUUUAGUGUGUUAAUAUUUGAAAGGGGAACAGGGCAAUGUUGCACUCUUGCUGUUGUUAGAGCACAUUAUUUUAUAGUUAAUGAUGCUACAUUCCAAACUGCUUUUUGUUCUGCUCAUAUGAUAUUGCUCAUCUUUUGUUUUCUGUCGUGAUGCCUCGUGUAUUUAAGGUAGAUAAUGCUCUAAAUUUUGUGUUUCUUGAACAUGGCCAAGGAAAUGGAUACAAUUUCUUGAACAUGAUCUAGUAUUUUAGAAAAGUGAUUUAAUACAAUUUUGCAAAAAAACUCAUUUCAGGCACUCGGAAAAUGGAAAAUGGUUUUUUCGUCCAAAGAAAAUGAGAACUUCCUUAGGCAACAUUGUUUGCCAUUCCAAGAUGCACCCUUGUGCACAAUAUUAGAUCAUUUUAACAAACUAUGCCAUGAAUGUGGCCAUAAGAUUGAUCAUUUGAUAGCUGAUUUCUGAGAACACUUUUUUAAAAUAAUUACCGUAUUACAAGUUUAUUAUUUUUCCUAGAAACUUGGUCACAUAUAAUGACACAAUGCGAAGGUUUUCCAAUUUUUUUUUGAAAUUUUAUGCCCAUUUCAGAAUGCGGUCAAAAUGGCGGGCUUGACCGUUCCUAUCUAGUGGUUGAAUGUUGGAAUUUUUUUGGUGUUUCUCUGAUUAAAUAGAUACUUAUGUACCUAGAAAUGAUUUUUGGAAAAAAUAAAUAGCAAACUACGAGGCAUCUGUAGUUCAAAUUUGACCCGCUUCCAACUGAAUCGGCGAGAAUUUGUCUUUUUCACCAGAGGUGGAUCAACACUUUUGACACCCAACCAUUUUGUCAAUUGUGCAUUAAUAUGGCCUAGUAUUUUAGAAAAUUGAUCUGGUCCAAUUUUACAACAAAUAUAUUAUAGGUCCUUAAAAAAACUCAUUUUAGGCACUCAAAAAAUGGAAAAUGAAUUUUCCGUGCAAAGAAAAUGAAAACUCCCUUAGGCAACAUUGUUUGGAAUUCGAAGAUGCACACUUGUGCACAAUAUGAGAUCAUUUGAAGAAACUAUACCAUGAAUGUGGCCAUAAGAUUGAUCAUUUGGCUUGAAAGCCAUGAAUCUUCAUGCAUGAUAGCUCAUUUUUUAGAACACUUUUUAAUUUUCCGUCUUACAAGUUUAUUAUUUUUCCUGGAAACUUGGUCACAUAUAAUGACACAAUCUGAAGGUUUUCCAAUUUUUUUAUUUUUUUGAAUUUUUUAUGCUCGUUUCAAAAUGUGGUCAAAACAGCGGGAAUGACCGUUCCUAGCUAGUGGUUGAAUCUUGGAAUUUUUUUGGUGUUUCUAUGAUUAAAUAGAUACUUAUGUACCUAGAAAUGAUUUUUAGAAAAAAUAAAGAGCAAGCUCUGAGGCAGCUGCAGUUCAAAUUUCACCCGCUCCCAACUGAAUCAGCGGAAAUUUGUCUUUUUCAUGAGAGGUGGAUUAACAGUUUUGAUACCCAACCAUUUGGUUAUUUGUACAUUAAAUAUGGUCUAGUAUUUUAGAAAAAUGAUUUGAUACAAUUUUGAAACAAAUAUUUGGUAUGUUCUUCACAAAAAAACUCAUUUUGAGCACUCGAAAAAUGAAAAAUGAAUUUUCAUGCAAAGAAAAUGAAAAGUUCCUUAUAACUAUUUUGUUAUUUUUUUUCUUCUAAAAACUAGGUCACAUUGAUGACAUGAUGAGAAGGUUUUUCAUUUGUUUCAUUUUUUUCCAAUUUAUCAGGUCAAGUAAAUAGCUGAGAUGAUAUAACAUCUUAUUUUUAAAUUUAUCACGAUCAAUUUAAUUGGUCAUAAUAUUGUAGUGCAUUCUGAUUGGUCCGUGGACAAGGCACACGGAUCAUGCACAAAACACCAUUGGAUCCUCCCGGAUCCAAUGGUAGUCGUCGCUCCUCGCCUCCCCCACCAACCCCACAUGAGGAGAAACCCUAGCUGGCAUCUUCCAUCCACCCCCCCACCUCCUUUCUUUCUUUCUUUCUUUCUUUCUCUCCCUCCCCUCUCCCCUGAUGCAGAUCCCCCUUGUCCCCUCAGACCCCCCUCCCCCGAUCCCACCAGCCGGUGGAGACCACCCUGCAUCCAUGGCCUCCCCGCACCCAUCCUCACCGCAUCGCCACCCCGACCCCUCCCUUCCCCACCGCAUCGCCACCCCGAAGCCACCUCCCUUCCCUAACCCUACACCCGUACCUCAACUUGCGCCGCAACCCGUCGGAUCCCCCUUCUCCGCUGCCGCUCCCCCUCCUCUCCCCUCAACCGGCGGCCAGAUCCACCCACUCCCUCUCCCCACCCACUCACCCAACUCCCUCUCCGUCGCCGCCAUCUAGGCCGGCAGCCAUCUCCGAUGCUCCAGGCAUCGGUAACGAGGGAGGAGGCAUGGAGAUGAGCUUCGGGGGCGGAGGUGGAGGGGAGUGCUCGUCAUCGUCCACAGUGGCGGUGGCGGUCGCGGCCGCCUCGACGACCGAGGCAGAGGAGCGGCAAUUUCUCAAGGGGGAGAUGGCGGUGCAGCCGCUGUGCGAGCAGCUGGUGGCGGUGCACGUCGGCUGCCUGUGCGCGGCGCACGUCGGCUGCCUACGCGCGGCAGCUGGUGGCUACUCAUCUAAAUAAUUUUGUUGAUUUGUGUGAUAUGCAAAAGAAGAAAGACACACAGAACAAUAUUGUCAAAUUGAAUUUAUUUCCAUUUUCACUUAGAGAUCGUGCCAAAGUUUGGUUUUCGUCUUUGCCUAAAAAUAGUAUUGAUUCUUGGAACAAGUGCAAAGAUGCUUUUAUCUCUAAGUAUUUCCCUCCCGCUAAGAUUAUCACUAUUAGGAACGAUAUCAUGAAUUUUAAACAACUUGAUCAUGAGCAUGUUGCCCAAUUUUGGGAAAGAAUGAAAUUGAUGCUUCGCAAUUUGCCAUACUCAUGGUUUGAAUUUAUGGAUGAUCAUACAAAAAUUUUAUGCCGGUUUGAACUUUUCUUGUAGAAAUCUUUUAGAUUCGGCCACGGGAGGCACAUUUAUGGAAAUCACGUUAGGAGAUGCUACAAAACUUCUUGAUAAUAUUAUGGAAAAUUAUUCUCAAUGGCACAUGGAAAAAUCUUCUAGUAAAAAAGUGCAUGCUAUAGAAGAAAUCAAUAUUCUGAGUGGAAAGAUGGAUGAACUUAUGAAGAUGUUUGCUACUAAAAAUACUCCUCUUGAUCCUAAUGAUAUGCCUUUGUCUUCUUUGAUUGAGAAUAAUAAUGAGUCUAUGGAUGUGAAUUUUGUUGGUAGGAAUAGUUUUGGAAACAAUGCCUAUAGAGGAAACUUUAAUGCUAGACCGUUCCCUAGUAAUCCCUCUAAUAAUUAUGGAAAUUCCUACAAUAAUUCUUAUGGUAACUUUAAUAAGAUGCCCUCUGAUUUUGAGAAUAGUGUGAAAGAAUUUAUGAUUUCUCAAAAGAAUUUUAAUGAUUUGCUUGAAGAAAAAUUGCUCAAAGUUGACGGUUUGGCUAGGAACGUUGAUAGACUUUCGCUUGAAGUUGAUUCUCUUAAAAUUAGAUCUUCCCCUCCUAAGCAUGAUAUCAGUGAGUCUCUCAAAGUAACGAGAAUUUCCAUUGACGAUUGCAAGGAAAGAACCGCUAGAUUGCGUGCUAAAGAAGAAAGCUUUAUAAAAGCGUGUUCUUGUAGUUUCCGUGAAAAUAAUGAUGAGGAUCUUAAAGUUAUUAAUACGUCUCCGAUUAGAUCUAUGUUUUGCAAUAUGAAUUUUGAUGAUUAUGGGACUGAUGAUGAAUCAACUUUGCCUAAAAGGAGCCCCAAGAAUUCGGAGUCUUUAGAUCUUAAUGCUAAAUUUGGUAGGAGUGAGAUUGGAGAAUCCUCAACUUCUAGUAAUGUUGAACCCACUAUCUCGGAUCUCAAGGAAUUUGAAUAUGAUAAUUGCUCUUUAAAAGGUUGUAUUUCCUUGUUGCAAUCCGUUGUUAGUUAUCCUCACGCUUAUAGUCAAAAUAAAGCUUUGACCAAACAUAUUGUGGAUGCCUUGAUGCAAUCUUAUGAUGAAAAACUUAAUUUGGAAGUUUCUAUACCUAGAAAACUUAAUGAUGAGUGGGAACCUACUAUAAAGAUUAUAAUUAAAGAUUAUGAGUGUUUUGCUUUGUGUGAUUUGGGUGCUAGUGUUUCCACGAUUCCGAAAACUUUAUGUGAUAUUCUAGGUUUCCUUGAUCUUGAAGAUUGCUCUUUAAAUUUGCACCUUGUGGAUUCCACCAUUAAAAAGCCUAUGGGAAGGAUCAAUGAUUUUCUUAUUGUUGCAAAUAGAAAUUUGGUGCCCGUAGAUUUUAUCGUUCUUGAUAUAGAUUGCAAUCUUUCUUGUCCUAUUAUUCUUGGUAGACCUUUCCUUAGAACGAUUGGUGCGAUUAUUGAUAUGAAGGAAGGGAACAUUAGAUUCCAAUUUCCCUUAAAGAAAGGCAUGGAGCACUUUCCAAGAAAGAAAGUCAAAUUACCUUAUGAAUCUAUCAUGCGUUCUACUUAUGAAUCAAGUGCCAAAGAUGGCACUAUUUGAAUCAAUCUUCGCUUUUAUGCCUAGCUAGGGGCGUUAAACAAUAGCACUAGUUGGGAGGCAACCCAAUUUUUCUUUAUGUUUUUUGUUUUUGCUCCUGUUUAGUAAUAAAUCUUGCAUCCACUCUCCGUUUAGAUGUGUUUUUAUCUUGUAGUUAGUGUUUGUGCCAAGUAGAACCUAUAGGAUAAACUAUGAUGAUAGUUGAUUUGAUUCUGGUGAAAAACAGAAACUUUGCGCUCACGAGAAAACAUUCAAUAAAUCACAGAAAAGUGAUUUUGCAUUGACUCUUUUUGCUUCUGAUCAAUAAACAAAUUUUCCAGUACGUCCUAUUUUGGUAGGAUUUUUAGAGUUCCAGAAGUUUGCGUUAGUUACAGAUUGCUACAGACUGUUCUGUUUUUGACAGAUUCUGUUUUUCGUGUGCUGUUUGCUUAUUUCAAUGCAUCUAUGGCUAGUAAAUUAGUUUAUAAACCAUAAUGAAGUUGGAAUACAGUAGGUUUAACACCAAAAUAAAUAAAUAAUGAGUUCAUGGCAGUACCUUAUGUGGUGGUUUUGUUUUCUUUCACUACGGAGCUUAUAAGAUUUCCUGUUGAGUUUUGUGUUGUGAAGUUUUCAAGUUUUGGGUAAAGCUUUUAUGGAAUAUGGAAUAAGGAAUGGAAAGAGCCUAAGCUUGGGGAUUACCAUGGCACCCCAAAAUAUUCAAGGAUAGGCAAAAGCCUAAGCUCGGGGAUGCCCUGGGAAGGCAUCCCCUCUUUCGUCUUCGUUCAUUGGUAACUUUACUUGGAGCUAUAUUUUUAUUCGCCACAUGAUAUGUGUUUUGCUUGUAGCGUCGUGUAUUUGAUUAGAAUUUGCUUUUUAGUUUACCACAAUCAUCCUUGCUGUAAACACCUUUUGGGAGAAGCCUAUUUGAUUAGAAUUUGCUAGAAUACUCUAUGUGCUUCAAUUAUAUCUUUUGAGCCUGAUAGUUUAUGCUCUAGCGCUUCACUUAUAUCUUUUAGAGCAAGGCGGUGGAAUAAUUUUGAUGAAAUUGCUAGUAUCUCAUGCUUCACUUAUAUUAUUUUGAGAGUCUUUUAGAACAGCAUGGUAUUUGCUAUGGUUACAAAGUUGGUCUUAGAAUGAUGAGCAUCCAAGUUGGGUAUAAUAAAAACUAGCAUAGAAAAAGAAUUGGAUGCUAUGAUCAACUUGAUGCUUGAUAAUUGGUUUGCGAUAUAAAGGUAGUAAUGUUAGGAUCAUGCUAGUGGGUAAUUAUGAAAUUGAGAAAUACUUUUGUUGAAGUUGGCAAGUCCCGUAGCAUGCACGUAUGUUAAAAGUUGCGUGACAAAUUUGUUACAUGCGUUGCUCUUUUGAGUGUCUUCCUCAUGAGUGGCAGUCGGGGACGAGCGAUGUAAUUUUUCCUACCAAUCUAUCCCUCUUGGGGCGUGCGUAGUAGUACUUUGCUUCGAGGGCAAAGUAGACUUUUGCAAUAAGUAUAUGAGUUCUUUUUUUGACUAAUGUGAGUCCAUGGACAUAUGCACACUUAUCCUUUUACUUUGCUACCCUUUAUUAUUACCGCGCAACUCUCGCCGGUAUUGAACCCUUUAUUUACCUUCCUCAAAACAGCCACCAUACCUACCUAUUAUUGCAUUUCCAUAGCCAUUCUGAGAUAUAUUGACAUGCAACUUUCCACCAUUCCGUUUAUUAUGACACGUUCCAUCAUUGCCAUAGUGCUCUUUGCAUGAUCAUGUAGUUGACAUUGUAUUUGUGGCAAGGCCACCUUCAUAAUCUUCAUACAUGUCGCUCUUGAUUUAUUGCAUAUCCCGGUACACCGCCGGAGGCAUUCACAUAGAGUCCUAUCUUGUUCUAGCUUUGAGUUGUAAUUUUUGAGUUGUAAAUUCAUAAAAGUGUGAUGAUCUUCAUUAUUGGAGCAUUGUCCUAGUGAGGAAAGGAUGAUGAAGGCUAUGAUUCCCCCACAAGUCGGGAUGAGACUUCGGACUUUACAAAAAGAAAGAAAAAAAUGAGAAAAUAUUUUUUUUUGAGAAAGGCCAAAAAUAAAAAUAAAAUAGGCCAAAGAAAAAAAGAGAGAAAAAGAAAGAAAUAAAAAAGAAAAAAAUAAUGAAAUGAGAUAAAAGAGAGAAGGGACAAUGCUACUGUCUCUUUUUCCACACUUGUGCUUCAAAAUAGCACCAUGAUCUUCACGAUAGAGAGUCUCAUAUGUUGUCACUUUCAUAUACUAGUCGGAAUUUUUCAUUACAGAACUUGGCUUGUAUAUUCCAAUGAUGGGCUUCCUCAAAGUGCCCUAGAUCUUCGUGAGCAAGCAAGUUGGAUGCACACCCACUUAGUUUCUUUCGUUGAGCUUUCAUAUAUUUAUAGCUCUAGUGCAUCCGUUGGGUGGCAAUCCCUACUCACUCACAUUGACAUCUAUUAAUGGGCAUCUCCUUAUAGCGCAUUAGUACGCCUAGUUGAUGUGAGACUAUCUAUUAAUGGGCAUCUCCUUUUUUUGUCCUUACAACCACCAAAUACCACCAUAGUGUUAUGUCCAUGGCUUAUGCUCAUGUAUUGCGUAAGAGUUGAAAAAGCUGAAGCGCGUUAAAAAGUAUGAACCAAUUGCUUGGCUCGUCAUCGGGAUUGUACAUGAUGGGAGUAUUUUGUGUAAUGGAAAUGAAGCAUGGCCUAACUAUAUGAUUUUGUAGGGAUAAGCUUUCUUUGGCUAUGCUAUUUUGAUAGGACAUGAUUAUUUGUUAGUAUGCUUUGAAGCAUCAUUAUUAUUAUGUUUUAUAAGAUUUUAUCUUGAAUCAUUUGGAUCUGAACAUUCAUGCCACAUGAAAGAAAAUUACAUUAUGAAUUAUGCUAGGUAGCAUUCCACAUAAAUUUUUUCUUUUUUAUCAUUUACCUACUCGAGGACGAGCAGGAAUUAAGCUUGGGGAUGCUUGAUACGUCUCCAACGUAUCUAUAAUUUUUGAUUUUUCCAUGCUAUUAUAUUACCCUUUUUGGAUGUUUAUGGGCUUUAUUCUACACAUUUAUAUCAUUUUUGGGACUAACCUACUAACCGGAGGCCCAACCCGUAUUGUUAUUUUUUUGCCUAUUUCAGUAUUUCGAAGAAAAGGAAUAUCAAACGGAGUCCAAACGGAAUGAAACCUUCGGGAGCGUGAUUUUUGGAACGAACAAGAUCCAGAGAGCUUGGAGUGCAAGUCAAGAAGCUCCCGAGGACCCCACGAGAUAGGGGGCCACGCACCCUCUAUAGGGCGCGCCCCCUGUCUUGUGGGACCCUCGGGCAUCCACCGAUGUACUUCUUCCUCCUAUAUAUACCUACGGACCCCAAAAACAUCUAGGAGCACCACGAAACACAAUUACCACCGCCGUAACCUUCUGUAUCCGCGAGAUCCCAUCUUGGAGCCUUCGCCGGCACUCUGCCGAAGGUGGAAUCGACCAUGGAGGGCCUCUACAUCAACAUCCUUACCCCUUCGAUGAGUUGUGAGUAGUUUACCACAGACCUACGGGUCCAUAGUUAUUAGCUAGAUGGCUUCUUCUCUCUUUUUGGAUCUCAAUACAAUGGUCUCCCCCUCUCUUGUGGAGAUCUAUUCGAUGUAAUCUCUUUUUGCGGUGUGUUUGUCGAGAUCCGAUGAAUUGUGGGUUUAUGAUUAGAUUUAUCUAUGGAUAAUAAUUGAAUCUUCUCUGAAUUCUUUUAUGUACGAUUGAGUUAUCUUUGCAAGUCUCUUCGAAUUCUCAGUUUGGUUUGGCCUACUAGAUUGGUCUUUCUUGCCAUGGGAGAAGUGCUUAGCUUUGGGUUCAAUCUUGCGGUGUUCUUACCCAGUGACAAAAAGGGUUGCAAGACACGUAUUGUAUUGUUGCCAUCGAGGAUAACAAGAUGGGGUUUAUAUCAUAUUGCAUGAGUUUAUCCCUCUAUGUCAUGUCAUCUUGCUUAAUGCGUUGCUCUGUUCUUAUGAACUUAAUACUCUAGAUGCAGGCAGUAGUCGGUCGAUGUGUGGAGUAAUAGUAGUAGAUGCAGGCAGGAGUCGGUCUACUUGUUAUGGACGUGAUGCCUAUAUACAUGAUCAUGCCUAGAUAAUAUCAUAACUAUGCGCUUUUCUAUCAAUUGCUCGACAGUAAUUUGUACACCCACCGUAAUACUUAUGCUAUCUCGAGAGAAGCCUCUAGUGAAACCUAUGGCCCCCGGGUCUAUCUCUUAUCAUAUUUGCUUUCAAUCUACUUUUAUUUGCAUCUUUACUUUUUGCAUCUAUAUUAUAAAAUACCAAAAGUAUAUUUAUCUUAUCAUACUAUCUCUAUCAGAUCUCUCUUUCGCAAGUGGCCGUGAAGGGAUUGACAACCCCUUUAUUGCUUUGGUUGCGAGUUCUCAGUUUGUUUGUGUAGGUGCGUGGGACUUUUUAGGAGUCUCCUACUGGAUUGAUACCUUGGUUCUCAAAACUGAGGGAAAUACUUACGCUACACUUGCUGCAUCACCCUCUCCUCUUCGGGGAAAACCAACGCUAGCUCAAGACGUAGCACGCGGUAGUGAUCUGCGCAUGCUUGGUGGCUUUGGUAGGACUAGAUCAUGGAAUCAGAGCCUUACAAAGUCCUUGUGUGGAACGAGCGCGGGCUAAACUCGCCCGCUAGGCGUAGUGCCGUGUACCAGGUCGUGGAUAUGAUUAGGCCGGCUAUAGUGUGUCUUCAGGAGACAAAGGUCGAACACUUGACCGUGGAUGUUGUUCGACACUGCCUGGGAAUUAAUCUAGAGAAUUUCUUCUACUUGCCGGCCUCCGGAACGAGGGGUGGAAUCCUACUGGCUUGGGAUGAGACAAUUGUCGGACUAUCCAACCCGCAUCGCACCAUGAACACGAUAACUGUCUUGGUGAAGCCCAAGAUCGGUGGGCAUUGGUGGUUCACCGGUGUGUAUGGCCCGCAGACUGACAUGGACAAGGUCGCAUUCAUGCAAGAGCUGGUAGAUGUACGUGAGUUACACGCUGGCCCGUGGGCAAUCAUGGGUGACUUUAAUCUGUUGGUGAACCCUCAAGACAAGAACAAUGACGCGAUCAAUCGGCGAAUGAUAGCCAGGUUUAGAAACAAGGCGAACCAACUGGAAGUGAAAGAGAUGUACCUCAACGGCCGCAAGUUCACUUGGUCCAAUGAACAGCAGCGCCCAACCAAGGAGAAGAUUGACCACGUGUUCACAACUAACUGCUGGGAUGAUGCCCAUCCAGCUGCUCUGCUCACUGCCCUAGGAUCAGCGGUCUCGGACCACUGUCCGCUCCUCCUGGACAUCAACGCAGACUUUGCAUACGGGAAGCACUUCAGGUUCGAAUCCUUUUUGCCAAAGGCAGAAGGCUUCUAUGAAACUGUGGAAACUGCAUGGGGAUCGGUAAGCUCGGAAGGAAACGCCUUCGUCGUGUUGGACAACAAGCUUUGGGCAACGGCGAAAGAACUCCAGCGGUGGAGUGAUAGGUGGAUUUGGAACAUUAGGCUACAGAUCGCGAUCGCGCUGCAGGUGAUUGCUAGGCUAGAUGGGGCAAUGGACUCGCGGAUUCUGACGGAUCAAGAGAGGGGCCUGCGCAAUGACCUCAAGAAAAUGCUCCUUGGCUUAUGCUCGUUAUAGUGCACAAUUGCGAGGCAAAUAUCGCGGUUACUCCAGCUAAAAGAGGGGGAGGCGAACACGGCCUUCUUUCAUCGCCAGGCAGGCCACAGGCAGAGGAAGAACGUGAUCCUCUCGAUCGUCCCUGAGAACCAGGUGCACACGGGGCAGGAGAAUAUUGCAAAUGCGGUGGAUACAUACUUCACGAGGCUCCUCGGGUCAUCCACCGAACGGGUACAUGGCCUUAACAUGGAGAUGUUUCAGCUGCCUGUUCACGACUUGGCACACCUAGAAGAGCCGUUCUCGGAGCAGGAAGCGGCGCAUGUAAUCAAGAGUAUGCCACUCGACAAGGCGCCAGGGCCUGACGGCUUCACGGGGCAAUUUUACGCUACUUGUUGGACUAUCAUCAGAGAUGAUUUCAUGAGAGCCCUGCAGGAGUUUCAUGGUGGAGAUAUGUGUGGAUUACAUGCGAUCAAUAGAGCUACAGUCACAUUGCUUCCAAAAAAUCCAGGGGUAGUGGACAUUCUCGACUUCAGGCUGGUGAGGCUCAACCAUGGCGCAAUCGAAAUCUUCGACAAGAUCCUAGCCACGAGGCUUGCGGACGAUCUGCCUCACCUGAUCGGGAACCACUAGAGCGCCUUUGUCCGGGGACGAACACUCCACGACAACUUUAUGCUUGUGCAAGGCACAGCUCGCAGGUUGCAAACUAGACAUAUCCAAAGCCUUUGACACCGUGCAGUGGCCGUUUUUGGUGGAGUGUUGUCGGCGCUUGGUUUUGGACAGAAAUGGCUCGCCUGGAUAUGUGGUUUGUUGGUGACGUCCACCACCAAGAUCGUUGCCAAUGGCAUUGCAGAGGAGACCAUAUACAAUUGCCAAGGCCUGAGACAAGGCAGCCCCCUCUCUCCCAUGCUAUUCAUCCUAUGCAUGGAGAGCCUUUGCACCACUUGUUUGAGUGCGCGUCCACAGCCGGACUGCUUGCCCCUCUUGCCAGAUCUGGGCUGCAGCAGCGCGUCUCCAUGUACGCUGAUGACAUCAUGGUGUUCCUGAAACCAUCAGUGAGAGAUAUACGGGCAUGCGCUACCGUCACUACAAGAAAUAUGUCAACUAGUGACGUUAUGUCAGUGAACCUGGAAGAAUUGGUCAUAGAUCUAUGACCAUUUGAGACCAAUUGGUCAAAAGCUGUUCGGGCGGCUCCAAACCCUAAACCAUUGCGACCAUUUUGGUCAGAAAGGUCGUAAUUUCCUUACACGAAAUGUUCACAAAGCAAACAGUGUUGGUCCGUUGCCUUAUUUCUAGUUGUUAACGACCAAUAUAGAUGGUCAUAGCCUUGUAGAUUGUGGUGGGUUGUGAUGACUAGGCGCCAUCUCAUCAGUUUUGCCUAUGUGGCAUGUCCAUGUGUCAAUUUUUGCCCUAGGUUGUGAAGCAACCUAUACUUCUGUUAUUCCAAAAAUUCCCAAAAAAUUCUCAUAAAUUGCUUGGAUCAUAUCUUCAUCAAAUAUGUCAAAAACCUUCCUAACCUAUUUCAAAAAUAACUCAACAAUAUUCAUUUUCCUAUCCUGUUCAAAGCAGCACUUUGUGAAGGAAGUACCACUUUGGCAUGUCCGAAUGGUAUCCAUUUUCUACGGUGCUUUCCUAUGCCCAAAUAACCAUCCUCCACCAAAUGCCAGAUCAAUCCAUUCAUUAUUUUGAGCCCAGCUUCAACAUUCGUAUUUAUGUCCAGUGUGGUACUUUGCAAAGCAAGUACCACCUAGGCUCCUCCUUUUGAGGUGAAAAUUUGUGAAGACGGUCUUCUUAAUAACUGAUCAUCCUCAGCCGAAACUCACGCCCAUUAGCCAUGUGCUCCUACUUAUGUUGUGAUUUUCUUCCUAGCACCUACCUGGGGAGUGCCCAACCCACUAGACAUGCCUAGGCCGCCCAGAACACAUGGCAACGCCACAGUCACGCGGUGACCACACGGCGGGCAUGCGAGCUUACGCGCUCUAGAGUUGGGGCCAUCGGCCAUCGUCCAAACCUCGAUGUCUCACCAUCAAACCAUGUAUUUCUGAUUAAAUAGAUACUUAUUAACCUAGAAAUGAUUUUUGAAAAAAAAUAAAGAGCAAACUAUGAGGCAGUCGCAGUUCAAAUUUGACCCGCUUCCAGCUGAAUCGACGGGAAUUUGUCUUUUUCACCAGAGAUGGAUCAAAAAAUUUGACACCCAACCAUUUUGUCAGUUGUGCAUUAAAUAUGGCCUAGUAUUUUAUAAAAUUGAUUAGGUCCAAUUUUGCAACAAAUAUGUGGUAGGUCCUUCACAAAAAAACUCAUUUCGGGCACUCGGAAAAUGGAAAAUGAAUUUUCCGUGCAAAGAAAAUGAAAAAUCCCUUAGGCAACAUUGUUUGGAAUUCGAAGAUGCACCCUUGUGCACAAUAUGAGAUCAUUUGAACAAACUAUGCCAUGAAUGUGGCCAUAAGAUUGAUCAUUUGGCUUGAAAGCCAUGAGUUUUCACACUUAGCUCAUUUCUGAGAACACUUUUUUAAAAUAAUUAAUGUAUUACAAGUUUAUUGUUUUUCCUGGAAACUUGGUCACAUAUAAUGACACAAUGCGAAGGUUUUCCAAUUUUUUGAUUUUUUUAUGCCCAUUUCAAAAAGCGGUCAAAACGGCAGGCUUGACCGUUCCUAUCUAGUGGUUGAAUCUUGGAAUUUUUUUGGUGUUUCUCUGAUUGAAUAGAUACUUAUUUACCUAGAAAUGAUUUUUGGAAAAAAUAAAGAGCAAACUACGAGGCAGCUGCAUUUCAAAUUUGACCCGCUUCCAACUGAGUCGACGAGAAUUUGUCUUUUUCACCAGCGGUGAAUCAAAAACUUUGACACCCAACCAUUUGGUCAAUUGUGCAUUAAAUAUGGAUUAGUAUUUUAUAAAAUUUAUUAGGUCCAAUUUUGCAACAAAUAUAUGGUAGGUCCUUCACAAAAAAACUCAUUUUGGGCACUCGGAAAAUGAAAAAUGAUUUUUUCAGCCAUUGAAAAUGAAAACUUCCUUAGGCAACAUUGUUUGUCAUUCCAAUAUGCACCCUUGUGCACAAUAUGAGAUCAUUUGAACAAACUAUGCCAUGAAUGUGGCCAUAAGAUUCAUCAUUUGGCUUGGAAGCCAUUGAUCUCCACACAUGGUAGUUCGUUUUUUAGAACACUUUUUAAAAAUAAUUGAUGUAUUACAAGUUUAUUAUUUUUCGUAAUAACUUGGUCACAUUUAAUGGCACAAUUCGAAGGUUUUCCAAUUUUUUUAAUUUUUUUGAAUUUUUUAUUCCUGUUUGAAAAUGCGGUCAAAACAAUGGGCAUGACCGUUAAUAGCUAAGGGUCGAAUCUUGCAAAAAAUUUGAAGGAUCUCUGAUUAAGUAGAUACUUAUGUACCUAGAAAUUAUUUUUGAAAAAAAUAAAGAGAAAAGUAUGAGGCACCUGUAGUUCAAAUUUGACCCGCUUUCUACCGAAUCGGUGGAAAUUUGUUUAAAUGACCAAAAAUAGCUAGAAGGAUCGGAAAUGCAUAAAAAUUGGUAAUCAUCCAUAAAAUGUGGUCUAUACUAAGUGAAAAUUUUAGUGAUGCCAAUUUGCAGAAUAGUUUUGGUAGUUGCUUCACAAAACCCCCCUGUUUUAGCACUAAGAAAUAAUUUUAUAUUUUCGAACCAAUCAAGAGGCAGCCCACGGAUCGCCCCCCACUGUAGUUGAUCUAAGCCGUCCACACCCUCCCUCAGUCCCUCGAUCCAGCAUCUCCUCCCUCAGUCCCUCGAUCCAGAUCCAAGUCCACAUCGCCUCCGCCUCCCUCUCCCCGAUCCAAAUCGCCGCCGCCGCCCCUCUGCCACCCAACGCCAUCCAUCCUCCCUUCCUUUACCGGCGCCCCUUCCUCCCAACAACCUCUUUGCCCGCGGCCAUGGCAAGGAUCCGAAGCAGGUCAGCCGGCGGCGGCCAUGGCGCAUCUCUUCCUCACCCCAUAGCCGUCAGCGGCCAUGGCAGGUCACCAGAGACGGGCAGAGCGGGAGGGGUUCGCGCUGUCGGGACAGAACCCCCCCCCUCUCUCUCUGACGACGCGGCCGGUGCGGGAGGGCUUCAACUCUUCUCAGGCGGGGCGUCCGUCGUCAAGGGGCACUAGUGGAUGUGCGGGCGCCACGUGAUGCGUCACUUUGAAGGGACUGCCACAGCCUUCCCGCCGACUUGUCAGCACCCAGCCCUCUUCCUUCCUUCUCCUCACGGCACGGCGCUGGCCUUUCCAAGUCGUUCUGUUGCGUGUGGAGUUCCUCUGCUCAUGCUUUGGCUGAUGUUUGUCAUGGUGUGCAGGGCGAAGAAGGCGAAUAAGGGGAGGUCGCCGCCGGCGGAGGAGAUGGAGGCCUUCUUUGCCGCGGCGGGGGGCGACGUCACGCGACGCUUUAUUGCCAAGUGAGUACCGUGCAUGCAUGGGUUAGGCUUGGCAACAGCUUCAUCCUACUAGUCCUAUGCUCUUGAGGAAAAGCUGCUGCGGAUUUAUAUGGGAGUAGCUUAGCAAUGCAUGCGUAGCAGUGGGCCUGUAAAUUCUGCUCAAGGAGCCUCUGGUGAAUAUCUCGGCUGUCAGUCAGUUUGGUGUUGCACACAGCACACGCACACUCACACAGUAAAGAAAAAAACGCCAAGCAUGUGCUUUUCCCUCCAAUUCUCUGUCGCCGUUUUUCUUUUUCUCUUGAUUGAAAAGGCCAGCUGCUGGUGCUAGUAUAUGAAGUAAUUUGAACAAAAUCACCACACAUAUAGACUGUUCNNNNNNNNNNNNNNNNNNNNNNNNNNNNNNNNNNNNNNNNNNNNNNNNNNNNNNNNNNNNNNNNNNNNNNNNNNNNNNNNNNNNNNNNNNNNNNNNNNNNNNNNNNNNNNNNNNNNNNNNNNNNNNNNNNNNNNNNNNNNNNNNNNNNNNNNNNNNNNNNNNNNNNNNNNNNNNNNNNNNNNNNNNNNNNNNNNNNNNNNNNNNNNNNNNNNNNNNNNNNNNNNNNNNNNNNNNNNNNNNNNNNNNNNNNNNNNNNNNNNNNNNNNNNNNNNNNNNNUCUUGGUCUUUUGUAAAAAAAACUGAAUGGAUUGGGAGAUUUCUCAACAGCAAAGGGAAAAAUGGUUCCAACUUAAUUUUUGUAUCUCUCAAAUUAGCUCAAGCAAUUAUAUUUCCAGAAACAAAAAGUGAAGUUGGCAGAGCAGUACUAUUCCUAUUCUUUUCUAACGUUUGGAUCUUGUGCUUUGGAUUGAAGGUACAACUAUGACGUCGUCGCAGACGCUCCCAUGGAUGGGCAUCGGCAAGCUCCCAUGCUGAGAUCGACAAGCUCGACCUCGGCAUCGGCAAGUACAACGAGACUUGUCGCAGCAUCGUCACCAAGCACGUCGCCGAGUGGGAGGCCGUUGUCAUGCGCAUGGGGAGGUGGAUCGACUACAAGGCCGACUUGCAAGGGGAGGUGGUCCAUCGCCUUGGCCGUCCUCACUGUCGGCUUCUCUCCUCUAAGUUAUCCCACUGAUUCCUCCCCUCUGCUCAUCUCCCAUGCUCUAUGUGGUAAAUCUUAUGAUGGCCUUGGCGCCAUGGAAAUUUCUGCUUUGGCCAUAAGAUCUUGGACUUGCUGUCAUCUUGGAUUGAUUAUAAGCUUGUUGUUGUCUUGGCUUCUUAGAACUAAGAAUAGUAACCCUCCAAAGUGAUAAUAUUCAGAAGGUCGUUGCACAUUUAGCUCUGAAGAAUUGUUCUACUCACAAUUUAUAUCAAACUUCUUACACAUUCAGAUCAGCUAGUACCAGGAGCUAGUAGUUGAGAGCUCGAGUUGUUGCACAAUGGAAAGAACUUCGAAUCAAUUUGGUAGUCCUAGUGCUGGCUGCUGCUACUAUAAUUCUGGAUACGAUGAUAAUUACUUUAUGUAAUUAUUAAGCUCAUGAGGUGAUGACGAUAAACUAGGAUACGUAUUGAAGUGUAUGUAUUACAUGGUUCAUACUAGGUCAUUGCAAUUUUUGUUUGUUUGGUAUACAUUUAUUAAUGAGGCUGCUAAAAUAAAAAUGUUGGGUGCUUUCAUUGCCUGCAUGUUCAGUUAAGUGAGAGCCAGCUACCUGCAAGGUUGUUUGCAGGUCUAAUGAUGUGUGAAGAGCAGGCUUGCAAUGUCUGUCUUUUCUCAUACUGCUCCAAACGUAACUAUGGCCUUCUCACGAGGGGAUUCUAUGGCCUGUCCCCAUCUCUCUUUGUAGGUAAAGAUGUUAAUUUAGGUCCAGAUGGGUGUCUGCGCAAUUUAGCCUUUUUGUUUCCUGUGUCCCUAGUUUAGGUGUGUGUUCAAGCAAAAUAGGUGGGCGUUGAUGUUGUUAUUGUGUCCUGGAGCCUUGAGUAAAAUUCACGGAUGCAAUGCUUGUCAUUCUCAUACUGCUCCAAAGAGUAACCGUGGCCUUCUCAUGGAGAGUAUGAUGCCUUGUGUAGGUAAUUAGUAUUAUGUCCAUGUUGUUGUUGGCUAGAUGGUAAUGGCUCAUCAGAAUAUACACACAUGAGUGUAUCAUGUAACAAUUGGCAGUCACCAGAAUAUAUACACAUUAAAUCUAUUGUUCUGUUUUAUCAUUGUGCUGCAUAUGUUUCUAACUCCACUAUUUCUGUUUUUCUUUAUCACCUUAUCCAACAUUAUAGAUUCCUGUAUUGAUGCAUGCCAACUAUGAAUAUGAUCUUGCAUUAAGCUUUAGCUGGUUGUUAAUUAUGUUGUGCUAGCUAUUGUCUAACCAUGGCCUGCGGUGGCUGGGUGUUUCUUUUGGGCGCAGGUGACUUGUACACGAAGCUGUACGACUAGCUAGGUGUUUCUUUUGGGUCUGUCCAGCACGUGUUCGAGUUCACUUGCGAUGGGAUUUUGCCUAAUAGGUGUUUGUGGUAAUAUCCGUAUAUGUAUUCCAGAUCAUUUACAUUACCAAUGAUAUAUUUCUGUAAUAGUGAAGAAAUACCUUCUUCAGUUGCAUUCCUUGACUUCGUAGAUCAGUGGAAUCAUCAUGAGUAGUAUACAACCUGAGAUGUCCGAUUGUAUACAAACUGCACCUUGAAAUUAAUAUGUUCCAGGUUGUGUCUUUGAUUGUAAAUGUUUAUUCACUAUAAACUCUUCUAUCUGUGAUAAGUACAACUAGAAGAAUUUGUCCCAUGUAAAAUUCUGUAAUCCCUAUUAGCUGAAACUUGAGCAUUACAAAGUUUCAUUUCUAAGUUCAGUUUGUUGAUAAGCCAUCCUCUUCCUGUUUCUGGAAUUAGCGUGCAUACACAACCCUUCAUGAAAAUAAACUACAUGCGAUAUACUCAAAUAGCACUAGGGUCUGGGACUAUUUUAUGGUGUUGUGGAUAUACUUUGUGAUUUACAGUUACUCUCUGGUGUCAUAUUAUGGUCUAAUAUGUUUUGUUUUGACUCUUUGUUUGUUGCCAGGAAAGUGGUGAGGAGAUGUUGACGGUGCCUACUUACUUGGCUGCUAUGGUGAUGCAUGUACCGGUGAAGCAAGCACACAUGCAAGGCUGGCCCCAUGUAUCUUCCUUGGCUGUGAAUAUCAUCUACAGGUACGAAAAAUGUCCCACCUCUCUGUCGUUUUGCUCCUCCUCUCCUUGCAUCCGAGGAAAUUGGUGCUUUAUAUGCUAUUGAUUCGUUAACACCAAGUCCAAACUGUUGCUUUGAUUUUUCCUGUUACUUAGGAUAGCAGUAUGACCAGGACAAGCUACAAGCUCCCAGCGCGUGUGAUCCAGGGUGCUAGGGCCAACCUGUUACGGAAGACGGCCAUGCUCACGAGCCCCUUUGGAUCAAAAUAGGUAUUCCUUUCUGCCUCUUUUUGGAUUCACUCAUAUUUUGCCUCGUGGAUUGAUGGAUUAGUCCUAUGGUACUGUAAUUGUAAAGUCUGGUCCUCAUUUACUUUCUGUAACUGAUUGCCUCUGUCUAAAUUUCGAAUGCAUGCUAGCUAAGGCUUUAUCUAGCCCUUGGUGUUGAUUGAGCGUUUGCUCCUCUAAUGUUCAUGAAGUCCAUUGUUAUAUACCUCUCAUUGUAGGAUGGCAAGUUGUGGCAGCUGGAGCAUGUCUUGUAAGAGAGAGCAAUGAAAUCCCUCUUGUAUAUUCUGUAAAAAGGCUGUUCCGUAAAAAAAUACAUUGUACUAUUAUGAUAGUAGAAGAUGUGCCAUCAUUUUCUUUAUUGUAUAUUCCCUCUAUUCCUGCUAUAUUUCAGUGUAGGGAAAUGUAUUCCUGAGAUGAUUUUUUGUGUUAUGUAAACCUGGGAGAUGUGUUAUGUGAUGUGAUAUGAUGGUUGACUUGAAUUUGACCUGGAGUUUUCCUAAUUUGAAUGAAAUAAUGUUGUAUGUAUGUGUGAUUGGGCUAAAUUCGGCUUGGGUCUCAACAUUAAAAGGCUGGUCGAAACUGGACAAAUAAUUGGGCCAAAAAAGGCCACAUCCCAACAAGCAUCGAACAAUUUCAAAAAGGUUUGAGGGCCAAAAAAAUUGCAUGAAUCUCAAAAACUAAAAAGGCCAAAUUGUUGGGCUAGGCCAAUGUAGCUGACCAAAAUUAAAAGGAAAAAAUAAUCAUAAAUGGGCUGAAUUGUUGGGCUAGGCCCAUGUAGAAAACCGAAUUGGACCGGGCUGAAUCUUGUGCCACAUCAGCUUGCCACGCUGGAUGCCUACGUGGCCUGGGGAGGUUGCUAGUGACCAAAACGCCAGAGUGGACAUAUUUUGGUCAUAAAUGUCUUCGACCAUUCCAGAAGAAAGGUCGCUAUAGUCGGUUUACGACCGCCAGCUUUUGACCUUCUCUCUUUGGUCACAAAAAGGUCGCAAAUGAAAAACCAUGACCUUUCAGUGACCAAUAGUGGUGGUCACAAGUUGACAUAUUUCUUGUAGUGCGUGCUGGACCUGUUCGGACACGCAUCUGGCCUCCGGAUAAACCUGCAGAAGAGUGCGGCCUUGCCAAUUAGGUGCACGCAGGAGCAUAUGCAGACGGUGACAGGGCUGCUGGGCUGCACGGGUGGCUCUUUUCCUUGCCAGUAUCCCGGCCUCCCGCUCUCGAUAAGGAAGCAGACGGCUGCACAGUUCCAAGAGAUGGUCGACCAGAUUGCAGCGUGUCUGCCGACCUGGAAAGCCGCGACGCUGCCCAAGAGCAGCCGCCUUCUGCUGGUCCAGUCUGUCCUGAGUGCUAUCCCAGUUCACUCCAUGCUUGCAAUGGGGUUGCCGCCGAAGACCAUGAAGGCGAUGAUCAAAAUCUAUAGGGGUUUCCCAUGGUGUGGAAAGGAAGAAGCAGGUGGUGGCAAGUGUGCCGUGGCAUGGGAAUCAUUGAGUAGACCGAGGUAGGCAGAAGGACUUGGAGUUCCAACCCUGCGAUGGAUGAACAUCGCCUUGCAAACCAAGUGGCUCUGGCUACAGCGUAUUGAUCACUCUAGGCCAUGGGUGGAAUUCAAGCUGAACAUACCGGAGGAGGCCAGAGGGCUCUUUCGGGCAGCUGCGAGGAUGACCAUUGGUGAUGGACGUACCGCCCUUUUCUGGGAGGACCGAUGGCUGAUAGGAUACCACAUACAGGAGCUCACGCCAUCCGUAUAUGACAGAAUAUCUAAACGGACGAGGAAAUCCCGAACGGUGGUGGUUGCCCUAACUAAUGCAACUUGGGCCCGGGACAUCGGCCCGGACAUGGACGAGCACGCGCUAGCACAGUUCCUUGGCCUUUGGCCCAAGGUGGAAAGCGUCGCACUAUUGGAACACACGCCAGACAAGUUGACGUGGUCAUGGGAGAAGAACGGAGCCUUCUCGGCGCGAUCGUGCUACACGGCAGGAUUUGCAACGCUUCAGGUCUCCCCCACAGCAGUUUUCACAUGGUCAUCGCAUGCACCCCUGCGCUGUCGAUUUUUUGCAUGGCUGGCCCUUCAAAAUCGGGUGUGGACCUCGGAUAGAUUGGCGAGAAGAGGCCUCCCACAUCAGGAACGCUGCCCAUUUUGCGACUAGGACGAUGAAACUAUUAACCACCUCCUCAUCCGGUGUGUGUUUGCUAGAGAAACCUGGGACGCGGUCUGCCAGGCGACUGGCAUCAUUGGCGAGGCCCCAACAGCAGCGGAUGAUCUUCUGUCCUGGACUACUAGACCUGUGUUGGCCGGGCGGCAUGCCAAAUCAUUGCGUGCACCACAUCUCCCGAUCAUGUGGGAAUUGUGGAAACACAGGAAUUCUACUGUGUUCGAGGGGAAGACACCGGACGUGCAGGCACUUCUGCGGAGGAUCGCCGCUGAGUGCGCGGUGUGGAUGAAGGCAGGGAUCAUUCAUAGCGACUUAGAGCCCUGGAUGGCUGGGAUAGGUGUGUGGGCAGAUAGGGAGUAGUCCAUGUUUUUCCUUUUCUUGAUGGGUGGAGUGCGAUUGUGGAUGUAACGCGAACUAUGUAAAUUGUGGAUGGGGUUUCUUCACCCCUCUCCUUCUUCAAUAUAUGAUACGCACACUCGUGCGUAUUCAAGAAAAAAAGAUAUUUUGGUUUAUUUCUUUAUUGAGGGCUUCAUGCAUGUCAGCUGCAACCCGCUUCAUUCGGCCACUCUCUUGGGUCUUGCUUAUUGCUGGGCCAAGACCUAGAGAUGGCCCUUGCUUCUUUUCAGGUAGAGAACCUACCGGUAGAAGGAAAUGUAGUGUUUUUUUUUCUUUUCCAUUAGUGUCCAUAAUCAUAUUCCUCUUCACUUCUUUUCCUCAUGGCGUCGUGUAUGGAUCGAGACCCUGCAGCAGUGGCACAUCGUAGGAUGAAACACAGCGGAUCCGUUUUCAAAUAUGCACCUCUCGAACUCUGUUCCCAAUGAUGUCGUAUGUGGAUCGAGAAACUAUAGCCAGACGGCAGCGGAACAACACACCAGCAUGACGUGUGCUAUAAGAUCCUGGUGCACCGAAGCCAUUUGCUAAAUGAAAUUUAUGUCCUACUACCUCCGUCCUGAUUUAUUGGUCCCAUUCGCAUUUUGUGCUUAAUUUUGACCUUAAAUUUAACUAAUAAAAUGUUAAAGCAUGAAAUAAAAAAAAUCACUACAAACUAUAUUCAAAUACGAAUCAAAUGAUAUGAUUUUCUAUGACAUGCAUUAUUAUUUUCUUAAUUAAGUCUAUCGUGAAAGUUUGGUGUAAAAUACUAACAGGACCAAUAAACUUGCAGAUGGAUGGAGUAGUUAGUACUAAUACAUUGUUAUUUACUCAAACACGGUAUUAUCAUAUAAACUAAAUCAAUACAACAUUAUAAUGUUAAACUGUGACAUGGAGAACAGAGUAAGGAAAGGCGGUUUAUCGCCCGCCCUGCACGGCCAUAUGUACUGUCAGAUUGGUUUACUUUAGGCUGGCCAUAGUGGAGGUAACAUAACCGGUAACAUGUAUUUGGGACUAGCAAACAUGCUUAAUUAUGUGGCACACAAUUAAAGAAGAGAGAGGGUUAGAGUAACAUAGGUAGAUACCAUAUCAUGUUAAAUGCUAAACUAUUUUGUGUCAUGCAUGGCAAUAAAUAUGGUCAGCUAUGAUACUAUUUUAUGAUAGUAUGCACUAUGGAGGUAGUAUCAUAUACUAGUAUCAUAUGCAUGAUACUAGUAUAUGAUACUUCUCACUAUGAGUAGCCUUAGGCUAGUUGUAAUGGGGAGUAUCAUAUAGUAGUAUCAUGCAUAUGAUACUACAUCCGUAAUGCAUAGUAUCAUGUGUUGGUAUCAUAGAUGACUACAUUUAUUGCCAUGCAUGACACAAAAUAACACAUCAUUUAAUAUGAUACGUUAUCAUAAGAGCAUGAUUAAUAAGAAAGCCGUUGCUGGCUAUAUAUGAGUGCCAUGUCACAUAAAGCCUUCAUAAAAGCCCACCAGUACAACAGAUUAGCUAUAGUCUAGCUAUUGGUAUUUAAUGUUUGCAAGUGGGGAAAGGCAAAGAGAGACAUGUGAUUGGUGAGAAGAGAGGAAUGUCGGCUCACAAGACUGUUUGCAGAAUUCUUUUUCUUGUUUCUUGUGCUAGAGUCGGUGCUAGCUGAAUCGCCCGCCUCCUUCUCUUUCCUCCAUUCUCUCUCCUCCAGCAAUGACUUUGAUGACGUGGAACAGCAUAUAGCCAGCUGACUACGACUUAUUGUACUUGCUCUAAUAUGAUACUCAAGCCUCUCUUUCUUCAUUUAUUUCUAUGCCACAUCAUCAAAAUAGCUUAGUUGGCAUGCACGAUACUACCUAUGAUACUCCCAUUACGGGCAGCCUUAGUAAUCAAGCACACCAUCGUAAAUGCACUCAAUUCCAUGACCGGUCACUUUAUUAAUUUGUUGUGCAUACGCCAUGGGUUCCCAUCCCCACACCCACACACACCCACACCCACACCCACACACACACACACACACACGAAAAAAAGCCUUCGUAUUAUCUCAUGGAGGAGGUGGUGGCGGAUGAGGAGGAGGAUGAAGAGGAGCAGGUGGGGCAGGAGGAGGAGGAGAAGGAAGAGGGGGAGCAGCUGUCGAAAGCAGAGCCCGUGAAGAAGGAGGUAGCGGAGCCAGAGGGGAGUAGGUGGAGGUGUGGCUGUCUGCGGGCUUCGCCGUGGCGGAUGCCAAGAUGGAGUACGAGGCCGCCCAAGCGAUGGAGAUGGUAGAACAGACCGCCGUCCAUGAGUCCAUCUAGGACGAGGUCUAUGUCGAGGCUAACCGACAGUUCAUCGGAAUAAAACAGGCGGCGAUGGAAGCACUGUUCAUCGAAUUGGACGGGAAGGCGGAGGUGGAGGAGGGGCCAGAGUCUUCACAGGCGCAGGAGCUACCGCACUUUCCCAUCUACCUAGCCCCAGGCAAGGAGACCGUCAACAUCUCCAACAAUAGUUCUUUUAGCUAUGUACGUAGUACAUAGGUUUUUAUUUACAUGGCUGUGCUAUUUGGGUACGGAGGUACGAAAUUUGAGUUUUAUGAUUGUGGCGGACAUUUUUGCUGUGUUGUCCGGUCACUGUCCGCGGACGCGUCCGCGGGUGUUUUGGGGCCUGCUUAGUGUGUUUGUGGUUGGAGAUGCUCUAAUGACGCAUCCAUCGGUAGUAGUAAAUCAUCAUGAGACAUGCUGCUACAUUGACGGAUGAGGCACUUACCAUUAAUAAAAAGCCGAGUGGACUAUGGCACUGAAUACUUGCACAGAGGCAAAUUAACAUCUAUUCACUCCAGGUGAACCAAGGGGACAGUGACAUUUGGUGCUGAAUUACAAGUCUCCCAAGUGCACAUUUUUGCUCUGUGGUAAUUUAGAAUGUGUAUUUGUAAAACAACUGAAAAUAUAUUAACUAAGAAUAUAUUUAUAUAUGCAUUUAGAUCAAAUAUCGUCCGGUUUUGUACCAACUUAGUUCCAUUGAUAUAUUACUAGAGUUAACGUGGAACGAUCAAUUUCGUUUCUGAAGGUGGUGCACACAUCCACGUGAACGAAAAAGACAGGCAAGGGUAUCUUGUGAGGAAACAAGAGAUAGUGUUCCUUUGUUUUCUCUUAGAACAAGACUGGCAAUGGCGUUCCCCACAAAUAAAUUGUAACAACAAGAACAACAACAACAAUAAUAAUGACUAUAAUAGUAACGACGACCAAGAAGAUGAUGGACAUAAAGGUCUUAACAUGAACAUGUGUCCUUUUGUGUUUUUGAGUUGCUAGAAUCGUGAGAUCACCUUCGGAUAAAACAUGCAUGAUGUACAAAUAAAAAUUCGAAAUGUAGCUCUGAAUAUGGUACCAAUGAAUGUUAAGCUGUGAUAUUGGGACCAAAUAAGGCAAGGUAGAUGAUCCCCAGGCAUGCAUGACCACAUGCACAACUAGAUUGAUAUAGUUCACUUGUCGAGCUCACCAUAAUUAAUGCACUCAACUACCGAAAUCACUGAUUAAAGAGUACUCUUUGUAAAUGUCACUCACACCUUCCCAUAGUGCAACAUGUGUUGAACUGCAUGUGCGCCACUUGUCGCAACCUGGGAUUUUUCCUUUUUCGUAGAUUUUUAAUUCAAAAUGUUUUAUCUCUCAACCAUGUGUCCAAAUACUGAACCAUUUCACCAUUGGAUUCCUCGCGUCGAGAUCUUCAAAACUAGAUCGUAUGUUGAUAGGUUUCGACGAACUUUUUUUCACGAAAAAAUCGAACGAAAAAAACCCGAACCGAGAGCACGGUUUUCCCUUUCCAAGAGCAUGACCAAGCUUCUCGCGGAAGCAAAUCCGCACCUCCACGAGAACUAAAUUAGUGCCUCUCGUGGAAGGAAAAGAACAUAUUUUGUCUUUUUCUGAGAGGCACGGCCGUUCUUGUCGUGGAAGCAAAUCCGUGCCUCCACGAGAAGUAAAUUAGUGCCUCUCAUGGUCGAAAAAAUCCAAGAUUUUUCCCUCUCGCAUAAGCAAAUUCUUGACUCCACGAGAAGUAAAUCAGUACCUCUUGUGGAUGGAAAAAACAUUUUUUUCCCUUUUCCAAGAUGCACGGCUGUGCUUCUAUUGGAAGCAAAUCCGGUUUCCGCUUUGAAGCUGAGCUAUUGGAUUCGGUAGGCCAGAGCGUAUUUUGGGUAAAAAUGAUGAUGUACGUAUAUGCACAGUUCAAUGGUCGUGCUCACCAUCAUAGAUGCACUCAACUACUCCAUGGUCGGCCACUAUAUGACUGCGUACAUGUCUUAGUCUCAUAGUUAAUCUGCUGUGUACACGCUAAUCAACCACAUUCCACCGCUAGAACGCCUGGAUGUAGUGCUUGGUCCAUCCAUCGGCCCAACCAAACGGUAACAACCAACCAUCUCCUAAAUGCAUUAACACCCAUAAAUCAAUUCCAACAUCCAACAACCUAAAUUCAUGCAUUUGCUCGCAUCAAUUGAAUUGGCACACGUAGACACAAUACUUGACACCAAGAAAGUACACUGUUUAUUCCGAAUGGAAUCCCGUGAUGGUAAGAAGCCCUAUUUAAGCCCAUGCAUCCCCACGAAACUCCUCACCAUUACAAUCACUUAGCAAAUCUAGCUAUCCCAUCAUCUCUGCCUGAGCUCACUACCACUACUAUUGCUAGCUUGAUCGAGAUGGCCCGUUCUGCUGUUGCUCAGGUCGUGCUCGUCGCCGUGGUGGCCGCUAUGCUCCUCGCAGUCACGGAGGCGGCUGUAUCGUGCGGUCAGGUGAGCUCUGCCUUGAGCCCCUGCAUCUCCUAUGCACGCGGCAACGGCGCCAGCCCAUCUGCGGCCUGCUGCAGCGGCGUUAGGAGUCUAGCCAGCUCAGCCCGGAGCACCGCUGACAAGCAAGCGGCGUGCAAGUGCAUCAAGAGCGCUGCUGCUGGGCUCAACGCUGGCAAGGCCGCCGGCAUCCCCACAAAGUGCGGCGUUAGCGUCCCCUACGCCAUCAGCUCUUCGGUCGACUGCUCUAAGAUUCGCUGAUCGAGCACUUGCUGCCAUCGUUGUUGCUAUCGUACGUCCCCUACGCCAUCGUUGCUGGAUCUACGCUUAGUACGUUGAGGUCACAUACACGCACACACACAUAUAUUUAUGAAUAAAUGCUCUCAUAUUAUCUCACUGCGUGAGAGAGAGACACACUGUCCAAGCAGCUCUGCAUGGCCGGCCACACUGUUGUAUCGAUGUUUGGUUGUUCCUCCACUCCCCGAGGUUGCUGUACUUUGUACCAUGUGUACUUUUGAUAUAUGGAUUGUAUACACAGCUGAUCAGCUCUACUUGCGUGCGCAUGUUAUUCAGCACUUUUGAUAUAUGCAAGACUGGCAAAGCAUUCCAUUCCAGUUUGUUGCUCCAAGCAAGACGUAGGAAUGAACCCA